rnacentral:lncRNA from 1 species
GAAUAUUGAUGCUGAAACUGAAAAACGCCACCAACAAUUGAAAGAAGAAGUGAGGAAGAUGAUUGUGGCACCAAUGGCUAAUUCAACCCAAAAGUUAACCUUCAUUGAUUCAGUUCAAAGACUGGGUGUGAGUUACCAUUUCACCAAGGAGAUCGAAGAUGAACUAGAGAACAUCUACCAUAACAACAAUGAUGCCGAGAACGACCUCUACACUACAUCUCUUAGAUUCCGAAUACUCCGAGAGCAUGGAUUCAAUGUUUCAUGCAGUAAUUAUUUGAACAACAACAUAUUGUUUUUAAGUUUCCUGAGUAUAUCAUAGCAUGGAAUGUUUGAUAACGAUAUUUCAUUUUGGUUAAUUUGAUCUCAGACGCAUUCAACAAGUUUAAGGACGAGCAAGGGAAUUUCAAGUCAUCUGUGACAAACGAUGUUCGAGGAUUGUUGGAACUUUACGAGGCCUCCUAUUUGAGGGUUCAUGGGGAAGAUAUAUUGGAUGAAGCAAUUUCUUUCUCCGCCAACCAUUUAAUCCUUGCGGUGGCAUCUUUGGACUAUCCUUUGUCCGAACAGGUUUCUCAUGCUUUGAAACAAUCAAUUCGAAGAGGCUUGCCAAGGGUUGAGGCAAGGCACUAUCUUUCAGUAUACCAAGAUAUUGAGUCCCAUAAUAAGGCUUUGUUGGAGUUUGCUAAGAUCGAUUUCAACAUGUUACAACUGUUGCAUAGGGAAGAGCUAAGUGAGAUUUGUAGGUAUGUUUUUGAAUCUUUUUCACCUCUUUUUUUUUCAUCUAUUUUAAUUUUUUGGUGGAUGGAGUUGAAUUUAUAGGAGGCAUCAAUGCCAAUAUUUAAAUCUUAAACGUAUUAAAUAGCAAUAGUUAAAAGUGAUGACAUGAACCUCAGAUUCAUCUUUUUCACCUAUUUCAUUCUAGUUAUAUACAUUUUAAAAUUUGAGAUUGCCAAUUGAAAUUGAAUCAAGAAUCUAACCAUUUACUCAUCCGCAACAUGAAUGUGAAACUAAUUAAACCUUUAAAAAUUCAUUAUUUAGGUGGCGGAAUGAUUUAGACUUUCAAACAAAAUUGCCAUAUACAAAAGAUAGAGUGGUUGAAUGCUAUUUUUGGAUCUUGGGAGUGUACUUUGAGCCCCAAUAUUCACUUGGUAGAAAGAUGAUGACAAAAGUGAUAAUAAUGACAUCUGUUAUAGAUGAUACAUAUGACUCAUAUGCAACAUAUGAUGAGCUCAUUCCCUAUACAAGUGCUAUUGAGAGGUAUGUUUUUAAUUUGUUUAAUAGGUUAGAUUUCUUUAAUUGGAGAUUAACAUUCAAAUAUAUUAUGUCAAAUGAUCGAAUAUAACAAUGAAGUUGGAUUCAGGUGGGAAAUUAAAUGCAUAGACCAACUUCCAGAAUAUAUGAAACUGAGCUACAAGGCACUAUUAGAUAUUUAUGAAGAAAUGAAACAACUAGUGGCUGAGCACGGGAGACAAUAUCGUGUCGAAUAUGCGAAAAAUGCAGUAUGUAUACAGACAAACAUUUAUUUGGUACAAACGAGAUAAGAUAUUAGCUAAAUUCUAGAUCUGAAAAAACAAUUAACUUGAAUAACAAUAUAUAGUCAUUUAAAUAUUAUUAUAGAAUUUGAUUUGAUAUUAGUGAUAAUUGCUGAAAUUUUGUUGCCUCAGCUGAUACGACUUGCUCAAUCCUACUUUGUGGAGGCCAAAUGGGCUCUUCAAAACUACAAACCAUCAUUCGAGGAAUUUAAGAUUAAUGCAUUGUCAUCUACUGGUUAUGCCAUGCUUGCUAUUACAUCUUUCGUCGGUAUGGGAGAUAUCGUAACACCAGAGACGUUUAAAUGGGCAGCCAGUGAACCUAAGAUCAUUCAAGCUUCCGCAAUUAUUUGUAGGUUUAUGGAUGAUAUUGCUGAACACAAGGUAUAAUAAUAUAUUUAUAUAAUCACAAGAAAUCGAACUCUUAACUCAAUAAUUAAAUAUCUUUUUAAUGAAAUCAAACUAUGGUUUUUAUCAUGAUAUGAAACAAAUGGAUUUUGAUGUUUAUAUGUCAUUUUUAGUCGAAUAAGAAAGAAAACCUAGUUUUAUUUUAGGGUUACUAGUGAGGAAGUAUUGUCAAUAAAGGUAUUUUAUCAUCACUAUACAAAUAAAGUUUAAUAUAUUGACAAAUUUUAGGGUAUAUAAUGAUAGAAUAAUUUUGAUUUUAUUACGAAUGCAGUUCAAGCAUAGGAGAGAAGACGAUUGGUCAGUAAUCGACUAUUACAUGAAAGAAUAUAACAUAACAGCACAGGAGACAUACGAUGUAUUCAACAAAUAUAUUGAGAGUGCUUGGAAAGAUAUGAAUCAAGAGCUUCUGAAACCAACAGAAAUGCCAACAGAGGUUAUGAAUCGUAGCCUAAACCUUUCAAGGGUAAUGGAUGUGCUUUACAAGGAAGGAGAUGGCUAUACAUAUGUUGGAAAAGCGAUCAAAGAUGUAAUCACUUCAUUGUUGAUUGAGCCAGUCACACUUUGAAAUUAUAUUAAGCUUGUUGUUUAAGGGAUGGAUAUUUAGUUAAAGAAAGUACAAAUCGAUUGUCUUUCUACUUAUCGCCUUAAUAAUUCAAUAAAGUUCUUUUCAAGCUUUUGGUUGUGAAAAUUUUGCUAUUUUAUAUAUUUUUAAUAUAAAAAUAGCAUGAGUUAUAAAUACUAAAAUUAAGAUAAAAACACCCACUAAUCAUUAACACUUAAAGUCUAUUGAGAUAAGUUUUGAAUUCUUUAUUAAAUUAAUUGCCGACUAAAACCUCAAAUUUAUAGCCAAUCCCAAAGGAUUAGUAGUCAAUUUCAAAUUUGUGUACACAAACAAUUUAUGUUAUACAAUCAAAUUUAUUACAUCACAUGUAAUAAAUUGUAUAAAAAGAUAAUAUACUUUGUAAUGAAAUAAUCAAAAUUUGAUCAUUACAAAUAAUAUUAUGUAAGGGUGAACAAAACUCGAUUCGAUUCGAAAAAUUUUAAAAAAAUUUAAAUUUUGAGUUAAACGAAUUGAGUUAUUCGAGUUAAUCGAGUCAACUCAAACUUUUUCUUUUCAAAUUUCGAGUUCAAUGGAGUUUAAUUUUCGAAUUUGAAUGAUUCAAAUAAUUCGAAUAAAUUGAAUAUAAAACUAUAAAAUUUUACAUUUUUACCUCAAACUCCCAAAUUUUUUUACUUUUCCCCAUUACUUUUACUCCCUCCCACUUUCCCCAAAGAAGUAUGACGCGCAUUUGCAACAUUGGAGAUUUAAGACUUCCAAACCAAAAGAAAUGUCAGUAGUUUGGUGUGGUAUUGUGGAAAAUUCAAAGUUAGAGGAAGUGUCAAAAUGGAUUGGGUCGGAAUCUGUUCGAUGGGUGAUUGGGAAUGGGAAAUCUGUCCUCUUUUGGGAGGAUAUUUGGUGUGGAAUUCGUCCAUUGAAGGUGGAAUUCCCUAGAUUGUUUAGACUUGCUACUGUGAAGAAUAUUGUGGUCAAAGAUGUAGCAAGGAAUAAUGGCUUUGAAGAGGUGCCCUGAAGGGACGUUUUCUCAAGGGUGUUGCUGGAUAGGGAGGUGAGUAUGUUGAAUAAUUUGAAGAAUUUGGUGGGGAGUGUCGAACUUGAUUCGAAAGUGGAGGAUCGUAUAAUUUGGAUUCACAACAGUACCGGGGAAUUUACAGUUAGGAAGUUGUCUCAAUUGUUGUCCUUUGAUCGGGCCCAAAAUGGGCAGCAGAGAUAAUCUUUUUAUAUAAGAACUAUCUUAUUUAUUUGAUUCCAAUCAAUUUGAUUUGUAGGCUCCUUUACUGGUAGAUUUUGUGGAUAUUUCCAAAAUUUCCACUAUCCUAAAUGCCUUUAAAAGGCUAAGAUUUCUUUGCUUAUUUUCCACACUCUCACACCGAUUUUCUGUUGCUCUCAAAACUCUUCUUUUAUUCUCCUAAUUUUUCAAACGUUCCGGUGAUAGAAAAAUGCAAUGUUCGUUUGUUAAUCAUUGCAGAGGUGCUAUUGCUUUGAUCAUUUUUGUUGUUGUAUCCUGGGAGAUAUUCGACCAACGUUUCUCCAAGUGCUGUAGGAGCGGCCGAAUCUGUCUUAAGAAAACUGUUUUUAACAGGCCUCAACGUUUAGUAAAAUCUCUAUUCUUUCUUUUGAUUUCAACUUUUGUUACAGUUUUAAUUGGUUUUUGUAUUUGAUAAAUUAAAUAUAAAUCAUUUUAUUUAUAUUCUACCUUUUAUGUGUUUAUUUAUAUUUAAUUAUUUUGUUCGCUAACGUAUUUUGUCCAACAAUUUUAAGACAGACUUGAUUAUUUUUGCAAUUCUCUAAUCCGAGUUAAAUGAGAUACCAAGGCGAAAAGAAAAGAAAAGAAAAUUUAUUAGAAAAUAAAUUUUUAAAUUAAAUAAAAUAUGUUUCUUGAUUUUAUUUUCCAGCCGUUCAACAGAUUUUAUUCUCUAUUUUGUUUUUUAUUUAUUUCCAAACGAAUAUUAAAACUAAAUAAAAUCUGUUUCGGGAUUUAUUCUCACUGUUUAACAAAUUUUAUUCAAUUUUGUUUCUAAAUUAAAGUUAAAUAAAAUCUGUUUCGGAAUUUAUUCCUGCUGUUUAACGAAUUUUAUUCCAUUUUGAUUUUAUUUCCAAAACGAGUAUUUAAAUGAAAAUAAAAUCUAUUUCGAGAUUUAUUCCUGUCGUUCAAUGAAUUUUAUUCUUUUUUUAUUUUAUUUCCAAAAACGAGAAAUUAAAAUUAAAUAAAAUCUAUUUCGAGAUUUAUUCCCGCUGAUUAAAAAUAUUUUAUUCAAUUUUAAUUUUGUUUCCAAAUUAGAAUUAAAUUAAAUUAAAUAAAAUAUGUUCUGAGAUUUAUUCUCGCCGUUUAACAAGAUUUUAUUCUAUAUUAAUUUGUUUCCAAACGAAGACUUAGUCAAAUAAUACUGUUUCGAGAUUUAUUCCCGCCGUUUAACAGAAUUUAUUUUGAUUUAAUUACAUAAUUUUGUUAGGAUUUAGUCCAGUCAUUUAACAAAAUUGAUUUUGAUUUUGUUUCAUAAUUUUAAUUUUGCCGUUUAACAAAAUAAAAAGGAAAUUUUUUGUUUAUUUUUUGGCCUAAUUGUGGCUUUAAAUUGUGAAUUAAAAAGGAAAUUUAUCAACGGUGAAUUAAAAAGACAGUAUGAGAAUGCAUGUCUAGGAUUGGUUCUUUGAAGGACUUUGUAUUUAAGCGUGCCUAGUGCACCACCUCUCUUUUAGGGUUACUUACCUGGUGCAUUGUUUUAUUGUAUUUUAUAUUAGACUAUAUAAACUUUUGUUUCGGGUUUUAUUAUAUUCCUUUCGUCUAACAAAAGCUGAUUCUAUUUCUUGACAGAAAAUGGAAACUCUCAUCAAUGCUGUGGAAGAUAUGGACUUAUGUGCUGUGAUUUCUGAAGUCAACAUGGUUGAUUCAAAUCCAAGAGAAUGGUGGCUUGAUACAGGUGUCACACGUCAUAUCUUCUAUGACGAAGACUCAUUUUCUGAGUUGGAACCUUGUGAAAAUAGGGAGAAGCUCUAUAUGGGCAAUGCUGCAACUUCCAAUAUCAAGGGGAAGGGUACUAUGGUCUUGAAGAUGACUUCUAGCAAAGAACUCAAGCUUCAAAAUGUGUUGUAUGUGCCUGACAUAUGCAACAACCUUAUUUCUGGUACACUCCUUAAUGUACACGACUUUAAGAUGAUGUUUGAAUCCCAGAAGCUAGUUUUGUCAAAGGGGGAAUGUAUGCGGGAAGGGGAUAUGUAUUAAAUAACAUGUGGAAACUUAAUGCAAUCUCUGUAAAAGCAAAGACAAUGAAUAAAAAUGUCGCUUCUUCCUCUGUUUAUAUGCUUGAUUCAUUUGGUUUAUGGCAUGGUACGCUCAGACAUGUUAAUUAUGAUAUUUUACGUAGAUUAAUUAAUUUGGAGCACAUUCCUUCAUUUCACAUUAAUUAUAAACAUAAAUGUGAAACCUGUGUUGAGACAAAAUUAACAAGGUCUUCAUUUCAAACUGUUGAAAGAAGCACGGAACCACUUGAUCUUAUACAUAGCGAUGUUUGUGACUUAAAGUUUGUUCAAAUGAGAGGAGGGAAUAAAUAUUUUAUUACCUUCAUUGAUGAUAAAACAAAAUAUUGCUAUGUGUACAGACGAAGCUAUAGAGAAAUUGGCUCUCUAUAAGCGGGAAGUUGAAAACCAACUUAAUAAAAAGAUUAAGAUGGUGAGAAGUGAUCGUGGUGAUGAAUAUGUUGAACCAUUUAGUGAAUACUGUGCACAACAUGACAUUAUUCAUGAAGUAACACCACCAUACUUUCCUCAACUAGAGUAGCCGAGCAAAAAAAAAUAGACUUUAAAGGGAAAAGAUGAACACACUACUAAAAAGCUCUAGGUUAUCACAGGAAAUGUGGGGGGAGCAUUUUUAUGAGUUAAUUACCUUUUAAAUAAGGUACCCCACAAGAAAAAUAGACAAGACACCAUAUGAUUUAUGGAAAGGUAGCAAACCAUCCUACAACCACUUGAAAGUAUGGAGGGUGUCUUGCUAACGUAACGUAUAAUGAUAAGUCGAGACAUAUAUGUCGUCGAAACAAUAUCGUUAAACAACUGAUCUCAAACGAAGUUAUCUUUAUUGAUUUUGUAAAAUCAAAAGAAAACAUUAUGGAUCCGCUGAAUAAAGGCUUAAAAUGAGAUCAUGUUGAUAAAACAUCGAAAGGAAUGAGACUAAAGCCUAUGAAAAUAAAAGGCGCUAUAUGAAGGAAAACCCUACCUAGUUGACUAGAGGUCCCAAGAUCUAGGUUCAAAGGGACAACCUAAUUGCAUAGACCCUGUGAGGUCACUGUGGGGUACUUAUCCCAAGUCUGUUCCUAUGAUGUAAAUAGUGACUAAAAAUGGGAGAGGUUAAGUAAUGCUUUUAAUGACCAUCGUGUAUUUUGUUGAGUCGAACAACAUAAGUCACCUAUGUGAGAGUGAAGUGGGGCCGCUUCGAGAAGACUAUUGGGGCAUAGUUCUCUCAAAAUCUUGUAGAACUAAAAGAUGUUCACGGCUAUAUGAACAUACCCAUGAGAACUAAAAUCUUGCCAAGGAGGUAGUUGUGUGAGGUAUAUCAUCGUUUACACAAAAGACAGAACAUUUCAAGGACAUCACGUCUACUGGUCAGCUAGUAAAGCAAAUAUACUUUCACAAGGGAAGGUUCAAGGGUGGAUACCUACCUAUCCUAUGCAACUAUUGAUCGUAGGUUCUAUCACCACAUCGAGUCAAUGUUUUUCGAUAAAAAUAUCAAUUUUCAUUCAUGUGGGGGAUUGUUGGAAAAAUACAUAUUAUGGGAACUUUGAGGCAUAUCUUCAAUAGGUAAAGGUGGAGAGUUGAAUUAUAAAAUUAUGGUUUCAUAUUCUACUCCAUGAGACCUUUACAAUGAUAUAUCAUAUGCUCAAAAUGGUUGAGUGAUGAAUGAGAAAUUGAUGCUCAAAGUAAGCUGCUUGGAAAUAUUUGUUGAGGAAAAAUAAAGGCUUAGAUCCCACAUUGGUUAAAUACCAAGUGUGAGAUGUGUUUAUAUAUGGGAACCCUCUUAAAGGGUGAUUGAAUGACUAAGCUUGGAAUCCUGCCUCGUGCGUAGGGGGUGCAGGUCCAAACCCAAUGGGGUUGGGGCGCACACGACGUGGGCAAUGCGAAAUGUUUGGACCAGUUGGGCCCAAAAUGGGCCUAAGAAUAUUUUAGCCCAACACGAAUUUAUUUUUCUCAGGACAUAAUCUGUUUAUAAAAGGCUAAGGUUUCUUUGCUUAUUUUCCACACUCUCGCACCAUUUUCUAUUGCUCUCAAAACUCUUCUUUUAUUCUUUGCUUUUUUCAAACGUUCUGGUGAUAGAAAAAGGCAAUGUUCGUUUGUUGAUCGCUGCAGAGGUGCUACUGCUUUGAUCAUUGUUGUUGUUGUAUCCUGGGAGACAUUCGACCAACGUUUCUCCAAGUACCGUAGGAGCAGCCGAAUCCGUCUUAAGGAAACUGUUUUUAACAGGCCUUAACGUUUAGUAAAAUCUCUAUUCUUUCUUUUGAUUUCAACUUUUGUUACGAUUUUGAUUGGUUUUCAUAUUUGAUAAAUUAAAUAUAAAUCAUUCUAUUUAUAUUUUAUUUUAUAUGUGUUUAUUUAUAUUUAAUUAUUUUGUUCGCUAAUGUGUUUUUUCCAACAGUUAGUUCAGAACGACAACGUAUUUGAAACGGCAUCGAAAAAUCUUGAUACAAUGUUGUUCCACUCUAAAAUAAGAGCUUUGAUGUGGGCUAGGGCAGUGCAUGAAGAAUGCCAAUUUUUGGAAGGGGAUUGGUGGUCUUGGCUAGUAAAAUGUCGCCCCUCAUUGAAUAUGAAAAACAUGAUUGUUUCCCAUUGGGAGUCACCUCCAACCGAGUGGAUGAAAUUCAAUGUGGCUGGUGUUGUUUUAGAGGAGGUUGCAGGGUGUGGUGGAGUUUUGAGAGAUUAAAAAGGGGUGGCUUGUGCUUUAUUUUCGGGGCGAGUUGAAGCUAGGGGAAUGAAUUUGGCAGAAAUAAUGGCAAUUAAAAUAGGAGUGGAUAUGUAUAUUGAAGUGAGUAGGAAGGUGCAUGUUCCAUUAAUAAUCGAAUUAUGCUCGAUGCUGCUUCGGAAUGGCUGUCUAAAAGGUAUUAUAGACCAUGGUCAUUACGAAAAUUGCUUGGGGACAUCGACUGUGACACUAAGCAACUGGCUCAUUUUCAGAUUGUGAUUAUUGAUCGAAAAAGUAAUGGUAUGGUAGACGCGUUGGCAAAAGCAGGUAUAUCGAGAUCUUCUCUUUUUAAAACCUCGUGGUGAAAUUGCUAAAGUCAUUAUUGUAAUUGUUGUGAAGGGGUGUUUGAUUUGGAUUGUCUGAUGAAACUUUGUUGUAAAUCUUUUGUUCUUGAAAGACUUGGUGGUUCCAACGUCUUCCUUGAGUUAUGUUACUCGAUUGAGCAAAAAAAAGAAAAAAAAAUUGUACUUAAACCUUUUCAAAACUAUAAAUUUUAAAUUUAUUUUUUAAAAAAUUACAAAAAUAUAAAUAAUUAAAAUGAUCAUAAAGUGAUGAAAAAGUUUUUUCCAAGGUAUAUCCAAUUAAUGUCGCCAAUGUAUAUCUCAAUAUAAUGACUAUGAUUUGAAAUAAAAUUACGUCUAGUUUUCUCUUUGUUAACUUUUCUAUUAAUCAUUUAGGUUUUUAAGUUAUAAUUUUAUUUAAUAUAGUGGAAAAUCUAAAAAAAAAUUAAAAGGGCUAGAAUUAAUGUAAUACCCCAAACCCGACCUAAACGUUAUAGCCAAAUCUGGAGAAGUUACAACAACUCGUAUGAAAAACCAAUGUAAAAUCUAACUUAGAAAUCGUAUGAUCUAAAAUCUUAAUUUAGCUAAACUUAUACGAGUUUCAGGAAAAUCACAAGUUUGACAACAUCUAUUUCACAACACAAUCUCUUAAACAUUGACUUAUAAAAUAGUGGAGACUCUUAGACGUUUAUUUAUAAAACAAUGGAAACUUUCAGAAAUUUGCUCUUUAACUUUAGUAAUAACAUUAUUUGAAAAUAUUAAUUUUUAACAAAUCUCUUACAUGUUAUUUUGGAAAUUGUGCACAGAACUUAUUUAUUUCACAGAAAAAUUCUUACAGAUUUUAGUCAAAUCUUAUGUUUGGAACACUUAUCCUACAGUGAAAUCACUUAAUGACUUAUUUAGUUUUGCAGUGGAAAUUUUAGAGUUUUAAUUUUAGAAACCAAAUUCUAAAUUUGAUAAAUCGUAUGAUUUUGCAGUUUCGUAUUAAAAUACAAAGAAAAAAAACCAAUGACCAAAACAAAAACCCAAAAACAAACCAAAUUUGAAAACUUAGUUCAAAAACCCAAAAGUCUGAAAAACUUAAUUAAUUAAAAAUAAUCAAACGAACUUAAGUGAGAAAUCAAUUUGAGCUCUCACACGCCGUACGGUCCUAAGUCUGAAGAUAAUCUAAAACAUAUUAAGCAAAUGGGUGACCUAAAAGUCGAAUGUGUAACACAUCUCAAGCAACAAAUCAGAUAUACAUAAAUAAACAAAUACAUUUUUAGAUACAAAUUCAAACAUAUUCUCAUAUACAGAAUCAGAUGUAUUUCAUAAUCGGAUACAGAUGCAUAUUGAGAUUCGAAAACAAAUGCAAUCACAAAUCUUACCCCCAUUUGCUACACACCAACUCCGUCCAACCAACCACACCAAUUAGGACUACAAGAGUCCUUCCAUCUAAUCACAUCGGGUCAUGGUGGUAUGUCAUAAUUAGGACUACAAGAGUCCUUCCAUCCAAUCACAUUGGGUCAUAAUGGUAUGUCACUCAUAAAGGUGCAGCUAAGCUGCCAGAUAGAUAUUACGGUUUAAUCGUCAAAAUUGCAGUAAUACUACCAGAAUACACUUCCUCUAUCACAAAUCAAACCCACCCCGAUGUACAUGCAUAAAUAAAUAGAUAUCGAAUGCGUGAAUGUCAUACAUGCUAUUCACAACAGAUUUUAGAUCACAUUAGCAUAAAACGCAUCAUGCUAUAACAUAUAACAUACCUCUCAUGCGAUCAUAAUUCACAUUAAACAAAAAUAGAGCAUCAUAUAUCAAUAUUUAUAGUCAUAUUUAUACCAUACAAACCUUAUGGAAGGUUAAAUUUGAUUUACACAACAAAUACGACCCUAAGGUGGAAUUUUAGAAAUUGGGCCCACACGUCUGUGUGGGCCACACGAUCCAAUUGACCUAGAUCAGUUCACAUGGUUUGGCACACGGCCGUGUGGUGUCAACAAUCAACUUUUCGAUUUCACAUUGUUCACUAUUUUUCAAAAUUUUCGUUACACACUUGAUCUUUUUCGUUGCCGACACAAUAGUCGUGAUUCCAACACCUAAAAACGACAUUCCAAAUGAACUAAUUAACAAUCAAUAUGCAAAAUUCAAACACUAAUUUGACCAUAAGCGAAAAAUGCAAUUGGCCUUUACCAACCUAUAGGAACCCCUACAAGGCAAUCGAUCGCUUACCACAAAUAGAAACAAUAGUUCUUAAAGCUCAUUAUUUGCUGAAGGAGUAAAUAUCACACAUCUUCCACCUACAAAGUUUCCUACAAACGAUUACAACCAAAGCUAUAAACUAAAAUAAACCACCCAUCCUUCACAUGAAAGAACGGUUCAUAACAAAUAAUAAGGAAAUAAAAGAGUAUACGAUUCCCAACAUAAAAAUAGCACAACAGUAAUGAUAGCACCACACAGAAACUAAGUGUCUGUACCGUAGCAAAGCGGCAACAAAUGAUAAAUCAAAGUAAUGAAAGAAAAACAAUACACCUAAGUUCUCCAAUGAAGAAAGAAAAAUUGGUAAUGUGCGCAAAAGAGAAAAAAGAAACAAAAGAAAUGAUGUUAGAAAAUAAAAUUUCAAUAAUAGGUAAACUGGAAACAAAAAUUGAGAAAAAGAGAGAGAGUGAGGAAUGAGGGACAUGGGUGUGGUAGUGGGAGAUUUUUGGGGAGAAAAACUACCAAUAUCCUCUUAACUACUCACUUAUUAGAUUUUCCCUAGAAUUUGAAUUUAUCCCAAUUUCUUUCUGUCACAUGGGUUGCACAGUGUAAGAGAACAAAAAUAUUUCCCGCUUUGCACAAACAAGAUUCAAACACAAGACCCUUGGGUAAGGAAAAAUCUUAUUACUGAACUAGUAGACUCAUUCUAUCAUCAAUUAAACAAAAUAAUUUUAUAAACCAAAUGUUCAUUGAUAAAGGUUGGGGCAAAAAUUAAUUAUAUUCAAAAGAAGGGAUUAGAACACAAUACCUCAAGCACAUAAUUCAAAAUACUUAACCACUAAACCAAAUCAAAUUCUUUAACAAAAUUUCACAACACUUAAUUCAAAAACAUGACGUGUCCACUUUUGGUUUCACUAGUUCAAUUUCUUCUAAUCCGAUUUUCGGGAUGUGACAAUUAAGUUGUAUAGUUUUAUGAUAACUAGAAUAUAAUUAUAAAUUUUUAAAGAAUAAAUUAUAAUUUUAUCAUUUUUAAGAUUCAAAUUUAAGUUUCCAAUUUUAAAGAGUCGAGCCCCCUACCAGCGCCUCGUGCUACCACUCCUGCACUAACAAUUCAAAUAAUUACUAAACUAAAUAAUUAACUUAACAACUAUAAUUUGAAUAACUUGACAAAUAAAUAUAAGAAAUAUAAUAUUUAUAUAGAAUAAGACUUAAAAGUUAAGAUUUUAAAAUUCUCAAAGCGUUUUAACAUUAUGUAUUCUUUUACUUAAACAUUGAAGUAUGACAGAAUGUUUAAAUUCCUCUACAUUGAUAUAAACUCAAAAAAUGUGUGCUUGCGAGAGAUUAACUACAUUUUGUUUUAUGCUUACAUCCUAUAUCCGUUUAUAAGAUAAAUCCAUAUCAAUAGAUCGCUUUGAAGUGAGACGACGUGAGAGUGAAAUAAAACUCGAAUUUAACUGGGUCGGGUUUGAGCUUUCUAUCAAUUUUCAAGGCCAAAUUUAGGCUUGCUUACUUUUUUUUUGGUUGGGAUCACGGUAUGGCAAUACAGUAUCGAGUUGCGAUUAAAAUAGGUAAAAAGAAAAUUUGACUCGCUCUAUCUCAUUGCCAUCGCAGGUCACUAUGAAGAUGAAUUAUUUAAAAAUUAAUUAAAUAAAUUUUAUUGAUAAGAGAAUAUGAGAAAAAGUAGGGAGUAGUUGUUUUUAAAAUGAGAUUUUCAUUUUUAUUAUUUAAAAUAAUUAAGUUCCUAAUUUUUUUUUUCAUAAUAUAAGGAACAUACAAAUUAAUGCAUAUACAAAAUUUAAAUAUGUAUGAUGCAAUGACAAAUGUAAAAUUUUUCACCCGUCCAUUUUAACUGCCAUCCAGCAUUGCUUGACACACUAUCCCACAUAUAAAAAACUGAUUAUCUCGAAUUUGGUUUUCGAUGACGAUGGUCAUUCACUUGUCAUCUGUAAUGAUAACUUUUACUACAAUAACUUAUCAUCUCGAUUGCAAAGUUUUUAUGGCUUUUUACUAUAAUAAACUAUCAUCCCGGUUGUCCCGGUUUGGUGGUUUAUUAUUUAAAAAAAUCUCAGAUUUAAAAAUAUUUUUUUCAAAUAAAUAAUUAUAUUAAUUUUUGUAUUACGGUCCAUCAUUAUUGAAUAAUAAAUUAUAAUCAAAUCAUACGAAAAAGUGACAUACGAUCAUUUAGUGGUGUGUGGAGUUGGUUGAGUAUUUAUUAUUCUAAUUGGGGUAUAAGAAUGAUCGAAUAUGAUGUGUAGUGAAUGAGGAUAAGAUUUGACUCUAUAUCUCUGUUUAUGCAUCUGUAAAUGAAAGUAUAUGAUCCUGUAUUUAAGCAUAUUUAUGUAUAUUAUAUGUUAAUUCAUGUGUCUAAAUUGUUAAUUGACGUAAGUUACACACUGAGCUCUUAAGCUCACUUUCUGUUUGUUUGCUUUUAGGUAAUACUCAAAUUUAGGAUGGAUCGGUGUGGCAGAGCUCGGAUAUAGAAAAAUUACAACUCCUUUAAAUAUGCUUAGUUUUUAUGAUAUUUUUUUCCAGUGGACUGUAUUUUUAGACUUUGGGAUUGUUUCAUGUUUUGGAUUUUAUUUCACGCGAACUGUUUUAACCUUUUUUUUUUUUUUUAUAAUUUGAAUUGCAAACAUUGAAUUUCAAAACCAACUUUUCCAAAAUUCGGUUAAUCUAAGAUUUCUAUUUCAAGAAGUUAUCUUAUAAAUGUUUUUCUGAAAUUUAAAUGAAUUAAUCGAUUAAUGAAUUUUUCUCAAAAACUGGAAAUAUCAUUAUCAAGUUUUGAUUUACGAAAUGUUUUGGAGUUCCAAGUUUCUGGAUUUUUAACAAACGUACGUAAUUCCUCAAAACUCGACCGUAAUGUCUAGGCUGAAUAUAGAGUGUUAUAUAAAGAGUUAAAAUAAUAAUUUUUUAUAAAAUUAGAGGACCAAAUAAGUCAUUAUAUUUUUUUUAUUUCAUUUUAAAAUAUUGUUUAGUCUUCAAAGUUAAAUUAAAUGCGAAGGGAAUAAAUUGCUCAUUUUUAUACUUAAAGAAGUAAGUUGCUCUUUAGUUUAUAAUACAAGGAUCGACAUUAUAAAUUUUCCAUUUCUUUCCAACAUUCUGUACUAGCCGAAAUUCAGUCAUUCACGUGGUUAUAUGGUUUUCUGUUUUUUGCUAAUACCCUUAUAAAAUAUUUGAUAACCCGACCUUACUUGUGGAGUCUAAAACUUCUAUUGAUAAUGUAUCAAAUAAUAUAAUAUAAUAGACAAUUAGUCAUCUUUAACCCACUAUAAUAACAUUUCACUAUAAUAGCCAAAAUUCUAGUAGAACUGAUUUUUUAUGUUUUAUUUUAACCCUCUAUAACAACUUUUCACUUAUAACAUCAACAUUCAUAGUUAUGAAGUACAUUCUUUAUUAAAUUUGUUCUCUAUAAUAGCAUAUUGACUAAAUUUUUAAGUAAAAUUAUAGCUAUUUCAUGUAACACCUUUGACCCGGCCGAAGAGUUUCGGCUAAGUCGAAGACGUUACAUUGAUCUCCAAAGUGAUCUUGUAAAGCCAUUCUUUUUACUCGAGUGAAUUUGUAUGAAAAUUGCUCUUUUAUUUUUAGGAAAUAUAUUAAUUUAAACCGGCCUUACUUAACAAUUCAAUUACGAUAUUUAUUGGGGUGAAAUUUUGAGAAAAAGGUUAAGUUUUAAAGAGUUUUUAUCAAAAACAUUAAGUACUUAUAAAGCAGUAGAAAAUAUUUAAGGUAAUGAUUUUCUAAACCGAAAAACAUGCAAAUAUCAGAAUUUAACUAAACAUACGCUUAAAAUAAAUAAGUUAGACCAUUUCAAACCUAAGUUACAAAGGCAAGAAAAUACUUAAUACUUACAAUCCCAAAAUAAAAUAAUUAAGGAAAGCUUUAAUAAAUUUUUUUAAAAAUAAUAAUAAUGGAAAACGAGUUUGCUAGUCCAAGUCCCUCAGAUGUUAAUCCACAACCUCUACCAAUAAUACAAGGCCUCCCGGUUGGUUAAAAUUAUUAGUUUAGUUGAUUACUUUUGGGAAAACUAUACCAUUACUCACUAAACUAUGGGUAAGUUUUCAUUUUGAUUAAUUGAAAAAUGGUACCUGUUUAAAAUAUACCAUUAGUCACUAACAUUUUCGAGAUUGUUUUUAUUGCUAACCCGACUGUUAAAUGGUACUUUUUUAGUUGGUAUAAUAAUAAUUUAGUCCUCAACUUUUAUAUUAAAAAAAUAUAACAAAUAAAAAAUUAUUAAACUAGAGAAUAACAAAACUCAAAAUUAUUAAAAAAAUAGAAAAUUCUAAGUAAAAAAUCUAGAAAAAUAAAAUCUUGAAUAUAUUUUGUUGAAGAACUAAUAUGUACGAGAAAUAAAUAAAAUUAUCAUUCAAUAGAUUCCGAUAACAAAUUAAAAAUAGAAAAAACCAAAAAAAUGUUAGAUCAUUACAUGCUUCUUCUGUAAGUUACUAAUAUCUUUAAGUCAAGUUCUAUGCCCUUGAAGAAAAUCCAAAACUCAUAACUUUAAUCUAGUCCAGCUCCACUUAGGUUAUAGCCUUAUAAUCUAGAGGAACCUGACUCUAGCCAACCAUCACUUUUGUGGGACCGUCUUACACUAGAUCAUCGUUUCUCAAUGGCAAAUGCCAUGUCAUUUCGUCUCUUAGGCUUGACAACUUCUAACGCAGAAAGUUAACAAAACGACUGUGCAACCUUUCCAAAACAUACAAAGCGGUCGUUCCUUGCACAAGAUGAAAAUAUUACUUUUAGAAGGACAUGGACGGAAGCGUCAGCCCCGUAAUGCAGAGAAAUGAUGAAUACUCGUUGAAAAGGCUAAGUGCGGAUUCUAAGCCUUAAGAACUUUUUUGGAGGAGUCUUGAUAACCUUUGGCUAGAUAAGUUUAGUGGCCCAUGCUUUUCGGGAAAAAAGAAAUAAGUUUAAUGGAAUGGAAUUUUAUUGAAAAAUAAAAGGAACAAAAAGCUAAGAGCAUUAGGGAGAAGGAGUUUUUUUUACAAAAAAUGAUGAGUGAAUAUUCAUGUCACUCCAUCCCCUAUUUAUAGUACAAUAAUCCUAAAAAUAAAAUAUAAUCUAAAAUUAAAUCUAAAUAAUAUCAUAAUAAUCCUAACAAUAAUCCUAAAAAUAAAAUUCAAAUUUAAAUAGAGUUUUCUGUUCAUAAAUCACUUCUUUAAAUUUUUGCCCCAAGUCUUUUGCAUUUUGUAUUUUCCACACCAUUUCUUCCCUAUUUCGCAUUUUGACCCGUUUUGUCUUUAAAUUCACACUUUUUGCCCCCAAACAUCCAUUUACUUUCAAUUUAGUCCCUACAAGAUAAAAAACCAUAAAAAGCCCAAAUUAGUAGGAGCAUACUCAAUAUAUAUAUAUAUGUAAUUAACACAUAAAAGUAUGUCAUUUUAGAGUAUUAUCAUGUUCCCCCUACUUAGCCCAGGCUUGCCCUCAAGUAUGGUUCCUAUCCCACUGUGUAAUUUAGAUUUUUCCAUGAAAAAAGUAUCACUCCAAAGUUUUAUAAAAAUUAGGCAUAAUACAUAUGAAAAUAAAGAAAACCUUUAGCUUGCUUUAAGUAAAACCGAAAUGUACUUCAACUUAAACACACAAAAAGUAAAUAGACUUGGAUUAUUUGUUCCACCCUUAGUCCCCAGAUGUUCCUUUGUUUUAUUUAUUUAUUAUUUUAUUAUUUUUUUAAUGCUUAAGAAUGUUUGUCCCUUUUGAUGCGAACUGAAAUGACAACCCAUGCACCCCAUCCCGGUUACUCAGCCCAACACACUCUUAAUUUUUUUUUAUUUCGGUUAGCAGAGUUAUACCUAACACAUCACACAACCUUUUGACGCGAAGUAGGAUGACAACCCAAGCACCCUACCCCGGUUACUCUGUCAGUCACGUUUUAAGCUGUGCUCAUAACCACAAAAUCAUCAGAUUUUAUUUUAUUUUUUAGUGAAACAAAAUCAAUUGUCAAAAUAAGUUUUGGCAAUUACCUAUCAGUCAUGAAAAUAAAUUUGGCAUAUAUUCAUAUUAAGUGUCCUCUUUGCAUUUAGACUUAAUUGAUUUUACUAUAAGAAAUAUAGGAUUAACUUCAUUAAUCAUAAUUAUUUUAGCUUAAUAGAAAUAAAAAAGUGGAGAUGAAAUCAAUAUAGUAAAAUCACAACUAACUUAGCAGACGAGAAUCAUGAUUCGCAGGUCAAACAAUGGGUAAUUCCUGGUCAAAAUCUUGGGCAUGAAAAGGGUCAAGAUAGACUAAAAAUAAAUAAAUGUAGGCAAAAACAAGCAUAAGGCAGUAGCAACAGUAACAAAACAGCAGAUAAAACAACAAAAACAAAGAGGAAUGCCUCCCCCUACUUAAAACACAUUGUCCUUGAUGUGAAAAAACAAAUAUAUGAAAGAAAAAGGGUUUAGAAAAAAUCUCUAUGUAGUUACCGUCGUUCAUGUAUAGCUGUAAUGAGAUCAGCUAUCUGCUGACCGAAGGUGUCCAACCUAGCUUCAAUGCACUCCAAACGUUGUUCGAUGGUCAUGAAAGGUUGGUUUUGCUUGGGGUACCUUUUGCUGAUUUUGCUACCUAAAGAUUCGCUUAGCCGGUGAAGCUCGGAUACCUAGAAGGACAAAAUGGAAGUAAGAAGGAGUGCCAAGAAGCAAUCGCAUAGAGUCGAGACAGUAAGCAUCUAAUGGAUCGGCUUGGCAAGCAAUAUGUAAGUCCGAAAUAGGAACAUUAGAGCCAUGUAAAGAGAAUAAUUAUUGUGUAACAAAAGAGCCUAAAAUUAGAGGGCGUUUGACAUUUAUAAUAUGUUCAAAUUGAAGAGCAUACCAAUAGCCCAAAUUUACCAGACAACCGGUGUACAUACAUCAUAUUAAAAAUAAUUUCAUCUUCGAGACGGUAGCCGAUGCAUCUCUCUGGCCCCAAAAAUUGUAAGCCAAAUAAUAGUGUACGUAACCUAAGGCAGGGUUACAAAACCACAAAUCUUUUGAUGUUUUAAAGCUAUAUGUGGGUAAUGAACCUGUAGCAAUGAGGUUUACCAUAUCCGCAUACAAUGAGAAAUACUAUUUAGCCAAAAAUAGGCCCUCAUCAAGAAACUCAUCCUUUAUAUGAGUGUUGUCACAAGGUGUUUUUAUCCUACUCAAGUGGUCAGCCACCAAGUUUUCGCAUCCCUUCUUAUCUCGAAUCUCGAUGUCGAAUUCUUAGAGCCGUAAAAUCCAUUUAAUGAGUAUUGGUUUCACCUCCUUUUUUGUGAUCAAAUAACUAAGAGUUGCAUGGUCAGAAUAAAUAAUCACUUUAGAUCCCGAUAGAUAAGACCAAAAUUUAUUCAAAGUAAAUAUAAUAGCCAAAAGUUUUUUUCCAUGGUGGUCUAGUUGCUUUGUGCAGCAUCUAGGGUUUUUGAGGCAUAACAAAUGACAUGGGGCUCUCUAUCUAUCUUUUGUCCCAACAUGGCUCCCACACUUUGUUCUCUUGCAUUGCACAUGAUUUCAAAGGGAUAGUUCCAAUUUGGUGCUUGUACUAUAGGAGCAAAAACUAACUUCUGUUUGAGUGUGUCAAAGCCUCAUUGCAUUUUGGGCUGAACUCAAAUUUCUUAUCUUUUUGUAACAACUCACACAGUGGUUCAGCUACUUUUGAGAAGUUCUUUAAAAAGCGAAUAAAACCUUGCAUGGACAAGGAAAGAACAGAUUUCCCUUAUAGUUGAGGGAUAUGGCAAAGUAUUUAUAAUGUCAAUUUUGGCCUUAUCGACCUCAAUCCCUUUAGCUGAAACUAUAUGUCUUAGAAUUAAUCCAUUAUCUACCAUAAAAUGACACUUUUCGUAAUUCAAGAUAAGAUUAAAUUCUAUGCAUCUACUUAAAAUUAUCGUAAGGUUUUUAAGGCAUUCAUCAAAAGAGUUACCAUACACAGUAAAAUAAUCCAUAAAAACAUCGAUAAUGUUUUCUACAUAUUCAGAAGAUAUACUCAUCAUGCAUCUUUGGAAGGUGACCGGCACGUUACAAAGCCUGCAUGGCAUCUUCUUGUAUGCAAAUGUGCCAAAUGGGCAUGUAAAAAUGGUAUUUUUUUGGUCCUCUAGUGCAACUAGAAUUUGGAAAAAACUUGAGUAUCCAUCAAGACAGCAAAAAUGAGUUUUUCAACUAAACAUUCAAGCAUCUAUAAAAGGAAGAGGGAAAUGAUAUUUUCUAGUAUAAGAAUUCAACUUCCUGUAAUCAAUGCAGACAUGCCACCUAUUUUGCACUCAGGUUGGUACCAGAUCACCCUUAGCAUUUUUCUUUACUGUCACGCAUGUUUUCUUGGGCACGACUUGCACUAAACUUACCCAUCUACUAUCAGAAAUGGGGUAAAUUAUGUCAGCAUCCGACAACUUAAUUAUUUCCUUUUUUACCACAUCCAUCAUAUUUGGGUUCAAUCAUCUUUACACUUCUCGCUUUGGUUUCGUGUUUUCCUCCAAGUAAAUCUUGUGUGUUUAUGUCAAGGGGGUUAUCCCUUUUAAGUCAGUGAUGGUCCAGCCAAUUGCCUCAUUAUGGCUUUUUAGUACUUGUAUCAAAAUUUUCUAUUCAAGCUUGGAGAGUCUAUUUAAAACUAUGAUCGGUAAGCUAUUAUCUUUCCUUAGAAAUGCAUAUUUGAGAUGCUCGGGAAGUGGUUUCAAUUCCAAAUCUAGUGCCUGUACAAUAGAAGGUAGAAGUUUAGUGUUCAUAGGAGACAACAAUUCACUAAUAGAUUCGCAAAUAAAUCCUGAAUCAAAAUCAUCAAACAACUUUUCAAGUUUAACUUCAUAAGGUGACUCAAAAGUUUCUCCUACUAAUGAGUGAAUUAUGUCGACAUGAUUUACGUUCAAGAUUUCACUUGGGUGACUAAUAGUGUCGUAAAUGUUAAACUUCACAAUCUCCUUGUCAAAUUCCAUCAUGAGGGUUCCGCUACGCACGUCAAUCUUAUUGCUAGCGGUACUAAGGAAAGGUUGCCCCAACAAGAUGUCCGAAGACCCAAUAGUGUUAUCAUCUUCCAUUUUCACUACAUAAAAGUUUGUGGGAAAGAUAAGUCCGUUGACUUUCACUAAUACAUCCUCAAGAACUCCUUUCGAAUGCACAAUAGACCUGUUCGCCAAUUGAAUGAUAACACCUAUUUUCAUAAAAACCCACGUUAAGUGAUUCAUAAAUGGAAAAAGGCAUUACAUUUAUAGAGGGCCCUGAAUCACACCUAGCCUUUUUGAUUCCUAAGUGGCCUAUUUUGCAUGGUAUUGCAAACAUGCCCCUAUCUUUACACUUUACUAGCAUCCUCUGCUGCAAUACUGCGGAUAUAUUUUCACCAACACUUACUCUUCCAUUUCCAAUUAAUUUUUGCUUUUGGUGCAAAGCUCCUUAAGGAACUAGCAUAUCACAAAAUUUAUUUGAUGGCAUCCAAAAACGAUAUGUUAUUCUUGAUGUUUUUGAAUGUUUCAAGGAUCUCUUUGUCCUUUUUAGCUUUUCGGUUUGGUUCAAUCAUCCUGGGAAUAGGGGUUGAAUUUUGGGCAAUGGAAGUUUCGUUCGAACCUGUUCAUUUUCCAUGUGAGCUUUCCACGUGAGUUCAUUUUCUCAAUUGAUGUGGUCAACUCUCUUAUAGGUGCCUCAGUUUUCUGUUGAAAAUCAAGCAUAUUAGUUGUUAAUUUAUUUUCCAUGGUUUCUAGAGAGGUACUUGAAUCCCGUGGGUUAGCAUAAAGGUCAUAUCGCCUUUGGGGUGGUCUAAGAAAUUUCCGCACAACAUCCAAAUGGGCCAUAUUAUCGUCACACAAACUAGGGCAUGCGUCUAUUUUAUGUUCGGGUGUUGCACAAAUUCUACAUAGUCGGGUCGGUCUUAUUUUUACUACAAAAAAAGAAUCCAUGAUAUCAGUAAGACUAUUCAGGAUUGGCUCGAAAUUGUUGUGUAUUUGCAGCCAUCAUGGACAUCAAGUCCCUUGCCUACUGAUGGGUCAUGUUAACUAAUGCUCUUCCACUAGCGGCAUAUAUCAUAUUCAUUUUUGUGGGCUUCAAGCUCUCCUAGAAGUAUUGGACCAGAGACUGUGUUGUUAUCCCAUGUUGUGGGUAACUCGCACAUAACUUCUUAAAUCUCUCUUAAUAGUCGUAAAGAGACUCGACAUCUCUUUGCCUAAACCCAACAAUCUCCCUCUUUAACUCAGCUGCACGCGAGGCUGGGAAAAAUCUGUUGAGAAACAAACGGGAAAGACCAGUCCAAGUAGUGAUAGAUCCAGGAGGUAAAAUAACCAUUCCUUAGCAGAAUCGGCUAUGGAAAAAGGGAAAGCACGUAAUUUGAUUUUAUCCUCAGUUACGCCCUGAGGUUUCAUACUAAGACAAACCAUAUAAAACUUUUUUAGAUGUUUGUGUGGAUUUUUAUUUUCCAAUCCAUGAAAGGUUGGCAGUAACUCAAUUAAUCCUGACUUCAGUUCAAAGUUAAUAUCCGUAGUAGGAUACGCAAUGCAUAACGAUUGUUGUUCUGUAGGAGUUUCGGCCAUUUGCCGAAUCGUUUGAGCCAUAAGUUGUUGUUCUAGAUUCAUGUUUACGUUAGGCGCUUCUUCUGGUGGAUCGACUCCUAUUCUUUCAUUCUCUAGUGUUUGAGUAGGGUUUUUGUUAACUCUAGACUCAACGUUGUCGCUUGCUUCUAUUUCUGGCGGUGGGUUACUCUGAGUUUCUACCACCUCUGACUGCUUUUUUUGUAGCUUCGUAUCCUUGCGAUUAGCUCUUAUAGUUUUUUCUAUUUCUGAAUUGAAUGCAAGAAUUCCUAGAGCGCAAAAAUUUGGUGUGUCAUUGAAAGUACAAAAAAUAACCCAUCCCUAUGAAAUAACGAAAAUAACAGUAUAAGGGAAGUAGAGUCAAAUCCUGAGGGACUGGAUUGCUACAACUUCUUGUUCCUUGAAAUCCUGGGCACAGUCGUGUCCAAGAAAAACGGCGUACCUGGGAAAAAUAAAAAAUAGAAUUAAAAAUAUAGACGAGUUGAAAUUGUAUAAAUUUAAAUUGAAAUUGUAAAAAGAAACAAAAUUAGGGAAAGGGAUUCCUUGAUUUGAGGGAUUCCAGCCUUCGGUUAUCUCGAUCCUCUUUUGGUUUAAUCAUUGGCUUUUAGGUGAUCCUUCUCAUGACCGAAUAAGUCAGUUAUAGUGGAAGAGGACACCUACGACCACUGGCUCUACUUAGGUUAUAACCUUACAAUCUAGAGGAACCUGACUCUAGCCAACCGUCACUUUUGCGGGACCGUCUUACACUAGAUCAUCAUUUCUCAAUGGCGAAUGCCAAGCCAUUUUAUCUUUUGGGCUCGAUAACUUUUGACACAAAAAUUGAACGAAUCGAUUGUGCAACCUUCCUAAAACAUAAAAAGUGGUCGUUCCUUGCUCAAGAUGAAAAGAUUACUUUUGGAAGGACAUAGACGGAAGCGUUAGUCCCAUAAUGCGAAGAAAUGAUGAAUACUCGUUGAGAAGGCUAAAUGCGGAUUCUAAGCCUCAUGAACUCUUUUGGAGGAGUCUUGAUAACCUUUGGCUAGAUGAGUUUAGUGGCUCACGCUUUUUGGGAAAAAAGAAAUAAUUUUAAUGGAAUGAAAUUUUAUUGAAAAAUAAAAGGAACAAAAAGCUAAUGUAACACCCCAACCUGGCCUAGACGUUAUGGCCGAAUCUGGGAGUGUUACAAAAAAGGGUUUUGAAAUUAGUUUUACUUCGAUAAAACUUUGUAUAGUUGUUUGAUAAAUCAUUCAAGUUUUAUAACCCACUUUCGUUUAUAUAACUUUUACUGAAUACAUUAUUUAAUUAAUUCAUUUGCCAAAACAUAAUUUACAGCAGGAGUCUUAAAAACCGUUAUAUUUUUGAAAUCCAGUUCGUAUUUUCAAAAAAAAACAUUUGUUUCUGCAAAACCAUGAAUCUAAUCAAACAUCGCAAUAAAAAAGUCAAAACGCAUCCAAAACCAAAUAAAAAUCAAGCAAUCCGGAGAGUCCAAUAAUUACAAAACUCCCAGAAAUAAUCCUUAAUUAAAUAAAAACCAUUUUUUAAAGUCAGUUCACACCCUUGUGGUCACUGUGAGACUCCAUCGCAUUGAUUCGUCUAAGUUUGUGGAUUACCUGUGCAAAACAAACAAAAAUAUGUGGGUUUUCGUAAACUCAGUGUGUAACCCAACAGAAGUAGACAUGCAAUGUACACAGAAAUCUCAUAUACGAACAGAUACAGAUUCGGGUUUAGGUCCAUAAUAGAUGUAGAUAACAGAAUCAGAUAAAUUGAGCAGAUAUCUAGAAUCCUACCCCUACCCUUUACACACCAUCUCCGACCAUCCUAUCACACUAUGUGGGGUUAAAAACACCCACCCAUCCCUGUAAAUGCCCAAAUUUGCCCGGGCGCAACCAAAAAACCAAAACAAACAAAAUAAAAAUAAUUAACAAGUCUAGUCCAAUUUUACAAGCCUAAAGACAACAAAAAAAAGAAGCCCAAAAUAAACAAAAACCCUACCCACCACAUAAAUAAAAAUUUCAGAAUCUAAACCCUAAUCCAGCCGCUCCGUCGCUCCACGUGUCGUGUCAGCAUGCCCACAACUCGAGGUCUGCCUCCCUUGCACUAGAAUGGCAUGGCACAACUCCGUUGACCUUGCCAACGCCUACAAAAAAGACAGAAAAGAAAGCAAAAACAGAGUAGAGAAACAAUAGCAGAAACGAAAGCAUAAACAGUAGUAAAUAAAAUCAAAUGUAACUAUUUAGCUAUAAAAAGCCCCGAAAAUAGCUUUUAUUAUUUACAGAGAAAAAUCGAAUACAAAAAAUGUAUUAAUCGCAUAUAGAUUAGAAAAAAAGGUGACAUUUUUUAUGCUUUUAAUCUUUUAAAUAUUUUAUUUUUUAUAUAUCUAUAAAAUAAAAUAAAAAAAAGACUUACCUGGGAUGCUUCGUCUCCCUCCAUCAUCGAAGGUUUUCCCUGGCGUCGAAAGCCCAGAACCCAUUAGGGUUCGGUUUAGGGUCCGUUGGAAUGGAUGACGCUACGGUCAUAGAAGAAUCGAAGGUUUUUUUUGUUAUUUUUUUAGACUUUUUUGAGAAGAGAAGGCUUUUCCUUCAAAAGGGGGUCGAAAACGGAGCUUUUGGACUUUUUGGCCACUGUGGAUAGUGGCGCUGUCGCCGGCGGCUGGAGCUUAGAGGGGACCAAAGAGCGAAGAGAGAGCUCUCAAAAUUUUUUAAGAAACGGUGCAGAAUGAAAUUUUUAAAUUUUUUUUAGCUUUUAUAGGCCUUGUAAAACGACAUCAUUUUAGGGUUGAUUCCAAUAGCCCCAAAAUGGCGUUGUUUUGGUCUUUGACCUGAGAUCUGACCCAAGACCCGUUAGGAUCCGCGUGUUUUUGGACUAAGGGUCUAUUUACCUUGUCAGUCCUUCCACUUUUGGGCUCUUUUUCAAUCUGGUCCUUAUUUUAGCUUUUUUUUCUUUUUUUUAAUUUACCCAUUUGAUUUUGUUUUUUUUUUAUUUUCGUCCUCUAACUAUUUAGUCUCUAGGGAACGUUGCGUUUAAGGGAUAAGGGGAUUAUUGCCUAAUUGUUCCCUGUCUUUCCUUCGUGCAUUUGAUUUUAAUUCCUUACCUUAUUUUGUUGUUUAAUUUUUCUAUUUUAUUAUGAUUUUUACUUUAAAUUUUGUUUAGAUCCUGAUUUAGUCCUUACUUUCGAUCUUUUAUAUUUUAUUUUCCUUUGUAUUUAUUUAUUUAUAUAUUUAUACAUUUAUCUAUUUUUUUGUGUGUUUUUUCCUUUUUUUUCUCACUAUUAUUAUUUAUUAUUUAUUUAUGUAUUUUAUUAGAAAUUGCACCCUUAAUUUCAUUUACAUUUUAAUUUGGUCUUUUAUUUUCAAUAUUUUUUAAACUAUUUUCCUCCAUAUUUAUUUAUUUAUGUUUUAAUUUAUUUAUUUCCUUGUCCUUAUUAUAUUAAAAUUGGUAUCUUUUUUAUGUGCAUAUUUUGUCACUAUUAUUAUUAUUAUUAUUAUUAUUAUUAUUAUUAUUCUUAUUAUUUAUUUUUUUCCUUUGAUUGUUCAUAUUAGUAUUAAAGUAGUAUAUAUUAUGUGAUUAUUGCCAUUAUAUGUAUUAUGAAUUGUUUUAUUAGUAUAUUCAUAUUAUUGUCAUUUAUUAGCGCGACAUUUUAUUUGUAUAUCAUCGUUCUAUUUUCUACAUUACCAUUUUAUCUUAUUUCAUGAAAAUCAUGUCAUGAAUCACGUUUAAAUAUAUUUACCCAUAGUUGAUUUUAUACUAUACCCUCAAAUAAGAUAAAUACCUUUCGUUUUAAAUUUUACAUAUGUUAUUAUAAAAAAGGGGAAGUUUUAAAAAUAGGCAAUAUUUCAUAUUUGGAGAUUCGAUGAGUUGUGCCCUAACUGAUGGGGUUUUUGAUUUUCUCAUUGAAUCUAAAUGACCAAAUAUCCUUUUAAAAUUAAAAUACGUGAGAUUUAAUAUAAAAAAAUAAAAGGCAAGCUUAUUUUCAAGAAUUCGAGAUGUCGUGUCCUAACUUACGGGAUGCGACCUUUUGUUACCUCAAGAUAAGAAAGCCUUUUACAUAUGUUUUGAUCUAUUUAUGGGAUUUUACUAAAAAAUAUAUACAUUAACACAAAGAGGGAUCGUAUUUUAAAUUCUUUUCGAGUUUUCAACUUUCAACAUUAAGACAUUAAUCAAUCAAUUAGGUACCAAUUUUGGGUGUUACGAGGGUACUAAUCCUUCUUCGUACGUAACCGACUCCCGAACCCACUUCUUGAAUUUUGUAGACCAAAAUUGUUGUAUUAGUAAAUCAAGCCACUUAUUAAAAAUGAUCAAUUUACGAGGUGAUCCGAUCACACCUCAAGAAAAAUGAUUGGUGGUGACUCCCAUUUUUUAUUUUUUAAACCAAAAAUCGAUUUCAAAAAAAUGGUUUCGACAAUCCCUACACACCAUAUAGUGUCGAUGCGGCACAUGACAGAUAAUAUGCAGACAAGCUGCCGGAAUAUAGGCGAAGAGCCGCCAUAUAGAUCACUUCCUUCGCAUAUACAAUUCCAACCCCAAUUAACACUACAAAAAUUAGAUACAGUAACAUCAUGCAUAACAUGCUCAUAUACAGAUAACAUAUAUACUUAAGCAGAACAGUCAGAUAUACAUAUCGGUGUUCUACUCAGAGCAGACAAUUAGAAUAUCAGAUUACAUAUUUAGGGUUUGGUUGGCCCUUACCGACCCUACGGUAGCCCUCCAAUUGACCGGAACGACUCGUGUGACCCUAGGAAAAAUUUCAAAAAUAUGGACCCACAUGCCCAUGUAGGCCUACAUGCCCAAUUUGGCCUUGCCUGUGUAGUCCACACGGCCUAGCCAAAAACCCACACGCCUGUGUGGCCCACAUGCCCAAUUUGGCCUAUCCCGUGUGGCCUAUAUGGCCACACUCACACUAUCACAGGGUUUUGUCCUUCGCACAACCAUGCCUUCGUCAAACACAUGGCCAUGCUCGCAUAUAGCCAACUACAUGGCCAGGCACAUGCCUGUGUGGUGUCGACAGAAUAUUUUUUUGGCUUUCACUGAUACUCAGUUUUUCAUGUUAGGAGUACACACCUGGUUUGGUUUUGAUGCAAAAACACUCAUGAGACCACCAGAACCUAAAACCGACAUAACCAUUCCCAAAAUCAAUAUUAAUCCUCAAUUAAACCGAGCCAAUUAAAAUUGACAACGAAGACAUUCAAGUGUUCGAUACUUACCCAACUUCUCGAACAAAGCUGACUACGAUUUUGUAAGAGAAGAAAUCCGUUUCUCUUGAUUUGCUGCCAACAACUUCAAACCACAUUACCGAAAAGAAAAUGAUUGAAAUUGUUUAGAACAGUUAAAGAGUGAAAAAGAAAAACGAUUCCCUAACCUACACGAAAAUUCACCCCUUACACUUACCUAGUUGCACUACAAUACCGAAGAAUCAAAAUACCAAGAUUGGCCGACAAGAUUGCGACAUAAUUUAGAAGGCAAGGGAAAACGGGAUUUUGCCAAUUAACAGGAAGGGAAAAUGUCAAAUUUGGGGAUUUUCGAAGGUGAGAGAAAAAGAUAACAAAAUAAAAAUUAAAGCUAAAGAAUAUGGCAACAUAUCCCUAAACUUCCUCUCCCCUCUAACCCACUAACCACUCAGAAUUUCAGCUUUACCGAAACUCUAUUAAAUACCCACGACAAAAAUUAACAUCCACGUUCGUGCAAGGAUUCGAACACAAGACCUCUAGAAAGUUAACUCCUUACCACUCGAACCACCAGACCCAUUCUGAUAUGAGUUUACAAACAAUAUAUUAUAAGCCCACCCAACAGGGAUAAGGUUUGAAUAAAAAAACAAAAAUUUCCAAAUGUGGAGCUUGAAUCCAAGACCUCAUACACACACCAAGAACACUUAACCACUAAAGCAGAUACAUAUUUGUGUCAGAUUUCACAAAAAUAAAUUUAAAUUAUUUAGGGCGUUAAAACUUUACCCCCAAAAGAAAUUUCAACCUCAAAAUUUACCUGAUCCGAAUAGAUGAGGAUACUGCUGACGCAUCAAGUCCUCAGGUUCCCACGUGGGUUCCUUAGUACCAUGAUUCUGCCAUAAACCUUUCACUAACAAAAUGGGUUUCCUCCUUUGAACCUUAAUAUCUCGAUCCAAAAUUUGAAUUAGCUUCUCCUGAAAAGUCAAAUUUUGUCUAACCUCAAUCUCCUCAACAGAAACAACUUGAGAUGGAUCAGAUUGAUGCUGCCUCAACAUCGAAAUGUGAAGCACAUCAUGGAUACAAUCUAACUCCGGAGGUAGCUCUAACUGAUAAGCGAUCGCUUCUAUAUGCUUCAGAAUUCUAUAUGACUGAAUGAACCUAGGGCUCAACUUGCCCUGACGAUCGAGCCUUAGAACAUUCUUCUAUGAAGAAACCUUAAGAAAAAAAAGUCCCUCACAGAGUACUUGAUAUCUCUCCUUUUGAAAUCCGUACAGGACUAGAAGCCGCCUUCAUACGAUCUCUAAUCAGUCUAACCUUAUCUUCAGUCUUGGAAACCAACUCAGGACCUAAAACUAGUCGUUCACCCAACUUAGUCCAACAUAGAGGAGUACAACACUUACGACCAUACAAAGCCUCGUAAGGUGCCAUCUGGAUGCUAGACUGGAAACUAUUAUUAUAGGCAAACUCAGCUAACGACAGAAAAUCCUCUCAACUACCUCGAAAAUCAAUCACACAACUCCGAAGCAUAUCUUCCAGUAUCUGAAUUACCCUCUCAGAGUGACCAUCGGUUUGAGGAUGGAACGCAAUACUGAAGUCUAACCUCAAACCCAAAGCUUCAUGCAGUAUUUUCCAACACCAAAAAGUGAAAGGAGGAUCCCAAUCAGAGAUUAUCGAAACUAAAACGCUAUGCAGUCUUAUAAUCUCAGAGAUAUAGAGCUUCACUAACUUUUGCAAAGAGUAGUCCAUCCGAAUCGAAAUAAAAUGGGUGAACUUGGUUAAUAGAUUCACGAUGACCCAAACAAGAUCCUUCUUAGUAGGUGUUAAAGGCAACCCACUAACGAAGUCCAUCGUCACUCACUCCUAUUUUCACAAAGGAAUCUUAACAAGUUGGAGCAAACCCGAACGUAACUGGUGCUCAGCCUUAACCUGGUAGCACGUUAGACAACGAGCAACAAAAUCUGUUACCUCAAAUUUCAAACUUGGCCACCAGUACAGCUCAUGAAGAUCGCGAUACAUUUUAUUACCACCAGGAUGUAUAGCAUAAGGGAUACUAUGCGUCUCCCUUAGAAUCAACUGCCUCAGAUCAGAAUCAUUCGAUACACAAACCCGUCUUUGGAAACACAUAACUCCAUCCUUAUUCAGUCCAAAAUUAGAAGUACUACCACUCUCAACCUGGUGAAGCCACAAAACCAAAGACUUAUCCCUUAACUGCUUUUCUCAAAUCUGCCCAAUCCAAGUCGGCUUAACCUGCAACUCGAAUAAUAGACCCCCAUUAUUGAACAAACUAAGACGAGCGAACAUCACUCUCAAAUCAGUCAUCACUCUACGACUGAGAGCAUCGGCCGCCACAUUAGUCUUACUAGAUGAUACUCUAUCGUACAAUCAUAAUCUUUGAAUAACUCAAUCCAUCGAUGCUGUCUAAGAUUCAACUCCUUCUAAGUAAUGAGGUACUUGAGGCUCUUGAGAUCGGUGUAGAUGAUACAUCUCUCACUAUACAGAUAAUGCCUUCAGAUGUUUAACGUAAACACCACCGCAACUAACUCAAGAUCAUGUGUCAGAUAAUUCCCUUCGAGUGACUUAAGUUGACGGGAUGCAUAAGCACAACCUAACCAUCUUGCAUUAGUACACAUCCCAAAUCGACAUGCGAUGCAUCACUGUACACCGCAAACUCUUUCCCAAAUUCAGGCUGAAUCAGAACAGGAGCUUGAGUCAGAACAUAAUUGAGCUUUCCAAUACUCGAUUGUUGCACAUCAGACCAGACAAAGGGAAUAGCCUUGCGCAAAAGCUUAGUCAAAGGAGUUGCAAUCAGAGAGAACCCCUAAACAAAACGCUGAUAAUAACCUUAAAACCUAAAAAAUUAUUGAUCUCAGAUACGUUCUUAGGCUGUUUACAAUCAAGAAAAGCCUCAACCUUCUUAGGAUCAACUUGAAUCCUCUCAGCAGAAACUACAUACCUCAGAAAAGUUACCUCUUGCAACCAGAAUUCACAUUUGCUAAAGUUAGUGUAGAGCUAUUUCUCUCAAAGUAUCUGAAGCACUACUCUAAUAUGCUCAUCAUGCUUAUUCUCAGUCUUAGAGUAAACCAGAAUAUUGUCAAUGAAGACCAGGACGAACUGAUCCAGAUACAGCUGAAAAACUCGGUUCAUCAUAUCCAUAAAUGCCACUGGAGCAUUUGUCAGACCAAACGGCAUAACUAGGAACUCGUAGUACCCAUAACGAGUUUUAAAUGCCUUUUAUGAACAUCCACUUCCUUAACUCUAAGCUGAUGAUACUCAGAUCAAAGAUCUAUUUUUGAGAAUAUAGAAGCCCCUCGAAACUGAUCAAACAAAUCGUCGAUCUUUGGAAGUGGAUACUUAUUUUUCAUGGUUAGUUUAUUCAAUUGCCGAUAGUCAAUGCAAUACCAUCCUUUUUCUUUACAAACAGAACCGGUGCCCCUUACAGAGACACAAUAAGACGGAUGAAACCACGAUCUUGAAGCUCUUGAAGUUGAGCAUUAAGCUUUAUAAGCUCCUUCGGAGCCAUACGGUAUGGAGCGAUGGACACUAGAGCUGUACCCUGUAGAAGCUUAAUGUUAAACUCCACUUCCUAAUUCAGAGGUAAAACCGGUAACUCCUCGGGAAAAACAUCCAGAAAUUUCCUUACUGUUCUGAUAUCCUCAACAAACGAGUCCCCAAAAAUUGAAACACUAACGUAAGCUAAAUAUGCCUCACACCCUUUUUGAACCAAUUUCUUAUCCAUUAAAGCGGACGUCACAUUAGAUAAGUAAUCUCAACGCUCACCGAUUACAACCACUUCCUUGUCAUCCUCGAUCCUCAGAACAAUCCUCUUAGUUGUGUAAUCCAAACUAACUCGGUGCUCUACCAACCAGUCCAUACCCAAAAUUAAAUUGAACUCCCUAAAUUGUAACUCCAUCAAAUUUACCAAAAAUACAACCCCUUAUACUUCUAACAGAACAUUCCUAUAAAGUCUAUUUACCCGAACAGACUGCCCCAACGAACUCAGUACAGUAAUCUCACCAGAAGUACACUCAAUAGGAAUCCCCAAGUUCUCAAAAAUAGUACUACCUACAUAGGAGUGUGUAGAACCUAUGUUAAUCAAAGUAGCAUAUAGGGCAUCAAAAGUAAAAAAUGUACCCGUGAUCACAUCAAGAGCGUCUCUAUCCUCUCGGCAUUGAGCAACAUAAAUUAAUGCAGGUUGCCACACCUCAGUCUGAUUAGCACCUCUGCCUGGUGCUCUCUGUCCUCGACCCAAACUAUUACCACCCUUUUUCGGUCCACGACCCCUAGAUGGCUGCUGUACUACCCUCUGAGGCUGAACAGAACUCGGUCCUAAAGCUUGCAUUUGAUCCGCACAAUAUAGAUACUCUCUAAUCCGGUCCUUUAGUGACCCACACCGCAGGCAAGCCCCUAAUCUCCUCCAACACUCACCCGGAUGGCACCUACCGCAAUUACCACAAGGCUGAAUCCCAGUAAGAGUAACAGGAACCCCCACUCUAAUAGGCCCAUUUGGCCUAACCCGUUUCUUAGGCCUCUGAACAGAACUAGAGGGCUCUGAAUCCCUCUUAUUCUUUCCUCUCUCUCGAUCUCUAUUCUGGUACUCCAUGCGCUUAACCUCCUCAGCAAUCUUUGUCUUAUCCACAGGAACUUCAAACUCUCGCUCCCUCUAUGGAAUAAUCAAUACCCUUAGACUAUCCCUCAAGCCGUCAUCAAAACGGACACAUUUCUCAUACUCAGAUGCUACCAUGCCUCCAGCGUAACGGCUUAAUCUUAGAAACUCGGCUUCAUACUAGGCCAUAGAGUUAUCACCUUGCAUGAGAUUCAUGAACUAACACAUACAAGCGUCAACAUAACUUGCCCCCACAUAUUUUCCUUGAAAGGCAGUCUUAAAGUAAUCCUAGUUCAUACAAUCCGGUUGAGUACCCUCCUCAACCGACAACCACCACUGAUAUGCCUCAUCGCAAAGUAAAAAAAUGCACCCUUUAAUUUCUGUUCAGGAGUGUAGUCGAUGUCAUUCAUAAUCCUCUCAAUGGCUUCCGACUAAUACUCGGCCACAGUAGGGGUGACUCCAGUGACAUCCCUAAACAACUCAGCUCUAUUGGACUAGAGUUGUUCAGUUAUCGACCCACAGUCCCCAAAUCUAGAAUAGGGUCUAGCGACCUACUCUAACACUCUCAACAUGGCUUGAGACAAUGCGUCGUCCCCAGCUGAGCGACUUUGAGACCCAGUCUCAGUAGCAGGUGAAACCGAUGUCUCACUCGUGUCUAAUUUUGGCAUACUGCCCAGAAAAUAAGACUCAGUUAAAGCCCCCUAAGGCACCUGCCGCGCCCACGAAUACCACGAGCGCUCAUCGUAUUUUCAAAUUUAUCUACAUUAUAAAAUUUUUUGAAUCAGUUCCAUUGUUUAUUAACAUAUAUUUUACGCUCAAGUUUUCAGAAGUUCCAAAAGUAUUUUAGAUGUUUUAGUCUCUAACUAACUUAGUAUAGUUUCAGAAAGUACAAACUACAGUGUUUUCAAAAAUUUCUAUCUAAGUUCAGAAAUACUUACAAGAUCAGUGCCCAAGACUCGGUGUACCACACAUUUACUAAAAAUGAUUUAAGUUAUCUAAAAACCAGUUCUUUUCAAAACACAAUUAAAAACUCAAAAUUUAUAGCCCGAGUUUUGCAACCUGACUUUGAUACCACUAAAUAUAACUCCCCUAACCCGGCCUAGACGUUAUGGCUGAAUUCAAGAGUGUUACAAAAAAGGGUUUUGAAAUCAGUGUUACUUCAAUAAAACUUUGUAGAGUUGUUCGAUAAAUUAUCCAAGUUUUAUAACCUAUUUUUGUUGAUAUAACUUUUACUGAAAACGUUAUUUAAUUAAUUCAUUUGCCAAAACAUAAUUUACAGUGGAAGUCUUAAAAACUGUUAUAUUUUGAAAAUCCAACUUGCAUUUUCAAAAAAAAAAACAUUUCUUUUUGUAAAACAGUGAAUCUAGUCAAACGUCGCAAUAAAAGAUUCAAAACACAUCCAAAACCAAAUACAAACCAAACAGUCUGGAGAGUCUAAUAAAUACAAAACCCCAAAAAUAAUCUUUAAUUAAAUAAAAACCAUUAUUUAAAGUCAGUUCACACCCUUGUGGUCACCAUGAGACUCCGUCGCACCGAUCCGUCUAAUUCUGUGGAUUACCUGUACAGAACAAGAAAACGUAUAUGUGUUUUCGUAAACUCAAUGUGUAACCCAACAGAAGCAGACAAUAUACAUAGAAAUUUCAUAAACAGAUAGCUACAGAUUUGGACUGAGGUCCACAAUAGAUGCAAAUAUCCAGAAUCCUACCCCCAUCCUUUACACACCAUCUCUGAGCAUCCCAUCACACCAUGUGGGGUUAAAAACACUCACUGAUCCCUACACAGCAUAUAGUGUCGAUGCAACACAUGAUAGAUAAUAUGCAGACAAGCUACCAGAAUAUAGGCGAAGAUUCGGCAUACAGAUCACUUCCUCCGCAUAUACAAUUCCCACCCCAAUCAAUGAUACAAAAUACAGAUACAGUAACAUUAUGUAUAACAUGAUCAUAUACAGAUAACAUAUAUACUUAAAUAGAACAGUCAGAUAUACAUAUCAGUAUCCUACUCAGAGCAGACUAUUAGAAUAUUAGAUCAUAUAAUUUAGGGUUUGGUUAGCCCUUACCGACUCUACGGUAAGCCCACAGUCGAUCAAAAUGACCCGUGCGACCCUAGGGAAAAUUUUAGAAUUAUGGGCCCACAUGCCCAAAUUAGCCUUGCUUAUGUGGCCCACAUGGCCUAGCUCAAAAUCUACACACCUGUGUGGGCCCUCACGGCCACACCCACACCAUCACACGAUCACACUCACACCAUCACAUGGCCGUGUCCUACGCAUGACCAUGCCUUCGUUAAACACAUACCCGUAUCAAGCACAUGGCCAACCACAUAGCCAGGCACACGCCUGUGUGGCAUCGAUAGAAUGCUGUUUUGACUUUUGCCGAUGCUCAAUUUUUCGCGUUAGGAGUACACACCUGGUUCAGUUUUGAUGUGAAAACACUCCCAAGACCACCAAAACCUAAAAUUGACAUAAUCAUUCCCAAAAUCAAUAUUAAUCCUCAAUUAAACUGAGCAAAUGAAAAUUAACAACGAAGACAUUCAAGUGUUCGAUACUUACCCAACUUCUCGAACAAAGUCGACUAUGAUUCCAUAAAAGGAGAAAUUCGUUCUUCUCGUUUUGCCACCAACAGUGUAAAACCACAUUACCAAAAAGAAAAAGAUCGAAACGAUUCCCAAACUUACACGAAAAUAAACCCCUUACACUUACCUAGCCACACCACAGUACCGAAGAAUCAAAAUACCAAGAUUAGCCGAUAAGAUUGCGACAUAAUUCAAAAGGAAAGGGAAAAAAGAAUUGUGCAAAUUAACAGGAAGGGAAAACGUCAAAUUUGGGGAUUUUUAGAGGUGAGAGAAAAAGAUAACAAAAUAAAAAUAAAAGUUAAAGAAUAUGAGAACAUAUCCCUAAACUUCCUCUCCCCUCUAGCCCACUAACCAUUCAGAAUUUCAGCUCUAUUGAAACUCUAUUAGACACUCAAAAAUAAAAUUAACAUCCACGCUCGCGUAAGGAUUCGAACACAAGACCUCCAACAAGCUAACUCCUUACUACUCGAACUAACAAACUCAUUCUAAUAUGAGUUUACAAAUAAUAUACUAUAAGCCCACCCAACAGGGAUAAGAUUUGAAUAAAAAAAAUAACAAAAUUUUUCAAAUGUGGGACUUGAACCAAAAACCUUAUACACACACCCAAAACAUUUAACCAUUGAAGCAGAUACAUAUUUGUCUCAAAUUUCACAAAAAUAGAUUUAAAUUAUUCAGGGUGUUACAACUAAUAUCUUUAGGGAGAAGGAGUUUUUUUAUAGAAAAUGAUGAAUGAAUAUUUACAUCACUCUAUCCCCUACUUAUAAUAUAUAGAAAACCUAGUUUGUUCCUAUUUAAACUCUUUAAAGAUAAAGAAAAAUAUAAUCUAAAAUUAAAUCUAAAUAAUAUCAUAAUAAUCCUAAAAAUAAAAUUCGAAUUUAAAUAGAGUCUUCUGUUCAUAAAUCUCUUCUCUGAAUUUUUACACCAAGUCUUUUGCACUUUGUAUUUUUGACAUCAUUUCUUCGUUAUUUUGCAUGUUGACCCAUUUUGUCAUUAAAUUCACGCUUUUUGCACCCAAACUUCAGUUUGCCUUCAAUUUAGUCCCUACAAGAUAAAAAUCAUAAAAAAACCCAAAUUAGUAGAACCAUACUCAAAAUAUAUAUGCAAUUAACACAUAAAAGUAUGCCAUUUUAGAGUAUUAUCAGUAAUCGACAAGGAAAUCGUGGCUACCCUGGUCACAGUUGAUCCUUGCAAGAUAUACAUGUUGCAGAAAAUCCAUUUGGUUGAAUAAAAACCUUUUAACUAAAAUCCAUUUUAAAUCUUAUAAAGAUUUUAUUUAAAACAAUUAAAAUCAUUAAAAUUUAUAAAAAAUAUUUUAUAUAAAAUUCAUUUGGUUUUUUAUUUUAUAUGUUUUAAUAAUUUUAGUAAUUUAUAAAAAAACUUUAUGAAAAUUAAUUUUUAAUUUUUUAUAUUAUUUUUUAUAAUUAUAGAAUAAAUCUUGACAAAUGUGCCUCCAGAUUCAAAUAAACUUAAACUUAGACAUCCUUUUGUCAAGGUUCAUUGUAUACUUAUUUUAAAAAUAACUUUUAAAUAUUUUGUUGACUUUUUUUUUUGUCACUACCAAGUUAGUAUUUGUUGGCUGACAACAAUCACGUCAAUGUUACCAUUAGUUUUUAAUGGUUUACAUUGGUCAAAGGGCACCUGAUGGGGCCAAUGAAGUAACCAAUACACCGCAGAAAAAUGGCCAUCAAUACAGGGCAUCUAGUAAGGACUGCCAAGGAUAUUCCAUGUGUCAACCUCGAAAAACCUUAGUUACUAACCGUAGGCAAUCAACUGAAGUUGCUCAUGUAGAGAAACAUCUGACUGCAAUAGAGGAUUUAUCUUUAAAGAGGAUUCCACCGGGGAAUCUAAAGCAGUUGUUGAUUGCAUGUGCUAAAACUCUCUCUGAAAACAAUAUCGAUAAAUUCAAUAUGUUGAUUGCAAAGGCCAGGGUUGUUGUGUCUAUUUAUGGAGAACCAAUCCAGCGUCUCGAUGCUUACAUGGUGGAAAGGUGGAGGCAUCGGGAUCUAACAUAUAUGUUGAAGUUGGCCAGCAUACUGCCCCAGUUGCACUUGGAACAACCCGAGCAAGUGAAGUUCUAGCAGAUCGAGCUACUGUUUCAUUUUGUUAAUUUUGAAUUAAUGUUUUAUAGCUUAGUUGAAAACAAAUCAAGUUGUACUUGUUGUUUUAGGUGCUGAUUAGAUGAUAAAUUAGCUUGUUCAUGAGUGCAAGUAAGGUUUUGCAAGUUACAAUGUAAUUAGUGGAGUUAGGUAGUGUUUUAGGUAUUGAUUUAUUUGUGGUGACCAGAUCAUGUCUGGUAUUUGUAUUGUCUUUAUGCCAUUGCUCAUUUCAAUGAAAAUUCCUUAAAGAAUUAUUCAUCACAUACUCUCCAUCUUUUCUUUACUUUUGCUUUUAAUUUUGUUCUUGAAUUAUGUUUGUUUCUUCUGUAAGUCUAGUGCCUUGUUGCUCAAGUCACAACAAAACUUGCUAGCAUAUUGUUCAAAACACCAACAAUUGGAAUCUAGAGCCAUAAUCUCAGUGGACUUGUUAUAGCUCAACAUUUUAAAACGAUGGCUUCACCAGGCUUUUCACCAGCUGCACCACCAGUCUUCAGUGGAGAGGACUAUCACAAAUGGGUAGUCAAAAUGAAAACCUAUUUGCAGGCAUUCGAUCUAUGGGAAGUGGUCAACUCAGAUGUUGGACCAGCACCACUUCGAGCCAAUCCAACUGUGGCUCAGAUCAGACCGCAUGCUGAUGAAAGGACUAAGAGGCACAAGGCUAUAUCUUGCAUCCAAAACUGUAUGUCAGAUGUGAUCUUUACAAGAAUCAUGGCCUGUGAGACACCAAAGCAGUCCUGGGACAAACUAAAAGAAGAGUUCCAUGGAACUGAAAGAACAAAGUAGCAACAGCUUUUGAAUUUGAGAAGAGGUUUUGAGAACUUGAAGAUGAAGGAGGAAGAAACAAUCAAGUAGUAUUCAGACAGGAUUAUGGCUGUGGUAAACAAUAUAAGGCUCCUAGGAGAGCAGUUCAGUGAAGCUAGAAUAGUGGGAAGGCAAUCUCAACCUUACCUGAGAGGUAUGAGGCAAAAAAUUCAUCCCUCGAAGACUCAAGGGACCUGACUAGCAUCUCAUUGACAGAGCUGAUCAAUGCUCUUUAUGCAUAAGAGCAAAUAAGAGCUAGUAGGCUUGAGGAGCACCAAAAAGGUGCCUUCCAAGCAAAAACCAAGCCUGCCUCGAGCACCUCUGCCUACAAAGGCAAAAAGACUUGGAGAGACAAGCCUUAGUUAGAUGCUGCAAGAAGAAGGGAUCAACCUUGCAGGCAUUGCAAAAGACCAGGUCAUCCUGAAGCCAAUUUUUGGUUUAGACCAGAUGUGUAGUGUCAACACUGUAAAAAGAUGGGCCAUGUUGAAAAGGUUUGCAGAAGUAAAGGCAAACUAAUGUAGUAUCAACCACAACAACCAAAUACCGAAGCUCGAGUAUUAGAAGAGGGCAGUGAUCAUGAAGAGCAAUUUUUUGUAGUUUCAUGCCCAUCCACUAAAAAAAAGGCCACAAAGGGCUGGCUCAUUGACAGUGGUUGCACCAACCAUAUGACACCAGAUGCUGCCAUUUUCAAGUCAAUUGACAGAAGCUUCAAAACUAAGGUGAAAGUUGGUAAUGGCCACUUCAUUAAGGCCGAAGGCAGAGGGGAUGUGCUGAUAAUCACUUCCACAGGUAGCAAGCUUGUUUCAAAUGUGUUGUUGAUGCAUGAGAUUGACAGAAAUUUGCUUAGCAUAGCUCAGCUUCUGCAGAAAGGCUAUUCUAUUGUGUUCAAAGGAGAUGAGUGUCAAAUUAGUGAUCCAAGUGGAUCCAUGUCAGUCACUAUGGCUGAUAAGAGUUUCGUAGUGGACUGGACAAAUGGCUCAAACUCAGCCUACAUAGCCUCACUAGAUGAAUCUAAGCUUUGGCACCAAAGGCUUGGUCAUGCCAACUACAGGUCGAUGAACCAGUUAACUAAAGAAGAUCUGGUUGAGAACUUCAUCAACUCAGUUGAAAAAGAGGAUGUCUAUGAAGUAUGUCAGUUGGGAAAGCAGGCCAGUCUCUCAUUUCCUUCAAACAAAGCCUAGAGAGCCUCAGAAAGGCUACAGCUUGUGCACACUGAUGCGUGUGGCCCCAUAAAUACUCAGUCUUUGAAUGGAAACAGGUAUUUCAUUCUGUUCAUUGAUGAUCACUCAAGAUUUUGCUGGAUUUAUUUUUUGAAGCAUAAAUCAGAGGUGGCCUCAGUGUUCUAGAAAUUCAAGGGUACUACAGAUACUAAAACAGGCUACAAGUUUAAGACCUUAAGGUCUGAUAAUGGAACUGAGUACACCUCAACUCAAAUUCAAGCCUUUUGUGAUGAAGCAAGCAUCAAACACUAGCUCACCAACACCUAUACUCCUCAAUAGAAUGGUGCUAGUGAAAGAAAAAAAUAGAACUUUGAUGAAUAUGGCCAGGUGUUUGAUGUUUGAGAAGAAUUUUCCCAAAACCUUGUGGGCUGAGGCAGUUAACACUGUUUUCUACAUCCAAAACAGGCUCCCAACCAAGGCUUUGGCUCACAAAACUCCAUUUGAGGCCUGGUUUGGGUUCAAACCAUCACUAGCUUACUUGAGGAUCUUUGGCUGCAUAUGCUAUGCACAUAUCCCAGCUGUGAAAAGGGACAAACUGUCAAAAAGGGCUCAACCUGGCAUACUGGUGGGCUACAACACUAUCAAAAAGCGAUAUAAGAUCUUGGAUCCUUUAGCAAACAAGGUGCUGGUGAGUAGAGAUAUGGUAUUUGAUGAGAUGUCUAGCUGGAAUUGGAAAAAGAAUGCGCCAGAGGGUGUUUCUAAAGACCUUGUAACAGAUCAGACUGAAUCUGAUUAGAAUGGUCCUGAAAUGGACAUUGAUGAUGAACCAGUCAGGAGCAGUAGACCAUUGGUUGAGAUUUAUGAAAAAGCUCAAGUAGCCAUAGUGAAACCAAGCUGUUUUGAAAAGGCUGAAGUUCAGCAAGGCUGGAAAUAGGCAAUGGCUAAUGAAAUCAAAAUGAUUGAAAAGAAUCAGACUUGGGAACUAGUUGAAAGACCAACCAAUAGAAAGACCAUUGGAGUGAAAUGGCCAAACAUAAUGCUGAUGGAAGUUUGAACAAGUUGAAAGCAAGGCUAGUUGUGAAGGGAUUUAGCCAGAAGUAUGACACAGAUUAUCUGAAGACCUUUGUACCAAGGGUCAGGCUCGACACCAUCAGGUUGCUAGUUGCCUUAGCAGCACAAAUAUAGUGGAAAAUUCACUAGCUCGAUGUGAAGUCAGCCUUCCUCAAUGGAUUUCUUGAAGAAGAUAUCUAUGUUAAACAACCUCAAGGUUUCAAAGUGGCUGGUAAGGAAGACAUGGUUUACAGACUGAAGAAAGCCUUGUAUGGCUUGAAAUAGGUACCAAGGGCCUGGUAUAGCAGGAUCGAUAGCUACUUGGUUAGUUUGGGAUUUGAAAGGAGCAUUAGUGAGCCAAAUUUUAUGUCAAAAAGGAAAGGGUACAAACUCAGCUCAUUGUAUCCCUGUAUGUUGAUGACCUGUUGGUGGCAGGAGGAAACCAAACAAUGCUCAAUGAUUUCAAAGCCAAAAUGCAACAAAUAUUUGAGAUGUCUGAUCUAGGAAUGAUGACAUAUUUUCUUGGCAUGGAGGUGACACAAACACAGAGUGAAAUAUUCCUAAGUCAGAAAGUCUUUGCCUCCAAAAUUUUGACAAAAUUCUCAAUGCAAAACAACAAGGCAACAAGCACUCCAGUUGCCAUAGGAGAAAAACUAUCGAGCCAAGGUGAUUUUUAGUAGAUUGUUGAAACUACUUAUAGGAGCCUAGUUGGAUGUUUGCUAUACUUGACUGCCACUACGCCAUAUAUCAUGUUUGCAGUAAGCUUGCUUUCAAGGUUUAUGCAUUGUUGCAAUGAAAAACAUUUUCAAGCUGCAAAAAGGGUUCUUAGGUAUAUCAAGGGUACCCUGAGUUAUGGAAUGCUGUAUAGCAAAGCUGAAAGCUUAAAAUUGGUUGGUUAUACUGAUAGUGACUGGGUUGGUUCGAUGGAUGACAUGAAGAGAACCUCAAGGUAUGUCUUCACCCUCGAUUCAGCUAUGUUUUGCUGGAGCUCGAAAAAGCAAAUAAUAGUUGGUCAAUCUGCUACUAAAGCUGAGUAUGUAGCAGCUACAAGUGCUGUCAACCAAGUCAUUUGGCUAAGGAAAAUUAUGGCAGAUUUAAAUGUGCACCAAAGGGAAGCAAUAAAGAUCUUUUGUGACAACCAAUCUACUGUUGUAAUUGCAAAGAAUCCAGUGUCUGUGGAAGGACAAAUCACUUCAACAUUAAGCUUCAUCUUGUCAGAGAAAUGGAGCAAGCACAGGAAGUGAAACUGUUUCAUUGCAAUUCAGAGGAUCAACUGGCUGAAAUUUUGACCGAGCCCUUUAGUGUAACAAUUUUUGAGCACUUGAGAAUGAGUUUGGCAGUUUGCAGCAUGCAAGCCAAGGAGGAGUGUUAAAGUUGGCCAGCAUGCUGCCCUUGUUGCACCAGGAACAACCUGAGCAAGUGAAGUUCCAGCAGAUCGAGCUACUGUUUCAUUUUUGUUAAUUAGGAAUAAUAUUUUGUAGCUUAGUUGAAAACAAAACAAUUUGUACUUGAUGUUUUAGGUGCUGGUUAGAUGAAAAAUUAGCUUGUUCAUGAGUGCAAGUAAGGUUUUGUAAGUUACAAUGUAAUUAGUGGAGUUAGGUAGUGUUUUAGGUAUUGAUUUGUUUGUGGUGACCAUCUCAUGUCUAGUAUUUGUAUUGGAUGUAUGCCAUUUCUCAUUUCAAUGAAAAUUCCUUGAAGAAUUAUUCAUCACUUACUCUCCAUCUUUUCUUUACUUUUGCUUUUAAUUUUGUUCUUGAAUUCUGUUUGUUUCUUCUGCAAGUCUUGAGCCUUGUUGCUCAAGUCACAACAAAACUUGCUAGCAUAUUGUUCAAAACACCAAAAAUAUAUCGAGCCCUUUAUUGGCAAGAGCCAAAAGGCAAGGACUUGCUCACAUACAUGCAUACUCUGUAUAAAAUUUGUCCGUAUUUAAAUUUUGGAUACAUGGCUACCAAUGGGGCCAUUGCUAAAGCAUGCAGAAUUGAAGAUCGCAUCCACAUUAUUGAUUUCCAGAUUACUCAGGGAACACAAGGUAUAAUAAUAUAUUUAUAUAAUUACAAGAAAUUGAACUCUUAACUCAAUAAUUGAAUGUCCUUGUAACGAAAUCAAACGAUGUUUAUAUAUCAAAUGUUUAGUCUUAAAUAGAAGAAUAAAAGAAAACUAAUUUCAUUUUAAGGUUAAUAGUGAAGAAGUAUUGCCAAUAAAGGUAUUUUAUCAUCACUAAACCAAUAAAGUUUAAUAUACUGACAAAUUUUAGGGUAUAUAAUGAUAGAAUAAUUUUGAUUUUUUUUACGGCUGCAGUUCAAGCAUAGGAAAGAAGACGGUUGGUCAACAGUCGACUAUUACAUGGAAGAAUAUGGCGUAACAGCAGAAGAGACAUACGAUGUAUUCAACAAUUAUAUUGAGAGUGCUUGGAAAGAUAUGAAUCAAGAGUUUUUGAAACCAACAGAAAUGCCAACAGAAGUUUUUGAUUGUAGCCUAAACCUUACAAGAGUGAUGGAUGUGCUUUAUAGGGAAGGAGAUGGCUAUACAUAUGUUGGAAAAGUGACUAAGGGUGGAAUCACUUCAUUUCUCAUUGAACAAGUCCCACUUUGAAAUUAUAUUGAAUUUUCCUCUCCAAGCUUGUUCCUCAAGGAAUUGUUAUUAAAUUCUAAUUAAUAAUGUUUUGCCUUAUAAUAAUUCAAUAAAGAUCUUGUCAAGCUUUUCGUUGUGAAAAAUCUACUAUUUUAUAUUUAAUUGUUUUUAUAUUGUUUUUUUUCUUUGAAAUAUAAAAAUAGGAUGAAAAUAUGGAUGGCUGAAAAAAUGAGCAAUGUGUUUUUUUUUUCUUUGAAAUAUUGAAUUGUAAUUAGAAGUAUCUCGAUAUAAUAUACGGUAGAAUAAAUAUUUAAAAAAAAAAAUUGAGUAGCUAUUUUUUUUUAUCUGAACUAGAAAUUUGACUUGAUGAAUUUAAAUUUAAACUUAAUUUAACUUGAUUUGAUCAUAAAAUAUCAAUAACUUAAAUUCGAAUUGAGUUAAACUUAAAUUAUCAUCAAUUUAUUAAUUGUUACCUCACUUAAUAUUUUACUUGCUUAUUUAAAUUUAUUAAUUGUUUGAAUUGGCAUAGUGGUAUAUUCAAGAGAUUAGUUAAUUUAGUAAGUCCGUAUGUGCUAUAGUUAACAAAUUGCCAAGUUGUCAUGAACUUAUUUGUAACAACAUGAACAUUGUUUUAGUAACAUUAAGUUAAGAAAUGUAAUUGAUCUAACACAACUAUGUCAUCUUGAUUACUUUUUGAAAUCGUGUAUUGGAAUUUUUAUUUUAUUUUAUUUUAUUUUAUUCUACCUAGUUAAAUUUUAGUUUUUAAUCACUUCCUCAAAAUAAAAAUAUUUUUAAUCACCAAAGUGUUUGAAUUUCAUUUCAUAAAUAAUUUUCUUAAACAGUCCCUGUGGGUACGAUAAUUCGACAUUUACUUGCCACUUUAUUACUUGAUAAUGAUUGUGUACACUUGCAUAUUUUCAUCGUUCUAAGUACUUGGAUGGACUUCAGUACUACAUCCCAUCCUCAGACUAAUGGGCAAUCUGAGAGAGUGAUUCAUGUUUUGGAGGAUAUGCUACAAAGUUAUGUUAUCAAAUUCUAUGGUAGUUGGGAGGAGUUUCUGUCACUUGUUGAGUUUGCAUAUAAUAACAACUUUCAGUUCAGUAUUCAAAUGGCGCUUUAUGAGGUUUUGCAUGGUCGUAAGUAUCGCACCCAUUUGUGUUGGAUUGAGUUGGGUGAGAUGGAUUUUGGGUCCUGAUUUGAUUUCUGAGACUGAGGGUAAGGUUUGACUAACUCGGGAUCAUCUUAAGGUAGCUUCUGAUAGACAUAAGUCUUAUGCGGAUCUAAAAAGAAUGAAUAUUGAGUUUGUUGUGGGAGAUCGGGUUUUCCUUAAGGUAUCUUUGUGGAAGAAAGUCAUUCUGUUUGGACGUAAAGGCAAGUUGAGCCCUAGGUUCAUUGGGCCUUACCGGAUUCUGAAAUGAGUCAGGUCAGUCGUCUAUGAGUUAGAGUUACCUCUGGAGUUAGAUUGUAUUCAUGAUGUGUUUCAUGUCUUUAUGUUGAGGCGGUAUCGGUCUGUCUCAUAUUGUGUUUAUCGAGGAGAUUGAGUAAGAUAGGAUUUGACAUUUGAGGAGGAACCAAUUCAAAUUCUUGAUCAUGAGAUUAAGGUCUUAAGGAGAAAGACAUUUCAUUAGUUAAGGUUCUAUGGCGGCAUCAUGGUUAACAAUAAGCCACUUGGGAACCGGAUGACUCGAUUCGACAGCAAUAUCUAUGUCUGUUCAAAUCGAGUAAAUAUCGAGAUCAAAAUUUCUUUUAGGGGGAAGUUAUAACGCCCCCAAAUUUGAGUUUUUAUUUUGUUAAAUUUUGUCAAGUUAAGUGAUCUACUUUAAUGGUUAAGUGUUUUGGAUGUGCGUUUCAAGUCAUGGGUUCAAAUCUCACUCUUGGGAAUUUUUGUUAUUUUUGUUCCUAUCCUUAUCUCUGUACAUUUGACUUAAAUUUUAUUUCUGCUCAUAAAGAAGCAGAGAAUUGUGGAAUUAUUUUUCUAUAUUCAAUGACCAAAGGUACAGAGGAAUUUAUACAAGCUAUACACGAGCUAAUCCCCAUUCUUUAGGAGAUGAGAUCAAAGUUUAAACUACCUAAAAUUAAGCUAACAAUACAGAUAUAGUGAGUUUGAACAACCAUAUGAAAUGGUCAAAGUUUAAGCAUGUGUCAGGCAUGUGUUACACUGAUACGCCCCCCAAGCUGAGAGUUCAAAGUAACUCCAAGCUUGGACAGAUGAAGUUGGAAAAGAUUAUUUGCCAAGGGUUUGGUAAACGUGUCUGCAAGUUGAUCCUUGGCAUGAACAUGAACAAUACGGAGCUGGUUUCGGUGUACUUUAUCUCGAACAUAAUGAAAAUCGACAGCAACAUGCUUCAUACGAGUGUGGAUUGCAGGAUUUUUACUGAGAUAAAUCAUGCCGACAUUGUCACAAUAUACCGUCGGUGGAACUAUUUGAUGAACUCGCAAUUCUAGAAGAAGAUUUGUGACCCAACAGGCCUCGGAUACAGAGUUUGCAACAGCCUUGAACUCCGCUUCAGUUAAUGACCGAGUAAUGGUUUGUUGUUUCUUGGAGACCCAGCUGAUCGGGUUUGGUCCAAGAAACAGAAUGUUGCCCGAUGUUGAAUUUCGACUAUCAAGAUCCCCGGCCCAGUCGGCUUCAACAUACAUGGAUAGAUCAAAUUGUUGCGCAGAUUGAAGUCUCAAACCAAGUGUAGUGGUGCCACGUAGAUAUAGUAGUAUACGUUUCAAAGAUUUCCAAUGCAGCGCGGAUGGUGGAUGCAUGAAUUGAGAGAGCUUGUUGACAGAGUAAUUAAUGUCAGGCCUUGUAAAGGAUAAAUACUGCAAUUUACCAAGCACUGUACGAUAACGUGUAGCAUCAAAUGAGGGUGCUCCAUCACGUAAAGAUAACGAAUCAGUGCUGCUCAUCGGUGUAGGAGCAGGAUUACAAUCCUGCAUAUUCUCAGCACUGAGCAGUUCGGCAAUGUAGUUUGUUUGAGUGAGAUAUAGGCUGUCAACGGUUCGGGUUACCUCAACUCCUAAAAAAUAGUGUAGAUGCCCAAGAUCCUUUAUUGAAAAUCGAUUGGCAAGAGAGUUUAUAACUCGGUCAAUUGUGGAGGUAUGAGUCCCAGUAAUAAUGAUAUCAUCGACAUAAAACAGAGCAAUUAUUUGGACUGCACCAUUGCACAUUAUAAAGAGAAAAGGGUCAGAUUUAGACUUGGCAAAACCAAGCUCAUGCAGGUAGGUCGUGAGGGCAGUAUACCAUGCCAGCGGAGCUUGCUUGAGGCUGUAAAUUAUUUUGUUAAGACGACAUACAUGAGUCGGAGCAGUAGAGGAUGCAAAACCAAGAGGUUGAGACAUAUAAACCUCUUCAGUAAGAUCGCCUUGCAGAAACACAUUGUUGACAUCUAGCUGUCGAAGCACCCAAUUAUUUGAAAUGGCAAGGGAUAGUACUACUCGUACCGUUGUUUGUUUGACCACGGGACUGAAGGUUGAGUGGUAGUCAAUGCCUGGCCAUUAGGUAAACCCCUUGGCAACCAGCCUCGCUUUAUAACGAUCAAUCGUUCCAUCCAACUUGCGUUUUAUCCUGAAAAUCCAUUUACAAGCAACAACAUUUUUAGUGUUAUCUUUGGGAACUAGUUCCCAAGUUCCGGUUCGAGCUAAAGCAUCAAGCUCUUCUUUCAUAGCAUCCCGCCACUCUUUGUGUUUUUGAGCUUGGUUCACAGUGGUGGGUAUGGUUUCAGGUGAGACAAGUGUAAGGAAGCUAAAUGGUUUUUUUGGUUUAAAAAUAUUGUUCUGGGAGCGAGUGACAACUCAUGGAAUAACAGGGGAAGGUUAUGGUAUCGGAGGGAAAGAGGUAGUAGCAGUGGGGUUUGGGGACGAGACAUGGGCUGCAUCGGAUGAGGGUGAGGCUGACUCGUCAAUAGGUGUUGAUAAAACAAUUGGGUUAUCGGGUAGGGCUGGGGUUGCCUCAGGUUGUGAGUGAGAGGCGUUGUUUGGUGAUGAAGGAGCAGUAGGAUGAGAAUACAUACCUGGGGUGAUCGAGGACGCCAGUGGUGCCGGACACGAGUCGAUAGUCCUAGUUGGUGGGGUUUGUUGAGAACAGACCAUGGAUGGGGGCAGACAUGGUUCGAGAAUUGAGGAAGGUAAGGCAGGUUCAUUUGGGUGCACUGGGGAGUGAUGUUCACAAUUGUUGGUGGGAAACAUAACCCACUCAAUGAUUUUGGAGGUGGGUAACAAGUUACGGAAUCAUGUUUGAUAUGGGAACUCGGUUGCAACAAAGGAGACAUCACGAGAUAGAUAGACCUUGGAAUUCACAGGAUCAUAACAAAUGUGAGAAUGAUGAGUGGUUGACACGCCGAGGUAGACACAUGGCUUGGACUUGGGAUCAAGUUUAUGAUUAGCGUAGGGUUUGAGCCAUGGAUAACACAAGCAACCGAAGCUUUUAAGGUUAUCAUAGGUUGGUGUUUUGUGGUGUAGUUGUUCAUAGGGGGACUUAUACUGCAGCAAGGGAGUGGGCAUGCGAUUGAUUAAGUAGACCGCAUGGUGACAAGCAAAGGACCAAAAUGAGGGAGGAAGGGUAGCUUGGUGUAGUAAGGAUUUUGCCGUCUCAACUAUGUGUCGAUGUCGACGCUCUACAGUGGCUACUUGUUGUGGUGUGUAAGGUGGACUCACUAAAUGUUCAAUACCAUUGGUUUGAAGGUAUGGGUCUAGGCUCUUGUAUUCAGUCCCUCCAUCAGUGUAGAGGGAGAGAAUGGUUGUGGAGUAGUGUUUUUCAAGCAAUGGUUUGAGCAUUUGGAAAAUGCUUUUAACUUCAGUUUUGAGUUUCAAAGAAAAUAACCAGGUAUACUUGGUAAAUUGAUCAACAAAGAUACAAUAAUAUAACUUGUUGUCAAUGGAAAGGACUGGAGAAGGACCCCAUAAAUCAUUGAAAAUAGUUUGCGAAGGUUUUGUACUUGUGAGAGAAAACUCUUUAAACAGCAAACGAUGGGAUUUAUUGCAUUGACAAGAAUUACAAGUUGUAAAAUUGUCUUUGGUUGAAACUGAUAACUGGAACUUGCUGCAAAUAAAAUUGAAAAGUCUUAAAUUUGGAUGACCUAGCCUAUGAUGCCAGACUGCAUUUGGCACGGUGUGGUGGGCAGUGAAGGCGAUCGGCUAGGCCACUCGUACAGUCCAUCUCUACUCCAACCGUGCACCAAUGGUGUCUUCGUGGUGAGAUCCUUCACACAAAAGUAAGAGGGGAAAAAUUCAAUUGAUGUUUGGUUAUCAUGACAAAAUUGUGAAACCGAAAUUAAAUUACGUUUAAGCUUAGGAGCACAAAAAGUGUGAGGAAGCUUAAAAACAGAAUUCGAUGCUUGUAAGUGUGUUGUGCCUGAGUGAGUUACCAGAAUUUUCAUACCAUUGCCAAUAGUAAUAUCAUCAUUUCCAAAAUAUUGAGGCAUAUCAUGAGAUUCGGAAGUCAUGUGAUGCGAUGCACCAGAGUCAACCAGCCAUGUGUUUCGAUUCUGAGAGUGUGUCAUUGCAAAAUUUGCCUUAGCCUCAUAAUGGUUGUGCGAGGCUGAGCGGCAAACAUCCGCUUCAUGUCCUGUUUUUUUACAUAAUUGGCAGCGAACAUUAGAAUUAGAAUUUUUUCUGCGUCCAUUUGAUGAGCGAUUGUUGUCUUGCCAGUAAGAGGAUUGGUUGCUGGAUCGUUCAUUAUUACGCCACGGCUGGGAAUUUCUUUGGUUGUUCCAAGGGGUAGUGUUGUUCGAAGACCUUGCGCGUUGUGCUACCGCAGCUGUUAUAGGAGCCAUCGGCUUCUUGGAUUCUUCAUGGGCUAAGAACACCUCAUGAUCCAUUAACUUAUCACACAAAUCUUCAUAUGAAAUGGUCACAUCUCUGGCUCUAAUGGCAGCCGAGAUUUCACGAUACUCAGAGCCAAGGCCACGAAGAAUGUGAACGACCAAGUCUCCAUCAGCAAGUGGGGCACCAGCCGCAGCCAGUUCAUCAGCAAUUGCACGGGCACGAGAGAGGUAUGCUGAAAUAGAUUGAGUGUCUUUGGAGAUGCGAGCAAGCUGGUCGCGAAGACUAAAGAGCCUAGAAUGAGACUUGUUGGCAUAAGUAAAGUGGAGGGCUUCCCAGGCACGUUGAGCGGAGGAAACGUUGGCCACCGUAGGUGCAAUGGUCGGAUCGACCAAUGCCAUAAGCGCAUUCUGAAAUAGCUGAUCUUGUCGAAACCAAAGGCCAAAGGCUGGAUUUAGGUUGUCACUCUCGCCAAUGGUGCGUGCAGGAGAUGGUUUGGUGCCAUCGAGAUGGCCGUAGAGAUCGUGGCCAUACAUAAGUAUGGAAAAUUGAGCUUUCCAUGUAGAGAAGUUGAGACUCCCAGUGAGCUUGAUCGGGAGCUGAGAUGCUGGAUGAAAUUGAAUUACCGGUGAUGUGGUGAGAUUGUUGUCACCACUAGCAGUAGGGAGGGCUAUUAGAGGGGACGAGAUUAGAGGAAAAAAACUGGAUUUGGAUCGGUUAAGAUUUGGAAGCUCUGAUUACCAUAAAGAAGCAGAGAAUUGUGGAAUUAGUUUUCUUUAUUCAAUGACCAAAGUUACAAAGGAAUUUAUACAAGCUAUACACGAGCUAAUCCCUAUUCUUUAGGAGAUGAGAUCAAAGUUUAAACUGCCUAAAAUUAAGCUAACAAUACUGAUAUAGUGAGUUUAAACAACCAUAUGAAAUGGUCAAAGUUUAAGCAUGUGUCAGGCAUGUGUUACACUGAUAGCUCAACUUGUGACAGAGUGAGUCUACUGGUUCAGUGGUAAGGUGUCAACUUACCCUUUGGUAUUGUGUUUGAAUCCUUACGUAUGCAAAGUGGAAAUAUAUUUUUGGUCUCAUGUUUGGUGCCACUUUGUAUUUGUGGUUAAGUUAAAUCCAAACUUUGGGAAAAAUAUGAUAAGUUAUCAAAAUCAAAUAUGUUGAUUGGAUAUUACCAUUUUUUAUUUUUUAUUAUUAAUUUGUUUUUUUUUUAGUUCCCAAGCCAAACCUUUUGGCAUGUUUCCUCACUCUUAAAUUAUUUUAUUUUAUAUUUUCUUUCUUUUUCUUCUUCUUUUCCAUGUUUUCCCCACUCUCAGUCAUUCACUUUCUUUUGGUUUCUUGUGUUUUCUAUUAGUUUGAUUCUCUCUCUUAUUUUGCUCCUUUUCUAUUCUAUUAGAAAUUGUGGCCAUUGUUGUAUUGUCAAUCUUGUUCAAAUGAAAAUGGGGUUUUAAAAAGGGUUGUUUGUGGUUAAUCUUGGCAUAAGUAAAUUAGUUUUUGAUGUUUAAGCUUGGUAUUUCAUCGCAUGAGUAUUGUAUUAUUGGUGUAUGAGUAUUGUUAUUAAUUGUUUGAGUUUUUAGGUGAAGUUGGCGAGGCGAUUAAUCCUUCGGCGACCUAGAAUCUGUUGGUGGUUUACUGUUCUCUUGAGGGUAAAAGUUCAAUUUAGGGGUUUAAGAUCGAAUCUCAUUGUUAAAAACCUUAUUUUUGGUAAUAUCGAUUUAGUAAAUCAAGUUUGGGUAAUCAUUCUAAUGGAUAGUUUAGUUGACGUUUUUAGGUUUUGGAAGUCUCGUGAGUGAAUUCGCAUCAAAAUCAAGCAAGAUGUGUAACGAAAAACCCAAAAACUAGCGAACGACACAAAACAAAUAAUUUGAUUGUCGACAUCACACGGCCAUAUGAACCACACGGUCUGGGUCAAUUGGGUCGUGUGGACCCCACGGGAGUGUGUGAGGCCGCGUGGGCCUUUUUUUUUGGAAAAUUUACCCUAGGGUCGUAUAUAUCGUGCUAUUCAAAUUUAGCCCUUCUGUAGGGUCUGUAUGGUAUAAAAGCGAUUAUAAAUUAUGAUUUUUGAUACAUUAUUUUUGUUAAAUGUAUCCUAUGAACGCAUGAAAUGUAUGUUAUAUCUAAUAGCAUGAUGUGUAUUAUGCUAGCAUGAUCUGAAUAUGAUGUGUAUAGCAUGUAUGUCUUUCAUGCAUUCAAUCUUUGUUUAAUUUUGAAUGUGCAUUAGGGUUGGGACUAUGAUUUUGGAGGAAGUGAUGGCAAUUUGAUUUAUCUGGCUUAUUUGUUAGCUUAGCCAUGUACAUCUAUUUCUGGCGGGUUACCGCAAUUUGAUCUGGCAUCUAGUAUGCAUUUGUUCUGAAAAGUGACAUAUGAUCACUUAGCAGUGUGUGGGGCUAGAUGAGUAUUUAAUACACUAAUUAGUGUGUAAAGAUGGUCAGAGAUGGUGUGUAGCAGAUGGGGGUAAGAUCUAAAUCUAUGUUUGUUAUGUAUUUGUUAUGCAUUUGUAUUUGUAUCUAUUAAACAUUUGUAUCUAUAACUGUUUAUGAAAUAUAAUGGAUCUUGAAUCUGAGCAUGUAUUCAUUUCUUAAUCUAAUGAAAUAUGUGUCUCUAUUUUAUUUUCUUAAAUGAGUUAUGCUCUAAGCUCGUAAGCUCACUUUCUGUUUAUUUGUUCUCAGGUAAGCCACAGACAUAAGACGGAUAGAUGUUGCGGGAGCUCAAUUAAUUAUAAUUGCUUUAGAUUUCCCUUAACUUUUCUCUGUCUAAUCUAUUUAGUUCUAUUGGAUUGUUUUGGACUUUUGAAAUUGUUUUUAAUUUUGAAUUUUAUAUUCUUUUUAAAAUCGUUUAAACUUUUUUAGAUUAUACUAAUUCUAUUUGCAAAAUGUUGGAUUUCAAAACCAAAUUCUGUUUUCCAAAACUCUAUUUAACUAAGACAUUCAGCUACGAAGAGUAAGUGAUUUUAUAAGUGCUCAUCAGCAAAUUAAUGAAUUAUUUAAGAGAAAGUAUUUCACUAAAUAAACUGGAAUUUUACACAUUGCAAGCUGGCUCUAAUUACUUUAUUGGUUCAAAAUGGUUUCGAAAUCUUCAUAUGAAUUGGUGACAUCUCCAGAUUUGGUCACAACAUCUAGGCUAGGUUUGGGGUGUUACAUGACUGACUGAACUGACAGUACAUCGGACAAGAACCAAGUAGAAUAGAUUCUGAAUUCAUUUAUGGCUUUUUUACUUUUGACGUUCAUAGUGUAGCAUACCUAAAUCCUGUGUGGAUGACGGACUAUGUAUGCGUGACUCGUACACUUUGAUGUAAGUAAAAGCCUGAGUUCGAAUAGAUAAGGAACUGAAAGCUGGUGUGUUGGCUGUACAACUUCGGCAGUAUGUAGCGUUAUUCAGAACAGUGGAAUUCGUAGCCCAAGACAUGGGUAAAUGAUAUACUCUCAUUAGCAUUACAUGGUUGAUGAAAAGUAAACUUGGCCACAUGUUGUUCAUCUUUGUGAUGAAUGACUUGAUUACUAUUUGAUAGUAAUUGACUUUUUAUGAAGGAAUAUGUAAUAGUUACCAUGAGACAAAAUAAGAUCAUAUUGAGAGAAAAAAUAUUAUCCCAAAGAGAUCAAGGAUAUCCUAUGAGGGUAACACACUUAUGACAAGGUCACUGAACGAGCACUAAGUAGUAGCUUUUAUAAUGGUAUGUUGUUAAGGAGAGCCCAGUCACGAUAUUAUAUUAGAAUGACUUCAUGACUAAAUGAGUUUAUAAUUAAUAGGCAAAAGCUAGAAUUUAAUUAUAAAUCAUUUGUGCCUUAAUUACAUAUGUUCAACUGGUCCCUCCACUAGCUCGUUGAAACCAUAAAUGAAUUGUAUGUUUGAAUCAACAUGAAUAGAAUAAAUAAAAAUAGAGAAAUGGAAUCAUUUAGAAAUGAUUAUGGUUUUCUCAAAUGGAAAUGAAAAUGAAAAUGAGAAAUGAUUCAUUUGCAAAUAUCCAUGAAUUACUCAGAAAUUAUAAGAAGAAUGAGUUUAUGUUUUUGAGCUAGUGAAAAUAAAUCAUUUGAUCAUAAUGAACAUGUUGAAUGGUGAAAUAUUAAACAUAUUUUCUCAAAAUUUUACUAGAAAUAAAAUUGUCAUAAUUUUAUCUGGGGUAAAUUUUGGAUGAGAAAAUUAUUUAAUAUUAAUAUAUUGAAUAUUACUUUAGAAAAUAGAAAAAUAGAAUCGGGUUGGAUCAAAUUAAAAAGUACUGGGUCAAAAAGUUCAAGAAGUACUCGUAAUUGGACUCGAUAUGAAAGAGACCCAAAAUCUACUUAUGUAACAUGAAGGGGGUGCGAACCCUAGUAGGAAUACUAAGGUGUGCUGUCCGCCAUACUUCCACUCUAAGUAUGAAGUUCUUUUUCUAUUUGAAAUAAACCACUACAACUCAACAAGGAUUCUACUUUCUCUUCCUAUGAAUAGAUGACACCGGUACAACUAUUAAGACAAGUUUGAGAGAUUGUUACUCUAUUGGAAAUAGAAAGAAUUUAUUCUCAACUAUUAAAUAUAUUUUUCUAGAAUAACAAUUCUAUCAGUUUCUAUUAAAGAAGAGAGCAUUUUCAUUUUCACCCGAAAAGAAAAAUAAAACUUUUUCUAGUUCUGUGUUUUGAUUCAAUUGGUUCAAACCGGCACUCGAAGCAGUUCGUGGUAUGAGAAUAGCGGAGAAGAUCAUUUAGUUGAAAGCCGAAAAAAAUUAAGGAUUUACUUACCAAAAAACAUAGGUACAAUUUCGGUCUAAGAUUUAUUGCUAUAAAUAUCAGAAACCGAGUCAAUUUUUAAAAUUUUAGUUUUCCACUGUACAAGAAAAUCAUUUUCAAACUGAAAUUUUUCUAACAGCUGGUUCAAUUUUGUUAUUGAAAUUCAAAAUCUUUUAAACCAAAUUAGCCAACUUUACAACUAUUAAAUUUAAUAUAUAUUUAAAUCCAAACUUAAAUCCAAUAUCAACCAAACUCAAACCUAAACCUAAACCUAAACAAAUUUAAACUUUAUUCAAAAUCCAACCUAAAUAAAAUAAAUCCACUUUAAAUUAAAAAUUAUUAUACAGAUAAUAGUAUUAAUAAAAAUUUAAUAUUAAAAAAUUAAACAUUAAUAAUUAAAAAACUAAAACUAAAAUAUAAAUUCCCAAAUCAUAAAAAUACUUAAAGUAAAACCUAAAUUCCAAAAUCAUUAGAAUUAAAUUUAUUAGUAAUAUUAUUAGUAUAGUAUAAUAAAUCAUGUUUAAUCAUUUGUGAUCAGCAGAACACUAAUUAUCAUAUAAUUAAAUUAAUAUAUUAUGCCAUUAUAUAUAUUAUAUAAUCAUUAAAUUUAAAUUUUAUAGAUUUUAAUAAUUAAUAAUUUUAUAUAUUUAUUAUACAUAUAUAUUUAUAGUAUUAAAAAGUAUUUUAUAUUCAGUUAAUGUUUUUUUUUAAUAUUUCACUUUAUAAUUUAACAUAAAAUUUAUUAUAAUUGCAUUUGUUAUUAAUAACAUUUUAAUAUAAAUAUGUAAAGCUUAUGAACAUAUUUUUAUAAAAUAAAUAAUAACGAUUUAUUUUUAUUUUUAUUUUUAUUUUAGUAAUAUCACAAAAUUAUAGUAAUUAUUAAUGUCUAUUAUUGUUGUUUAGCUAUAAAUUUGGGUUUUGGGUCAGAUUUAUUUUGGACUUGAGUCAAAUCGGUCUUGAACUCAAACUCUUGUAAAAUCGGGCUUUCUCGAGCUCAAAUUUCCUUGAUCACGAGCUUCUCUGAGCUCAAAUCUAUUAUAGGCUUGGGACUGUUUUACCAACUUUAUCUAUCUACCUAUAGUAUGAACCAUUUGCUUGAAUUGCAUAAAAACAAGGAAACGGAAAGGAAAUUAUCACAUUUUCCGUUAUUUGGACUUUUUUAAUUUAGGUAAGGAAAAAUAAAGAGAGUUAAAUAUCCUUUAUUUUCCCUUGAAUUACUUAAUUUUUAGCCCAAUUCGAAAUAAAAGUUAGGGAAAGAAAAGUUAAAUAUCCAGAUUGUUGUUGAAGGUUGGAUUAUGAAGAUAAGCUAUGCUUUUUUCACUUAACAAAACUGGUUUAAAGAAGAAUUCCAAGGAUUUGUAUGGAGGGUGGGAUCUUAGUUGGGUUUCAUGGGUUUGGGCCAAUAAAGUUGUUAUUGGAUUGAACUUAAAACUUAAUAAAACCCACAAAAUCAUCCUUUUUUUUACGAAAAAUAUGCAACAACUACCUUUGUAAUGUUGGUGCAAAUAGCAACAGUCCUCUAUGCCAGGCAUAUGCAGAAUCCUUAAAACAUCUGUUUGUUCAAUUGAGUAUGGUUUGGAUCUCCCCUCUCUCUUUUGCGUGUUGAUAGUUUUAAUCUUUCCUCAUUCUAUUCUUGGAUUUUCAAAUGGUUUCAAAAUUAGGAAGCACGGACACGGCUCAUCCCUCCUUGAACCUAUGUUAGGUGUGUUUAACACGGUCCCGACAUACUAGGACAUGUCCGAAUACGUCAAAAAAAAAUCAAACACAGUCACGACACGGGUGUUUAAAAACAAACAUGAUCCCGACACAGUGACGAUGGAUAGAGGCAUCAGAUUAAAAAACCUCAAUUGAGAGUGAAAGAAGCAGAAUGUAGAUUUUUUUUUCCCUGUUUGUUUUUUCAUGAAAGGAAUGAAAGAUUGAAAGUAAGGUUGAAAGUUUUAGGGUUUUCUUGAAAAAGAUGAAAGGCUUUUACAGACAAAAUUAAAACAAUCCUACGCCUGUUUGUAAUCAAUUUAAAAUAUUGGGUUGGGUUGCCUUUUGGGUUUAUUGUGGGUAGCCCAAGAUCUGUCUUGGGCUAUUUGUAAAUUGAUUUAAUAUAUUAGGUUGGAUUUAAAGUUCUAGAUUUUUUCCAAAAAAUAAAAUAAAUGUUAAAAAGUAAAUAGGUUUUUUAACAUAAAAUAUAUAUAUAUAAAUAUUUUUAAUAUUGUUUUUUAUUGUUGUAUUAGUGUCCUCAAUUUUUAAAAUUACUGUGUCGCCAUAUCCAUAUCGUGUUGUACCCAUAUUACGUGUCCGUGUCCAUACUUCAUAGCUGCAAAAUAAUGAAAUCAAUUCUUUAGCCUCGAGAUACUUUUAUACGGCCUGCAUCUGCACGUCGUGGUCAAUAUGGAAAGCAAGGAAUGAACUCACCUUUAAGAGUAUCACUCAUAGUCCAUUAGGACGCAACUCUCAAUUAUGGACUCUUUCAAUAUCACUCCUUUGAAUAUCAACAGUCUUAGGUAAGUUCUUCCAUCUAUUGAAGAAGGUGGUACACACACUUCAUGGACGCUUCAUCUUGACGUCUGCAGCAAUCGGAGUGAACCAUCAUAGAACAAUGACAAUGGCGAUCAAAUUGUCUGCAGUCAAAAGCCACAUCGCACCUUCCAAGCUUCAAGCAAUGAUCCUCACUCUAUGAUAUUCGUUAUUAUUCUUCUAAAAUCUCACAAUAUUACCUUCUGUCAGUUCCUGUUAAAAGAUCGUAAAUUCAUCAACAUCAUCCUUAAUAAAACAAGCGCAGUAUGGCAACUCAAACUGGCAUCCCAGGACCUACAAGAGCUCCUCAAAGAUAGCAAAUUCAUCCAAGAUAAAAAUGAAAACUCGCUUAUAAGGAAAGAUAUCACUAGCUGAGCGAAAUGUGCUUUAAAGACAUUUACUUCUUUCACCUGGCCUUAAUAACUUAUUAAUAAAAAAAUAAAUUGUCUAAAAGUAUACUUUAAUGAUUAAACCAAAAAAUCAACUUUGGAUGUGAUUUUUUUAAUCGUCAUUGGCCAUCCCUUUCCACCAUGCACUUAUUCUGCUUUAGACUUUUAAGUAAUACAUGCAUGACGCACUUAUAUUGACACAAGUUGAACGGCUGAUAAUUUUAUAAAAAAGGUCAAAUUAUGUUUUGUGUCCCUCUCUUAUACUCAAUUAAAAUUAAAAACUCAUGUUUAUGUGAUGGCUUAGAAUAGGUGUUUUGAAGGGAAAAAAAUUCACAUUAAUAUUUAACAGCAAAUAGUUAAUUGUCAUUAAUUUUAGACAUGAUUAUGGGUUAGGUUACUUAUCUAAACUCGAAUGCCCACCCCAAAUUUGGAAGGAUUUAGGAAAAAUAUUAAGCUAAAAAAUAGACAAGGUAAAAAAUUGGCCUAUUUAAAAUAUGGGCUAGGAUCAAGCUCAAACAUUUAAGACUCGAGCCUAACCCGACCAAUUUUCUAAGUUUUAAUAUAUUGUAUUAUGUUAUUUUUUAUAUUCUAUGUAAUUUAUAACACAUAAAAAAUAAAUCUAUCGUAAUAUACAAUACUAUGAUGUAAACAUAAAAUAUUGUUAAGAUGCUUAUAUAUAAAAUUUUAAUAAAUAGAAAAAUAUAAAAAAUUAUCAAUUAUUAAAUUAAAAAUAAUAUGAACAAAUUUAAAACCAUUUUUAAAUAUGGACAUGUUUAAAUAUAAUUUUAUGUCCAUAUUUCGAGCUUGUUUGAACUUGAAAAAAAAAACCUAAAGUAAAGCAUCAAAUUAUCUUAAUUAAAGUACAUGACCUAAUUGUAAAAAAAUAUACAUAAAUUAAAUUUCAAAUUUGAGCUCCCAACCCUUAAAAUGGAAAAUUUUAUAUUUAAUCCUUUUAUAAUUUAAAAUCUUUUAAUUUAAUUAAUUCUAAGUGUACAAUAAUCCAUGUUGGUUGUCCUUAUAAAAAGUACAACACCAAGCUCGUUAAAAGCGAUUAAGUGCUAAUUGAUUGAGUUCCGUGAUGUUCAUGCCAUUAUUGGGGUAGUUGCUGAGUCUACUUUGGAUAGUAUUAUUGUUCACUCCUUUUAUCUUGGUGGAUCUAGUUAUGGACUUGGUGGAAACAAAGAAUUUGGGAAUAGUAAAACGUGUGGGAGAAAAUGGGUUAUGUAUUUAAGUGUUGGAUUAUUUUAAUAAAUGAUGAAUUUUAAUUUAAUCCUUUGAAAAUUGUAAAGAUAUAAGCUAUUAAAAUGGUGAAAUUACAUUUUAUCUCUCAUAAAAAUAUACAACUUAAUCCUGAUUCUCAGAAAAUUUUUCUAGCUUGGCCCUUACGUUAAAGGUUAAAUUAAAUGCAAAGGGACUAAAUUGCUGACUUUUAUAAUUAAGGAAUUAAUUUUCUAUUACAUUAUAAAAUUUCCAUUCUUUUCAACACUCUAUUCCAGUCCAAAUUCAGUCAUGCACGUGGAUGACUAUUUCGUCUUUUAGGCAUUAUUAAAACUGAAACAACGUAAAUGAGCUGGUGACUUUUAAUAAGAUUUUUUUAUAGUCGCCAUAAUUUCCUUUUCUUUAAUAUGUCCAUUUUCAGAAAGAAAUUAUAUGGAAUAUUUAAUUUUAUAUAGUGUAUUAAAUUAAUUGAUUUGGUAUUAAUAAAAAAAUUAGUACUUAAUUAUUUAAUAUUAGGUACAUCUAUUAUCAAAUUAAUGGUAAUAAAUUAAAGUUUUUUUUUCUAAAAUAUGAAAAAUUUGAGCUCUAUCAACUAAUCACAUGCCUAAUGAUAAUAUUUAAUUUUUGGAUAUCAUUGCCAUUAGUAAAAUUAUGCAUGCACAAUAAAAUAUUAGAAAUUAAAAUAUAUUUUAAUUAUGAUUUACAACUUUCAAUUAUUUUUCCUUUUGUCUUAAUUCAAUAUAAAAUAUUUUAAAUGACGGGUUUAAAAUAUAAAUUUCUGAAUUACAACUCUGGAGUUUACAAAUCAAUUGAAAAAGAAAAAACAUGUUAAAUUAAUUGUGAAAAAAAAAUCAUUAUUCAAAGAGUCAAGCGGUCAUGUUUGAAUAAUUGUUUUUAGAAAUAAAAUUAUGGGAUUUAAAUUUAAAAUUUUUGAAAAGUAUAAAUAUUUAUGAUAUAUUUUAAUCUAAUUUUAUUAGAUAUUUAUUUAUUUAUUUAUUUAUUUGCUUUUCAACGAAUUUCGUAGUUAUAUAUAGAGUGAGAAUUUCGUCACUAAAUUUGAUUAAUUUGUAUUUUUUAUUAUUCAAAUGACUUUUCAACAUUCUUAAGUGAAUCAAAUACAUCUUAAGUAGAGGUGUUUAUGGAUCGGGUCAGGUCGGAUUUAAGCAUAAUAUUAACAUAUUUUAUGUUUGUUCAAGCUCUGUUCAGCCCGAAAUAUGAGCUUAAAAUUUUGCCCAAACCCACCCAUAUUUGUAAAAGACUAGCCCAAGCUCAUUUUAAACCCACCCAUAUUAUUUUUUUAAAAAAAUAUUUAUAUUAUAGUAUUUUAAUAUUUAAUAAUUUAUACAUUUUUUAUUUAUUGAAAUUUUUUAUAUAGUCAUCUUAACAUUAUUUUAAUGUUUACAUUAGAAUAGUAUUAUAUAUUUAGUAUAGGUUUAUUUUUUUUAAUGUGUUCUAAAUUACAUAAUUUAUAAAAAUAACAUAAUAUAAAGUAUCAUAAACUUAAAAAUGGGUCAAGCCUAAUUUUUUUGCUCAUGCCUAUUUGUUGAGCCUGAUAUUUUUUAUCCAAACCUUCCCAAAUUUCGGACGAAAGCCUUUGGAUCUAGGUCGAUAGCCUGACCCAUGACCAGGUCUAAUCAUUGGGUCUCAUAUAUCAAUUUUCAAGUCAAGUAGUUUUAUUUUUUUUAUUGAUCGUUGAAAAUACGAUGAAUAUGCUUUUUUUCCCUUAAAAUGUUAAAUUGUAAUAAGAAGUAUGUCCAUAUAAUAUAUAAUAUAAUAAAUUUUAAACAAUAAAAAUAAAUUUGAGUAGUUUAUUAUUUUUAAGUUAUCUUGGUGGAUCUAGUCAUGAGUCGGAUAGUUGCAUUCAUGUUUUUUUAAUUGUCUCGACACAUAGGCAACUACUUUUCCACCUUGCAUCAACACACAUCCAAGACCAGUGUAGGACGCAUCUCUAUAUACCACAUACUCGUUUCCCAACUCGGGCUGGAUUAAGACGAGAGCUUGAGUCAACAUGAAUUUUAGCCUUUCAAAACUAGCAUGCCGGUCAUCCGUCCAUUUAAACGGAACAUUCUUUCUCAACAACUUGGCUAGUGGAGUAGCGAUCAGAGAGAACCUUUCAACAAAUCUACAAUAGUAUUCAGCUAAACCGAUGAAACUUCAAAUUUCAGAAACAUUUUGCGUUGUUUCUAUUCUAGAAUAGUCUUAAUCUUUCUUGGAUCUACACGGAUACCCUUUACGAAUUCCAGAUGUACUAGAAAAAUAACUUCCUUCAGCCAAAAUUCGCAUUUACUCAGUUUGGCAUAUAGUUUCUUUUUGCGAAGGAUUUGAAAAACUUUCCUACGAUGUUCAUUUUUGGUUUUUGAAUCAACUAAGAUGUCGUCGAUGAACACAACGAUGAACUAAUCAAGAAAGGGUUGGAACACUUGGUUCAUUAAGUCCAUGAAGGCGGUCGUAGCAUUGGUUAAUCCAAAAGGCAUUAUAAGGAAUUCAUAGUGACCGUAUCGAGUUUUAUAUGUGAUUUUAGGCAUAUCUGCCUCCUUCACCUUUAAAUGGUAGUACCCAAACCUUAAAUCCUUUGGAAAACACCGCUGCACCACGGAAUUGAUCGAACAAAUCGUCGAUCCUAGGCAGAGGAUAUUUAUUCUUAACAAUCAGUUUAUUCAACAAUCGAUUAUCAAUGCACAACCUUAGGAAGCCAUCUUUUUUUUUUGACAAAUAAAAUCAGAGCUCCCCACGGAGAAACACCAGGUCUAAUAAACUCACGAUCCAAAAUCUCCUGAAGUUGGAUUUUCAAUUCUUGAAGCUCUUUAGGUGCCAUACAGUAGGGAGCAAUGGACACCGGCAAUUCCUAAAAACAACUCAAUUCCGAAUUCUACCUCAUAUUUUGGAGGUAACCCUAGUAGCUCCUCAGGAAAUACAUCUGGGAAUUCUCUAACAGUUUGAAUACUUUCAAUAGUAGAGCUAUUUGUAUUCCCAACCAUUACAUAGGCUAAAUAAGUCUAACACCCUUUUCGAACUAAUUUUUUAGAUACAAUAGCAAAAAUCAAAUUAGCUAAAUAGUUUCGACGCUCCCCAACCAUAAUGAUCUCAUUACCCUCAGCCAUUUUCAAGCUUACUCUUUUGGAGGCACAAUCUAGCUAACUUGAUGUUCUACUAACCAAUACAUACCUAGAAUUAAAUCAAACUCUCCAAAAGGUAAUUUCAUAAGAUCUGCUUGAAACACUACCCCUUGAACCUCCAAUAGGCAUCUCCUAUAGAUUUUAUCUACAACAACCAAUUGUCCUAAAUGGCUUACUAUAGUAACUUCAGUAGUGGUUUCCUCUACCCCAAUACCCAGUUUGUCAGACAUAUUACAAGUAACAUAUGAAUGGGUGGAUCAUAUGUCGAUCAAGGCAAAAGAUGAGACAUAAUGAAUGGAAAAUUAACCUGUGAUAACAUCAGACGUAUCUCUAUCCUUAAGACCUCAAAUGACAUAAAUAAGGGUAGGUUGUCUAGCCCUAUUUUGACCUCGGCCCCUCAGAAGUAAUUGACCCACUCUCUGGUUUUGGGUCAGAGCUUGUGCUUGCCCAUUUCAUCGAGGGCAAUCUUUUACCAUAUGCUUCGUUGAUCCAUACUUCAGACAAGCACCUAAUUUCUUCCGACACUCGCCUGGGUGGCACUUGCCACAAUAUGUACAUUUGUAAAUCAUAUAAUCAAAAUUAGCUACAACAACCCUUUAUUGCGGAGAAUUUGAACUAGUGGAACCAAGAUCUCUCUUAAGCGGGACCUUACUCUUCUUCUGUUUUUCGCAUUUCACCUAUUUGAUCUCCUUCACAAUUUUGGUUUUCUCCCCAAGGGUACCAAACACCUAUUCUUAGUGUGGAGCAACCUGAAUUUUGAGGUCAAAACGUAACCCAUUUUCAAACCUCACACAUUUGUUUUGAUCUGUGGUGACCAUACAUUGACCAUAACGGCUAAGUCUUAGAAAUUCAACCUCAUAUUCUACCACAACCUUAUCCCCUUGCUUCAACUUGAUGAACUUGAGUCUUCGAGACUCCACAUAUCUAGUGUCCACAUACUUCUUUUGAAAACCUUCCUAGAAAUGUUCUCAGGUCAAACGUUCAACCUGUGUACCCCUCACAACUACUGCCACCAACGAUACACUUCAUCUCUUAAUAAUGGCACAAUGCCGUUCAACUUUUAUUCUGGAGUACAAUCAAGAUCAUCUAGAAUCCUUUCCGUCAACUCCAUCCAGUACUCAGCCACGGUAGGGGUCGUUCCAGCAACACUCUUGAAUAUUUUUGCUCCAUUAGAUCGGAGCCUCUCUGCAACAGAUCCAUGGCUCAUCGAUCUCGUGUGGGCUUCAACAACCUUUUGCAGAACCCUUAACAUCGCUUGCAAAACUACAUCGUCUUCAUUUUCAUAGCCUUCGCCAUAAUUGGUGGUAGAAUUCUCUACGAACUCCUUAACGAUUGGGUUUUCUCCCUAAACAAUGGACAGUUCAACGGGUGCAGCCCUAUGCGGCCUACCCCUACCACAUCUACUUUGAGUGUUCAUAAUGCUUUCAUGAAAAUUUUAAAAUCUAAAGUAUAUCUAUAGUUUCUAAUCCAAGCAUUUUUUCAAGAGUAACUGUAACUAAAGUAGGACCGACAUCGGAGUCUGAGACUUAAUUUCUUGCAGAAAAUCAUUUUUUCAAAAGCAUGUGGCAUGGUUUUUCCCAAAAAUACCCAUUUAGAUGUAUGCAUACAGACCCAUUUAAAUUUUCACAGUUCGAGUUUUGUAAACCUGGCUCUGAUACCACCAAAUGUAACCUUCCAAAGUCAACGUAGAUGCUAAAACUGAAUUUGGAAGAUUACAUAAGCCACCGAAAUAACCUAGUAUGGUCACAAUUUAUAAAAUAGUUGUUUAAAACAUUUGUUUAUUAUUAAGGAAAGACUUCGCGUGUUAUCUUCGAUUUAUUAAAAGAUAAAAUUUUCCCUAAAAUGAUAGAAUUUAAAGUUUACUUAGUAAAAGUCGAUUUUUAAUUUUUGUAUAUUUUUGAAACCUCAUUUUCAUACCAAUGCAGCGGGAAAAGUGAUCUUUAACAUGAGUUUAAUAGAAACCAUAUUUAUAUGCAUGGAUAUUAAUAAACCAUAUUUCAAUAACGUAAGGUAAAAUAGAAUGUCAUGCAUACCUAACAAACACAAAACCUAAGUCCCAUGCCACGGUUCAAAUAAAAUAGUACAAUAUUUGAAUAGUAGAAAUUACAAUUAAUGAAUUUAAAAUACUUUUAUAUAUAAACAAAUAAUCUGUGCUGAGUCUUCUGAAUGCCGAGACCACGUCCUAACUUGGUGGAUUAUCUGUAAAGAUGGAAAUAAAAGGGGGAGCGAGCUUUUGAAGCUUAGUGCGAGUCCAAUCACAAGAAAAUUAGUGUAAACGACAGACAAAGCAUGUGAAAUAACAGUUCUUUUAAAACAAUCACAAUCGUAUAGCAAUUCGUAAUACGGUUUCAUAGAUUAACACAUCACAAUAACAUCUCUACAUUCACAGUUUUGUAUCCACAUGGCACUGCAUGGCAAUGCAAUUUCAAUAUAUCAAAGGAAAGAUCCUACCCAACUCCGCUACACACCUCACUAGGAGUUCCCCUGAACUUAAACAUUCUUAUACAUCGAGUUUUGGUUUAACCACCUCAGGUUUGUAGACAAGCUGCCACUAGGUUGUGGAUGCGCAACAAAUUCGCAGAUAAAAACUACCACUAGGCUAUGGAUGCAUAGCGAAUUCACAGAUAAAAACUCCCAGUAAGCUGUGGAUAAAUAACAAAUUUGCAGAUAAACUGCCAUUGGGUUGUGGGUGCACAACAAAUUUUCAGAUAAACUGUUACUCUUCCUCCGUACAUAUCGUCUCAUCCUAUGCAAUGUAAUAUGACAUGCUUAUAACAUAUCAAUACAAUAGCAAUGGACAUGCUUAUAACAGAUCAAUACGGUAGCAAUAGAUAUGCUUAUAACAAAUCAAUGCUGUAGCAAAAGUCAUGCUUAUCAUGAAUUAGAUUUAACUAUAUCAAAUGGCAUGUUGAACAUGUAAUUAGUAAUACAGAGGCAAAAAACAUUUAUUGUUCACAUAUUAUACAUAUAAUAGUAGUAAUUCAGUCACUCAGAUCAUAGAUUCCAAAAUAUGCAUAUCAUUAGGGAUUCAAUUACGAGAAAUAAACUCUAAAAACAAUUCGGGCAUUAUACAGUGACUAAAUUGUACAAUUCACGAAUUUUUGGGAAAAAUUGUAAAAUUUGUAAAACAGGGGUCACAAGACCGUAUGGCUAGGCUGUUUGAGAGGGUUAAGACCAUGUGGAGGGGUUACACCGGUCGUGUGGUUAGGCCGUGUAAUAGGUUGUGGCCAUGUGAAAACAUUAAUUUACCCUACAGGAAAGACAUGAUCGUGUGGCAAGCCGUGUGGAAGGGCUAUACCCGUCUGAGAAACGAACUACCUUACGAUUACAAAGGCACAUAGUCAUGUUGUCCACACACCUAUGUGAGAGGCCGUGUGGUCCUGCACUAUACACGGUUUGACACAGAUUCACUUAGAAAAGAACACAUACCUUUCACCAAGGGUCCUGUCGAUGUUCCUCACUCUUAAUUCUAGUUGGCACACCUAAAUCCGGUCCUUCAAAUGACAUAUAUAUACAAUUAACAAUUGAUGUCAAGUUUGGCUAGAUUUUCAAAAGAUUUAUCAAGAUUUCAAAUAGAUCGAUGAAUUGAAUUAGAGAUUAAAGUUUGGAGAUUCGUACGGCGGAGUUACUAAAUUGAAUAAUAGGAACGAGGUGUACUUACCGCUUCUUGGCAAGAAUGGGGAUGUUAUUUAUGACAAUUACUAAAUUGCUAGAAGAAUGAUUGAACUUCAUAAAUUUUCAGGGGUCAAAGUGUAAGUUUACUAUUUACUAAUUUUAAACUUCAUAAAUUUAAAAGAUCAAAUUUUAAAUUUCCAAUUUUAAAGACUCGGCCCCUGCCAACACCCCUUGUUGCCUCUCCUAUAUUAACAAUUCUAAUGAUUACUUAUUAUAAGCACUAAAUUAAAUAAUUAACCUCACUAUAAAUUGAAUAACUCAACAGUUAAAUAUAAUAAAAUUAAACCUAAAAGAGAACUCACGUAUUUAUAUAUAAUAAGACUUAAACUUAAUAUUUCAAAAUUAUCAAAGCUUUAACAUUAUCAUUGAACCCAAGUUUCAUUGCAGUUCUUGAGUACUUAUUGACUUAAAUAUUGAAGUAUGACAUUGUGUUUAAAUACUUUAAUUUCUAACAUAAUUUACUCUCUUUAUUUUUAUAAUGUUAUUGAUCAAUCUAAAUAGUUAAUAUCAUUAACUUUUCGAUUAAAAUAUUAAGUAAUUAUAUAUAAUUUGAAAGUGGAUUUUUAAAUCCAAAAUGUAGAAGGGUUAAAUUCUUAAAAGUAAAAGUAGAUGAAUUAACUUUCAAAUGUACGAAGUGUAUAAAAAAUUAGAGUAUAUUUUAAUCUUCAAAUUUAUACUCUAUAAUUUGAAACAAAUAAAAAAUCAACUUAACACCGUGUGUGAACCGUACUAGUUUUUUUUAACUAAGAUAGUGUAUGGUACAAUCAUUAGCAUAAAAUAUAAGAAUGCAUGUAUUGUUUAACUUUUCAUAUAAUCACUAGUAUGGUCUAUUCACCCUUUUCAUUGGGUUGAUUAUUUGUUUGUGUCAAGUCAUGGAGUAUAUAUUUGACGAUUAAAAUAUAUUCUAAGUAAGACUUUUAGAAUCGAACUGUUGGUUGAAUUGGUAAGGCAUUGGUUCAUACAAUUCGAUUAAAUAAAUUAUAAAAAAAUAAAUUUAUUUAAAAAUAAAAAAAAACUUGUUUAAUUGGUUUUUUAGUCUGGUUCAACCGGUAUGUACCAAUUCACAGGUCUAUCGGUCUGAUGCCUCUCUUCAGAUCGAUACCCUAAGCUAGCUUGCCUAGUCUAGUUCAACAACUUUGACUCUAAAUCUCUAUACUUUGAGCAUUUGAAAUUUAAUUCUCCUACUUCUAUUUCAAAAUUUUAAUUUUUAAAGGUUUUUUUCAAAAAUAACCUAAAUAAAUUAAUUAUUUACAAAAAUGACCCACCUGCAAAAUUAUGUAUGAAACUGACUUGUUUUGAAUUGUUAACUUCGGUGCCGUUGUUGUCAUUGGCAGCAUCACCCUUCAUAAUGGGCCAAUCAAUGGCUAGUUUAAAAAAAUAAAAUAAAAUUAGUUGUCGUCGUUGCCAUUGGUGGCACCAGAUUAAAGUGUGAUUAUAUAAAACGUUCAGGGACCUGAUGAAGCAGUUACCCUUUUAGAUUGGAUGAAAAAAGGGGUGCCACCAUGAUUGCUAGCGGCUCCAAUUAAAUGCUUUUGCAUGUUAGGUCUAUUCCCUUUUGAAAUUAGAUUUAAAUAGUCCUUAAAAAUAUAAGAAUAACAAAAAUAAAUUCUUUUCAUUUUAUUUAUUUAUUUAUUUAUUUUAAAAAUAAACUUAAAAAACUAUAUAAAAUUCUUAUUUAAAUUACCAAAAUAUAUCCCUAAAUUUUUUCCUCAAGUUUUAAAUAAUAUUUUUUUAUUUGAGGAAAAUUCUUGAGGGACAUAUUUGGGUAAUUUAAAUAAGAAUUUUAUAUAAUUUUUUAAGUUUAUCAUUUUUAAAAAAUUAAAAAAAAUGAAAAGAGUUUACUUUUAUUAUUCUUAUAUUUUUAAGAGUUAUUUAAAUUUAAUUUUAAAAGGGGAUAGACUUAACAUGCAAAUAGACCAAAAAUCUAAAUGUAUUUAAUUGGGAGCCGCCAACAAUCAUGGCAGCACCCAUUUUUUCAUCCAGAAAAGGUAAUUGCUUUAUUAGGUCCCUUAAUAUUUUAUAUAAUCACACUUCAGUCCGGUGCCGCCAAUAGCAAUGAUGACACCUAAAAUUUUUUUUUUCUAAAACCAACCAAUAAUUGGCCCAUUAUGAAGGGUGAUGCCACCAAUGGCUACAACGGCACCAAAGUCACUGUUCAAAACGGAUAAUUUUACAAAUAAAUUAUUUUUUGUAAAUAAUUAAUAUAUUUAAAUUAUUUCUGAAAAAAAAACCAAUUUUUAAACUUUCAAAUUAUAUAUACCCAAUAUAAUAUUCUCUUGCACCAUGAAUUGUUGACUAACUUUGUUUUUAUAUACUUAUUUGAUUGCUGAGACAGUUAAAGAUGGUUUUUUAUAGUCGCCAUUUCCUUGUUUUCAACAUGUCAAUUUUAAGGAUAAAAAAUUGAAUAUUUACUUUUAUACAGUGUGCCAAAUUAAUACUUAAUUAUCCAGCAUUAGGUAAGUUUAUUACUAAUCAAUAAAAAUUAUUUUUAAUAAAUUAUUUGUUUCAUUUUUUUAAUAUGAAAAAUUUUAAACUUUACUUUAGAUAUGAAUGCCAUUUAAAUAAAAUAUUUUUAAUACAAUGCUUAGAAUUAUCUAUUGUCCCUCUCUAAUUCAUUAACAGGAGAAUAAUACGUUUCAGCGCAUUUGAUCCUAUGUCCUCCUGCAUUGACGACAAUAUCCAUACCAAUUGAACUAAUACUCAAUCUGCAUUUCAAUAAAAUAUUGAGAUAAGAAAGAAGAUAACUUUCAAUUAUAAAUAGACGCCUUUGAUUAAAUUUGCUUAUUUUUCCUUUGAAUCUUGUGUCUUAAUUCCAAUGUAAAAAGAAUAUAUAUUUCAAAUUGAAAAAUAUGUUAAAUAAAUUCUGAAAAAUAUCAUUAUUCAAAGUGUCAAGCGUUCAUGUUUGAAUGGUUAUUUUUUAGGUUAAAGUAUUAUAUGAGUUUUCGUUCUUUUCUAAAAUUUACAACUAAAUUUUUCUAAUUUCAUUUUUAGGAAUUUAUGUUCUUUAUUUUUCAUAUUUUAAAAUUUAGGUCCAAUUUUAAUAUCAUUAUUUGUCUGAUUAAAUUUGUUGGUGUGAUAUUUUAAAAUAAAAAAAUAUUCACUUAAUAUCUAUGUAAUUAAAAAAUGACGUUGAAAUUAAAUUUUAAAUUCUUAAAAAAUAAAAAUAUAGAAAUUAAAUUCUAAAUUUUUAAAAAUCACAUCUACUUAGCAUGUUUUAACCUAACUUUUAUUAGAUAAUUUUCGUUUUCUUUUAUAUUUUUUUCGAAGAAUUUCGUAGCUAUGUAGUGAGAAUUUCGUCACUGAAUUUGACUAAUUUGCAUUUUUUUAUGACUCAAAUGACUUUUCAACACUCUCCAAGUGUAUCAAAUAUAUAAUAUGUUCGUAUAUACCAAUUUUCAAGUCAAUAAGUUUACUGUCUUUUUAUGGAUGGCUGAAAAUACGAUAAUUUGCCUUUUUCUUUUCCUCGAAAUUUUCAAUUGUAAUUAAUAUAAUAUAUAAUAGGAUAAAUUUUUUGAGUAGCUAAUUUUUUUAAUAUACUUUUAACAUAAUAGGGUUAUCAAUUUUGAUCUGAGUUUAAAAUUUAAUUUGAAGAAUUUAAAUAUAAAUUUAAUCUAAUUCGAUUUGAUAAUAAAAAGUUAAUAAUUUAAAUUUAAAUUGAUUCAAAAUUAAAAUGUUUUGAAUUUGAAAUGAUAUUAAUCUGGAAUGAUUUGAAUAUAAAAAUAACCUAAAGAUCACUUGAAAUUUCUAAAACUCGAACUAAUUUAUCCUAAUGAUCUGACCGAUUAAUUAAUAGAUCUAGUUAUAGGUAUUAAGGGAAGUUUGGUUAAUUACUAUUAGGUUAAGGAAAAAAUAUCGAUAUUAUGAAAUUAUUAUUGUGAAUUUUCUAUGUGUUGUGCUUCUUUAUAUUUAAGCAUUUGUAUUGAUUUUGCUUGUGAUGGGACUCACACUGAGUUUCAUAGCUUAUUCCCUUUUGAUUUUUAUCUUUCAGAUAACCCAUCAAGUUAGGACGCGAACAGGACAUCUGAAGGGUCUCGACUCAAUCUUAUUUAUUAAAAUAUUUUUAAGUUAUUAUUUGAUAAUUUAAUAUAUUCAAAAACUAUAUUAUUUUAUUUUGAACUGUGGCAUGAGAUUUAGGUUUUGAUUUUAAUAGUAUGCAUGCCUUUUAAAUUGUUUCUUUUUAAAACGAUGAAAUAUAGAACUUAUUAAAACUAUGUAAAAAUCACUUUUCCACUGCUAAGUUUAUAAAUAAAUUUUAGAAGAAUAAAUAAAUUAACUAAAAUUAACUAUUUUAAAAACCAAAAACACUAGAAGACCAUUGCAGUGGUUGAUGUAAUAUUCCGAAUUUGAAUCUGACGUUUAGGCUGGGCUAAGGGUUGCAAAAUAUGUCAAUUGAGUCUUUAAAAUAUCAACAUUGUAUCAAAUAGGUUUUCCAUUAGCGUAGUAGAUAAUCUAAGUGUUAAAUGUCAAUUAGGAUGUGGAUUAAACUGUAAACUCAUGUAUAUCUACCAUAUGAAAAUUUUGGAUUUGACAUAUUGAAAAAAUAGUGUAAAAAAAUUUAAAUAUGCGGUAGAUAUAUAUAUUUUUAUAAUUUGAUCUACGUAUUUUAAAUACACUUCAUCUCAAAUUUGAGUUGGCAUCUAACGCCUAAUAUAAUUGUUUAACUAAUGAAAGGACUUGAUUGAUAUGAUACCAAUACUUUAAAGACUAAAUUAAGAUAUUUUAAAAAUUGAAGAUGAAUUUUAAAUAUGUAUACUUUGAGAACAUUAUGCCAUAAGUAGUCACUCGUAAAGCACAGUAGUAAACAAGUUAGGUUGCUUAGUCCUUGUUCAAACUUGACAUGCUCUAUUAUAAAAAUCAAUGAAAAAAUCAGUCUUCUGGUCUGAAGGAAAUGCAUGCACCGAUUUAACUUCAUUCAAUUUUAAAUUCUUUUAUACAUUUGGUUAAGACUUAAGAUACUUAAAUAUUAUUUAUUAUUUCAGAAAGGUUUCUUGCAUUUAAUAUAUUAUUAAUAAUUUUUUAUUGACUUAACAAAAGAAUAUAUUAUUUUUAUUAAUUUUAAAAAUAGUUUAUUUAUUAUAUUUAUAUAUGAAAAAAGUUUGAUACUUAGAAUUCUAAGAAUAUAACCUUUCUUUUGUAAAUUUCAUUUACCUUACAAUAAAUUUUUUUUUUCUAAGUUUUUAAAUCCAUCCAUUUAAAAAAAAAAUUCUAAAAUCGUAAAGAGAGUGGGUCAAAUAAGUGACAAAUUUAUUUAUUUUAAAAUGCUAAUGAGUAAACAAAUACAUUUGAUUACUAAGGAUUAAAAGUAACAUGAAAAACAUUUUUUUUAAAGUAAAUUUUACAUCAAAAUAAGUCAGUAUUUUAAAUACUACAGAGUCGUAUUGUUAUUACUUUCCACUGAUAUUUCCUAAGAAAUUAAUAUAAAAUUACGGGUGGAUUGAGGUCAUAAAUUCUGUGAAGAGUAUGUCAAAAGCAGAGAAAAGAAUAAAUAUCAUUCAUGCCCUCAAACAUUUUGAUCGAACUGCAAAAGUUUAAAAUCAAUAGAGGAUAUUUAAACAUUUUUUACAGACAUCAACUUUGAAUCAAAAGAAUCAAACAAAAGACAAAUCAACAUUUCUUUUAAUCUAUUUGUAUUUCUCAUGCACUUUGUUUUCUUGAAUUUAAGUUCUCCUUUUUUGACUUCAAAUAUCACCACUAUUUUUCUUACCUAUAAAUACAUGCAACAAUUGCACUCUUAUCCUCACACAAAUUCUGUGCCAAAUUUCAAGAGCAAACCAGAAAAAGGCUGCAAAUUCAGCUUUUCAAUAUCUGCUUUUGAUCAAUCGAAAUGGCUUCACAAGUUUCUCAAAUGCCUUCUUCAUCACCCCUUUCUUCCAAUAAGGAUGAAAUCCGUCCCAAAGCCGAUUUUCAGCCUAGCAUUUGGGGAGAUCUCUUCCUCAAUUGUCCCGACAAGGUAUACAUACAUAUCACCAUAUUGAUAUAAUCUUAACAUAUUAUUUGUUUAAUUAUUUAGUGAUUCAAUAUGAAGAAAAUUUUCAUUAUUUUGAGCAGAAUAUUGAUGCUGGAACUGAAAAACGCCACCAACAAUUGAAAGAAGAAGUGAGGAAGAUGAUUGUGGCACCAAUGGCUAAUGCAACCCAAAAGUUAGCCUUCAUUGAUUCAGUGCAAAGACUGGGUGUGAGUUACCAUUUCACCAAGGAGAUCGAAGAUGAACUAGAGAAUAUCUACCAUAACAACAAUGAUGCCGAGAACGACCUCUACACUACAUCUCUUCGAUUCCGACUACUCCGAGAGCAUGGAUACAAUGUUUCAUGCGGUAAUUAUUGGAACAACAACAUAGUGUUUUUAAGUUUCUUGAGAAUAUAAUAGCAUGGAAUGUUUGAUAACGAUAUUUCAUUUUGGGUAAUUUCAUCUCAGACGUAUUCAACAAGUUUAAAGACGAGCAAGGGAAUUUCAAAUCAACCGUGACAAGCGAUGUUCGAGGAUUGUUGGAACUUUACCAAGCUUCUUAUUUGAGGGUUCAUGGGGAAGAUAUAUUGGAUGAAGCAAUUUCUUUCACCACCAACCAUUUAAGCCUUGCAGUAGCAUCUUUGGACCAUCCUUUAUCCGAAGAGGUUUCUCAUGCUUUGAAACAAUCAAUUCGAAGAGGCUUGCCAAGGGUUGAGGCAAGGCACUAUCUUUCAGUAUACCAAGAUAUUGAGUCCCAUAAUAAGGCUUUGUUGGAGUUUGCUAAGAUCGAUUUCAACAUGUUACAAUUUUUGCAUAGGAAAGAGCUAAGCGAGAUUUGUAGGUAUGUUUUUUUAAUCUCUUUCACCCAUUUUUUCUUUUUCAUCUUUUUUAUUUAUUUAUUUUUUAGUGGAAGGAGGGUUGAAUUUAUUGGAGACAUCAUUCUCAAUAUAGGAGACGAGAUGCAAAUGCUAAUAUUUGAAUCUUAUUAAAUAGCACAAGUUAAAAGUGAUGGCAUCAACCUUGGAUUCAUCUUUUUCACCUAUAUCAUUUUAUUUAUAUAUAUUUUUGCCAAUUGACUUAAAUCUAACAACAUGAAUGUGAAACUAAUUGAAACUUUGAACAUAUAUUGUGCUAAUGGGGUUUUUUAUGAAAUGAUUUUUUAGGUGGUGGAAGGAUUUAGACUUUCAAAGAAAGUUGCCAUAUGCAAGAGAUAGAGUGGUUGAAGGCUAUUUUUGGAUCUCGGGAGUGUACUUUGAGCCCCAAUAUUCACUUGGUAGAAAGAUGUUGACAAAAGUGAUAGCAAUGGCAUCUAUAGUAGAUGAUACAUAUGACUCAUAUGCAACAUAUGAAGAGCUCAUUCCAUAUACAAAUGCAAUUGAGAGGUUAGAUUUCUUUAAUUUUGUUGGUAAUAGGUUAGGUUUCUUUAGUUGAAGUUAACAUUCAAUAAUAUAUUACGAGGAAUGAUUAAAUAUAACAUUGAAGUUGGAUUCAGGUGGGAUAUCAAAUGCAUAGAUGAACUUCCUGAAUACAUGAAGCCGAGCUACAAGGCACUAUUAGAUGUUUACGAAGAAAUGGAACAACUGGUGGCUGAGCAUGGGAGACAAUAUCGUGUCGAAUAUGCAAAAAAUGCGGUAUGUACAUCACCAAAUAUUUAUUUUGUACACAAGAGAUAAGAUAUUAGUUAAAUUAUAGAUUUGAAUAAACAACUAACUUGAAUAAUAAUAUAUAAUCAUUUAAAUAUUAUUUUUGAAUUUGAAUUGAUAUUCGUAAUAAUUGUUUGAGAUUUUGUUGCCUCAGAUGAUACGACUUGCUCAAUCUUACCUUGUGGAGGCCAGAUGGACUCUUCAAAACUACAAACCAUCAUUCGAGGAGUUUAAGGCUAAUGCAUUGCCAACUUGUGGUUAUGCCAUGCUUGCUAUUACAUCUUUCGUCGGCAUGGGAGAUAUCGUAACACCAGAGACCUUUAAAUGGGCAGCCAAUGAUCCUAAGAUCAUUCAAGCUUCCACAAUUAUUUGUAGGUUUAUGGAUGAUGUUGCUGAACACAAGGUAUAAUAAUAUAUUUAUAUAAUUACAAGAAACCGAACUCUUAACUAAAUAAUUGAGUGUCUUUGCAAUGAAAUCAAACGAUGGUUUUUAUCAUGAUCUGAAACAAUUAAAGUUUAAUGUUUAUAUAUAUAUAUAUAUAUAUAUAUAUAUAAUAUUUACUCUUAAAUAGAAGAAUAAGAAAAAAAACUAGUUUCAUUUUAACGUUACUAGAGAGGAAGUAUCGUAAAAAAAGGUAUAUAGUGAUUGAAUAAUUUUGAUUUUAUUACGGCUGCAGUUCAAGCAUAGGAGAGAAGACGAUUGCUCAGCAAUCGAGUGUUACAUGGAAGAAUAUGGCGUAACAGCACAAGAGGCAUAUGAUGUAUUCACCAAGCAUGUUGAGAGUGCUUGGAAGGAUGUAAAUCAAGAGCUUUUGAAACCAACAGAAAUGCCAACCGAGGUUUUGAACCGUAGCCUAAACCUUGCAAGGGUGAUGGAUGUACUUUACAGGGAAGGCGAUGGCUAUACAUAUGUUGGAAAAGCGGCUAAGGGUGGAAUCACUUCAUUGCUCAUUGAACCAAUUGCACUUUGAAAUUAUGUUAAUUUUUCCUCUCCAAGCUUGUUUCCUAAGAAAUAGUUAUUAAGUUCUAAUUAAUAAUGUUUUAUAAUAUUCAUAUAUUAUAAAAGAAAGUCCAAAUCUAUUAUCUUUGUACUUAUUGCCUUAUAUUAAUUCAAUAAAGUUCUUUCCAAACUUUUCAUUGUGAAUAUCUUCUAUUUUAUAUAUUAAUUGAUUUUUUUAUAUAUUUUUUUGGUAUAAAAUAAUAUGUAAUAUAAAAAUAAGAUCAGUUAUAAAUACCCGAAUUAAGAUUAAAAAAAAUCCACUAAACACUACCACCUAAAGUUUAUUAAGAUAAGUUUUGAAUUAUUUAUUUAUUUAUUUCGGUAUAUCAUUAACUUUGAAAAAUAAAAUAUUUGAGAAAUUAUUUUAUGAAUCUUUCCCACUACAUCAUUUAGGGUUUAUUUCCAUUUUUGGUAUAAUGACAUUUCAGCAACUUUUUCCAUAUCAUUAACAAAAUUUUGGUAUUUUUUUUAACCCUAAACCUUGAACCAUGAAUCUUAAAUCCCAAACCAUAAACCUUGAAUCUAAAACCUUAAAUCCCAAACCCUGAACGUUGACCUCAAACCCUAAACCUAAAUAUCAAACUCUAAACCCAAACUCAAACUUUAAAUCCCAAACUCGAAUCUUGAACCUUGAACCUUAAAUCCUAAAUUCUAAACCUUGAACAGUUUCUAGUUUGGGGUUCAGGGUAAAAUAAUUACCAAAAUUAUAUGUCAGUGACAUGAAAAAAUUACUAAAAUAUCAUUAAAUAACUGGAAAUGGACCAUAAAUAAUAUGAUCAGAAUGAUCCAUAAAAAAAUUUCUCCAAAAUAUCGAAUAUUAAUUUCCACUUAAAAGUCAACAAAUAUAUAACCAAUCCCAAAAAAUCAAUAGUGAAAUUCAAAUUUGUGUUACACAAUAUGUUGCAUCACAUGUAAUAAAUAUUGUAAAAAGAUAAACGUCUUUUUUAAGGAAACUAUCAAAUUUAACCAUUAGUAGAUGAUAAAAGUUUUUGUAAUCAAAUAAAUUAUAUUAUAAUUUAUGUUAUACAAAAUUUGGUAAUAAAAUAAAAUAUAUUAUAAUUUAUGUUAUACAAUGUAGUAUAAUAUAUAAAAAUAUUGUAAUGUUGUAGUAUAUUUUGUAAUGACUAUUUUCACCAACCAAAAUAUAUUAUUUAAAUUUGAAAUAACGUAAAUGUUAAGUUUCUAAUAUAUAAUAUUAUAUAUGUACGUAUGUAUGAGUCAAGUACUGACGGCUACCAAAACAAAAUGUUUUAAAUCAAAGAAAAAAAAAACAAUGAGUAUAUUAUAUUAUUAGUCACUAAAUUAUAAGUAAAUUUUUAUUUUGGUCACUUAAUUAAAAAAGUUACAAAUUAAUUACAAAUGUUUUCUAGAUUUUUUUUUUGGUCACUUGACUAUUAAGUGACACUUUUUAGUUAGUAUAAUUACAAGUUUGGUCCUUGAUUUUUAUACUUUAUGUCAAUUUGACCCUAAUGAUGUAGUCGUAAACCAACUAAAAAUCUGACUAAGGCAAGUGUACCUAUCAAUUAAUAGUAUAGCUACGGUGAGCAAAUAUAUCGUUCCCACGAUGACUAAAAGUAGUAGAAAUUACUAUCUUUGUAUUAUUUAAUCGAUAAAUUCGAAUGAUUGAUUGAAAAUUAAAAUUAUCUAAACUAAUUGCUAAUGAACACGAUAAAAAAUAAUUAAGGAAAAUAAACGAUUAACAACCAAGAAGCGAAACAAUACCCAAGAAAGAAUUCACCUAGGUUUCAUCUGUUAUUAUCAAUCUAAAUUACGUAAUUUCUUCACUUUGUAUCUUGAUCUGUAGAAAUCCCUAAAUUAUGUUAAUAUCUCUCUUCAAGACUAAGAGCAACUGACUCUAGGUUGAUUAAUUGAAAUUUCUUUCUAAUUAAAACCCAUAUUACUGCAUUAACUCAAUCUAUGAAUCCCCCUAUUAGAUUUCACUCUACUGUAAUAUAUUUAUGUCGUCCUGUUUCUAGGAUUGCAUGCAACUUCACUCAAUUAUGCUAGAUCUACUUUUAGACAAGGUAUAUUCCUCAUCUGAUUUAAGCACAUCAAACAUGAAUUAAUAAUUUAGAAAUAUCAAACUAAGAAUUAAGCACACAUAAUUGAGAACAAGUGCAAUACCCCGAAAAUUUACUACAUUAAGAAAGUAAUAUAAUAUCCCUGAUAUAGUAAAAUAAGGAAAUAAAGUGAAAAAGGGGUAAUUUUGAGUUAUGUCAACAUUGGGAAGUAUAUUAUGACAUAUUAAUUCAAGAAAGGAUUAAAUCGUAAAAGUGAGAAAAGUUUUGUUGCCCAAGAGUAAAUAUUCAAAAUUUGAGGGGUUAAAAUGUAAAUAUGAAAAAGUUGAAGGACCAAUAGUGUAAAUAUUUUAAGGGUGGAAUGAUCUAGAAAUUAAGGAAAAUGGAUGAAUUGGGACCAAAUUGAAUAGGUGAAGAAUUAUGAGGACUAAAUCAUAAUUUUACCAAAUUAAGUGAUGACUCAAGGAUGAAAUUUUAAAAGAUCAUAAAGGGCAAAAUGGUGAAUUAGAAGAAAGAGAAAUCUAGAAGAAAAUGAUGAUGUUGGAGAUAUUUUAGAUUAAAUAAAUAAAUAAAUAAAUAUUAGUUUAUUAAUAUUUUAAUUUGAUUUUUAAAUGAUAUUUUAUUAUUUUAUUAUUAUUCUAUUUAGUAUAUAUAUGGAAGGAAAGAUGAAGAAUCAUCUUCUUCUUCCCAUGCAUCAAUGUAUGAAGAGAAAAGAAAGAAAGAAACUUUCUUUUCUUUACAAUUUGGUCCUUUCACCAAAUAUUCGCCAUUUUCACUUAGAAAUCAAAAAAAUUUCCAUAUCCAUCAAGAGAGAAAGAUAACAAGGAGACUAUGGGGAGUUAGAAUAUCAAGUUAGAUUCAAGCAAUAGAAGCUGGGGGAGAAAGAAAAUCAAGUUAAAGUUUGAAACUAAGAGGACAAGAUAAGAACAUCAAGAUUUCAAUAUAUUUUGAAGUUUGAUAUUAUUGAAAAAGCAUGAAAAUGAUGUUAUAGUAAAGUUUUCUUAUAUAAGAUCUUAUGUUCUUGAUAUAUUAGUGAAGGGAAAUAAGUGAAAGUGAUGGGAAAUAUUAUAGAGAAAGGGAAUAAGGGAGUUAUAAACUUAGUAAUCAACAUCUUGCACUAAAACAGUUUUGGACAGAAGUAGUACGUUAAAUUUGAAAAAUCAUCAUAAAUCGUAGAAAUCGAAUUAGAGGAUGAAAAAAUAUGGAAUUAAAGCUUAUUGAGUCUAGUUUUUCAUAAAAGAAACAGUGUAAGUAAUAGAAUUGUAAAUCAUGAGAUAUAAUAAAUUUUUUGAGACAAGGUCAGAAUGAAUUCGGGUUUCCCUAUUCUGACUUUGGAAAAUAAUUAAAAAUUGUAUAAAAAUAAUUGUGGGUUAUAAUUUAUAUGUUUAAAAUUAUUAAUGAAUCUACCCUCAGUAAAAACAAAUGGGAACAUCAUCCAAAUCUCGUACGAGGAGAUAAUUAAUUUUUAGUGAAGAAGGGUUGAAACUGUCAGACAGCAGAACAGGGAUGCCUUUAAAGAAUAAACUAUACUUAUUGGCUAAACCAUAAAUUCUGAAAAGUUUAUGGUAAGAAUAUAUGUGAGUUUAGUUUCAUAUAAAUUUAGCAGAUCUUAAUUUGGAGUUCCGUAGCUCAAGAUAUAAAUAAUUUAGUGACCAUGACUCAAGUGGACAGCUUUGAAUGAACAUAUAAAUAAAUAGUGAAAUUAUAGAUAAUGUUACAUAUAAGCAUGUUAUAAACAUUAAGGAUGUGGAAUGGAGAGGAAGAGGAGGAAAAUAUAUGAUUAUUCAACUAGCAUGAGUUUUCAUUAAAAAUGGCUAAUUUGCAUGCUUUAGGUUUAGGGACUAAAUUGAAUAAAAGUAAAAUUUUAAGGGUAGAUUUGUAAAAAUAUCAAAAAGUGACCAAAUUGAAUGAAAUAUUAAUUUAGAUCUAGAUUGGGUGGAAAUUCGAGGAAAAUAAAAAUUACCAAAAUGUCCUUGAAUUUUGGUAUUUUUGCAAUUUAGCCUGGUAAGUUCGUAUGAACUAUAUUCUGUAUAAUUUUAAUUAAAGUGAAUGUUAUUUGGUGAUGAAUAUUAUAUAAAUAUGUGUUUUAUUAUUGGAAUUGAAUUAUUAUUGGUAAUAUGUAUAAUUAUUAGAUGCAUUGAAAUUAUUAUCGGAAGCUCGAUUGGGUUGGAAGCUUGUCGGAGAUAUAUCACACUAUCCAUUGGUUCUAUCGGUAAUUUUGGAUGAUUUGAUUCUGGUUAUAAUGGAAUGUAUAAGUUAAAUUGGCCAACGUUAGCUCAUUAAUGUUUAGAUUUUAAUUGGUUAUAAAUAUGAAUGCUUGAUAAAAUGAAAUGUCUGUAAAUUAAUUUGUAAACUCCAGUAAUGCUCUAUAACCCAAUUUUGGCGAUGGAUACGGGUUAGGGGUGUUACAACAAGAUCCAAGUAUUUAUUGCAUAAAAAUAGAAAUCAAAUAACAGAAUCUAUCUUAGGGUUCAUCUCCCUAGGUAUUUUGAAAAUUAGUUCAUGAUAACAAAUAAAAACAUUCCAAAGACAAUAUAACCACAAGAAAUAAAGAAACUCUUAAUAAACUUCAAAGAAAUCAAAAGGAGAUCUUUAAUCCUGAUGGAAAUUUGCUUCAGAGUCAGCUUCAAUGGUGUUUUUCGAGUUAUUUUCUUGAGUAUUUAAUGAUAGUCCUCUCCCAUCUUCUUAUUUUUGUCAUGUAUAGGUCUUAAAAUGUUCGAAAAACCUAUAAAAAAAUUUCUCGCGAGUUUGGAGUGCGAUUCGCUAUUUCCACACGGGUUGGCACAUGACCGUGUGGCAACUCAUGUGGCUUAGAUGGUCAUGUGUCCAGCCCAUGUAGAACGAUCUAGCUUGUGUGGCUCCUAAAACCUGUUCUGAUUUUCGCUCCUUUCCAAAUGCUCCCCUAAAUAUAAAAACAUGAAUUUAAAGGAUUAGGAAUAAAAAAUUCACCAUUUAAAUCGAAUAAUCAUCCAAAAACCUUUAAUGUGCUUUAUAUUAGUUUAAUUCUACUUUAUAAUUUGUUCAGGCAUGUAUUUGUGAUUAUACUAUAAUCACACCGUAUUGUACUUGUAAACUAAAACAAAAUUUAUAAUUUCAUAUUAUUUUUUUAAUAUUAGUUUUACAUCCUCACUCAUCAAGUAAAUUUGGGUUAUAAUUAUUUGAUUAUUGAGCUUCUGAAGAUGAAUUUUUUAGGCAUAAUGACUUAUUUGAUCUUUUAAAUUUUUUUUUAAAAAGUCAUUUUAGCCUUCCAUUUAAGUUUUUGUCUCGUUUAGCUGUUAAAUUUGCGUUUUCUACCAAAUCACCCUAAAAUGGAUUAAAAAGCUAAUAUAUGUUAACUUUGUUAGCAUGAUUGCCAUGUGGAUACUAUCUCAACAAUUAAUUUUUUUAAAAAUUUAAUCAUAAAAAAUCAAAAAUCCAAAUCCAAAUUAACCAAAACCCGAAAUAUUUUGAACUUAAAAUGAUUUUAACGAAAAAAGAAAUUAAAUCUAAAAUGAACCGACCAAAAAACCCAAAACCUCAUGUUUAAAUUAUAUGAAUUUAGAAUUAUUCAAAUCAAAAUUCUUAUUCCAAAAUUAUUCAAAUCUAAAAAUUUUAAACUAAAAUAUCCUAAAAAUGUUAAAACUCAGAAUUAAUUGUUCCAAAUCACCCGGCCGCUCAACUGAAUGAUCUAAUUAUAGGUAAUAAUUGAAGCUUGUUUAAUUACUAAUUGUUUACUAAUUGUUUUACGAUUUUUGUUAAGUUAAAAGAUAAUUUAUUAAUUUUAUAUGAUCCAACAUAGAGGUGCUCAUGGGUUGGGCGGCCCGGCCCGACGGCCCGCCCGAAAUUUGGGAGGGUUCGAGUAAAAAUAUAGGCCCGAAUUAUGGGCUUGGGCAAAAAAUAAGGCAAAAUUUUUUUGGCCCGGGCCCGGCCCGGCCCGGCCCAGAUCUAAUUAAUAUAUAUUUUAUUUUUCAAUUUUAUUAUUACAGUUACAUUUCCCAAUUCCCCUCCCCAUUUCCCAUUUCCCGACCCCGUGUAUCUGUAAAUCCUUAACCCCUUCCCUCCUCCCUUUUUUUCCCCCAAAUCGAAAACCCACCUCCACCGAUCCACCAUUCCACCUCCGGUGUCCGGUCCUCCACAACUCCACCUCCACUCUAGCCUUCAACGUGGUAGAAUUUCAAAGGUAAGUUUGCUUUUAACCCUAUUUCUUGUUAACGGUUUUCUAAUUUUUCAACGUCUUCUCCCCUUUUUGCUUUUUGAUUUUGAUUGUGAUUUUGAUUUUUGCUGUUAACGAUUUUCUGAUUUUGAUUUUGAGACACUGAAUCUUGGGGGAUUUUGAUUGUGUUUACACUUUACAUAUUGUUCUAUUUUUUUUUAGUUCUUUUGCGGAUUAAUGUGAUUUUCUUUUCUUGAAUGAUGAUUGUUCUUUUGUUGCAAAUUCGUUCUUUUAUUAAAACCGAAAAAGGAAGAAAAUCAAUAGAAUUGGAUUUAGGGUUUAUGGAAUCUAAAAAAACUGAAAAAAUAACCCUCCAAAUUGACUGCUUAAAUUAAACUAAACUAAUAUGUCACUGUCAUUAACAACAAUUUUCAUUUUGGAUGAGAAUUAAGAGCAAAAUUGUAUUAUUCAAUUAUUAUUGGAUGAGAAUUGAUUUAUGUUUUAUAGAACAUGUAAUUUGCAGGGCUGAAUUCUGAGAUCACAUACAAGUAUAUUUUUUCUGCUUCUUUCAUGCAUGCUGGUUCACAAACAGUAGGUGGUAGCCUCGUUAAGGCUUGUGGUAGCUUGGGUGCUAUUAAACAAGGUAAGCAAGUUCAUGGAAACUUUUUAGUAUCACCCUAUUUUGAUGAUGAUGUUGUUAAGUCAUCUUUGGUUGAUAUGUAUGCAAAAUGUGGAUUACCUGAUGAUAGUCGUUUAGUUUUCGAUUCUAUUAAGUUGAAAAAUAUGGCUUCUUGGACUGCUAUCAUAUAUGGCUAUGCUAGAAAAGGAAGAAAAGAAGAGACUUUGGAGUUGUUUUUAAGGGUUCACCUGAAAAAUUUGUUUGCUUGGACUGCUUUGAUAUCUGGGUUAAUACAGAGUGGAAAUGGGGUUGAUGCAUUUGGCUUGUUUGUUAAUAUGAGAAGGCAAGGGAUUAUUAUAAUUGACCCUCUUGUGCUUUCAAGCAUUGUUGGUGCCUCUCCUCAUUUAGCGAUGUUGGAAAUAUAAGUUUUACUUAAAAUCAAAAGUUAGUUUUUUUCUUUCUUUCUCUGAUCUUUACUGUAAAUAUAAGUUUGAUCUAUUGUAGUUAAAUAACUAGUUUAUUAUACUGUUUUAACAUAUUGUUUUAAUAUAUUGUUUUAGUAUACUGUUAUAAAUAUACCAUUUUAAUAUAAUGUUUUAAUAUACUGUUAUAAAUAUACUGUUAUAAAUAUACUGUUUUAGUAUACUGUUAUAAAUAUACUGUUUUAAUAUACUGUUAUAAAUACUACACCUUAAUUAUUAAUGUAAUAUACUGGUUUAAUAUAUUAUUAUAAAAUUUGUAAUAUACUAUUUUAAUAUAUUGUUAUAAAUUAUCACAGUGAGACCAGUUAAAUUAUCAUAGUUGUCGAAAUCGUUUUUUGAAAAACAAAAAUUUAGUUGUCGACUUUAAAAAUAAAAUUGGAGUCGCCACUGAUCCUUUAUUAAGGUGUGAUCGGCUCACCUUAAAAAUUAUUUUGGUCUACGAAUUUUGAGAAAACGAGUUCGGGAGUCAGUUACGUACGAGGAAGGGUUAGCACCCUCGUAACGCCCAAAAUCGGUACCAAAUUGAUUAUUUGAUGUCUUGGUGUCGAAAGUUAAAAAAGAUUUUAAAAUAAGCUUGAAUGAUGAAAUUUGAAAAAUGAUAAUCAAUUGUUCAAGUCAUGUAAAGAAACUGAGUCCCAAUACGUUAGGGUACAAUUCCUCAUAAUCCCCGAACUUUGAAUAUCACUUUUAUUUUAUGCAAAAAUCUUCAUUUCGAGAAAGUAACAGGCCACACCCAAUACGUUAGGGCACAACAAGUUAAGUUCCCAAAAAUGAUUUUUAUGCUCAUGCAUUUUGAAUAAAGAAUAUUCUCAGUCAUUUAAGAUUGACAAAGAAAAUCAGAACCCGAUACGUUAGGGCUCAAUUUUCCUCGAAAAUCCCAAACUUCAAAAAAUGCUUUUAUUCAAAAAACCUUUAAAUCAAGAAAAUAACUUUGAUGAAUGGUUAAAACUAAAAUGUAUUUUUAAAAGGGUACGUUAAAAAAGUUAAUGUACAAUGUGGUACAGAUACUUUAAUUCACAACAUAUACGAAUAAAUAUUUACAAAUAUAUAUAUACAAAUAUAAUAUAACAAUAAAGUUGCAAACAUAUGUACACAUAUAUCAAAAACACAUAUACAAGUAUACAUGCAAAUAGAAGAAAUGAAAUAUAUCCAAUAAAACAAACAAAAAACAUGUAUAAAAAGAAAAUAAAAGUAUAAAAGAAAAUGCAUAUGUAUAUAUUUUCAGAAUAAAGGAAAAAUAUAUAAAAAAUAAGAAAAUAAAAUAAGGAUAUAAGGAAAAACGUAUGUAUAAAUAUAUGCAUGUAUAUAUUAUAUAAAACAAAUGCGCAUGUGUAUGUAUUUUACGAAAAACAUUUUUUGAAAAUGAAAUUCACAAAAUAUAUGUUUUGUAAAAAAUAUGAAAGAAAAAAAGAAAAUUAUAUAUAUAUAAAAUGUGCAUGUAUAGAAAACCAAUAUAUGUAUAGAUAUAUAUAUUAUAUAAACGUGUGUAAAUGUAUAAGAAUACUAGAAAAACUAAAAAAAAAAUGACUAAUGAAGGAUUAAAUCAAAAAGAAUCUUAAGGGCCGAAUUUAAAAUAAAAUUUUAAAAAAGGGGCCACUUGAAUGCGCGCGUAACAGUGGAGGACCAAAAAGGAAAUAUGCCCAUUGAUCCCACGGCACCGUUUCGACGUAAUCUACAGUCCUGGUUGAUGAACCAAAUUGAAACAGGCGCGAAAUUUUGUGGCAAAAUUGCAAACGUGCGAAAUACUACAUUUAAAAUCAAAAUAAAAUAGGAAGGACCGGACGUGCAAAUAUCCCAUAUGACGUCAGAACGCGCGAAUCCUCCCCUCCGGGUCGGGUCACCGCGCAGGUCUGGCCAUUCAAAACGGCGUCGUUUUGAUCUGUUAUUUAAAACAGAAUUUUCUUUCUAAAACCAUUUUAACAAAAUGAAAAUAAAUAAAUCAAUAAAUCCCCCCCUUUUGCUCUGCUAGGGUUUCACCCCUAGCGUCCUCGCGCUGCCGCUCGCCUGGCCAACGCUCCGAUCGCGACGGAGGUGGCCACCGAUCCGGCAUUCUCAACGAAUGGGGUAAGAUCCUUUCCCUUGCUUUUAUUUCUAAAAAAACGCAAAAAGAAAAGAGAAAUAUAAAAACAACAGAAUGGAACCCGAUUCACCUUUUUAAAAACUUUGUAUUUUUAAUAUUUUUCUUUUGUAUUUCUCUGUAUCCACUCUCUGUUAUCCCCCUUUUACAAAAUAACAGUGGCUUUAUAUAGCCCAAAAACUAUUUGUUGCUUUUUAUUUUACACUAUAUUUUCGCGGAUGGACUCUCUGAGUCCGUGUUUGCAGGCGAGAGUGGAUCAAAUGGCGCGCGUGGAGAGGUCAGCCCUGAGACGUGUGGCGCUUGGAAAGGCUGCUGAAGGCGGGGAGGCUGCGACGCUCGCUUGCUGGUACUAUUUUAGGUGUAUUGGGCUAGGGUUUAGGUUGGGUAGUGUAUUGGGUCUUGUUCAUUAGCUUGGGCCUGAGUGUUAUAACGUGAAAUGGGUUUUAGAUUGAGCCUGGGCCGAUUGGGCCCUAUUACAGCUGCCCCUCUUUGCUCAUUGUCGUGUAACGGGAAUAGAGCAAAGACUACAGGGCCCAAUUGUCCCUUGUCUUGUGGAGCCUCAACUUCUUCAAUGCUUCUCUUCUUUAGGUAGCCACGUUCCUUCCUGCUGCAUCUUCAGGGGUAUAGGCACUGGUGCUCCAAUCUACUCCACUGCAAUGUCGGGGAGAUAGGAUUUGUAUGCUGUAGCUUCUUAAAAGGACAAAAUUUGCUAUUUUUAAUCUGCUCCACUGCAACUUCAGGAAGAUAAGACUUGUAGCUUCAAUUUGUUCUGCUACAACUUAAAGAUAAAUCUUGGCGCGAUCUGCUCUGCUGCAACUUCAGAGAGAUGAGAUCUGUGGUUUUAAUCCACUCCAUUGCAACUUCAAGGAGAUAGGAUUUGUUACUUCUGUCUGCCCCACUGCAAUUUCAGGGAGAUAAAACCAGAUAUAAUUUGCUCUCUGCGACUUUAGAGUAAUGGGAUCUGCUGCGCUUGAUCUACUUCACGCCAAUGAAGACAAGGUCUGUUCUCUUCGAUCUACUCCACCACCAGUAUGGGGAGACAAGAUCUGUUGUCUUUGAUCUACUUCACGCCAAUACAUGAAGACAAGAUCUACUUUUUCCUUCGAUCUACUUCGCCACCAGUAUGGGAAGACAAGAUCUGUUGCCUUUGAUCUACUUCACGCCAGUACAUGAAAACAAGAUCUGCUUUCUUCGAUCUGUUUCGCCACCAGUAUGGGAAGACAAGAUCUGUUAUCUUUGAUCUACUUCACGCCAGUACAUGAAGACAAGAUCUGCUUUCUUCGAUCUGUUUCGCCACCAGUAUGGGAAGACAAUAUCUGUUAUCUUUGAUCUACUUCACGCUAGUACAUGAAGACAAGAUCUGCUUUCUUUGAUCUGCUUCGCCACCAGUAUGGGAAGGCAAGACCUGUUACCUUUGAUCUACUUCAUGCCAGUACAUGAAGACAAGAUUUGUUUUCUUCGAUCCGCUUCGCCACCAGUAUGGGAAGGCAAGAUCUGUUAUCUCUGAUCUACUUCACGCCAGUACAUGAAGAAAAGAUCUACUUUCUUUGAUCUGCUUCGCCACUAGUAUGGGAAGGCAAGAUCUGGUAUCUCUGAUCUACUUCACGCCAGUACAUGAAGACAAGGUCUGUUCUCUUCGAUCUACUCCACCACCAGUAUGGAGAGACAAGAUCUGUUAUCUUUGAUCUACUUCACGCCUGUACAUGAAGACAAGAUCUGCUUUCUUUGAUCUGCUUCGCCACCAGUAUGGGAAGGCAAGAUCUGGUAUCUCUGAUCUACUUCACGCCAGUACAUGAAGACAAGAUCUGUUAUCUUUUAAUCUGUUCCACUGCUGCUCAGGGAGAUAAGGAUUUAUGAUUCCACCGACCUGUUCUCUGUGGACAAUGACCUGUAUGAUGAACCUAAUUAUGCCUAGUGAUUAGGAUAUCAUGAUUGGAAUGAAUCACAUGCUCCUAACUAGGCGUGUAUGAAUGACAUCUAAAUGCUAUGUCAUGAAAAUGAUUCAUUAAUACUAAAUAUUGAAGUCGUUAUUACUCAUUAAGGCUUUCUUUGUGAUAACAACGCUUCGAAAAAACUCAAAAAUUCUUGAUCCGGCUUUUUACUCCUAUAUAUCUUCGACCUUUUAACCCGGUGAAGUCUAAACAAUAGUCCUGCUUCAGGUUCUUGUAUUAUUUAGAAAUUUCCAGAGUAAUAUGAAAAACUUCCCUUGUGAAAGUUUUAUUAGUCCAUUAAUCGUUAUUCUAAUGCAACAUGCUUUCGAAAAGAUCAUAACGAUGGAUAAAACGAAAUUGACUUGAGAUCAUAACUUGCAAUAAAUUAUUAAUGAAAACAAGUCAAAAAAAGAAAUUGACUAAAACACUUAUAUUGAAAAAGAAUGAAGUGUUUUGGAAAUACAAAUUAUGGACAAGUGCCCCAGAUAUCUUUGCUUGAAUUGCUCUAUACAACUUUCUAAGGACCCUUCUGAAUUCAACACGUGUUUAGGAGAUUCAUAGUAUUUUGUUGAUGCCCCAAGAUGUCAUCUAUUCCUUUCUGCCGAUUUAGGUACAACAAGACUACCACGUGCUUCAAUCAGACUUUGAGCCGUCCUUGUCAGGUUUUCAACUCAAACCCCUUUGGUCUUAAGGUGCCCUUUGCGGGUUUUCACCCUAGCCUCUCCGUUUUUUUUUUUGGAAUCAAAGCGCCCUUUGCGGGUUUUCACCUUGGUUCCUUCCCUUCUUCAAGUAAAGUAUCUCUUGACCGAAUCUGAAUUUACUGGAUUAGGCAAGUUUCUUCCAUCCAUUUCAGCCAGGAUCAGGGCUCCUCCAGAAAAGGCCUUUUUUACAACAUAAGGACCCUCCCAAUUCGGCAUCCAUUUCCCCCUAAAAUCUUUUUGUAAAGGAAGAAUUUUUCUCAACACCAAGUCCCCCUCGUGAAAUUCUCUGGGUCGGAUCUUCUUGUUGUAGGCUCGCAUCAUUCUUUUCUGGUACAUCUGACCAUGCUGAAUAGCCUUUAGCCUUUUUCCCUCUAUCAAGUUCAACUGAUCGUAUCGAGAUUGAACCCAUUCUGCUUCAUCCAAUUGUAGCUCAGUCAAAACCCGGAGAGAAGGGAUUUCAACUUCGAUGGGCAAGACUGCCUCCAUGCCAUAAACUAAGGAGAAAGGCGUUGCCCCGGUGGAGGUCCUGAUUGACGUUCGAUAAGCAAUGAGGGCAAACGGUAAUUUCUCGUGCCAGUCCCUAUAAGUCUCAGUCAUCUUCCCCACAAUUUUUUUAUAUUUUUAUUAGCCGUUUCCACUGCACCAUUCAUUUUUGGGCGAUACGGCGAUGAAUUGUGAUGUCUGAUCUUGAAUUGACUGCAGACUUCUGCUAUUGAGCUGUUGUUCAGGUUCAGCGCAUUGUCAGAUAUGAUUCUUUCAGGCAUUCCAUAUCGACAUAUGAUCUCCCUUUUCAAGAACUUACUGACUGAUGACUUUGUAACGUUAGCAUACGAAGCAACUUCUACCCAUUUGGUGAAGUAGUCAAUAACCACAAAUAUGAAACGAUGCCCAUUUGAAGCCUUCGGCGAUAUUGGCCCGAUGACAUCCAUACCCCACAUGGAGAAAGGCCAUGGAGAAGUCAUGACAUGAAGAGGCGAAGGACGUGCAUGCAUUUUAUCACCAUAGAUUUGACAUUUAUGGCACUUUUUGGAGUAAUUGAUGCAAUCCCCUUCCAUGGUGGACCAGUACUACCCGAAUCUCAUAAUCUGUCUAGCCAUUGUGAACCCACUGGCAUGCGUUCCACAGAUGCCCUCAUGGACUUCCUCCAGGAUUUUCUUUGCUUCCACGGCGUCCAUACAUCUUAACAGUACCUGAUCUUUUCCCCUCUUGUAUAAGAUCUCCCCAUCUAAGAUGUAAUCAAUGGCUAGUCUUCUCAGAGUUCUCUUUUCAUUCUCCGUUGCCUGACCAGGAUACUCACGGUUUUUUACAUAUCGCAGUAUAUCUUGAUACCAGGGGAUAUCAUUGAUUUCUUCUUCUUCGAUAUUGUAACAAUGAGCCAGAGCUUCGUAGAUACUCAUUUGGAUAGGCUUCAUGUCUUCUUGACGGUUCACUUUAAUCAUGGAGGCUAACGUAGCUAGGGCAUCAGCCAUCUAGUUCUCAUCUCGUGGGAGAUAGCAAAAAGUGAUGUCCUCAAACUCUUUAAUCAAUUCAAGGACCAGCUUUCAAUAAUUGACUAAUUUGGGAUCCCUCGUUUCCCAUUCACCCUUGAGCUGAUAUAUCACCAAUGCUGAAUCUCCAUAGACCUCUAGCACUUUGAUUCUUCGCUCUAUAGCUGCACGAAUACCCAUGAUGCAUGCUUCGUAUUCUGCCAUGUUGUUUGUACAAUCAAAAUCCAAUUUGCAAGUGAAAGGAUAAUGAUCACCAUUCGGGGACACCAGGACUGCCCCAAUUCCAUUGCCCACAGCGUUCGAGGCUCCAUCAAAGUUUAGCUUCCAACUGUGACCUUCUUGGGGAUUUUCUUCAAUAGCGGCUACUUACAACAAGUCCUCAUUCUGAAAAUCAAAACUUAACGGUUCGUAAUCUUUUAAUGCCCUGCUAGCCAGAAAGUCAGCUAUUGCGCUCCCUUUUACAGCUUUUUGACUCACAUAGACGAUAUCGAAUUUAGACAGUAAAAUCUGCCACUGGGCCAUCCUCCCAUUCAAAGCAGUUGACUCCAUCAUAUACUUUAACGGGUCUAACUUUGAAAUUAGCCAAGUCGUAUGGUAUAACAUGUACUGCCUUAAUCUUCGGGUUGUCCAAAUCAGGGCACAACAGAACUUCUCAAUGGGCGAAUAUCUCAUUUCACAGUCAGUGAAUUUCUUGCUGAGAUAAUAUAUUGCCCUUUCUUUUCUCCCCGUUUCAUCAUGCUGGCCUAGCACACACCCCAUGGAAUUAUCAAACACUGUCAAAUACAAUAUCAGCAGCCUAUCUGGGCUAGGUGGUGACAGCACCGGAGUAUUGGACAAAUAUUGUUUCACCUUGUUAAAAGCUUCUUCGCAUUCUUCAUCCCAAGUACCAGGGUUAUGUUUCUUCAAAAGAUGAAAUAUAGGGUCACAUUUCUGAGUUAGUUGUGAAAUGAACCUAGCGAUGUAAUUCAGUCUUCCGAGGAAACCUCGAACUUCUUUCUGAGUGCGAGGUGGAGGUAAGUCUCGUAUUGCAUUGACUUUGUCUGGGUCAAUCUCGAUUCCCUUUUCACAGACUAUGAAGCCUAGCAAUUUUCUUGACCUGGCCCCAAAAGUGCACUUCGCUGGAUUAAGCUUGAGUUGGAACUUUCAAAAUCUUAAGAAUAACUUUCUCAAGACCUGCACAUGUUCCUCCUCCGUUCUAGAUUUCACGAUCAUAUCGUCAACGUAAACCUCGAUUUCCCUGUGCAUCAUAUCAUGGAACAAGGCUACCAUAGCUCUUUGGUAUGUUGCUCCUGCGUUCUUUAAUCCAAACGGUAUUACUUUAUAACAAAACGUCCCCCAUAACGUAAUGAACGUAGUCUUUCUCAUGUCCUCAGGAUGCAUCUUUAUCUGAUUAUACCCAGAAACACCAUCCAUGAAGGAAAACAUUGAAAAGCCUGCCGUAUUGUCUACCAAUGUAUUGAUGUGGGGUAAUGGGAAAUUGUCUUUUGGACUAGCCUCGUUCAAAUCCCUGUAAUCCACGCACAUUCGUACUUUCCCAUCUUUCUUUGGAACUGGAACGAUGUUGGCCACCCACUCAAAAUACUUGACUUCUUGCAGAAAUCCAGCAUCAAACUGCUUUUGGACCUCAUCUUUUAUCUUCAACACGAUGUCAGGUCUCAUCCUUCUAAGCUUUUGCUGCACUGACUUGCAAUCCUCUCUUAUAGGAAGGUGAUGGACUACAAUGUCGGUACUCAACCCCGGCAUAUCUUGGUACGGCCAUGCAAACACGUCCUUGAACUCUCGGAGUAACUCGAGGAGGUCUUGUCUUGUCUUUGCAGAGAUAUUCGAUCCGACCUUCACCUCCUUUCCUUCCUCUAAGCUCACAAUUUCUAUUGAUUCCCUGUAAGGUAGGAUUUACUUCUCGGCCCUUUCUACCAUCUUCAACAAGUCAGGAGACAAACCACAGUCUUCGUCAUCUUCAAAAUCAUGUGAUCCUUCUAAACACAUGUUUCGUUCAAAAGGAGACUCUAAAUUUAUAAGUGUGACAUUCGUAUCAUUGAUAUCGUAUGACCUGUUAUGAAAAAUAAUAUGGAUUCAGGAAUUUGUUUGGUGCAAUAUGGUCAUGAAUGAAAUGCAAGUGUAGUUUGAGAGAAAUUCAAAAUAACUGCUCUUAUGGAAAGAAAGAUUUGCUCAAAAAAUGACUGCAAAAAUGAACUUUAUUAAAAUAACGAUUUUUUGGACAUGAGCCUAUUUCACAAAGGAAUCCUUAUCACUUCUAGGCUAAAAGCAAUAAGGGUGUUCUGGACAUUACUAUGAGGAAAUCCUAAAAACUACAGGUAUUUCUUCUGCAGUCCAGUUGUUUAGCACACUUCUCAGUUCGUAAGGUUGAAUAUCCUACAAUGUUCCUCCUCCCGUCGCUUCUUCAUACACGGCAUGAAUACUUUCUAACUCCAUGUUAAUACUUUCGACUCCUAGUAUUCCUUGAUAGAUGAAUCCUCCCAAUACAAAAGUCUUAGAUAGGUGAGGAAAGGUCAUGGGCUCCCAUUUGACUUCAUCACCUGUCAAACGAGCCCUUCUUCUCUCUCGCUUCUUUUCUUGCUCUAUCCUCUUCUGCCUAGCAUCUGGCUUGUAUCCUAAGCCAAAAUGGUCCUGCUUGUCUUUCAAUACUGGAGCCUCAACUCGGCCCUGAAGAUAUUUCCCCAAUCCUUUUCUCGGCAAAGCUCCAUUUCUAAUUGUCAAUUGCAGACCCAUCUUUGUGGUCUUUGAUAUUCUCGGCAUCGGGAUCUUGUUUCCCUCAAGGAUGAAUGUUACAUUUACGAACUCCAAGGAACGGAAAGAGCACUCGAUUGCAUCAUCACUUGUUUCUAAAUAAGGUGCAUCGUUGGUCACAGAUGUAAUGAUAUCUUCUUCAACAUUUAUCGUCACUAGCCGACCUUCUGACACCAGCUUCAGUUUUUGAUGUAAUGAUGACGGUACCGCUCCUGCUGAAUGAAUUAAUGGCCUUCCUAAUAGGAAACUGUAAGAAGGCUUGAUGUCCAUAACCAAGAAGUCUACCUCAUAGCUAGUUGGGAAAAUUAACAAGGGUAUGCCAAUUCUUCUCAUGACUUUCCUCUCGGUGCCAUCAAAUGCUCUCACCAUAUUCUGGUACGACUUCAUAUGUGAACUAUCCACAGGUAGCCUGUUGAGCGUGGAUAGAGGCAAUACAUUCAGUACCGACCCGUUGUCUACCAGAUUUCCUGGUAAUAUGCGCCUUUUACACCUUGCAGUGAUGUGUAAAGCUCUAGUAAAUCCCAUACCCCCAGGUGGUAUUUCAUCAUCGCUAAAGGAGAUGAAGUUAUCAGCGCUUAUAUUGCCGACCAGUCGAUCCAACUUGUUAACAAAGAUAUCAUCAGCCACAUAAGUUUCGUUUAGCACUUUCAGUAGUGCAUUUUGAUGUUCCUCCGAGUUCAGGAGUAAAGCUAGCACAGAUAUGCGAGCUGGUUGUUGGUGCAGUUGUUCCACAACGCUGUACUCGCUAUGCUUUAGAAACUUCAAGAACUCUCUAGCUUCCUCCUCUUUGAUUGGUUCAUUGACCAAUAAUUCAGGUUCGACCGCAUUCUUCCUCUUUCCAACCGAAGCUUCUUCUCUUAUUGGCCCUUCUUGAGCUUCCAUCUGUUCGUAGUGCCUUCCUUCAUCCUGAUCCUCUUUACUGAUUAUAUCCUCUUUCCCCAGGAUUAUCACAUUACAAUCGUGAUUCCAAGGAACCUCUUGUUAUCCUUAUAUGCAAACACAGCCGGUUUUUGAAUGAUUACUUUUGGUGUUAUACGUGCCCCAACCUCACUGUUCUGAGGUCGCGAAAUGAUGACCACAGGAUGGUUAGCCUUCGGAACCCCCAAUGCCAACUCUAACGCGCAUACAUGAUUCUCCUCUUGAACUCCUUCACAGAAUUCCAUCUCCCUAUUAUCCAUCAUACCUUGUAUCAUGGCUCUGAAUUCCGUACACUCUUGGAUUUCAAGCCCCAAUUCAUGGUGGAACUCACAGUAGUUUCCCCUCUUUUCACAACUUCCUUCUGAGACGAUUAGUCCCCUUUUCACCAUCUCCUUCCAGACCCAUCUCAAAGGAGUUUUCACAUCCGCAAUGUCUACCUUGAUUCUUCUAUCUUCGCCCAUCAUAUUUACCCCACCAUCAGUGUGGUUUGGUAUUGGGUUUUCUACCUUGGUCGAGUCAUCAAAUUUAACGACAUCCAUACCAAUGAGCCUUUCUACCAACUUCUUAAAGGCCGUACAGUUUUCUAUGGAAUGCCCUGUUCUUCCCGCAUGAUAGUCGCACUGUGCAUUCACGCCGUACCAUUUGGGGUUGCAAGGGCUUCAGAUAGAAAGGGGAAACUACGUGUGCGUCAAAUAAAUUUCGAUAUAGUUCCCUGUAUGAUAUAGGAAUUGGCGUGAAUUGGGGCCUCUCAAUAUUUCGCCUUGUACCGACCUCUUGUCUCGACGAGCUUUGCUGAUUGGCAGCCACCUUUCCUGGCUGACUCACUGUUAAUGACUUCAAGUAACCUUUGCUGUACAUGCUCGCGUUGUUCACCUCAUUUUCCUUCAUCUUCAAAGCCGAUCUUCUGUUACUCUCUCCCGCAUCGAUCUUCCCAGUCCUAAUGUCAUUCUCAAUCAUCUCGCCAUUCAUGACUAUGUCAGGAAAGCUUUUUGUGGCACUUUCUAACAUAUGUGUAAUAAACGGUGCCUUCAGGGUGUUAAUGAACAACAUGGUCAUUUCCUUUUCCAGGAGCGGUGGCUGAACUUGGACUGCAACCUCCCUCCAUCUCUGUGCAUACUACCUGAAGCUUUCACUCGGCUUCUUCUCCAUGUUUUGAAGGGUGAUUCUAUCAGGAGCCAUGUCUGUCACAUGACGAUAUUGUUUCAUGAACGAUUGUGCCAAGUCCCUCCAUAAACCAAUCGUGGCACGACUCAACUGAUUGUAACAUUUGGAUGCUGCCCCUACAAGGCUGUCUUGGAAACAAUGUAUCAAGAGUUGGUCGUUGCUAACAUAUCCCGCCAUUCAUCUGUAGAACAUAGUGAUGUGAGCUUCUGGGCAACUUGUCCCAUUGUACUUUUCGAACUCCGGCAUCUUAAACUUAUGAGGGAGCACCAAGUCUGAAACUAAGCUCAGCUCUUUGGCAUCAUUGCCUCGAUAACUUUCAGCAACCUCCAUUGCCUUGAACUUCUCCUUGAGCCACUUGCAUCUUUCCUUUAACUGUUUCGGUAACUCCUCCUUCACUCUUUCCUUCUCAACUACUUCAUCAAAGUCUGGAAUGACAGAGUGAAUAAGAUUAUUUUCGAGGUUAGAUCCCGGUCCAGCUUGAAAGCUCGAAACACCAGCCCGAAACUGCUGCGACAUAAUGGUGACAGUAGAUUUGUGCGGGUAUUCAGCUUGAGUUCGCACAUAUGGAGGGGUGAAACCUGGAGGAUAGAGAGGUUCAUCACCAUUUCCCUCAUCGACAUUUUCCAUGGGGCCCUUUCCUUUAUCACUUCCCCUAGUUAUCAAUUGGGUUAACUUUGCCACUAUAUCUUCUUGGGAUUCUUGCAUCUUCUCAGACAUCUCUUGUUUCAUCUUAUCUAACUGCUCCUGCACUUGUAGCUGAAGUCGGUCUUGCAUCUCCUUCUGACACUGUUCGAGUUUUUUCAAUCUCUGAUCCAUAUCUUUUGUUUUUGCUCGAGUGCCGUAUCGAUGUUGGCUUGGUUGGUUGGUUUCCAGGUUAACUGAGCAGUGAUUUUGACUUAUUAGGAUUAAAUAAAAAUCUUUAAUACAUAUAAUGCGGUGCUAAUGCAUAUGAUACGAUGCAUGAGAUGAAUGCAAAAAAAGGCGUUAAUUAUAAUUCAAUUCCAUUCAGAAAACUUUACUAGAGAAUUUUUUUUACAUAAAAUGGCUAUAAAUAAGGCUUUGCCCUAACACUUAGAACUUUAAUCUCCCUAAGUAAUGGUGCCAACUUCUGCCCCUGAUCUGAUUCUGAUUCGUACUUCACACUUAGUAUAUCAGCUUGUAUUGCUAAAGUCUGCAGGUGCUCAACUACCCCUUGAAUCUGUACCACAGCUUCUUCCAUAAUGUGAUCCCUUCUUGCAACUUGAUCCUGGAGAUAGUGAAGUUGUUCACUUUGAUGAUCUUCAUUUGCUUCCAGAUGUUCAAUCCUGGCUUCACAGUUCUGUAAUGCCAUCUCUAAUCCUUCUACUGUUCUCUUCAUCUGCUCGAUCCUGCUCAAGCUUGCUUGCAACUCCAUCACAACAUUGCGAUUUCGAUAUUGAUGAAUAGUUUCCUCUAGUUCGGCCAUCCUAGCUUUUAAUUCAUCAUUUUUAUUCUGGCUUUCUGACAAACUCCUCUCAAAGGACUUAUUUUGCUUUUGAGCCUCCUGAAAUCUCUUUUUCCACCUAUCAGCCUUGACCUUUUCUUCUUGAACUUCUUGACGCCACUGCUCUGAGGUUUUUCCCAACCCAGCAGUUCUCACUAACAUACGUAGUCUCUUAUAAUCCGUCUUCAAGCUAUUCAAAUCUUUAUCGGCUUUGCGUUUUUCUUUUCUCAAGCCUUCGGUUUCCAGCUUCUGAACAUCCAUGUCCAACUUUAAAUUCAUCUUCUCCUCUUCUAUUUGCUCUAUCUUCCUUUCAAGCUCUGAGUUUCUUCUUUCAAAAUCCUGCUUUAUAAUUUCUAGCUCAGAAGGGACCAUAUGUACAUGCUUUUCUACUAAUUGAUUGUCUCCUUGACCUGGUGCAGGUAUAUUAUCAUUGACCCUCCUACCUAGCCACUUGAUAUAUUCAGAAGUCGUCGAUGGACCUACUACCAAUCUCUUCAUUCGUCGAGUCUGCCUCCAAGCAUUUGUCAUUUCUCGAAUCUUCUUCUUGUAACCAUCAUACUUAUACGAGAAUUCACUUUGAGCUAAUCCUUGGGUUGUAGGUACGAACUGCCUCAAUCUAUACUGUCUCAAUACUAGUAAUGGUGCAUAGCUGAUAGCUCCCCAAAUCCCAAGUAAAGGGACCCAAUCGAAAUCUCCACACCUAUACAAGAUCUCAUCUGGCAGCAUCCAAGGAGCUCUCUACUCGAUGUUCUCCUCUUGAAGAUUCUGAAGAAUUACAAUCCAUCUUUCUUCUAAAACACCAUCUUGCCUCGAUAUCGCCAUUAUUUCUUUCAAAGGCGAAUAAGUUUCAGAAAAAACUCGAUAGGAAAAUUUAUCAGCCUUCCAGAAGUGACUGUGAAACCAUGCCAAGAGAAGCUGCGCACAUCCAACGAAUCUUCAUUCACCUACUCUUCGGUAUUCGUUCAAUGACCUAAAAGUUUUUGCUAAAAUUACUGGAACCGGUGUGACUCCUUUACCAAGUCGAUCGAAAAGAUCAGUGACUGCUUCAUCAAUAUGUCCCAAGGCUUUGGGAAAGAUAACUAAAUCGUAAAUACCCAAGGCAAAGACAUCAACCCUCUUCCUCGUAUCCAGAUGUACUAGAAUUAAAUCCUUCAAGCUCUUCCAAGGAAUGCAUUUACUAUCUCCCUUUUGUUUGAUUCGUGCUGCGACCCAUUACUCACUCAUCCCCGUAAUAUUCAUCAAUUUCUUCAAAAAGGUUGGAACAUUAGCAGCUCUCGAGUAGGCUUUAUCUACUUGGAUCUUCGAACAACGAAGCAAGGCCGUAUAUUCCUCCACCGUAGGCACUAAGUCAACUUUUCCAAAGGUAAAGCAACUAUAAGCAGGAUUCCAAAAUUGGGCUAAGGCACGAAAUAAGUGCUUAUCCACCUUUAAGUCGAGCAAGUAAGGUAUGUCUCCAUAGCUAGAGUAGAAGAGCUGUUUAACCUCAUCAGUCCACCUUUCCCAAAUUUCCUUUAGUUCAUGUAGGCUAUUCUGGGUCACGCUAACACGAGUGAAGUCCCACAACUCUGACACAUAUCCUUCGGCCAAACUAUCACCUUUCUCUUGCUGUGUUGUCUCUGACCAAGUUUGGACAGCCGCAUUAUCUUCCACUUUAUCAAGAAACCCUUUUUCCAUGAUAAGCUUUCUAUCUAGCAACCGAAUAUGAACUAACGCCCUUUUAGGAUGAAAUGCUAUGCAAUCAUGAUGUCAUGCAAUCAAAACGAAAGAAACCCAAGUCAGUAUCACAUAUAGAGAUAUAAUCCAAUACAAACAUGAAAUAGCAAGAAACACUUAAUCUAGAAUCCACUAGGGUUUUGGGAUAGUUCUACCUAGGUCAAGUUCCUAAAGCUCACUAUAUGAGGUUUAGUUUCUAGAGUAAGGGUACCCGAACCAGCAGAUUCCUCAAUCCUCACCCAUUAUAGGCUCAUAUGGAUCGAGUUCAGUUCAGGGGGAUACAUUUCCCUAUGGCUGCACGGAGAUGAAAAUCUCACGAAGACAUAGGUACGGAUGUAUCUCGAAAGCGGUCCACUACCCUGCACGGAGGUGAAAACCUCACGAAGGACUAGUUUCUCGCUCCCACUUAAAGGGUCAAAUGCAAAAUGCAAAUGCAAAGUUGCCAACAUAUCAUGAUGAAAAAUCAAUGAGUGCGUAGGGAACUCAUGAAUUUUUUAAAAAUUUUGAUUUUCGACACAAAGACAAAUAUAAUUAGUUUAUGGCUCGACUCUCUCAAGCGUCCCCAGCGGAGUCGCCAAGCUGUCGAAACCGUUUUUUGAAAAACAAAAAUUUAGUUGUCGACUUUAAAAAUAAAAUUAGAGUUGUCGCUGAUCCUUUAUUAAGGUGUGAUCGGCUCACCUUAAAAAUUAUUUUGGUCUACGAAUUUUGAGAAAAUGAGUUCGGGAGUCAAUUACGUACGAGGAAGGGUUAGCACCCUCGUAACGCCCAAAAUCGGUACCAAAUUGACUAUUUGAUGUCUUGGUGUCGAAAGUUAAAAAAGAUUUUAAAAUAAGCUUGAAUGAUGAAAUUUGAAAAAGGAUAAUAAAUUGUUCAAGUCAUGUAAAGAAACCGAGUCCCAAUACAUUAGGGUACAAUUCCUCAUAAUCCCCGAACUUUGAAUAUCACUUUUAUUUUAUGCAAAAAUCUUCAUUUCGAGAAAGUAACAGGCCACACCCAAUACGUUAGGGCACAACAAGUUAAGUUCCCAAAAAUGAUUUUUAUGCUCAUGCAUUUUGAAUAAAGAAUAUUCUCGGUCAUUUAAGAUUGACAAAGAAAAUCAGAACCCAAUACGUUAGGGCUCAAUUUUCCACGAAAAUCCCAAACUUCAAAUAAUGAUUUUAUUCAAAAAAACCUUUAAAUCAAGAAAAUAACUUUGAUGAAUGGUUAAAACCAAAAUGUAUUUUUAAAAGGGUACGUUAAAAAAGUUAAUGUACAAUAUGGUACAGAUACUUUAAUUCACAACAUAUACGAAUAAAUAUUUGCAAAUAUAUAUAUACAAAUAUAACAUUACAAUAAAGUUGCAAACAUAUGUAUACAUAUAUCAAAAACACUUAUACAAGUAUACAUGCAAAUAGAAGAAAUGAAAUAUAUCCAAUAAAACAAACAAGAAACAUGUAUAAAAAUAAAAUAAAAGUAUAAAACAAAAUGCAUAUGUAUAUAUUUUCAAAAUAAAGGAAAAAUAUAUAAAAAAUAAGAAAAUAAAAUAAGGAUAUAAGGAAAAACGUAUGUAUAAAUAUAUGCAUGUAUAUAUUAUAUAAAACAAAUUCGCAUGUUUAUGGUAUUUUACGAAAAACAUUUUUUGAAAAUUAAAUUCACAAAAUAUAUGUUUUGUAAAAAAUAUGAAAGAAAAAAAGAAAAUUAUAUAUAUAAAAUGCGCAUGUAUAGAAAACCAAUAUAUGUAUAGAUAUAUAUAUAUAUUAUAUAAACGUGUGUAAAUGUAUAAGAAUAAUAGAAAAACUAAAAAAAAUUACUAAUGAAGGAUUAAAUCAAAAAGAAUCUUAAGGGCCGAAUUUAAAAUAAAAUUUUAAAAAAGGGGUCACUUGAAUGCGCGCGUAACAGUGGAGGACCAAAAAGGAAAUAUGCCCAUUGAUCCCACGGCACCGUUUCGACGCAAUCUGCAGUCCUGGUUGAUGGACCAAAUUGAAACAGACGCGAAAUUUUGUGGCAAAAUUGGAAACGUGCGAAAUACUGCAUUUAAAAUCAAAAUAAAAGAGGAAGGACCGGAUGCGCAAAUAUCCCAUAUGACGUCAGAACGCGCGGAUCCUCCCCUCCGGGUCGGGUCACCGCGCGGGUCUGGCCAUUCAAAACGGCGUCGUUUUGAUCUGUUAUUUAAAACAGAUUUUUCUUUCUAAAACCAUUUUAACAAAAUGAAAAUAAAUAAAUAAAUAAAUCCCCCCUUUUGCUCUACUAGGGUUUCACCCCUAGCGUCCUCGCGCCGCCGCUCGCCUGGCCAGCGCUUCGAUCGCGACGGAGGUGGCCACCGAUCCGGCAUUCUCAACGAAUGGGGUAAGAUCCUUUCCCUUGCUUUUAUUUCUAAAAAAACGCAAAAAGAAAAGAGAAAUAUAAAAACAACAGAAUGGAACCCGAUUCACCUUUUUAAAAACUUUGUAUUUUCAAUAUUUUUCUUUUGUAUUUCUCUGUAUCCACUCUCUGUUAUCCCCCUUUUACAAAAUAACAGUGGCUUUAUAUAGCCCAAAAACUAUUUGUUGCUUUUUAUUUUACACUAUAUUUUCGCGGAUGGACUCUCUGAGUCCGUGUUUGCAGGCGAGAGUGGAUCAAAUGGCACGCGUGGAGAGGUCAGCCCCGAGACGUGCGGCACUUGGAGAGGCUGCUGAAGGCGGGGAGGGUGCGGCGCUCGCUUGCUGCUACUGUUUUAGGUGUAUUGGGCUAGGGUUUAGGUUGGUUAGUGUAUUGGGUCUUGUUCAUUAGCUUGGGCCUGAGUGUUAUAACGUGAAAUGGGUUUUAGAUUGAGCCUGGGCCGAUUGGGCCCUAUUACAACAGUAAUAGUUUCCACUUUCCAGUAAUAGUUUCUAGUGUUCCUUUACUUUGCUACCAUAUUUCCAUAUUUGGGUUACCUGGGUUGAAUCUUCAUGUAGCUUGGGCAGUUUCUUUUAUCAAUACUGACAUACCAUUUUAGAGCCCAUAUUCCACUAUAUUGGCUUUAAUUGUUGUAAUAAUUUUAUCCAUAGAAUUGCAAUUAUAGAUAAUAUGCUAUACUAUUUUCUCCUUAAUUACGGAAAAAAUAAAUAUCAAAUUGAUUUUCCUUUUUGUACAGGCUACAGUUUGAGGUUAUUUACUUAAGCAAUUUUAUCCCACAUUAGUCAAUGUUUGAGUUUGUUCUUCAAAUAAGUUAUCUUAUUUUAUUUUUUGUUCAUUAUAUACAAAGAAAAUAUAAUUUGAUAUUUAAUAUAAAUUUAAUAACAAUUAAUUUUAAGUAAUGGGCUGGGCCGAGUCGGGCCUGGGCCUUGUACUUUUUCCCCGGGCCGAGCCUAGACAAAACUUCAGGCCCAUAUUUCGGGCCAGGCCGGGCCCGGAUCUAGGACACGGGCAAAAUUUUUUCUGGGCCCGACCCGAACCCGGCCCGGCCCAUGAGCACCUCUAAUCCAACAUCAUAUGAUAAUUUCUUAAUUUUAUAUGAUCCAAUAUCCUAAAAUUAGGUAUAAUGAUUUAUUUUUUCGUUCUUUAUUUAAUUUUUGUUAUUUUAAAUUUGUAUUAUUUAUCAAAUCACCUCAACGAAUAAAAAUGUAAUGUCAAUUAAUUUUACUGAUGUGACAUACAUGUGAAUUGUCACUUGAAUGCCACAUAAGUACUUAAUUAAUUUUUAAAAUGAUUUUAAAAAAUUUUAAAAAUAAAAUUAUAUAAAUGUUUUUCUAUGUUUUGGAAAUUUUAAGAAAUAAUUAAUUGCUAGGUGAAUGUCAUAUUAACAAAGUUAAAAGGUGUUAAUUUUUUCAUUCAUUUUAGGGUGAUUUGACAAAUAAUAAAAAUUCAAGGGUUAAAAGAUAAGGAAAAUUAAAUUAAAGGCUAAUUUUUUUUAUAAAAUUGGAGGGUUAAAUAAAUCAUUAUGCCCAUGAUAUAAUGACGAUGACUUGAAAUUAAAUAAUGUCUAUGAAACCGGUGUAGUUUUCUUGGUUUUGUAUAUAUUCUUUGGAAAUUAUUCGGCUUAUGCUCUUUUUGGAUAUGUAGUAAAGUUAAUUUUUGGUGAAACUAAAAGUAAUAAUUAUGAUGAGAUUAGUUAAUAUAGCGGUAAGAUUAAAAUUAAUAAUGUGAUAUAUGUUUGGAUUCAAACAAAAUAAUAACCAUGAUGUAAAAAUGGAAAAUGAUUAUUGAUGUCAUUAAGUUACAACUUAUGUGCCAACAACCUCUUGACUUAGUGGCAAGAAUACUAUGUUAUAGGCAUGAGAGUUUAGGUACAAUCCCAAGUAAUCUUAUACUCCACUUCCAAUUUUAUUAAAAAAAACUUAUGUAUAUGUAAAAUAAAUAAUUAAGAAAAAAAAUUAAAAUAAAAUAUGUUAAAUUAUUUUUUUGAAAGGUAAAUUCAUUAAUUUAUUCAAUGAAUGGAACCAUACAAUUCAGAGAAAAAAGAUAACAAACACUCAUCGCAGAUGGUGAAGGACAAGCGCCAUCAACACAACAAAGGCUUUAGCCUUAGCAUCAAUAGAACAUUAUGACACAUUGACAAUUGGCUUAAUCACAACUCAAGCACGACAUAUCUGGAGUGAUUGCAAGGACUUAAUAUGAUAAUGAAAUCAACCUCGGAUGGUCCAAAGUGGCGAGCAAAAAUCGACAAAAGAAUCGAGUAUUCACCAAACUAGAGAGGACGACAACAAAAUUUGUAACACCCCUAACCUGGCCCAAACGUUAUGGCCGAAUCUGGGUGUGUUACGAAGAAGGGUUUUAAAACUAUAUCUCUUAAGCUAAAUCGUAUCGUGUUAUUAGUUUACCAAUUGCAGUUUUAAUAACCGGAAAAACUUGGAUUUAAGAUCUUAUUUGAAACCAUUUUAAGUUAUCAAGAAUUUGCAACAGAAGUUUGAAAAAUGUUAAUUCGAAACCAAGCUCGUGUUUCCAAAAACCAUUUGUUAAAACCAUAUGUUUGCGUAAAGUGUUUUUGUUAACAUUGUGGAAAAGAAAGAAAAAUAAAAUCCAAAUCCAAAAGUUAAAACCAUACAGUUCAGAAAGUCCCAAAAAUUACAACUCUCACGAAAACCAGAUUUUGAAACAAAACUGAUAACAUUAAAUAAAAAUAGUUCUCAACCGAGUGGUCACCGUUGAGUCUCCGUCGCAUCGACCCACCUAAGUCUGUGGAUUACCUAAACAGAACAGACAAACAAAUGUGAGUUUUCAUAAACUCAGUGUGUAACCUAACAGAAAUAGUCAUGCAACACACACAGAAUUUCAUAUACAGUCAGAUACAGAUUCAGACCUAAGUCCAUAACAAAUACAGAUUCCCGAAUCAGAUAAUCAAAACAGAUAUAUAUAAUCCUAUCCCCUCCUCUAUACACCAUCUCUGUCUAUCCCAUCACACCAUGUGGGGUUAAAAACACCUACUCAUCCCUACACACCAUAUAGUGUCGAUGCGACACAUAACAGAUAAUAUGCAGUUAAGCUACCAGAAUGUAGGCGAAAGGUCGCCGUAUAGAUUACUUCCUACACAUAUGCAAAUCCCACCCCAAACAUAGAUACAUAAUACCAAAUUAACGGAUUUAACAUGCUUAACAUGCUCGUAUAAAAAUAACAUAUAUAUAUACUCAAACAGAACAGUCAGACAUACAUAUUAGAGUCCCACUCAGAUCAGACUAUCAGAAUACCAUAUCACAUGAAUUAGGGUUGGUUGGCCCUUACCAUCCCUAUGGUAGGCCCACAGUCGAUCGAAACGACCCGUGCGACCCUAGGGAAAAUUUCAGAAUCCUGGGCCACACGCCCAAUCUAGUCUAGCCCGUGUGGCUUACACAACCACACUUACACCAUCACACGGUCGUGUCCCGCACACGGCCACACCUACGACAUUCACAUGAUCGUGUUUAGGGUACACACCUAGUACGAUUUUGUUGUGAAAACACUCCCGAGACAACUAGAACCUAAAAUUGACAUAACAAGCUCUCAAAAUCAGUCUAAAUCCUCAAUUAAACUGAACUAACAAAUUUGACAAUGGUGAAAUUCAAGUUUUCAACACUUACCCGAUUCCUCGAACGAUUCCAACUAUAAUUCCGUAAGAGAAGAACCACGUUCAUCACGAUUCACUGCAGUCAAACCCAUACAAUCAAACUAACAAAAAGCAAAACCGACUUAAAUAAACUUUAACCAAAGCCCUCAAUCUAAGAAGAAACUCACCACUUUCCCUUACCUAAACGUAAAAAGCAAUCAGAGAUUCGUAUUAUCGCAAUUUUGGAAGGGAGAUUUUGACAAAAAUAAGGGAAAAGAAAAAAGAUUUUUGGUGGGGAAAGAAAAGUAUAACAUCAGAAACUAGAAGAGGGAGAAAUUUUUGGGAAAAUAGAAUAAAAGAAAAUAGAAAGAUUAAGUCAAAUCCCACUACAUCCACAUCCCUUAACCACUCAACUAACUCAAAAUCCCACUACCACCAAACCACUAUCAACCGCCACCGCCAAAAAUUAUCACCCACGCUCGCGCGUGAAUUCAAACACAGGACCUCCAACAAACUAAGUCCUUACCACUCGAACCAGCAGGCUCAUUCUAAUAUGAGUUUGCAAACAAUAUAAUAUAAGCCCACCCAACAAGGAUAAUGCUUGGAUCAAAAAUAACAAAAUUUGCCAAAAGGGGGACUUGAACCCAAGACCUCAUACACACACCUAUAACACUCAACCACUGAAGCAGAUACAUAUUUGUGUCAGAUUUCACAAAAAUAGAAAUAAAUUAUUCAGGGUGUUACAACUCUACUCCCUAAAAGAAAUUUCAACCUCAAAAUUUACCUAAUCCGAACAGAUAAAGAUACUACAAACUUAUCAAGUCCUUAUGUUCCCACAUGGCUUCCUCAGUGCCAUGAUUCCGCCACAGAACAUUUACCAAUGGAAUAGAAUUCCUCCUCAUAACCUUAAUAUCUCGUUCCAAAAUCUGAACUAUCUCCUCCUCAAACGUCAAAUUCGGUCUAACAUCGAUCUCCUUAAUAAAGACAAUGUGAGAUGGAUCAGACUGAUACUGCCUCAACAUUGAGACGUAAAACACAUCAUGGAUACAGUCCAACUUUGGAUGUAGCUCUAACUAAUAAGCGACUGGUCUCACACGCUUCAGAAUCCCAUACAACCCAAUAAAUCUAGGGCUCAACUUACCCUUACGAUCGAACCGUAGAAUCUUCUUCCAUAGAGAUGCCUUAAGAAAUACAAAGUCACCCAUAGAGUAUUCGAUAUCCCUCCUUUUUAGAUCCGCAUAGGACUUUUGUCUAUCAGAAGGCACCUUCAAACGAUCCCAAAUCAGUCUAACCUUAUCUUCAAUCUUGGAAACCAACUCAGGACCCAAAAUCCAUCAUUCACUCGACUCAGUCCAACAUAGUGUAGUAUGACACUUACGGCUAUAUAAAGCCUCGUAAGGUGUCAUCUGAAUGCUAAACUGGAAACUAUUGUUGUAGGUGAACUUAGCUAACAACAGAAAAUCCUCUCAGUUACCUCAUAAAUCAAUCACAAAGCUCCGAAGCAUAUCCUCCAGUAUCUAAAUCACCUUUUCAGACAACCAUCAGUCUGAGGAUGGAACACAGUACUGAAAUCCAAUCUCGAACCCAUAGCUUCAUGUAAUUUCUUCAAGAACUGAAAAGUGAAGCGAUGAUCCCUAUCAGAUAUUAUCAAAAUCAAAACCCCAUGUAGCCUCUCAACCUCAGAAAUAUAAAGCUUCGCUAACUUUUGCGAACUUUGUCAAUUGAUCCACGAUAACCCAAACAGAAUCCUUCUUAUUGGGUGUCAAGGGCAACCUACUAACAAAGUCUAUUGUCACUUGCUCCUAUUUCCAUAAUGGAAUCUUAACAGGUUGAAGCAAACCCGAAGGCAAUUGGUGCUCAACCUUAACUUGCUGGCACAUUAAAUAAUAAGCAACAAAAUCUGUUACCUCACAUUUCAAUCCCGGCCACCAGUACAGCUUACGAAGAUCCUGAUGUAUUUUAUUAUCACCGGGAUAUCUAGCAUAAUGGCUACUAUGCGCUUCCCUCAGAAUCGACUGUCUCAGAUCAGAAUCGUUCGGUAUACAAACCCGUCCUCGAAAACAUAGAACUUUAUAUUAUUCAGUCCAAAAUCAAAAGUACUGUCACUCUCAACCUAACAAAACCGCUCAUCCCCUAAAUUCUUUUUCUGGAUCUUCCCAAUCCAAGUUGGCUUAACUUGCAACUCGGCUAACAGACCCCCAUCAUUGAACAAACUAAGACAAGCGAACAUCGCUCUCAAACCAGUCAUCGCUCUCUGACUGAGAGUAUCAGCCACCACAUUGGCCUUAUCGGGAUGAUACUCUAUCUUGCAGUCAUAAUCUUUGAGUAGCUCAAUCCAUCGACGCUAUUUAAGAUUCAAUUCUUUUUUAGUAAGGAAGUACAUGAGACUCUUGUGAUCGGUGUAGAUAAUACAUCUCUCACCAUACAAAUAGUGCCUCUAGAUCUUUAACAUAAAUAUCACCGUAGCUAACUCGAGAUCAUGCAUCGGAUAAUUUCUCUCAUGUGACUUAAGCUGCCGGGACGCGUAAGCCACCACCUUAGACUAACAUGUGACGCAUCACUAUACAUUACAAACUCCUUACCAAAUUCAAGUUGUAUUAGAACAGGAGAGAACAGACUUGAGCUUCUCGAAGCUCGACUGUUGUGCAUUAGUCCAGAUGAAAGGAACAUUCUUGCAUAGAAGUUUAGUCAAAGGAGCUGUAAUUAGUGAGAACCCCUAAAAAACCUCCGAUAAUAACCCGCAAGACCCAAAAAAACUGUGGAUCUCAGAGAUAUUCUUAGGCUGUUUUCACUUAAGCAUAGCCUCAAUCAUUCUAGGAUCAACUCAGAUACCCUCAGCAGAAAUCAUGUGCCCUAAAAAAGUUACUUCUCGCAACCAGAACUCACAUUAACUCAACUUAGCGUAGAGCUAUUUCUUUCAGAGUAUCUGUAGCAUUACUCUAAGAUGCUCAUCAUGCUCAUCCUCAGUCUUAGAGUACACCAGAAUAUCAUCAAUGAAGACUACGAUAAACUAAUCCAAAUACAAUUAAAAACUCAGUUCAUCAGAUCCAUAAAUGCAAUCGGAGCAUUCAUCAAACCAAAGGGCAUAACUAAGAACUCGUAAUGCCCAUAACGAGUCCUAAAUGUCAUGUUAUGACUAUCAGCUUUCUUAACCCUAAACUAAUGAUACCCAGAAUAGAGAUCUAUUUUUGAGAAUACCACAGCCCUACAAAACCAAUCAAACAGGUCAUCGAUCCUCGGAAGUGGGUACUUAUUCUUCAUAGUCGGUUUAUUCAACUGCCGGUAGUCGAUGCACAUCCUCAUGGUACCAUCCUUUUUCUUCACAAACAGAACCGGUGCCCCCAUAGAGACAAACUAGGAUGGAUGAAACCACGAUCCAGAAGCUCUUGAAGUUGAGCCUUAAGCUUUGUUAGCUCUUUUGGUGCCAUACGGUAUGGAGCGAUAGACAUCGGAGAUAUACCCGGUAGAAGCUCAAUGUCAAACUUAACUUCUCGAUUUAGAGGUAAACCUGGUAACUCUUCAGGAAAAGUAUCUAAAAAUCCCCUCACUGUUUUAAUAUCCCCAAUAGAAGAGUCCCCAAAAACUGAAACACUGACAUAGGCUAAAUACGUCUCACACUUUUUCUGAACCAAUUUCUCAACCGCUAGAGCAGAGAUCAUAUUAGAUAGGUAAUCUCGACCCUCACUAAUUACAUCCGUUUCCUUAUCAUCCUCGGUCCUCAGAAUGACCCUUUUAGUCAUGCAGUCCAAACUAAAUCGGUGCUCAACUAACCAAUCUAUCCCCAAAAUUAAGUUAAACUCCCCAAACAGUAGCUCUAUCAGAUUUGCCGGAAACACAACUCCUUAUACUUCCAAUGAAACAUUCCUAUAAAGUCUAUUUACCCUAACAGACUGUCUCAAUAGAGUCAGUACAGUAAUCUCUCCAGAAGUACACUCAACAAAAAUCCUUAAGUUCUCGGAAACAGAACUAGCUACAAAGGACUGUGUAGAACCUAUGUCUAUCAAAACAAUAUAUGAAGCAUCAAAAAUUAAAAACGUACGCGUGAUCAUAUCAAGGGCAACGUUGUCCUCUUGGCAUCGAGCAACAUAAACUAGUGCAGGCUGCCUCACCUCAGUCUGAUUAGUAAUUUUUCCUAGUGCUCUCUGACCUUAGCCCAUACCAUUACCACUCCUAGCCGGUCUACGGUCCUUAGGUGGUUGUUUUACUGCCCUCUGAGGCUAAACAAAGUCCAGUCCUAAAGCUUGCAUCUAAUUAGCAUGAUAUGGACACUCUUUAAUUUGGUGCUCCAAAGACCUACACCGCAGACAAGCUCUUAAUCUCCUCUAACACUCACCCGAAUGGUGUCUACCACAGUCACCACAAGGCUGAAUCUUAGUAGGAGCAAUUGGAACUCCCACUCUAACAGGCCCAUCAGGUCUGGCCCAUUUCUUAGGCCUCUAAACAGAACUAGAGGGCUCUGAAUCCCUCUUAUUCAUGCCUCUCUCUUGGUCUUUAUUCUGGCACUCCACGCGCUUAACCUUCUCAACGAUCUUUGCCUUAUCUACCAAAAUAACAAACUCACACUCUCUCUGCAGAGUAAUCAGAGCGCUUAAAUUAUCCCUCAAAUCGUCUUCAAAAUGAACACAUUUCUCACACUCGAAUGCUACUAUGCCUCGAACGUAGCGGCUCAAUCUUAGAAACUCAACCUAACACUCAGUCACAAACUUAUCACCUUAAGUAAAAUUCAUGAAUUCACGCCUACGAGCGUCCACAUAACUCGUACCCAUAUAUUUUCCCUAAAAAAAAGUCUUAAAGUAGUCCUAGUUCAAACAAUCCAGUUGAGUACCCUCCUCAACCGACAACUAUCACUGAUAUACCUCAUCGCGAAGCAAAAAAAUUGCACCCUUCAAUUUCUGCUUAAGAGUGCAGUCAACGUUGUUCAUAAUCCUCUUGGUAUCCUCCAACCAAUACUCAGCCACAAUAGGGAUAAAUUUAGUGACGCCCCUAAACAAUUUAGCUCUAUUGGACCGGAGUCGUUCAAUUAUUGACCCAUGGCUUCCAAAUCCAAAAUGGGGUCCAAAAACCCUCUUCAACACUCUCAACAUGGCUUGCGACAGUGCGUCGUCCCUAGCUGAGCUGCUUUGAGACCCAGCCUCAGUAGCAGGUGAAAUCGGUGUCUCACUCAUAUCCAAAUUUGGCAUAUUGCCUAAAAAGAAAGACUCAGCUCGAGCCCCCUACGGUGCCCACCGCGCCCAUGAAUACCACGAUUGCGAGUUCCACGAGUGCUCAUCGUAUUUUCAGUUUUAUCUACAUUAUAAAAUUUUAUUCAUUUGUUCUAGUGUUUAUUAGCAGAUAUUUUAUGCUCAAGUUAUCAAAGGUACUUACAGGAUCGACGCCGAAGACUCAGUGUACGAUAUACUUACUCAAAUUGAUCCAAAUUAUUUGAAAACUAGUUUUUUUUCAAAGCAUAAUUUUGGAACCCAAAAUUUACAGCUUGAGUUUUGUAACCUGGCUCUGAUAUCACUAAAUGUAACACACCUAACUCAGCUUAGAUGUUAUGGCUGAAUCUAGGCAUGUUACAAAGAAAGGUUUUAAAAUUAUAUUUCUUAAGCUAAAUCGUAUCGUUUUAUUAGUUUACCAAUCAGAGUCUUAAUAUUAAAAAAAAUUGGGUUUAAAAAUAUAAUUUCAAACCAUUUUAAGUUAUCAAGAAUUUUGCAACGAAAGUUUGAAAAACAUUGAAUUCGAAACCAAGCUCGUGUUUUCAAAAACCAUUUAUUUACGUAAAGUGUUUUUGUCAACGUUGCGAAAAAGAAAGCAAAACAAAAUCCAAAUCCAAAAGUUAAAACCAUACAGUCCAGAGAGUCCCAAAUAUUACAACUCUCAAAGAAAUCAGAUUUUUAAAAAAAAUCGAUAACACUAAAUAAAAACAGUUCUUUGUCGAGAGGUCACCGUUGAGUCUCCGUCGCACCUACCCGCUUAAGCCUAUGGAUUACCUGAACAGAACAGACAAAAAUAGAUGUGAGUUUUCAUAAACUCAAUGUGUAACCUAACAGAAAUAGUCAUGCAACAUACAUAGAAUUUGAUAUACAGUCAGAUAUAGAUUCGGACUUAAGUACAUAACAGAUAUAGAUUCCCGAAUAAGAUAAUUAGAGCAGAUAUAUAGAAUCUACCCCCUCCUCUACACACCAUCUCCUUCCAUCAUAUCACAACAUAUGGGGUUAAAAACACCCACCCAUCCUUACACACCAUAUAGCAUCGAUGUGAUACAUAACAAAUAAUAUUAAGUUAAGCUGUCAGAAUGUAGGCGAAAGGUCGUCGUACAGAUCACUUCCUCCACAUAUGCAAAUCCCACCCCAAACACAGAUACAUAAUACAGAAUUAACAUGCUUAACAUGCUCGUAUAUAGAUAACAUAUAUAUUCAAACAGAACAGUCAGACAUACAUAUCAGAGUCCCAUUAAGAUCAGACUAUCAGAAUAUCAGGUCACGUGAAUUAGGGUUUGGUUGACCCUUACUGUCCCUACGGUAGACCCAUAGUCGAUCGGAACGACCCGUGCGACCCUAGGGAAAAUUUUAAAAUCAUGGGCCCACAUACUCGUGUGGCCCACACACCCAAUCUAGUUUAGCUCGUGUGGCUCACACCGUCACAUGGUCAUGUCUCGUGCACGACCACACCUACGACAUUUACAUGACCGUGUCUUGUACACGGCCAACCACAUGGUCGGGCACAUGCUCGUGUGGCGUCGAUAAUACCCUUUUUUAGCUUUCAUCGAACCUUAAUUUUUCGUGUUUAGGAUACACACCUGGUACGAUUUUGAUGUGAAAACACUCCCGAGACCACUAGAACCUAAAAUUGACAUAACAAGCUUUCAAAAUCAGUCUAAUUCCUUAAUUAAAUCGAACUAACGAAAUCAACAAUAGUGAAAUUCAAGUUUUCAAGACUUACCCGAUUCCCCGAACAAUUUCGACUAUAAUUCUGUAAGAGAAGAACCACGUUCCUCGCACUGUAGUCAAACCCAUAAAAUCAAACUAACAAAAAACAAAACUAACUUAAAUAAACUUUAACCAAAGCCCUCAAUCUAAGAAGAAACUCACCACUUUCCUUUACCUAAACAUACAAAGUAAUCAGAGAUCCGUAUUAUCGCAAUUUUAGAAGGGAGAUUUUGACAAAAAUAAGGGAAGAGAAAAAAGAUUUUUGGUGGGGAAAGAAAAGUAUAACAUCAGAAACUAGAAGAGGGAGAAAUUUUUGGGAACAUAGAAUAAAUUAAAAUAAAAAGAUUAAGUCAAAUCCCUUAACCAUCCAACUAAUUAAGAAUCCCACUACCAACAAACCACUAUCAACCGCCGUCGCCAAAAAUUAUCACUCACGCUCGCACAUUAAUUCGAACACAGGACCUCCAACAAAUUAACUCCUUACCACUCGAACCAGCAGGCUCAUUCUAAUAUGAGUUUACAAACAAUAUAAUAUAAGACCACCCGACAGGGAUAAGUUUUGAAAGCAUUUAAAUUUACAUUUCAAAUGAACCUGGACAAGAUUUUUUCUAGAUUCAUUUUUAAUGUGUAAAAUAAUAAUUUCUUUAUAAUUUCUAGGAUUUUUAUAUUUUUAAAACUUAGAUUAUUUUUAUAAUUAUCUUUAAUUAUUUAUAUUUUUACCAUUGAAAUAAUUUUAAUAAUUUUUAAUUUUUUUACUAUAUUUCAAAUUUAUAUCUGAAUGAAUCUGGACAAAUUUUGUUCAAGUUCAAAUUUAUUUGGACAACUAUUUAUUCAGGUUUAUUCUGGAUGUAUUGAUAACUUUAAUAAUUAAAAUUAAAAUUAAAAUUUUGAUAAAUUCAAAUAAUAAAAAUUAAAAUAUUUAUUUAAUAAUUAAAUAAACAAUAAAUAAUUUGUAGUUGGUGUUCUAAAUUAGAAAGAAGAAGUGAAAGGAAAUACAUAUGCUGUCAAAAGAUUACAUCAACAUUUGUCCACUAGAUACACUAUUGUGGCCAUUAAAUGACGUACCAUAAAAAAAUAAAAAGAAAAGAACAAACAACUCAAAAACCGAUUUAUAUAUAUUAUUUGUAUUCUUUUGACUUAAAAGCAUAAUUGAAGCUAAAACUAAAAAUAUUGCAAUGAUUUUAUAAUGUUAUUGAUAAAUAUAAUCUUUUUAGGAAAUUUUAUAUCUCAUAAAUAUAAUAUAUAUAACUCUUCAGGAUAAUUUAAUUAUCAAUUGCCGAGAAGUUUUUGCAAUCAAUUCUAUUAAAAAAUAUUAUUAUUUAAUAGGAGGAGACUUUUUAUUCUUUUAUAUUUAUGUUUUUAUUUUUUUUAAAUAAAAUUACAAUUUGCAAUUAUAAGUAAUAUAUCAGACAUUCUCUCACAUGUAUCUGCACGUGGAAACCACAAAUUUAAAACAUAAAUGUAUGUCUAAAAUAACAUAUAAUAGAUAAUGAAACUUAUGGUUUGAAACUAAUUAAUAAUAAUGCAUUAAAUAUGUACGUUAUUAGAAUAAGAAAAUUAGAUUAAUUUUCGUAUCAAGUUGUUGUCAUCAAUCUUGAGUCCUUGUCGAGUUAACUUGUGGUAGAAAUUCAUCUAUAUUAUUAUUUAAAUUCUUGACUAAGUUGGUGUCAUGAGUAAACCGGACACCAACUUGGUUAGGAAGUUAUGAGAAUACCCUUUUGUAAUUAAAAUAAGUAAUGUUAUUCGAGGCUAGUUUAGUCUUUUAACUUUAAAAAACAUUAAGAAUAAGUAUAUGGUAGGAUUCGAACCCACAUCAAUUGUAUUAAUAAAACUUUUAAUUUACCACUCAAUUAAAAUUUUAUUUUAAUAUUUUUAUACACUUUAGUUUUAUUAUGCACACUCUAUUACCUUCAUAAGUUGUAUAUCUAUACAUACUAUUAUUUAAACUCCAUACUGAGUUGGUGUCACUCUCAAUUGGGUCACCAACUUGGUUAAAAAAUUACAAGAAUGCCCUUCUUUUAUUAAAAUAAGUAAUAUUAUUUGAGAGUAUUUUAGUUUUGUCACAUAAAACAAGGAAUAAAAAUAUACAUACGGUGAGAUUUGAACCUAGGCAAAUUUUGCAUUAGUAAAACCUUUAAUUUACCACCCAACUAAAGCUUUAUUUUAAUAUUUCUUAUACAUUUUAAUUUACUAUUUAUUUAAAACACAUAUGUGUGUUUUAAAGUAACAUACAAUAAACAAUGAAAGGUAUAGUUUGAAACUAAUUAAUCAUAAUAACUGCAACACCCCAAAUUCGGUUUGAAAGUUUAAGCCAAACUUGGAGGAGUUACACCAACGCAUUGAAAACUGGUUUCUUUUCGGGAUUUUAAUUUUGAAAAUCAAAAAUUUGUUUUUGUCGAUUUACGUGAUUUUGUAGUUUCAUGUUAGAAAUUGACUGAUACUACAAAAUGACAUUAUCACAGAAAUGUUUUGCCGAACCAUGACGUCUUGUAACUUGGGUAGUCGUGAUAUAUUGCUAAGUGUUACUCACUAUGUAAUGACAUAGUUUCCAAUGGUGUUGGGAAAUCCAAUUUCUGGACAUCAUUUUCAUAAAUUGAGUCCAUAAAUAGUAAACAGGGGUUUUUGUGGAAUAAUUAUGUUGAUAUAGCAAAAUUUAGUUAAGUAAUUUUGCAGAAAAUGUGGUUAGUUAAGGCUUGAAGACUAAAUUGUAAAAAAAAAAGUACUAUAGAUUUUUAAUUAAAAAAAGACUUGGAGACUUAAAUAGAGAUUAUCCAAAGGAUCAAAUGGUAAAUAAAAAAAAUAAAAUAGAUGAUAAUGGGAUUGGAUGGUGGAUGCCAUUAGAUAAGUUAAUUAAAUAUUAGAGUUUAAUUAAUUAAGACUAAACUAACUAAUUAUGUUUAAUUAGGAUUUUUUUACAAAAAUAAUAUUAAAAAAUAGUUAAUUACAAGAAUGAGUUUGAGGAAAUUACUUACAAAAAUAAGUUGUUUGCUACAGUACAAACUGGUAUCUACAACACCACCAAAAAAAUUAGGUCAAUCAUCAUUCAAUCAUUACAUUUUUUUUAAAAAGAAAUUUGAUUGGUUUCAUCACUAUAUUAAGCCACACCAAUUUAUAUAUUUUUUAAAAAUACUCAUAUUUUCACAUAUGUAAACGGUGAGAGAAAAAAUAAAAAAAAUUCUGAAUGCCACCAAUGUCUCAAACGUCACCCUUUCAAUUUUUUUUUUUAAAUGUCUGACAUCAUACGGUGCCAUUUACGUACAUGAUUUUUUACAUUUACUAGUGGGGGAUAACGCUCCCUUUCCUGCCUUCAAAGAUUUGCUAAGAGUUAUUGGUCAAGGGUUUUUUUUUUAAUCAGUUUUUUUUAACUUCAGCUGUUUGUUUUCAUGAUAGAAUUUUUUUGAAUUCAAAAGGAUACUGUCUGACACAUUUACGGUACCUACUUAAAAAAUAAUGUUUUUCACUUUUUCUUGCAUCAAGUAUAUUUGUGAGAAUACAACUAUUUUUUAAAAAAUAUAUUGGUGUUGCAGCACCAAUAAAAGAUUUUUUUUUAAAAAAAACAUAAUGAUUGACUGAUGAUUGACCGAAAGUUAGGUGGUGUUGCCGGUGUGUCAGGCGGCACCAGUUUGUAUUGUAACAAAUAACUCAUUUUCGUAAAUAAUUUUCCCCAACUCAAUUCUGUGAUUAAUUAAUUUUUAUAUUAUUUUUAUAAAAAACGGUGAAUUACAAAGUCAUCUUCUCCUUCCCCAGAGCUAUCGUCCAAUUUUAGAAGAGAAAAGAAAGCUUUAAAGCCUAACUUGAUACUCAGCCACCUAUUUGAGUAAGUCUCUAGCCAUUUUUUCUUUGAUUUUUAUAGAAAUUGAAUAAUGAGAGCUUGAUUUAGCUAACCCAUGCAUCAAUUUCCCUUACUUCAGUUUAUUCGAUGAUGCACUUCGAUGCCAAUUUGUAACAUUCUCGACCCGGUUUAGGAGUUUCAACUAAGUCGGAGGCGUACAUUUGAUCACCGAGGUGAUCAUGUAAAGCCAUUCUUUUUGAAGUGUUGAUUUAUAUGGAAAACUCUCUUUUGUCUUUAGGAAGAACAUUCAUUAAUUUAAAUUGGUUUUACUUAACAAUUCAAUUAUAAUAUUAUUAAUGUGAAGAUUUAGGAAAAUGAGGUAAAUUUUUUAAUAAAGGACUUAUCAAAAGCUUUUAGUAUUUUGUAAAACCAGGGAAAACAUUUAAAGUAGUGGUUUUCUAAACUGAAAAGCAUGCAAAUUUCAGAGUAUUAACUAAGUGUCAUGCUUUAAAAUAAAUAAGCUAAACAACUUUACCCUAAAUAUAAAAGCAAGAAAUAACUAACAAUUACAACCCAAAAAUAAAAGAUUUGAAGAAAACUUUAAUAAAAACUUUAUAAUAAUAAUAAUAACAAAAAAUUAGUUGUUAUUCUGAGGUUCCUUCGAUGCCAUAUCGAGUUGUAGUUUCUUAUGUUACCUAAGAGGAAAAGAAAGGGGGAAUGAGCUUACAACCACUCAAUAUGAAACUAGCUUAUAAAUCAUUAUAUAUAAUUGCACAAAUAGAAAAACAUAGAAAUAAUAGCGAGUUAAGUAUAACAUUUGGAGUACAUAGUAAAUCAAUGUAUAUACAGUUUAUGUAUGAUGCAAUGCAAAUCCAAAUUUCCCACCCGUUUAUUUUAUCCGCCCUCAAGCAUCGCUCGCCACACCUAAAACACAUAUCAAAGACUAGCCAUCCCUGAUUUCCCGAUGAAGAUGGUCAUUUACAUGUCAUUUGUGAUGAUGAAUUUUACUACAAUAACUUACUAUCCUGGUUGUCUGAUUUUGAUAGUUUUUUACUACGAUAAACUAUCAUCUCAGUCGUCACGGUUUAGGAUUAGUUUUCAUUUUGCUAGGGAUACUAGUGCCAACAUUGGUUUGCAACAUGUGGAGAAUUUGGUCUAGCUGGCCUUGCAUUUGACGCACUGUAGUGUGCAACAAACGUAUCCCUUCUUCAAGUUUACUAACCUUAACGGUCAUAGGGGGUCAUUGUUAAAAGUAGGCUUCCUCUUAAGGUCUUGGGGUUUAUAGGCUUGUAGAGGUUGGUAAGGAGGGGCUGGUCUAUGGUGGUUGAAGUUUCCCACACCUUGGUUUCCUCCCCACCUAAGGUUGGAAUGAUCACACCACCUUAGAUUAUAGGUAUUUGAGUAUGGGUUACCACCCCUAGUUCCCAUAUAGUUCCCCUCAACCUAACUACCCUCUUGGUGAUUUCUCUAAGUAGCUUUUCAUUUUUGCCCCCUACAUGAGAUCCCAUAAGAUGGUGUUUGUUAGGAUUGAGGCAUAUUAGAGCUAAUUUCGAGGUUAUUAAACCUCUAGAGGAGUUGCCAUUGACUGCAUUCACAGUCAGUGAUUUAGCUGUACAUGUGAAUCGCUUAAUCGACCACAUCUAGGAGUUCAUUGCUAAAUGUUUAAUGGGUUGGCAACCUUUAGCGUAAGUUUUAGACAUGAACGGCCCCGCAGAUGCUCCUUCUAAGCUUGACCUCAAAUUCCUGUCCAAACCAUUAUAGAAAGUUUGUAAUUACAACCAAUCUUGUAGACCAUGGUGAUGACACUUAUCUAGUGUUACUUUGAAGCACUCACAUGCCUCAUACAACAAUUCUACCUCCAAUUUCCAGAAGUUGGUGAUAUUCAUUCGCAACUUCAUCUUUUUGCUCAGUGGGAAAUAUUUGGUGAGGAAUUGGUUGGCUAGCUCAUCCCACAUAGCGAUAGAAUUUAUUAGCUGCGAAUCCAACCAUAUAAAAGCGUCAUCACACAAAGAGAAAGGGAAUAACCAAAGGCAUAUAACGUCAUUGGAUACCCUGUUAUACUUAAAAGUAUCACAAAUGGUUAGAAAAUGUUAAAGGUAUUGUUGGGAUCCCCAUGCAUUGAGCCCCAGAAAUAGAGAUAACUUUGUAUCAUCUAAAUCCUAGCCGACUUGAUCUCAAAAUUGUUGGCAUUAAUGGCAGUUUGGUUGAUACUCCUCGCACAACAUCCAAGUUUGGCAUGAUAUAAUCUUUCGAUGUACGGUUCGCCAUUCGUCUCGAUCAGAUAGGGGUUCGUGUUUCUCUAUGUUCAGAGGGCCUAGAGGUGGAUAUUCAAAUAAAAGAUUGUCAAUCGGUGGAUCAACAAUCAGUGAUUCUAUCGAUAGGUGACCCUCUCUUGAGGGUUGUCCUCAUCUUGCGUUGGAUAUUAUCUUUUCCGACUCGAGAUCAAAUGAGAUUAAAUCUUUGUUGCUCCAAGUCAUACAUUGAGAAAUGCAACCACAAGAAACACGGGUUAGUCAUGAAAUUAACUAAACAAAUAAAAAUAGAAAUACACAAAGAAGUAAAGCGCCGUAUUUAUAAACCUAGAUUUCACCAAUUGUCUUCCUGGCAAAACAUGAGAAAAUCACAACAAAUCAACUCAUCACACACACAUCUCCCAAAAACUUGAUUGCGCCACAGCGUACGAACUCCUAGCAAAUAAUUAGCACAAAAUAUAAGAAAUUAAAAGUGACUUGACUGCAAGUGUGAUAGGUCAAUUGUAAUAUUUGUAAGUGUUAUAAUGGAACACUUUGAGCUUUCCAAGGAUCAAACCCAAGAGAGGUCAAAGUUAAUUACGCUAAACUACCCUAAGGAGGACUAAAUUGAAUAACAAUAAAAAGUAUACAAAUAUAAUUCAAUGAGAUAAAGUGGUCGGUUGAUAUCCAUAUUUCUAAUUAAUUCUUGGAUUAGGGAUAUAAAUUGCUCAAACUCCUAAUUAGUCCAAUUUUACCUCUCGAUUACCAUUUUACCUAAUUAUACGAUUUAGUCUGAUUUAUCUCCCGACCUCACUAAACUAAGUCGGGUCAAUCAAAUUGGCUCACAAUAGGAUCUCCUUUCGGUCUCACCUAUCCAAAUGUUCACGUAGAGGCGUCAAUUCUAGGUUUUGAAAUCUAUUCAAUUUAAUCCGAUUUUUAUGAUUUACUCUUUGACCCAAAAAUUAACCAUGCAAUAUUUCAAUCAACCAACCACCAUAAAACUUAGUUACUACUCAUCAUCACAAGACAAAGACCAACCAAUUUCAAGCUAAAAUGAUUGGUCAAAUAACCACAAAAAGAUAAGUUUUAGAAAUGUUUAGUGACUCUUGAAGGAUCCUUUGAUGAGGAUGAUGACAACAAGAAAGAUGAUAAAUCUACAACCAAAUAUGAUUUUUUUUUUUUUUUUUGAAAACUAACAAGAAUAAAAUCUGUUGAAUGUUUUAAAUAGAAGUUGAAAAUGACAAGGUUGAAAAUGACAAGGUUGACUAUUGUAUCUACUUGGAAAAAAAAAAACUAAAACUACAGUAAAAGUAAUGACAAGGUUGAAUAUUGUGUCAGAAUUUAAUGCAUGAGUUAAAUAAAUGUUCCUUGAUAAAAGAAAUCCGUGAAAAAAUCAAUUGAAAAAAAGAGUCAAAUCGGUUUAACUUUAUAUGCAUAAAUUGACUUCAUUUGAUUUUAAAUUUAACUUCAUAUAUAUAUAUAUAUAUAGUUCAAUCUUAUUAGUCCGUUGUACCCAAAUAAAUUCUUUAUAUAUAUAUAUAUAUAUAAAAACUCAAUGAGUAUUUAUAACCUUAGUUAAAGAUUUAAGAUUUAAUAUCUUUAGCCAGUUGAGUCUUAAUUUAAUUGAUAUGAGUAUUAUUAUCAAUGCAGGAGAAUGUGAAUCCGAAUAUGUUAAAACGCAUUAUUCUUCUAUUUAUGGGUGGAGAGGGACUAUAGGUAAUUUUAAGUAUUAUCUUAAAAAAUAUAUAUAUGAUCAAAAUUUAUAAUAAGAUUAUUCAAAAAAAUGAGACUUAAGAUCCUUAAAAUUCACUACUAAUAAUUUUGAUCUGUUUAGCAAAAAAUAUUUUGUUUAUUAAAAUUUUCAAAAAUGUUUUUAUUAUAUUUAUAUAUAAGAAUAUUUGGUACAUCACUAUGGAUGAAACAUGCCAUUUUUCAAUUUUUAUUUACCCAAAAUUAAUAUUAUUUUUCAUAGUUUUUAAAUUGAUUCCUUAAAGAUUUUCUAAAAUCCUAAACAGGGCAAAAUUCCAUUAAAAAAAAUCCAAAAGAGAGCGGCUCAAAUAAGUAACAAAAAGAAUUGAUUAUUGAGUAGGAUUAAAAGUAGCAUGACAAACAUUUUUUUAUUAAGUAAAAUUUUAUAUCUAAAUAAGUUAGUAUUUUUAAAUAAUAUAUAGAGUCAUAGCAGUCUUACUUUACACUGUUAUUUCCUAAGAAAAUAAUUUCGGUGAUAAAAAGAUUGGUCAUAGAGACUGCAGGGGGAUUGAGGACUUAAAAUUCUGUCAAGUGUAUGUCAAAAGCAAAGAAAAGAUUUAAUAUCACUCAUGCCCUCAAACAUUAGGCAUCAAUCAUUUUCAUCCUUACAUUUCAAUCAAUGAAGAAUAAACCAGAAGUAUAAACUCAAUUUUAACCUUUUCUAUAUACAUUACAUAAGAUAACAUUAAAUCAAGUACAUUUUUUUAUUAACUACUGUAAUUAUUUCUUUUUAAACACAUUUCAUAUUAAAGUAAUAGUUAAGAUUUAAUUUAUACAUUACAUAAGAUAUUAUACAUUUCUAAACAUUUAUCUAUUAAUAUUUUACAGACAUAACAUUUCUUUUAAUCUAUUUCCAAUUCUCAUGCAAUGGGUCCUACAUUCACUUUGUUUUCCAUAUUUGUUUUCUUGAAUUUAAGUUCUCCUUUUUUGUAUUUCUCAUGCACUUUGUUUUCUUGAAUUUAAGUUCUCCUUUUUUGACUUCAAAUAUCACCACUAUUUUUCUUACCUAUAAAUACAUGCAACAAUUGCACUCUUAUCCUCACACAAAUUCUGUGCCAAAUUUCAAGAGCAAACCAAAAAAAGGCUGCAAUUUCAGCUUUUCAAUAUUUGCUUUUGAUCAAUCGAAAUGGCUUCACAAGAUUCUCAAAUGCCUUCUUCAUCACCCCUUUCUUCCAAUAAGGAUGAAAUGCGUCCCAAAGCCGAUUUUCAGCCUAGCAUUUGGGGAGAUCUCUUCCUCAAUUGUCCCGACAAGGUAUACAUACAUAUCACCAUAUUGAUAUAAUCUUAACAUAUUAUUUGUUUAAUUAUUUAGUGAUUCAAUGUGAAGAAAAUUUUCAUUAUUUUGAGCAGAAUAUUGAUGCUAGAACUGAAAAACGCCACCAACAAUUGAAAGAAGAAGUGAGGAAGAUGAUUGUGGCACCAAUGGCUAAUUCAACCCAAAAGUUAGCCUUCAUUGAUUCAGUCCAAAGACUGGGUGUGAGUUACCAUUUCACCAAGGAGAUCGAAGAUGAACUAGAGAAUAUCUACCAUAACAACAAUGAUGCCGAGAACGACCUCUACACCACAUCUCUUCGAUUCCGACUACUCCGAGAGCAUGGAUACAAUGUUUCAUGCGGUAAUUAUUGGAACAACAACAUAGUGUUUUUAAGUGUCUAGAGAAUAUAAUAGCAUGGAAUGUUUGAUAACGAUAUUUCAUUUUGGGUAAUUUCAUCUCAGACGUAUUCAACAAGUUUAAAGACGAGCAAGGGAAUUUCAAGUCAUCCGUGACAAGCGAUGUUCGAGGAUUGUUGGAACUUUACCAAGCUUCCUAUUUGAGGGUUCAUGGGGAAGAUAUAUUGGAUGAAGCAAUUUCUUUCACCACCAACCAUUUAAGCCUUCCAGUAGCAUCUUUGGACCAUCCUUUGUCCGAAGAGGUUUCUCAUGCUUUGAAACAAUCAAUUCGAAGAGGCUUGCCAAGGGUUGAGGCAAGGCACUAUCUUUCAGUAUACCAAGAUAUUGAGUCCCAUAAUAAGGCUUUGUUGGAGUUUGCUAAGAUCGAUUUCAACAUGUUACAAUUUUUGCAUAGGAAAGAACUAAGUGAGAUUUGUAGGUAUGUUUUGUUAAUCUCUUUCACCCAUUUUUUUUUUCUUUUUCAUCUUUUUUUAAUUUUUUGGUGGAAGGGGGGUUGAAUUUAUAGGAGGCAUCAUUCUCAGUAUAGGAUACGAGUUGCAAAUGCUAAUAUUUGAAUCUUAUUAAAUAGCACAAGUUAAAAGUGAUGGCAUGAACCUUAGAUUCAUCUUUUUCACCAUUUUCAUUUUAACCUUAGAUUCAUCUUUUUCACCUAUUUCAUUUUACUUAUAUAAUUUUUAAAAUUUGAGGUUCCCAAUUGACUUAAGAGUUUAACAAUUUACUCAUUGACAACAUGAAUGUGGAACUAAUUAAAACUUUGUAUGGUCAUUGCGUUAAUGGGGUUUUUUAUAAUAUGAUUUUUUAGGUGGUGGAAGGAUUUAGACUUUCAAAGAAAGUUGCCAUAUGCAAGAGAUAGAGUGGUUGAAGGUUAUUUUUGGAUCUCGGGAGUGUACUUUGAGCCCCAAUAUUCACUUGGUAGAAAGAUGUUGACAAAAGUGAUAGCAAUGACAUCUAUUGUAGAUGAUACAUAUGACUCAUAUGCAACAUAUGAAGAGCUCAUUCCCUAUACAAAUGCAAUUGAGAGGUUAGAUUUCUUUAAUUUUGCUAGUAAUAGGUUAGGUUUUUUUUGUUCAAGUGAACAUUCAAGUAUAUAUUACGAGGAAUGAUCAAAUAUAACGUUGAGGUUUGAUUCAGGUGGGAUAUCAAAUGCAUAGAUGAACUUCCUGAAUACAUGAAACCAAGCUACAAGGCACUAUUAGAUGUUUAUGAAGAAAUGAUACAAUUGGUGGCUGAGAAUGGGAGACAAUAUCGUGUUGAGUAUGCGAAGAAUGCGGUAUGUACAUUUGCAAACAUUUAUUUUAUACAAAAGAGAUAAGAUCUUAGCUAAAUUCUAGAUUUGAAUAAACAACUAACUUGAAUAACAAUAUAUAAUCAUUUAAAUAUUAUUAUUGAAUUUUAAUUGAUAUUAGUGAUAAUUGUUGGGACUUUGUUGUCUUAGAUGAUACGACUUGCUCAAUCUUACCUUGUGGAGUUCAAAUGGACUCUUCAAAACUACAAACCAUCAUUCGAGGAGUUUAAGGCUAAUGCAUUGCCAACUUGUGGUUAUGAAAUGCUUGCUAUUACAUCUUUCGUCGGCAUGGGAGAUAUUGUAACGCCAGAGACCUUUAAAUGGGCAACUAAUAACCCUAAGAUCAUUCAAGCUUCCACAAUUAUUUGUAGGUUUAUGGAUGAUGUUGCUGAACACAAGGUAUAAUAAUAUAUUUAUAUGAUCACAAGAAACCGAACUCUUAGCUCAAUAAUUGAAUGUCUUUGUAGCAAAAUUAAAUGAUGGUUUUUAUCAUGAUCUGAAACAAUUAAAGUUUAAUGUUGACAUAUCAAAUGUUUAGUCUUAAAUCGAAAAAUAAGAAAAUAAAUCUAGUUUCAUUUUAAACAAAACUAUAUUAAAUAUAGUUUAAUAAUAUGAUAGGUUUUAGGGUAUAUAGUGAUAGAAUAAUUUUGAUUUUAUUAUGGUUGCAGUUCAAGCAUAGAAGAGAAGACGAUUGCUCAGCAAUUGAGUGUUACAUGGAAGAAUAUGGCGUAACAGCAGAAGAGGCAUAUGAUGUAUUCAACAAGCAUGUUGAGAGUGCGUGGAAGGAUGUAAAUCAAGAGUUUUUGAAACCAACAGAAAUGCCAACAGAAGUUUUGAAUCGUAGUCUAAACCUUGCAAGGGUGAUGGAUGUGCUUUACAGUGAAGGAGAUGGCUAUACAUAUGUUGGAAAAGCAGCUAAGGGUGGGAUUACUUCAUUGCUGAUUGAACCAAUCGCAGUUUGAAAUUAUAUUAAAAUUUCCUCUUCAAGCUUUUUCCUUAAGGAAUAAAUAUUAAAUUUUAAGUAAUAAUGUUUUAUAAUAUUCAUACAUAUCAUAUAAAGAAAAAGUCCAAAUUGAUUAGAUUUGUACUCAAUACCUUAUAUUAAUCCAAUGAAGUUUUUUCUACCUUUUUACCAUCAAAGUCCUGCUCUUUUUUCAAGAAAAGCUUUCUUCUGUUUCAUAUUUUCUUUUCUUUUAAUUGUUUAUUUAUUUAAUGGCAUUCAUGAAUAUAUAUAUAUAGUAUGAGAAUAGGAAGAAUAACAAAUAUCAUAAAUGGGAUCAAAGUAGGAAAAAGAAUCCAGUAAAAUUACCACUUAAGAGAUAGGUUUUCCUUUAUUCAAAUUUACAAUUUACUAAUAUCAAAUAUGAAAUGCCCACAUUAAUUAACACUCAUCUAAUUUGUAGGUAAUUGUAAAUAAUAAAUAGUCUAUUUCAAUGUAGUAGUUGUUUGAAUGAUAUGAUUGGAGAAGAAUGUGAAAUCAAAUACUCAAUUGAAAAAAUCGUUUCAUUUAAUUCCCCACUCAUAAAUUAAUUAACAUAAUGAAGAAAGUAAUAAAUUUCUCGUUCAAACAUUAUAUCCCCGACAUUGACAAAACAAUAAAAAGUAACCAUAAAAAAUAAAAUGAAAAAAAAAGAUAAUAUUUGUGAAAAAUAUUAACCCCCAAAAGGAAAUAACUAUAUAGCAAUAGAAAAUAUAAUCUACUCUAAUUUGUCGCUAUAACUUUGGAGUGUGAUCUUGUCGUGCUCUUCCUCUUUGUUGGCCUAUCUACCACCGUUGUUUCCACUUUCAGCGAUGUUUUCUUCUUUAACAUAACUUUAUCUUUCGAGAUUGCAUACAAUAAAGGUUCACCUUUCAAAUAGACUUUCAGGCCUUGCCUCAACGAGCUCACCUAGCCAAGCAUACCUUUGUCUAUUCAAGCCUUUCCAUUACUAGCCCACCCUUUAGAAUUGACUCUUAAGCUCACCUUUUUAAUCUUGUUAAGAUCAUGAAAAAGUUACACCAACAAAAUACCUACCCGUCCAUCAUCUCCUUUUUAGGCAUGCCAAAGACAACACAUCACAUCAUCAUCGAAAGGAGAGCACCUCGCCAAAAAAAGUUCUCGGGAAAAGCCACUUUAUAACCUCUUCCUCGACUUUCAAAGGAAAAUUAUUAUACUUAAACACCUCGCUAGGUCAACCAAUUUUAUCUAGAAGGGCUCGCCCAUGAAAGGGCUUGCCAAAUUCAAGCUUUCAAUUAUCUCCUUACAUGUGCCACUGUCAAAUCAAGUCCCAGUGCUGAGUCUCAUUAGGGCCUACUCAGAGGUCCUUUCUACCACAUCCUAGUAGGACCCUCCAUAACUUUAGUACAAACUCCAUACACUACCACAUGUCAUUGCCUGACAGGGCUUUUUUGGCCUUACGACUGAGCCUGAGGUAGACCACCAUCACAAUAAGCUGUACACAAACCUCUAUAUGAAGUUACCUCUUUCUCUAAGAAGAGGUAUAUUCAUUUUCCAUAAUAACCUUGUCUAAGUUCAUUCAUAACUCUAGAUAUCUCCAAACCUAUUUACUUCCUCUAGUGGUUCUUAGCAUGUUGGUGUGAAUUACACUCACUGUAAACCCAAUCUCCUUUAAUGGUUCUCAGUACUUUAGUAUUAACAUCCCUAGGUACUUCCAUUUUUGAGUCAUAUAAGACAUUGUCUUCUUCUUCAUUGGAGCUAUCGUUAUUUCCACCACCUCUUUCAUCAAAGAUACUUCAGAAGUUUAAAUGCAAAAAAAAAAAAAAAUUGUCUAGCUAUACUUUUUGUGCCAUAGUCCAACUAUGGUCUUACACAUACAUUGUCAUGGCCCUACCAUGGUCUUACAUUUGUAGUGCCAUAACCCAGUUAUGGUCUUAUUAUCAGAAUGUCAUAGCCCAGCUAUGGUCUUACACAUGUAUCUAUAUUGCCAUGGUCCAACCAUGGUCUUACGUUCAAGGUGCCAUAACCCAGUUAUGGUCUCAUUAGAAAGCUAUAGCCCAGCUAUGGUCUUACAUAUAAACACUGCCAUGGUCCAACCAUGGUCUUACGUUCAUAGUGUCAUAACCUAGUUACGGUCUUAUCCCUCAAUUCAUCCUUUGCCACAGAACGAUUGUACUCAAUCCCGCAUUCAAUCCAAACUGAGUAUUAAAUUCAAUAAUAUAUUUCUAAUAAUAAUUCAAUUCCAACAAUUGAACACACAUAUAUAUAAUAUCCAUCACCAAAUAUCAUUCACUUUAAUCAAAAUUAUACAGAAUAUAGUUCAUACGAACUUACUAGCCUAAAUUGCAUAAAUACCAAUAUACAGAGGCAUUUUAGUAAUUUUCCAUUUUCCUCGAUUUUCCACUCAAUCUUGAUCUAAAUUAAUAUUUUAUUCAAUUUAUUAAUUUAAAUAAUAAAACAAUUUAUUUCAUACAAUUUGGUCAUUUUUGACAUUUUUACAAAAUUACCCUUAAAAUUUUACUUUUAUUCAAUUUAGUCUCUGAAUCUAAAACAUGCAAAUUAGUCAUUUUUAAUGAAAACUCAUGCUAGUUGAAUAUUCAUAUAUUUUCCUCCUCCUCCUCUCCAUUCCACAUCCUUAAUGUAUAUAUUAUGCUUAUAUGUAAUAUUAUCUAUAAUUCUACUAUUUACUUAUGUUCAUAUCAAAGCUGUCCACUUGAAUCACGGUCAAUAAUUUAUUUAUAUCUCGAGCUAUAGAAUUCUAAAUUAAGAUUCGCUUGAUGUUUUUGAAACUAGACUCAAAUAUCUUUCCACCAUAAAAUUUUUAGAAUUUACAGUUUAGCCUAUAAGUACAGUAAAUGCUUCAAAUUUAUCCCUAUUCUGCUGUUUGAUAGCUUUGACCUUUGCUUGCUAAAAAUUAAUUAUCUCUUAGUAUGGUGUCUGAAUGAUGUUUCUGUUUGUUUCUCUUGAAAAUAGACUCAUCAAGAAUUUUAAAAAAUAAAUUUAAACCCCUAAUUAUUUUUUAAAAAAUUUUGAUGAUUUUCCAAAGUCAGAAUAGGGGAACCCGAAAUCAAUCUGACCCUGUCUCACAAAAAUUCAUAUAUCUCUUAAUAUGAAAUUCUUUUGCUUACAUCGUUUCUUCCAUGUAAAACAAGACUUAAUAGGAUUUAUUUUAAUACUUUAAUUAACCUCUAAUUCAAUUUCUACGUUUUUUGGUGAAUUUUCAAAGUCAGACUACUACUACUGUCCAAAACUGUUUUAGUGUAAACUGUUGAUAACCAAAUUUAUAACACCCUCAUUUCCUUUCUCUACAAUAUUUCCCAUCACUUCCUCUUAUUUCCCUUUACUAGAAUAUCAAGAACAUAGAAUCUUAUAUAAUAAAACUCUACUUUACCAUCAAUUUCAUACUUUUUCAAUAAUAUCAAACUAAAAAAUAUAUUGAAAUCUUGAGGUUCUUACCUUGUCCUAUUGAUUUCAAUCUUUAACUUAAUUUUCUCUCUCCUCCAGCUUCUAUUUCUUGAAUCUAACUUGAUACUCUAGCUCCCCAUUGUCUCCUUAUUAUUUUUCUCUCUUGGUAGCUAUGGAAAUUCUUUUGAUUUCUAAGUGAAAAUGGUGAAUUUUUGGUAAAAUGACCAAAUUAUAAAGAAAAUAAAUUUUCUUUCUUUCAUUUUUUUUUCUUCUCACGUUGGAGGCAUGAAAGAUGAUAAAUUCUCUUCAUCUUUCCUCCCUUUUAUAUUAAUCAUUUAAUAAUAAAAUAAUACUAAGAAUCUAAAUAAAAUAUUAAUUAAACAACAUUUAUCUAAUUAAUUAAUUAAAAAUAUCACCAACAUCAUCAUUACCUUUUAGAGUUCUCUCUCUUUCUAAUUGACCAUUUUGCCCUUCAUGAUCUUUUAAAAUUCCAUCAUUGAGUCAUCACUUAAUUUGGUAAAAUUAUGAUUUAGUCCAUCAUAAUUCUUCACCUAUUCAAUUUGGUCCUAAUUCAUCCAUUUUCCUUAUUUUCUAGAUCAUUCCACCCUUAAAAUAUUUUCACUAUUGGUCCUUGAACUUUUUCAUAUUUACACUUUAACCCCUCAAUUUUUGAGUAUUUACUCUUGGGCAACAAAACUUUUCUCACUUUUGCGAUUUAAUCUUUUCUUGCAUUAAUAUGUCAUAAUAUACUUCCCAAUGUUGACAUAACUCAAAAUUUCCCUUUUUGUCACUUUAUUUCCUUAUUUUACUAUAUCAAGGAUACUAUAUUACUUUAUUCCUGUAGUAAUUUUUGGGGUAUUACAAGGACGGACCAACUAGGAAAUUAUUCCCAGGCCCGCAAACACACCGUUCCAUGAGCGACUGAAAAGAAACAAAAUCACUGGGCAAAAAUUAAAAAAAAAGAAAUAGGACUAGAUUGAAAAACAAUUAAAAAGCAGAAGGACUGAAGUAAAAAUUAGACCCUUUCUUAAGAAAACAUGCGGAUCUUGUUUGUAUUUAGGUCAUAUUUCAAAAUGACGUCGUUUUGGGGCUAUUGAAGCUAGCUUUAAACGACGUCGUUUAGCCUCGCCUAUAUAAGCCAAAUUUUUUUUAAAAAAAAUCAUUAUGUUUAGUUUUUCUUAAAAAAACUGAGUCUUUUUUUCUCUCUCGGUUUUCCACGUCUGCCCCUGGCGCCGGCGAUGAUUUCACCGUUCCCGGUGGCUAGAAUCUACGAGCAACCAUUUUUUGGCCGUUACGGCUUCUUGAGCCCGAAUCCGGGGUCAGUACUUUCCAAAACCCAACAAAAAAAUAAAAAAAAAUCUAAACAGCCCCUUGGUUUUCUACGCCGUGGUCCUUAGACAAAACAGAAGUGACUUGGAGGUCUCAUCGAAGGGAGCCGUCCGUCAUCACGGACGGAGUCCUCGUCUACUCGCGGCGGUGGAACAUGAAACGACUCAGUAAGUUUUUUUGAUUUUAUGUUUUAUGUUUUUUUUUCUAAAAAUAACAGAUAAAAAAAAUGAAGAAAAUCACCUUUAAAAAUGUUUUCUUUGUAUUCUGUUUUUUUAUUCCUUUUUUUCUCGUAAAGAAAUACAUAAAAGUCAUGGCUUUUAUAGUCGAAUUACACUCUCUUUUUUACUGUUUUUCUACUGUUUCUACUGUUUUUUCUUGGGUGUUGUGCUUCUGUCCUUGUUCUGCCUUUUUUGCAAGUGUCCCUAGUCGACGGCGACAACUGGCAGAUGAGGUGUCAAACCUCAGGCAACAAAACCGCUGGUAAAGCAGAGGCGGCGGCGCGCUGGCUAAGGAUUCUGUCCUUCUGAAAAUGUUUGUUUUUUGGGCCACUGGGCUCGCUUUUUACAUUUGGGCUUGUAAUAUUUUUAUUUGGAUUUGUAAUUUUGUAUUUAUUUGUAAAUUAGGCUUGAGCGAAAUUGGGUCAUUAUAUUGUACAUGUAAAAUGUUUUGUGGGUUAACUGGUCGAGUCAAGUACAGACGGCUACCAAAAGAAGAUGUGUUAAAUCAAAGGAAAAUAAUCAAGCGAAUUUAUAAUUUUAACGAAGAUAUUGUUGGUUGAAAUUUUUAAGUAUUUUGUAUUUAUAUUUAAAUUUUAUUAUAUGUAAUUAUCAUAUUUAGAUCUUUAGUUUUAUAAUGCGUCGUUGUUAAGUGUAUAUUUUUGUCCAAUGAAUCAAUUUUAGUUUUAAUUAUUUUAAUUUUUAAUGUAUUUUAUAUUAAUUUAAUUCUAUUUUAUAAUUAUCCCAAAUGCAUUUAUAAAUAUACUAUAAUCACAAUAGAAUUUAUAAUUUCAUAUCGUUUUUUUUAAUAUUAGUUUUAUAUCCUAACACAUCAUGAAUUUAUCAUUAAAUUUGUAUUAUACUUAUUUUAUUAUUGAAACUUUGAAUAUGAUUGUUUUAUAGUUGUGAUUUCCUUUUUUAACAUGUCAGGUUUAGAGAAUAUAUAUAUAUAUAUAUAUAUAUAUAUAUAUAUAUAUAUAUAUAUAGAAUAUUUAAAUUUAUAUAACCUGUCAGUGCAGAAAGAUGUGGGUUUGAGUGUGUUAAAACAUAUUGUUCUCUUAUUUAAGGGCUAGAAAAGGAUUAUAGGUAAAUCUAGGUAUUAUAUAAAAAAAUAGUUGAUUUGGAAUUAAUAAAAAUGUAAACUUAACUAUUCAUAAGUUUAUUAUCAAUUAAUAAAAAUUAAUUCUAAUAAUUUUUUUUUUCAUAUUUUUAGUAAAUUCAUUUUAAAAAUCUAGAGACUGUAAAGUCAAUCAGUAGAGCACAUGCUUGUUGGAGAUACUUUAAUUCUGGGAUAUCAAUGCCAUUAGUAAAACUACGCAUGCAGAAUAAAAUAUUAAAAAGAAAUAAGAUAUUAAUUUUAUUGAUAACUUUGAAUUAUAAAUAUAGACGCCAUUGCUGAAAUUUGCUUACUCUGAAUAUUUUUCUUCUCAAUUCUAAUGUAUCAGAAAAUUUUAAAUGAUGGGUUUUGAAUAUAAAUUUCUAGUAUUCACUGAAUCAUACAACUAUGGAGUACUUACAAUUCAAAUUGAAAAUAUUGUGAAAAAUAACUUAUUCAAAUAGUCAAGCCUUCUUAUUGUUAAGUUUUUUACUAUUAUAAUGGUACUACAUUUACAAAUAUAAAGACAUGUUUAAGUUUUAUCUUUUACAUAAAUGAUAUGAUUCCAUUCAUGGAAUGAAUGGUGACGACUUAAAAUACUAGAGGUCCAAAUUGAUUCGUGAAAUUAUUUAUUAUUCUAAAAUACUCUCUAAACAAAAACAGAUCAAGAGCCAAUUAAAAGUCACUCACUUUCUUAGAGAAACUGUUGAUGGUCAGGGUAAUUUCAGCGACGAUAGGCAUCAUCAUCUGUCCAUCACAACAUGUGAAGAUAACAAAGAUACCUACAAAAUAGAUGUAUCAAUUGAAAAGAGAGAAAACCUAUGGAAUAGAUGAGGAGAAAAAAGAAAGUGAGUUGGUGGGAGGGAGCAAAAGGUGGGCAGUAGCCAGCCCGGAGAUUGCCACCGUUGCUACGCAAAACAAAAAAGAAGAAACAAACGGCUUGGAGAAAAAAGAAAAAAGACCUAAAGGACUAAAUUGCUCACUUUUAUACUUAAGGAGUUAAUUUGUUCUUUAGUUUAUAAUACAAGGAUCCACAUUAUAAAUUUUCCAUUACAAAUAGACGCCUUUGAUGAAAUUUGCUUAUUUUUCCUUUGAAUCUUUUGUGUUAAUUCCAAUGUAAAAAAUGGAAUAUUCUAAACGAUGGGUUUAAAAUAUAAAUUUCUAGUAUUGACUGAAUUGCAACUAUAGUGUUUACUAUUCAAAUUGGAAAAACAUGUUAAAUUAAUUGUGAAAGAAAAUUCAUUACUCAAAGAGUCAAGCGGUCUUGUUUGAAUGGUUUAUUUUUAUUAGAUAUUUUUCGUUGUUUUCACAAUUUUGUGUGGAAUUUCGUAGUUAUAUAUAUUGAGAAUUUGGUCACUGAAUUGUCUACUUCGUCUUUUACGAUGAUUCAAAUGACUCUUCAAUGCUCUCAGUGUAUCAAAUAUAUCAUAUAAUUUUAUGUAUUAUUUCUCAAGUCAAUUAUUUUACUGCUAUUUUAUGGAUGGCUGAAAAUAUGAUCAAUGUGCCUUUUUUUUUCCUCUAUGAAUGAUGACAUUAUGUUAGUCAACAGUUUACUAUCUUUAUAUAAUAUAUAUUAACAAUUUUUUAGUAAAUUAUAAGAGGAUGACAAAACGUUAAUAGUAACGCGACUCGGGGGCGAUGAAUACCCUGAUCAACAAGCCAACACACAGAUUUAUAUAUUAACAAUUUUUUAGUAGUUAAUUUUUCUUAAUAUAGGUAAACCUCACAAUUUUGAUUUCAAACUCAAAAUUUGACUUGAAAAAUUUUACUUGAUCAAUUUAAAAUAAAGCUUAUUUUAUUUUUAUUUAAUUAUAAAAAAUUAAAAAUUUAAACUUAAAUUGCUUCAAAUUCAAAAUAUAGGGGCUGGCUCUGCACCCUAAAAUGGUAAGUUUCUGUUUUAGUGUUUUAAAUUUUAUAAACUAUGAAAAUUACUACAUGGGCUUUCAAAAAUAAUAAAAUUUUGAUUUAAUCUUUAAUUAAUUAUAAAGACGUAAGCUAUUAAAAUGAUGAAAUUACAUUUUACCUCUCGUAAAAACUUUACAACUUACAAGAGAGUAAAUAGAUCCGAAAACCUCAAGCAACACAAAAUUAUUUGAAUCCAAAGCUCAUUUAUAUCUAAAAAUUAUGUAAACAAAAUUGUUUAUGUUUAUACAUUUUUUUAAUAAUUUCAUUACAGGUUCUGAUCAUAUAUGCUCUUUUUGACAUAAUGCCUAGAAUUACCCGUAAUCUCUCCUCAACCCAUAAAUAGGAAGAUAAUGCGCUUAAGCACACUCAAAACUAGAUCCUCUUACAUUAACAAUAAUACACAUACCAAUCAAGAUUAUAUAUUUUUUAUUAAGCUAAAAAUGAUUAAUUAAUUGUAUAUAUUUUUUAAUGUGACCCAACACCAUAUGAAUGAAACAAAUGAAUGCAUCAGCUCACUUGACUGAUGAAAGACGUAAGAAAUAUUAAAAUCUAUAUAAUAAAACAAUUAAAAAAAAGAUUGCAGAUAGCUUGCACAUCAAGCCUACUAUGUUUGAUUUUUAAUUUAAAUUUCUUAUCAUUCAUUUUAAACGUUUAAUUAUGAUAUUUAAUUUCGUUGUCUUGUAGUAAUUUUUCUCCCAGGGUAUAUUCAAUUAAUGUUUGCCAAUGUAUAUCUCAAGAUCAUGACAAUGGUUUGACAUAAAAUUAUAUAGAUGCAUGCAAAUUUCCCCUUGUUUUCUAUUAAUCAUUUAGUUUUGGCAUAAUAAUUUUUUCGCCCUCCAACUUCACAAAACAAGUCAUUUUAGCCCUCCAUUAAAAUUUUCGCUUCUUUUAACACUUGAAUUUGUAUUUUUUGUCAAGUCACUCCAAAGUAGAUGGAAAAAUAAAUUUUUAUUAACUUUCAUGACGUGUUAUAUAUGUGGAUUGCUGAGCAGAUGACAUAUUAGCAUUUAAUUCAUCUCUAAACUAUUAAAAAUAUUGUUAUUGUAUUUUUUAAUAAUUUAAUAAUUUUUAAUUUUUAAAUAUAAUUUUAUAAUAUUUUGAAUUUUUUAAAUUUUAAAAAAUUAAUUAAAUAUUGGCAUGUCAUCCCUAUAGCAGUCCACAUGUAUACAACAUCAACAAAGUUAAAAAUGUUAACUUUUUCAUUCAUUUUGGGGUGAUUUGACAAAAAUACGGAUUUAAGGACUUAAAAAACUAAAAAAUUAAAUGAAAAACUAAAAUGAUUUUUUUAUAAAAUUAAAAUAUAUAAAAAAAAACAUUAUGCCUUUUACUAGAAUGAGCACCCCCUUUCACUGGGGCUGCUGUAAAUCUUAUUAUAAUUUAGUCAAUUGAUAGUUAAAAACAAUUUAAAGAUGAAAUAAUUAUUUUUGUUAAAAAUUUUAUUUCUAAAUUUAAUAAUAUGACUAUUGAUAUUUAUAUUUUUAAUCAUAAAAAUUAAAUUUAACAUAAUUUUUUAAGAUUUAGUGCUGAUUUUAGACUGACAUAUAAGUUAAUCUAUGGAUCAAUUAUUUUGGAUACAUCAUUUAAUGCGAUAAUAAAAAAAUUCAUGCAAAUUCAAAUUUAAAUAAAUCAACUCAAAAAAUUUGAAUAGUUUACUAUCUCUAUACAAUAUAUAUCAGCAAUUUUUUUGGGUGAAUUAUAAGAUGAGGGCAAAGUCUUAAAUAGGAAUGCAGCUUGAACUCAGGUCACACUUGAGGCGAUGAAUACCCUAACCAUCAGACUAAUACAUAAAUUCAUAUAUUAACAAUGUUUUAGUUGCUAAUUUUUCUUAAUAUCGGUAAACCUUGCAAUUUUGAUUUCUAACUCAAAAUUUGACUUGAUAAAUUUAACUUGAUGAAUUUAAAAUAAAGCUUAUUUUAUUUUUAUUUAAUCAUAUAAAAUUCAAACUUAAAUUGAUUUAAAUUCGAAAGAUAGGGGUUGGUUCUGCACUCUAAAAUGGUAAGUUUAUGUUUUAGCAUUUUAAAUUUUAUAAACUUUAUAAAUUAGUAUAUGGUAAAAAUUAUACUUUGACUUUCAAAAAUAAUAAAAUUUUGAGUUAAUCCUUAAAUAAUUAUAAAGAUGUAAGCUAUUAAAAUGGUGAAAUGGCAUUUUACCUCAAGCAACAGAAAAUUAUUUUAAUCUAAAGCUCAUUUAAAUCUAAAAAUGAUGUAAACAAAUUUGUUUUAUGUUUAUACAUUUUCUUAAUAAUCUCAUUAUAAGUUCUGAUGAUAUCUGCUUUUUUUAACACAAUGCCUAGAACUACCCAUAGCCCCUCCUCAACCCAUAACCCCUCCCCAACCCAUAAAUAGGAGGAUAAAGCAUUUAAGUGCACUCGAAACUAGAUCCUCUUACAUUGACAAUAAUACCUAUACCAAUCAAGCUAAAAUUCAAUCCACUUUGUAACGUCUUGAAUAAUUUAAGUUUGUUUUUUGUGAAAUCUGACAUUAAGGUGUAUUUGUUUUAGUGGUUAAGUGUCCUGAGUGUGUGUGUAUCAGGUCUAGGGUUCAAUUCCUACAUUUGAAAAUUUUUUGUUAUUUUUGAUCCAAGCCUUAUCCCUAUUGGGUGGGUUUAUAUAAAUUGUCUGUUAAUCUAUAUCAAAAUGAGCAUAUUAUUUCGAGUGGUAAUGAGUUAACUUGUUGGAGGUCUUACGUUUGAAUCCCCACGUGAGCGAGGGUAAUAAUUUUUGCUUCGAUUGACUGAGUUUGGAUGGAAUCGAAAUUCUGUUUAAAUGGGUAGUUAUCAGUUGGUUAGGAGUGGAUAUAGUGGGAUUUUUAUUUUGAGAUUAAUUUAUUUUUAUUUUUAUCUUAUUUUAUUUUUUUCCCAAAAUCUUUUUUUGUUUUGAGGUUCUGUUUUCUUUUUCUUUUCAACUUCUGUCAAUUUUUGCUCUCCUUUCCUCUUUUGUUUUGGUAAUCAAAUUUAUUGGUGCAAUUCAUUGUAUUUCAGUCUAAGUACCCAAUUUCGGUUUGAUAAGUGUGGUUUUUAUUUUUGGCUAGUGAAUUUUUGGUUGAUGGGGUCUCAUUAUUGUUGUUUAUGAGAAGAUCAAGGGGCUUGGGGCUUUCUAUCAGUGUUAUAACUAUAGGAAAUCAUCAUUGUUCAUUUGACAGUUAGGGUUUUGGUUGAACAAGAGAUUGUUAAUUCGAUAUAGUUUCAGUUUAGCAUUGUUUUAGGUGGCUAAAUUCGACUUUUUAAUGAUCAAUUUUAGGUUCUGGUGGUCUCAAGAGUGAUUUCGCAUCAAAAUUGAACGAGGUGUGUACUCCUAACACGAAAAAAUUGAGUUUCGACGAAAGCUAAAAAUGGAGUCUGUCGACGCUACACAGGUGUGUGGCCGAUCGUAUGGAUGGCCGUGUGUGAGACACGACCGUGUAACUAAUGAAUGAGUGGUCAUGCACAAGACACGGUCGUGUGAUGGUGUGAGUGUGGCCAUAUGGGCCACACGGGCUAGGCCAAGUUAGGCAUGUGGGUGUGUGGGUUUUGGGCUAAACCAGUGGACCACACGGAUAAGGCCAAUCUGGGCGUGUGGGGCCACAUAGGCAUGUGGGCCCAGAAUUCUAAAACUUUCCCUAAGGUCGCACGGGUCAUUUCGAUCGACUGUGGGCCUACCGUAGGGUCGGUAAAGGCUAACCAAACCUUAUUUCAUGUGAUUUGAUAUUCUGAUAGACCGAUCUGAGUAGGAUACUAAUAUGCAUGUUUGACUGUACUGUUUAAGUAUGUAUCUAUCUGUAUACGAGCAUGUUAAGCAUGUUUAAUAUGAUAUUUUUGCAUUUGUACUCUGUAUCUAUGAAUAGAGUGGGAAUUGUAUAUGUGGAGGAAGUGAUCUGUGUAGCGACUCUUCACCUAUAUUUUGGCAACUUGACUGCAUAUUAUCUGUUAUGUGUCGCAUCGACAUUGUAUAAUGUGUAGGGAUGGGUGAGUGUUUUUAACGUUACGUGGUGUGAUGGUAUGGUUGGAGACGGUGUGUAGAGGAUGGGGGUAGGAUUCUGCAUAUCUUUUCUAUUUAUCUGAUUAUGAUAUUUGUAUCUGUUAUGGACUUAAGUUCGAAUAUGUAUCUGACUGUAUAUGAAGCAUUGUGCGUGUUGCAUGGCUAUUUCUAUUGGGUUACACACUGAGUUUAUGAAAAUACACAAUUGUUUGUCUAUUCUGUUCAGGAAAUCCAUAAACUUAGGCGGGUCGGUGCGAUACAGGCUUUGCGGUAACCACUCGACCAAGAACUAUUUUUAUUUAGUAAUUAGUGGUUUAAUUUUAAAGUCUGGUUUUUCUUGAUAGUUUGUAAUUUUUGGGACUCUCCGGACAGUUUGGUUUUAACUUUUGGAUUUGGAUUUUGUUUUGCUAUUUUUUCGCAACGUCAACAAAAACACUUUAUGCAACAAAUGGGUUUUUGAAAACACGAGCUUGGUUUUUGUUUUAAACGAUUUCCAAACUUUAGCUGCGAAAUAAAUGUUAAUUUUAAGGAACAACUUAUAACGAUUUCAGUAAUGAAUAUGUUUUAUAAUACUUGACGUUUUAUCAAAUAGCUAAACAUGGUUUAUCGAAGAAUCGUCGAUUUCAAAACCCUUAUUCGUAACACUCUCGAAUUCAGCCAUAACAUCUAGGCCAUGUUUGGGGUGUUACAUUUAGUGGUAUCAGAGUCAAGUUGCAAAACUCGAGAUGUGAAUUUUGGGUUCCGAAUUUGUGUUUUGAAAAAGGACUAGUUUUCAAACGAUUUGAAUAAUUUUCAAUAAGUAUGUGGUACAUCAAGUCUCCGGCACCGAUCCUGUAAGUAUUUCUGAACUUAGAUAGAACAUUCUUAAAAUACUAUAGUUAGUACUUUCUAAAACUGUACUGAGUUAGUUAGAGCUUAAAACCUCUGAAAUCCUUUGGAACUUCUGAUAACUUGAGCAUAAAAUAUCUGUUAAUAAACACUGGAACUGAUGCAUAAAAUUUUAUAAUGUAAAUAAAACUGAAAAUACGAUGAGAACUCGUGGAACUCACGGUCGUAAUAUUCGUGGGCGCGGCGGGCGCCGUAGGGGGCUUAAGCUGAGUUUUCCUCUUUAAGCAGUAUGCCGAAUUUAAAUAUGAGUGAGACACCAGUUUCACUUGUUACUGAGACUAGGUCUCAAAGCCGCACAGUUGGGGACGACACACUAUCCCAAGCCAUGUUAAGGGUGUUGGAAAGGGUUGUUGGACCUUAUUUUAGAUUUAGGGGCCAUUGGUCGGUAACUGAAUGACUCCAGUUCAGUGGAGCUGAAUUGUUUAGGGGUGUCACUGGAGUCGCCCCUACUGUGACUAAGUAUUGGUUGGUGGCCACUGAGAGGAUUAUGAAAGACAUCGACAACACUCCUAAGCAGAAAUUGAAGGGUGCAAUUUCUUUGCGUCAUAAUGAGGUGUAUCAGUGGUGGUUAUCGGUAGAGAAGGGUACUCAACCGGAUCGUCUGAACUGAAACUACUUUAAGACUGCCUUCUAGGAAAAAUAUGUGGGCGCGAGCUAUGUUGAUGCUCAUUGGCAUGAGUUCAUGAAUCUCACGCAAGGUAAUAAGGCUGUGGCCGAGUAUAAGGCCGAGUAUGAUGAAUGUGUCCAUUUUGAGGAUGGUUUGAGAGAUAGUUUAAGCGUCUAAUUGCUCUGUAGAGGGAGCGUGAGUUUGUUAUUUUGGUAGAUAAUGCGAAGAUCACUGAAGAGGUUAAGCGCGUGGAGCGCCAAAACAAAGACCAAGAGAAGGGAAAUAAUAAGAAGGAUUUGGAGCCCUCUAGUUCUGUUCAAAGGCCUAAGAAACGGGCCAGACCUGAUGUGCCUAUUAGAGUGGGAGUUCCUGUUGCUCCUACUUGGAUUCAGCCUUGUAGUGAUUGUGGUAGGCGCCAUCCGAGCGAGGGUUGGAGGAGAUUAGUGGCUUGUUUGCGGUGUAGGUCAUUAAAGCACCAAAUUAGAGAGUGUCCACAUCGUGUGGAUCAGAUGCAAGCUUUGGGACCGAGUUCUACUCAGCCUUAGUGAGUAAUACAGCAGCCACCUAGGGUCCGUGGGCUGGCUGGGGGUGGUAAUGGUAUGGGCCAAGGACAGAGCACCGGGAAAAGUGCUAAUCAGACUGAGGCGAGGCAACCUGCACUGGUUUAUACUGCUCGACACCGAGAGGACAGAGAUGCCCCUAAUGUGAUCAUGGGUACAUUCUUUAAUUUGAUGCUCCAUAUACUGCUUUGAUAGACGUAGGUUCUACACACUCCUAUGUAGCUAGUUUUGUUUUCGAGAACUUAGGGAUUUCUAUUGAGUGUACUUCUGGUGAGAUUACUGUACUAAGUAUGUUGGGGAAAUCUGUUCGGGUUAGUAGACUAUAUAGGAAUGUUCCAUUAGGGGUACAAGGGGUUGUGUUUCCGGCAAAUUUGAUGGAGCUACCGUUUGGGGAGUUCGACUUAAUUCUAGGUAUGAAUUGGUUAGUUGAGCACCGAGUUAGCUUGAAUUGCACGACUAAGAGGGUCGUUCUAAAGACCGAGGAUGAUAAGGAGGUUGUCGUAAUUGUCGAGCGUCGAGAUUACCUGUCUAAUGUAAUCUCCGCUCUAGUGGCUGAGAAAUUGGUUCAAAAAGGGUGUGAGGCGUAUUUGGCUUAUGUCAAUAUUUUAGUUUUUCUUGGGGCUUUUCUGUUGAGGAUAUGAGAACAGUGAGGAAAUUUUUGGAUUUUUUCCUGAAGAGUUGCUGGGUUUACCUUCGAAUCAGGAAGUUGAGUUCGGCAUUGAGCUUCUACCGGAUACAGCACCGGUGUCUAUUGCUCCAUUAUUUUGGAUCAAUUAUUUUGGAUACAUCAUUUAAUGCUAUAAUAAAAAUAAGAAAACUAAAUUGACUUGAGAGUGAUUUUAUGAAUCGACUUGUAUAAAUACAACAUUUAUAAAAAAUAUAAACAAUUGGGUUCGGAUUUUAAAAAGUUUUCAUGUAAACCUUUUUAAACAAAUUAUUUAAAUUUAAAUUUUAAAAAAAUUAUUUCAAUACUUUUGUUAACUCAUAAAUAAUAUGUAAAAUUAUAUAGAAAUUAAACUGUUCAUAAAAAUUUAAAUUUAAAUAAAUCGACACGAAAAUUCCAAACUUCAAACAUAAAUAAUCGAAAAUCUCAAGAUAUAAUGACUAUGAUUUGAAGUAAAAUUAGGUAGAUGCACCUAGUUUUCUCUUUGUUUCUCUAUUCGGUUUUCAUUAUUUAUUUUAAAACAAAUAUAUUGAUAAUUUGAAAUAAUUAAUAAUUACAAGCAAGUGAAGGUACCUUAGAAGCAAUUUUUUCAUUUACAUAUAACUGGGAAAACUUUGAAUUAAAUUAAAUAACUAUAUCAACUAUGAUCUGAAAAACUUUAAAAAAGAAUUUACACAUUUAAAUGAGACGAUAUUCGAAUUAGAAAUCUCAAAAUUUUUAAGAAUUCAAUGAAGACUAUUGAUUAUUACUAAAUUAUAGUACAUCCACUUUGUGGAUGAAAAAAAAUUUAUUAAAAAAUAUAUUUACCAAAUAAAACUUUGAUUAAAAUGAUAAUAUUGAAUGUUUAAAAUCAUAAUAUAUUAGAUUCAAUUCGUCGUCACAUAUGAAAUUUAUUGAUUCUGUACUGCUAGAUGAAUUUUGAACAACAAAUGGAGUGCUACCAAUUUUGCAAAUUAGAAAUCAAUUAAAAUUCAUAAAAACAAUUUUUGGUUUGGGAAAUUAAAAGUUUAUUAGAAAGUAGUAUUAUGCAUGAAAAAGAUAUACCUUUUAUUCAUGUUUAUUUGAAGUGAGAUUUCACCGUAUGCAAACAAGAGAGUUACAAUACAAGGUAUAUACUAUACCAGCAGAUCCUCUCGCUCUAUUCUCUUCUUCUUCUUCUGCUUCUUCCACCUCCUCUCUUGUAAGCUUCUUUUCUUAAAAUGCUUCACUGUUCUCUUCGCUGCUCUCUUUUUUCUUCUCUUCCUUUGGAAAACGAGGCCACCCUUAAAUGUUAAUAACAUUGUCAAAUAACAUAAAAGCCAACAUUAAAAAUUUAUAGUCAAAACCCAAGUUAAGGUCAAAAAUUAAAAUCGAGCUAUGAAAGUGUAGCAAGAUUCAACUUGGAUUUUUCAAAAUUAAACUUAACACUAGAAACCUGAUUACCUGCGAUAGUGAGUUUAAAAUUGAGCUUAGCCUGAAUAAAAAUAAGUUAUAAUAGUAUAAAUAAUAAUUUUUUAAUUACUAUUCAAUUGAAUUGAUAUUUGAUUAAUUUAUGAUAUCAAUUCAAUGAAAUAGAAAAUAUAAAUUUAUCUUAUUUGAUGAUUCAUGAAUUAAAUGCAUAUUUAAUUUAAAUGUUCUAAGUUAAACUUCAUCUCGCAUUUGAUAAUUUUAGUAAUAAAAAAUAGGGAUAAAUCUAAAAAUUAUACAUGAAGUUUGAUUUAAUGUGUAAUUGUAUACAUGAACAUUAAUUUGGUGGAAUUAUACGCGUGAAAAUCUAAUUGUGGUUCAAAUAUAUACUUGAAACUUUAAUUUUGAUUUAACCAUACACAUUUAAAGAAAUAAAUACAUCAGUUUAUUUUUAUAUUGGAUAAAUGUAAUUAUUUAUGCAUGCAAUAUAUAAACAUAAAAUGAUGUAAUAUCAAUAAUUGUGUUAAUAAUUUAAAAGAAUUGGAUCAAAUCAAAAUUUCAUGUAUAAAAUUACACAAAAUCAAAGUUCAUGUAUACAAUUGCAUAUUAAACCAUAGUUCACGUAUAGUUUUGGGAUUUAUCCCUUAAAAUUAAAUUUUCGAUAAUUUCAAACAUAAAAAAUUUUAUCGGCAUACUUUUAUCAUUUUCGUCACUGCCGAUAGUGACUAAAAUGAUAAAAGUAUGUAACAAUAGUGCCCAUAUUGCAAUCUUUUCAUUUUGGGCACUGAAAAUAAAAAGACUACAAUAUGGGCACUGUUUCAAUGCACAAAAUAAAAAUUUAUGAAAGUUGGAUGACUAAAUGUGUAGUUUAGUCAAAAAUUUUAAAAUAUAUUUUUGAAAAUAGUUAUUUGAUAAUUGAUUGGUGCCAAAUCCACCAAAAAUAAUAUUCCUACGCCUAAACAAUAUAUAAACAUCAGUAUAAGGAGUAGGGUCGAUCCCACAGAGAUUGAACAUCUAAAAUUAUUUUUCGAUUUAGCUAAGUUGAGUGUCAAGCACGACAUGUGAUGAUCUGUACAAAAAUAAAAAAAAAGGGAAUUAAAUCUGAUUAAAAUAAAAUUAAUAGAAAUACUUAAAAUCGAAAUAAAAGUAAAAUAAAUAAAAAAAAUAGAUUGAAUAUACCAAUGUGAAAAUAUUCUAGCUUCAAGCUCAAUUUCGGCUCUAGUUUCAAGCUGAUCUUUGAUAACACAUCUUCUCCUUCAAUCGUUAAAUCCGUUAUAGUAAUCGAGGACACCUCAUACCACCAUUCUUUCCGUGUGUAAAUUAAUUAUGGGAACACCCAAAAACUAACCCUUACCGAACGAAUAACCACAAAACACGUGUCCAUGAUUUAGCUCUUCGAUAGCCUUGUGAACUAGAAGAGCCCAAAAAUAAUCAACAACCUUAAAUGUGUGUGUCAUUUAAAUUCGAUUGUUAUUUCUCUUGACGGAUCCAACCAACCACUUAAUUGGACACGCCAAUGUGUUCUUCAAUAGAUCGAAUACGAUAACAGAUUAUAUCGAUUCUUCAAAUUGUAUGUCUAUCAACACCAAAUCAACAAACUAUUUUUUACCUGGUGUCACUAUAACUUUAUGAGACGGCAAUGUCUAUUCCUGAAACAAGAGAAAUAAUAAAUACCAAAAUAAAUGUUUUUUAAGUACGAUUUUGAAUCUCAUGGUUUUCUCCCGAAUUGACUAUCACCUUAAAGCUAAAUGGGAAAUUUAGCUAUUAAGAAAUUGUAACACCACAAAAUAUAUAGGGUUAAUUAAUCAAGAAAUGUCCUUGGUUUGAUGGUUAAAAAGUUAGCACUUUCCUAAUGGUCCUAGGUUUUAUCCACAUCUCAUGUAACGCCCCAGAAUUUUUAUUUUUGUUCUUGCGAAAGUGUGCCACAACUGUGUAUUUGCUUCAGUGGUUAAGUGUUCUGGGUGUGUGAGAGGUCCCAAGUUCAAGCCAGGACUUGGGAAAAUUUUGGUAUUUUUAUGAAUAAGCCCUAUCUUUGGUCAGUAGGCUUUUAAGUAAAAGUUGAAAAAUAUUAUUAGAAUGGGCUUGCUGGUUUGGUGGCUAAGUUAUGUGUUGGUAGGUGGGAGAUCUGGAGUUCAAGUACUUGCACGAGCAAGGGAAUUAUUUUUUUUAUUGCUUGGCCGUGUGGCGUGGUGGAGUCCUAGUCAAAUUGAAAUUUCGAGUAGUGGAGUUGCUGUGGAAGGUUAGGGAGAGAACUAAGGAGAUGAGUUACCAGAUUUUUUAGGCAUUAUCUUUUUGUUUACUUUUUUUUUUCAAAUUUAGAACUCUUUUCCACCUUUCUAACAUUUUCUCUCUUCUCCCCCACUCUCAAUUUUCAGUUUUCCUCUUUUUUUCUAAAUAAUAAAUCAUUGUUGUUGAACUUCCUUUGAAUUCCCCUUUCGUUUUCGUUGUCUUUCUUCAUCUUUUCCCCUUUGUGCAAGUGUGCAAUUGUGUUGUACGGUAAGUUUCCAUUUUAUUAAACUCGAAUGUUACUCUGGAUAAGGGAUUAAGGGGUGUUUUGUUGACUGUUUAGGAGUCGAUUGUACGGCUGGAAUUAACUUUCAUCGAUUUGACUCGAAGGGGUGAUCGUUUGGUAUGCGUAUAGGGUAUGUGUUUUCUUGUGUUGUUUGGCCGAGUGGUUUUGGCUUUGAAUUCAUUCUUAACUUUGUUGAACUCUUCAUUAAUGAGGAAUGGUUAUUUUUACAGCAGCGAAUCAUUUCGGUUGCUAUCUCCCUCGUGUUGAGUAGUUGUGGAAUUGUGCGAAGUUAGAAAGCUUUUUGUGAUCUCGGGAUUGCGUAAGCAGCGAAAACGGUACAGGUGUGUACCCGAAAGGCAGAAAAUGAGAUUCAGCGAAAAGCCAAAAUUGCUUGCUGUCGAGAAAUAAGAGAAAAUGAUGCGAAAAAUUGUAGAGAAAGGAAAUAAGGGUGUUAUAAUCUUGGAAAUCGACAUUUUGCACUAAAAUAGUUUUGGACUGCAGCAGUAAUCUAACUUUGAAAAAAUCAUCCAAAAUAGUGAAAAUUGAGUUAGAGGUUGAAUAAAAUAUGAAAUUAAAUUUUGUUGAGUCUAGUUUUUCAUGGAAGAAACAAUGUAAGCAAUAAAGUUGUAAGUUAUGAGAUAUAACGAAUUUUGUGAGACAAGGUCAGAAUGGUUUCGGGUUCCCCUGUUCUGACAUUGGAAAAAUAUCGAAAAUUGUAAAAAAAAUAAUUAGGGGCUUAAAUUUAUAUUUUUAAAUCCUUAACAAGUCUAUUUUCAAGAGAAACAAACAGAAACAUCAUCCGAAUUUCGUACUAAGAGAUAAAUAAUUUUAGUAAGGAAAGAUUGAAGCUGUCAAAUAGUAGAAUCGGGAUAGAUUUGAAGAUUUUACUGUACUUAUUUGAUAAACUAUAAAAUCUAAAAAUUUUAUGGUAGAAAAAUAUUUGAGUCUAGUUUCGAAAACAUCAAGCGGAUCUUAAUUUAGAAUUCUGUAGCUCAAGAUAUAAAUAAUUUAGUGACAAUGACUCAAGUAGACAGCUUUGAAUGAACAUAUAAGUAAAUAGUGAAAACAUAUAUGAAUAUUUAGCUAGCAUGGGUUACAUUAAAAAUGGAUCACACGACCAAGACCAAUUUGGGUCGAGUGGGCUACACGGGCACACACGGGCGUGUGGGCCCAUUUUUACUGGAAUGUUUCUAAGGUUGCACGAGUCGCCCAAGUCGACUGUGAACCUAUUAUAAGGUCGGUUAGCGCUACUUAGACCCCUAAAUGUGUGAAAUUGACUGAAUGAUAUUUGUACUGAGCAUGUUAAUAUCUGAACUGAAUAUAUGUGCUGAAAUUGCAUAAUAGCAUAUCAUCCAUGGUAUGUUGCAUUGCAUUGGGUUAGAGGUUGUUAUUCGGAGGAAGUGUACUAAAAGGCUUUAAGCCUAAUUUACUGGCAGCUCAGCUGCAAACUACUGUUUUGUGCUGCAUUCGAUACUAAUUGGAGUGUAGGGAUGGGUCGGUUGAUUAUAUCCCCACAUGGAGUGUAGGGUUGGACGGAGAUGGUAUGUAGAGGCUGGAUGGGUAGGAUUUUGCUACUGCAUAAUUGUUACUGCUACUGAUACUGUGAUGGGCUAAGGCCCUACUGCAUUUUUGACACUGUACUGAGAUGGGCUAAGGCCCAAACUGUCACUGAUACUGAAAAGGGCUUAGGCCCAAGACUGUUCAACUGUGCACUAUGAUUACUGAUUGCUUGUUUAUUUCUGCGGGAUUACACACUGAGUUUACGUAAACUUACCCUUUUUGUUUAAUGUGCACAGGUAAUCCCCAGACUUAGAUGGAUCGGUGCGACGGAGGACUCAGCGGUGACCACAGAAAUUUUUGGACUUCAUGGUUUUCAAUUUACGUUUUAUGAUUUAAUUAUUAUUGAUUAGUUGGGUUGUAAUUUAAGGACCCUCUGGGACUUUGGUUUUAAAUUUUGGGUUUUUAUUUAUUUAUUUUACUUUAUGGAUUUGUACCUGCUGGUCAUAGGAAAUUCGGUUUUCAAAAAGUUAAAGUAUUUUCUAAACGUAUGAUCACUUAGACUGUUUUAUUAAAGCUUUUGUAACGAGGGAUGUUUCAAAACAAAUGUUUUAAAUGAAUAAAGGCGACUUCCUAAGUUCUAACAAAGGUUUACUAAAGAUAAUAACAUGGAAUGUUUUCAUCGUAACAACGAGGUUUCAAAAACACUAUCGUGUGACAUUACCAGAUACGACCAUAAUGUCUAGGCUGGGUUUAGGGUAUUACAUCUCACCCAUAUUUUUCUUUUCAUUUUCAGCAAACUAGAAUGAAAAUCUCCAUAGAAUAUAUAUUAAAUGGAGUAAAAAAUGAUCAAGUGUGGGUAGUAGCUCAAUGGUUAAGCAUCAUUCCUUUCUCCCUUGAAUCCCAAGUAUAAGUCACACCACUCACCCUAUUUCAUUUUUUAUUUUCGGCAAGAAGGGUUAAUUACCCAUCCAAACAGUACCUAAAAAUUUGAAAACCCUAGCUAUUUAAACCAUUAUCCUAACUAGGCUAGGAUUUUGUUUCCUUCUCCAAUUCUCCUAGAACUUUACUUCCAUCUUUUCUAUUUCUUCCCUCUUUCUUUUCUUUGCUUUUCUUUUCAUCAAAAUUUUGUUCCAUUGCUGAAAAUCGUUCUUGAUUACCCAAAAUCGAAAUCUAUUCUCGAUUUUAACUCACUUUUCAACUAGAUUCGUAAUCGCAAUUCGAAACAUUCUCCGAUCGUUGCCAAGAAUCAGUAAGAACAUUCUAAUCCCAAAGUUUAGAUCUUAAAUUCCUGUAGACUUUUUAUUCAUGUUAAUUUUAAGAUUGAUCAAAUGAUCUUUUACGAAUCUUGUCAAUAUUUCCCAGUAAUCUUGAUAAAUCUUGAAUAUCGUUAUUAAUUCUUACUUAAAUGCCAUUUGAAGGACUUGAUCUAGGUACCUCGAAUUAGAUUCAGGCGCAAGGAACGUCGUUUGAGAUCUCGAAGUCAAGUGUAUGUUCUUUUACAAGUGAAUCGAUGCAAAAUCAUGCCUAAGAUAGUGCCACACAGGCGCGUGGGCCACCGGUGUGGACCACACGGCCCCCUCACAUGACCAUGUCCCCCUGAAACCCUAGGUUAUUUCGACCCUCACACGGCCUAGGACCCUCCACACGGUCGUGUCUCCCUUAUAGGUUGAUUUUUCAAAUGCCACAAGGCCACAGUCUGUCACACGACCUAGCCACAUUGUCGUGUACUCCUUCCACACAGUCUAGGGCUUUCCACAUGGUCGUGUGUCCCCUGUACCUUAGAUUUUACAAUUUUGACCAAGAAUUUUAUGUUUUGUUUAGUUUAGUCCCUGAAUGAUUUUCGAACUAUUUAUAGUGCUUCAAAUUAUUCAAUUAAGCCCUGAUGAUAUGAAUUAUGUUAGAAUCCAUGAUUUGAUGAAUUGAUUUAGUAUGAUAUUUAUAUAUAUAAACAUGAAUUGUGAACAUUAUAUAUAUGUAUAUUAUUUUAGGGUUUGUAAUCGUAUGUAUGGUAUGCCUUAUGUCAGUGUCAAACCAAGCACACAAAAAGCAUGAUUUUUACUAAUAAAUUAAUCUGUCACAAGCAUGUUCAUUGCUACUGAACCAAACCAUUAUAAGAAUACUGAUUGCUAUUGUAUUGUUUGUUAAAAGCAUAAUUUAAUGUUAUUUUAUUAAUCUGACGAACAUGUCAUAUUGCUUUGCAUGGGAUGGGAUGUUAUGAAUGGAGGAAGUAUUUGCAGUAUAUCUGCAUUUAUUUUUUUGUGAACCCACAGCCAUAGGCAAAUUCCAUCUACGACGGUUUGUUGUGUACCCACAACCAUAGGCAGAUUCCAUCUGCAAUGUUUUUGCUGUGCAUCCAUAACCCUUUGACAGUAAUCAUUUGCAAGCAUGUUUUGCAUCCAUGGCCAUUGGCAGAUUUUACCUGCACUAUUUUGUGUCCACAGCCAUUGGCAGUAAAAUUGCAAUCUAUUGGUAGUUAAUCCAUAAUUUGGUGUGUUAGCGGUUGGAGUUUUGGAUAACUCUAAUCGUGGUGUGUAGCGGUGGAGUAGGAUCUUUUCUAUUAAAACUGAUACCGUAUGGCAUCUAUAAAAGCAUCUGCAUGCAAACCUAGAAUUUCUGGUAAGAUAUAUUUAUAUCUAAAUAUAUGAAUGAGUUAUCUGUGAAAUCAAUAUUCUGAUAUUGCUAUUGUAAAUUAUAUAAGCUAAUGAUGGCUAAAUUGAAAAUGGAUAUUUUGAACUGCUACUUAAUUGCGAUUAUUUUAUGCAUUAUUAUUUAAUAUGCCUUACCGACUAUUGUGCUAAUUUUAUUGUGAUGGAACUCAAAGUGAGCGUCAUAGCUCAGUCCCCCUUUAAUUUUCAUCCUUAUAGAUAACUCACCAGGUUAGGGCGCGGACAUGGCAUCCGGAGGGUCUCGGCUCAGUUUUGUUAAAAUAUUUUUAGAUAUAUUAUUUGAAAUUUCAUUAUUUAGAGAUUGUAUUAUUGUUUUAUUUGAAUUGUGGCAUGGGGUUUAUGAUUUGAGUUUGUUUUUAUUUUGCAUAACACUUGAUUUAAAUUUUUAGGACAUCAUGUUACGAUUAUUAACUAGUAUGCAUGAACCCCGAUUUUUAUUAAAAAUAAAUAGACAUUACUUUUCCGUUGCUAAAUCAUAAUUAAAAUUUUGAGGAUUAAUAAAUCGGUUUGUAUCUAAAUUUCCUACCAAAAUAAACAAAUGUUUUAAAAUGACCGUUUUCAAAACUUCGAUAGCUUAUUGAGCCACUUUAGUAGAUAAUAUAAUCUUUCGAAUUCAGAUCUAACGUCUAGGUCUGGUUAAAGAUGUUACAUAAACAUAUUCAUAUAAAGGUUUUCAACAAAGUUAAAAAUAAUAAUAAUAAAAGAAAGCAAUAAAUAUUAAAACCCACCCAACCAACCGGAACACCACUCCGACCACCCUGCACACCACAAUUGGGCUAUGGUAGGCCGAUCCACCCUACACACCACAAUAGUGCGUAUAAGCCACUCAAAAGGAAAUAUGCAACUGAGCUGACAUAUAUAUAAUAAUGCAGUAAAAUUGCUGUACAGAAUAUUACAGAUAAACUGAUCAAAUCAAACUUUCUUCUCUUCACAACCAAAACCCCAAAUUAUUUAUGAAAAUGUAAAAAUGCACACAACAUGCAGGUAAACAUAUAAUUAACAAACAGAAUAUUACAGAUGAUGACUGAAUACUGAAUUUGAACUUGUAAUUUUUGAAUUUAAAAUCAACACAUAAUUAAUAAGAUAUUAUUUUUUGGGCAUUGUGAAGGUGUUAAUACCUUCAUCGCAUGUAAUUGAUUCCCGAACUCGAAUUUUCUUUGAUUUUCAAAUAACAAACCAACUAAUUAUAUUUUUAAAAGGCGAUUUUAUAGGUACCUGAUCACACCUAGUUAAAAGAUUUGUGACGAAUCUUAUGUUCUAAAUAAAAACCCAAUGUUUUAAAAUUUUAAAUUUUUCAUAUUUUUCUCAAAAUUUGUCAAGCUAGCUUUGUUCAUAAAAAUGGCAUUGAAAUUAGUCAUCCAACUUUUAGUAUUUUUUGAGUCACCCAACUAUGGAACUUUACAAAAAAUGACCAUCCAACUAUUCAGCCUUUUUCUUUUUUGUCACACAACUAUAUGAAUUUUUCUUUUUUGGUCUCCGGCCAUUAAUUUGCUAAUAGAAAGAUAACUUGACAAUUUUUAAAAUUGGCAUAAUAACAACUUUAACCCUCAACAUUUAUGCAUUGUAUUAAUUUAGUCUUGAUUUCAAAAAAAAUAACUAUCAACAUUUACAUAUUAUAUAAUUUGGUCUCUCUCUCUCUCUCUCUCUCUCUCUCUCUCUCUUACUUCUUACUUUACUUUCUUUACCUUUAAUUUUCCGUUUACNNNNNNNNNNNNNNNNNNNNNNNNNNNNNNNNNNNNNNNNNNNNNNNNNNNNNNNNNNNNNNNNNNNNNNNNNNNNNNNNNNNNNNNNNNNNNNNNNNNNNNNNNNNNNNNNNNNNNNNNNNNNNNNNNNNNNNNNNNNNNNNNNNNNNNNNNNNNNNNNNNNNNNNNNNNNNNNNNNNNNNNNNNNNNNNNNNNNNNNNNNNNNNNNNNNNNNNNNNNNNNNNNNNNNNNNNNNNNNNNNNNNNNNNNNNNNNNNNNNNNNNNNNNNNNNNNNNNNNNNNNNNNNNNNNNNNNNNNNNNNNNNNNNNNNNNNNNNNNNNNNNNNNNNNNNNNNNNNNNNNNNNNNNNNNNNNNNNNNNNNNNNNNNNNNNNNNNNNNNNNNNNNNNNNNNNNNNNNNNNNNNNNNNNNNNNNNNNNNNNNNNNNNNNNNNNNNNNNNNNNNNNNNNNNNNNNNNNNNNNNNNNNNNNNNNNNNNNNNNNNNNNNNNNNNNNNNNNNNNNNNNNNNNNNNNNNNNNNNNNNNNNNNNNNNNNNNNNNNNNNNNNNNNNNNNNNNNNNNNNNNNNNNNNNNNNNNNNNNNNNNNNNNNNNNNNNNNNNNNNNNNNNNNNNNNNNNNNNNNNNNNNNNNNNNNNNNNNNNNNNNNNNNNNNNNNNNNNNNNNNNNNNNNNNNNNNNNNNNNNNNNNNNNNNNNNNNNNNNNNNNNNNNNNNNNNNNNNNNNNNNNNNNNNNNNNNNNNNNNNNNNNNNNNNNNNNNNNNNNNNNNNNNNNNNNNNNNNNNNNNNNNNNNNNNNNNNNNNNNNNNNNNNNNNNNNNNNNNNNNNNNNNNNNNNNNNNNNNNNNNNNNNNNNNNNNNNNNNNNNNNNNNNNNNNNNNNNNNNNNNNNNNNNNNNNNNNNNNNNNNNNNNNNNNNNNNNNNNNNNNNNNNNNNNNNNNNNNNNNNNNNNNNNNNNNNNNNNNNNNNNNNNNNNNNNNNNNNNNNNNNNNNNNNNNNNNNNNNNNNNNNNNNNNNNNNNNNNNNNNNNNNNNNNNNNNNNNNNNNNNNNNNNNNNNNNNNNNNNNNNNNNNNNNNNNNNNNNNNNNNNNNNNNNNNNNNNNNNNNNNNNNNNNNNNNNNNNNNNNNNNNNNNNNNNNNNNNNNNNNNNNNNNNNNNNNNNNNNNNNNNNNNNNNNNNNNNNNNNNNNNNNNNNNNNNNNNNNNNNNNNNNNNNNNNNNNNNNNNNNNNNNNNNNNNNNNNNNNNNNNNNNNNNNNNNNNNNNNNNNNNNNNNNNNNNNNNNNNNNNNNNNNNNNNNNNNNNNNNNNNNNNNNNNNNNNNNNNNNNNNNNNNNNNNNNNNNNNNNNNNNNNNNNNNNNNNNNNNNNNNNNNNNNNNNNNNNNNNNNNNNNNNNNNNNNNNNNNNNNNNNNNNNNNNNNNNNNNNNNNNNNUAUGCACUAGAUAGACUAUCGAGGGCAUUAAAUGACGAACAAUGAAAAUAAAAGGAUAAAUUACAUCAUUAGUCCCUAAACUAUAAGUAAGUUUUCAUUUUAGUCGCUUAACUAAAAAAGUUACAAUUUGAUCACUAAACUAUUCAAAAGUUAUCAUUUAAGUCAUUGAGCUGUUAAAAUCAAAGUUAUAUGGCUAAACAGGAUGUAUUGAACUCAUAAUUCAUUAGAUACUUUUUAUGAAUGUCAACUAAGUAUCGUAAGUAAAUUGGUCUAGGUUGUUCAAUCAUUUGAUAACCAGAGUCAUUCUUUGAUAAAUGAUCACUAUGAGUCAGACUCAAUAGAAUUUGAUCAAUCCUUUUUUCUGUCGUUAAGGUGGAGAACUGAACCAAGAAUUCUCUUCCUUUAUCAUCAAUCAAAUCACUGUUCGCGACCUAGGAUUCUAUUUUCUCAUCAAUCCAAUCAGCGCUCACUUUUUUCUUUCUCUUAUCAAUGAAUAGAUCUCGCUGCCUGCACCAAUUGAAACCUCUCUUUCCCUUUCUUUUCUACAGUUCAUUUUUUUAUGAAAUAGCUUUGAACGUCAUAAAUUUGCAAUUCAAAAUUCAAAAAGCUUUUUUCUCUAAUCUCCGACAUUGACCAUCAAAUCAACUUGGAUCUAAGAUAUGUUCUUCUACUCAUCAAUAGUUAUUGAUUCAGUGUACCGAUUGUCAAAUCAUUGCUUUGAGCUUUCUUGCGAAACUUCUAAAAAAAAAUAAUAGCGUAGUAACUUAAUAAAAUUUUUUGAAUACUUCAUUGACUUAAAUAAAAAUUUUCUAAUGAUUCAAUGAUCAAAUUAUAAUUUUUUUAGUUAAGUGAUCAAAACGAAGAUUUACCUACGAAAAGAACAACUCAAAAACCGAUAUGCCCUCCGUUUAUAUUUUUAUUUUAAGGUUGUAUCCUUUUGACUUAAGAAAAACAAUAGAAGCUAAAAGGUUGCAAUGAUUUUAGCAUGUUAUAGAUAACUAUAAUGCUUUGGAAAAUAUUAAUUUUUAAUUUCAUAAUAAAUAAUAUAUAGAUGUGCAGUAAACAAGAAGUUUUUACAAUAAUACAUUGCUUUCACUAAAGUCAAGUGAAUACAGUAUAUUAACAUUGUUUAUUCUAUUUGUAAUCUUUCAAUUUUUAUUAAUUUAAUCAAAACAAUAAAUAAUCGAUUAUGAUUUUUAUAAUUAAAUAUCCUUACCAGUCUUUUUAAGCUGUUAUUAUUAUAUUAUUACUUUAAACGUGCAUUGAAACUAAAUAAAAAUACGAAUAUUAUAUAAUUUUUUUUGACUGAUCCAAGAUGAAAUUUAAUAAAAUCUAUUUGUUGUAUAUUUAUUAUCGAUAAACAUUGGUCUUCGUACGUCUCCUUUAGAAUAUUUACACUUAAUUCACAUAAAUAUAAAAUAUGAAUAUAAUUGUUUAAAUUCUUUUGUUUGGAAAGGAAUAAAUAUAUAAUUUCUUAAGCUUGGCGGCAAUAUCUAAUACGAAAUCCUUGAAAAGAAUCUUGUUUGAUUGCUAGGUUUGCCUUUGAAUAUGGAAAUUAAGUAAUUUUGAAAAAAAUGUUCUUCCUCACAAUUUUAAAAAAUAUAUAUAGUAAUUUUGAAAGGUAUAAUAAUUUUACGUGUUCCUAGUGAAUAUAUUAUUAAAAAUUAAAUGAAUUUUUUUUAAUUUUAUAUUAUUAUCUGAUUUACUGAUAGUGUCAAUGCAUCAUAUAUAAAUCCAUUGAAUUCAAGUUCUAUACAUUUAUAUUAGCUAUUAUUAUUGGCUUAUUGGUACUAUAAAUUUUUGAAUUAUUUUUAAAUGAUUGACUAAGUCCAUUUGAACCUUUUAUAUCCACUUGAGUCUUUAAACUGACAAUUUUGACCAACGAGAUUUUUUUACCAACGUUGAUCAUUAGAAACCAACACCAACAUUGAUGUGGUCAUUAAUGGAUAUCACAUUAAUCAACAAAUGCUGAUGGGGUGAUCCGCAUCAAUAAAAAUUAAAAAUAUUUUAAAAUUAUUGUAAAAAAAUGUACACAAUAAACUUAAAUAAAUAGUUGUCCAGGUUCAUUUGAAUGUAGAUAUUCAGAUGUCCAUAUUCAUCAUGGAAUUAUAAAAAGAAACAAAAAAAAUUAUAAAGAAUAAUUAAAAUUAUAAAAAAUAAUAAAAUUAUUAUAAAUUAAUUAAAAAUCAUAAAAUUUUAUAAAAUAAAUUAAAACAAAGCUUUUUAUUAUAAAUUUUUAUAAAGUCCAUUAGGUUGAAUAAAAGCUUUUAAUUAAAAUCCAUUUGGACUUUUUUAAAAGUUUCUAAAGAUUUUAUUUAAAAACAUUAAAAUUAUUAUAGUUUCUAAAAAUAUUUUUAUUUACAAUCCAUUUGGUUUUAAUAAUCCAUAAACAAUUACAAAAAAAAAACUUUUAUAUAAAUAUAAUUUGGUUUUUAAUUUUAUACGUUUUAAUAAUUUUUAAUAAUUUAAAAAAAACUUUUAAAAAAUAAUUUUAAUAAUUUUAUAAUAAUUUUAUAAAAUUUAAUAAUUUUGUUAUAAUUUUUUUAUUUUUUUAUAAUUUCGAAAUGAAUAUUGAAAAAUGUGGGUCCAUAUUCAAAUGAGCAUGGACAAUCAUUUGUCCAGCAUGAUUGUACAUUUUUUAAAAAUAAUUUUAAAAUAAUUUUUUAUUUUUUUUAUUUUUACUGAUGUGGCACUGUCAAGUUAGCAUUUGUUGGCUAAUGUGGCAUUUGUUAACAAUCAUAUUAGUGUUGCUAUUAGUUUCUAACGAUUAAUAUUGGUCAAAUGGCCUUGUUGGUCAAAAUUAUCAAUUCAAUGAUUCAAUUGAGUAGAAAAGAUUUGGAGGGGUUUACUUGAUUUUUGAAAGAAGUUUGAAUGCUUAAUAAGCCUAUAUUAUCUUCAAUCGAUUAAUUCUAUCAAUCAUCUCUAAACUAUUGCCAAUAUCAUAAUGUCAAAUUUAACCGCAACAUUUACAUCUUUCAUCAAUUUGGUUUUUUUGUUUGUUUAUAUUUUAGUUAAAUUUGGCCCUUAAUCUUUUAAAAAAGAGUUAAAUCAUUUUUUAUAGAAAAUCCUGACUAAAACAUUAAAUUUUUUUUAACGAAGAUGGCAUGGCAGCUCGUGUGGCAAUCCACGUGUACUUCAUUUUCACAUAACACUAUUUAUUAUAUGCCACACCAAAAUAUAAUUUAAAAAUUAAAAAAUAAAAAAAAUUUAUAAAAAUUCAAAAAAAAAGUAUGAAGUACAUGUGGAUUGGUAUGUGAGCUACCGUGUUUAAAAAUUUAACGGUUAAUUUUCAUUAAAAAAUAGCAAUUCAACAAUUUUUGAAAGGUUUAAUUUAAAUAUGACAUUUUUUUUUUGAAAGGUUGAUGACCAAAUUUAGCUAAAAAAAAGGGAUCAAAUUGACAAAAAAAAUUGUAAAUGUAAGGACUAAAUUUGUGUUAUGCCCAUUCUUAAUUAGUUUAAAACUUCAAAAUAUGUUAAUUGAAUCUUUAAAAUAUCAACAUUGUAUCAAAUAGGUUUUCUAUCAAUGUCGUAGUUAAUCUAAUUGUUAAAUGUGAAUCAAGAUAUGAUAUGCGGCAUGCUUAAAAGCAAACGGAUUAAACUGUAAACUCAUGUGUAUCUACCACAUAAAAAAUUUAGGUUUGACGUAUUUAAAAAUCGAUGUCAAUAAAAUGUUAUCUAUGCUGUAGAUAUAUGCGUCUUUACAAUUUGAUCUACGUAUUUCAAAUACACUUCAACUCAAACCUGAGUUGGCAUUUAAUGCCUCAACUAAUUGUUAACAUAAUAGAAAGACUUGAUUGAUAUGAUACUAAUACUUUGAGGACUGAAUUAAAACAUUUUUAAAAUUUGGAAUUGAAUUGAAAAUAUGCAUAAUUUGAGAACAUUACGUCAUAGUUUAAAGUGUUUAUGGUAAAUUAGUGAAUGGUAAACCUGACAUGCUUUAUUAUAAUAGUAAACAUUAACUUCUCUUUACUCAGUUUAAUUGUGGGAUUGUAAUUAUCAUUUAUUUACAACUGAUUAAUUUUCAUAAUUACAUGCUAUUUUGGAGGGAUUUACCAAAAAAAGCCAAUUUUUUUAUAAAAUUACCGAAAUAGGCCGGUUUUUUAAUUAUUUACCGGACUGGGCCAUUUCCCCCAAAAUCGCGCCACGUCGGAGCGAUGUCAGGGGACGGGGCAAAAGGUAGCGUCCACGUCAGCGCGACCUGAUGACGUGGGAGGAAAUCGCUCCCUUGAGGGCGCGAUUUCCUUCCAUGUCAGCAGGUCGCGCUGACGUGGACGCGACCUCCUGUCACUUAGCGCGAUAUCGGGAACGCGAUUUUGACCCUGAUUUUUACGCCUGAGUUUUAUGUUUUAGGGUUUAGGGUGCAUGCUUUUUAGGAGUUAGGGGUUCAGGAAAAUUUUUUUUCGAGUUGACGUUUCUGGUUAAAUAGUGGGAAAUCGCUUCUACUAGGAUGCUAUUUAAGAAGAAAUUGUGAAAUAGUGGCCUCGUGGACGCGAUUUCGCUACAGUGGUCAUGUGAGAAAUAAUUUUUUUUGACGUUUUCUGAGGAAAUAGUAUAAAAUCGCUGAUACCAGGAUGCUAUAUGAGAAGAAAUUGUGAAAUCGCGCCCUCGUGGACGCGAUUUCGCUACAGUUGGUCAUGUAGGAAAUAAUUUUUUUUGACGUUUUGAGCAAAUAGUGUCAAAUCGCACCCUCGUGGACGCGAUUUCGCUACAGUAGCAAGUUUGGGCUGAGGCUAUAAAUUAGGCAGAGAAUUUUCUUAGAAUGCAUAACUCAGAGCAGAAACAUUUUAGGUUAGGGUUAGGGAAUUUAGAGUUUCAAAAUGAGUGAACGUAUUAGUGCUGUUAUUUACUACGAUGGUGAGAUUUGCCACACCGAGAAUGGUGUUGUUUUUUUGUCGGAGAAUACGGUGCGACUGUCAUUUAGACAAAACAUAGAUUUGACAGAACUCCGUAAAAGAAUUAGGCGUAAAAUCUUCGGAACCACGUCAUUGACAUAUGACUCAUCUUGCUAGCGGAGCAACUUAUAUUGAGUUAUAUGUACAAUUUAUGUCACCAAAUGAUGUACUUCCGUCCGGUGUUUGAGAUGUAUACACGACCCCUGGCCGACACUCGAUUAGCGUGUUACAAAAUACGGAACAGCCUAUGUUCGGUAGUGGUGUCGAAUGCACAUCCCCCCAAGACACUCUGUCGGUGGAUGGGACAUGUACGUCGGUGGCUCGACGGUUGACGCUGGAAAUACGAGCUGGAGAACCGCAUCAAGUUCUACUAGAUGGCAAUCUACAUCCAAUUGGGGGCGUUAUCAAAUGCCCAGAAGAAGGGAUGACGUACUACCUACGACAUCAACCGGUGAGGGGACGUCGUAUGCUGCAGAUGAUUGUGGGUUAGAAGGUGAGUCCGAUGUGGAUCCACCUCGAGAGCCCGGGCCGGAUGGUGCAGAGGUGGGACUAUUUUCUGAACCGGAGCCUAUUCCAAUAGAAGGUGAAGAUGGUGAUAUGAGUGCAGAUGAUGAAGAAAAUCCACGAUUCAGAGCAUAUUCACCUCCAGCCCACAUGCAUAAUGUCGAUCUAUCAGCAGAUGAUGCGUUAGAGUUUCCAGAUCUACCACACCGGGUGCGCGAUCGUACAAGUUCGGGAGUAGAUGUUGGUGAACUUGAAGUUGGUAAUCAGUUUACCAAUAAGGAUAGUUUUAUUGGUGCUUUGAAACAGCAUAGCAUCAAAAACGGCGUUAAUUAUCAAAUUGUAUUAAAUUAUGUAUUGAUAAUUGUAUUAAAUUUUGGUUAAAUUAUCAAAUUACUACAAUUUCUUAAAUGUUAGUACCAGUCAAAACAUUUUACGAAAUCCAACAUUAUGUAAAACUACAAUUUAAUUAGGGUUUUUAAUUAAAUAGGGUUAGGAUUUUUAAUUUAAUUAAAUUAGGUUAGGGUUUUUAAUUAAGUAGGGUUAGGGUUUUUAAUUUAAUUAAAUAAGGUUAGGGUUUUUAAUUUAAGUAGGUUAGGUUAGGGUUUUUAAUUUAAUAAAAUUAGGUUAGGGUUUUUAAUUAAAUUAGGUUAGGUUAGGGUUUUUAAUUUAAUUAAAUUAGGGUUUUUAAUUAAGUAGGGUUAGGGAUUUUAAUCAAAUAAUGUCAAAAUAACUCGGAAAAAAUUCUAUUUGUAUUACAUCGUCAUAAACUUCUAAUUCAUUACAUCAAAUGAUUAAUUUUAAUACGGUAAUCAAUGUCUAUGACCGGGGGAUUUUAAUCAGUUCCACAUGGCGGCCGUCGACGGUUACGCGCUGGAUUCCUCCUUUCUCUAGCUUCCAGGGGCGGUUGUUGUUCCUCCGGUGGGGAUUCUGGUUCUUCCGGUUUGGCAUCUGGUUGUCGGACUUGGGACGAUGAUCCACCUUCAAAGAAUAGUGUAUGUGGAGGUGUUUGCAUCAUGAACGGCGACGGAGUUUGAAAGCCAUGCGUUGCUGGCGAUUGGUAAAAAGGAGAGCUCCCCGACGGCCCCCCUUGCGACCCCUCCUGCGCCGAUGGCCUAGUUAUCGGUGGUCCGCUCGGCAUUACAGGAAAUGGAGCUGAUCCGGGCAUUUGGCUCCAACCUGCCAUAGGAUUCGGAAAAGGAUACAUGUACGGGUUAGGGUACAUAUAAGGGCUAGGAAACAUACCUGGCAUCAUAGGGAAAGGUGAAUGCGUGGGUAUCAUCUGUUGAAUUGCUGCGCCAGGUGACUGCGUUGGUGCUCUCGUUGGGGACGGUGAUUACAUGGUCGCUGAUGAUGAACUGGGUGAAUGUCUGGGCCUCGUUGAGGGGCUGCCCUCGUAGUUUUGUCCCCUAGGAUUUUGAGGCCCGCGUCUUUCCCUUCCGACACGUAUUUGCCGCCGCCUCUCCUCCGGCGUAAGUAAAUACGGCUUCCCAUGGGCCCUAAACCAUGCCUUGUAUUCUGGAACGCACGCUAACUCGGGAACGAUGAUUGGUUCCGGAGUAGGUAGAUAUUCAUUCUGAUUUUCCCACAUUUCUGUGUACACUGACCAGUACAACAGCCAAUCCGUACCUAAUAGCCGAAGGUCGAUUUUGUGGUGCUCGUCAAACUCCUCAGGGUCCGCAGGGAUCGGUUGUCUACAUCCAAACUGUCGUAGGACUCUGUCUGUCUGGUGGGGCUCCACGGUUGCAUAGUUGAUCAACACCACUUUCACGUGCCAAGCGUUCAGAUUUUGUAAAAACUCUUCCGGGAUUACUGCCCGAACUGCCGGAUCCUCGUAUGGUGUCCAUUGAAACUAUAUGAACAUGAUAACAAUAUUACAUAUAUACAUAAUACUAAAUACUAAAUAUCAAUCCACUAGCGAAUGUAUGGAAAUAUCUAUUUGCAAUAAUACUUACUUCUGCUUCCGAGUGUUGCUCCAAUAGAAGCCGUAUAUCUUCAAGUUCAGUCGGUAUUCCACGAUAACUUGCCGGAUGGUUCCACCUAAUUAAAUAAAUUUUUAGCAUUCUUUUAUUCUUACAAAAUCUACAUAUCAAUUUCAAAAUGUAAUAUAAAAUUUACCUCGUUACGAGUGGGAAUGUAUAUGGGUGGUUCACUCAAGGACGUAGAAAUGGAAAGCGAAACCAUGCCCAUGAUUGCAGUAGUGACAGGCAACCUCCGAUUUUUGCUCUCCUCGGUUUGGUCGCCCCGCACAUCUCCCGAUAUAAUGUUGCCAAGACGGCAGACCCCCAACUAAAUUCACCGGCUGCUCUAAAAUCAACGAGUUUUAGCAGCCACCUUAGAUGUACACGGCUCCGUGAUGUGUCGGCCAUGAGAUAGCCUCCAAUUAUUUGAAGAAUGUAUGAUCGAGCAUAUCGGAUUCUUUCAAUCUCGGUUGAAUUUUCAUUCAGACCGGGGAAGGUGGCACGUAACCAGCCCAUCUCCACCUUACCUCCAUCCAUUUUAUCCGGAACGGCGCCCAAAAGCUCGUAGCACACCGCCUCCCAAUUGCUAGAUUGGGCAGACCCGUCACUGGGUGCCCAUCCACCGGCAAUCCCAAAUGCNNNNNNNNNNNNNNNNNNNNNNNNNNNNNNNNNNNNNNNNNNNNNNNNNNNNNNNNNNNNNNNNNNNNNNNNNNNNNNNNNNNNNNNNNNNNNNNNNNNNNNNNNNNNNNNNNNNNNNNNNNNNNNNNNNNNNNNNNNNNNNNNNNNNNNNNNNNNNNNNNNNNNNNNNNNNNNNNNNNNNNNNNNNNNNNNNNNNNNNNNNNNNNNNNNNNNNNNNNNNNNNNNNNNNNNNNNNNNNNNNNNNNNNNNNNNNNNNNNNNNNNNNNNNNNNNNNNNNNNNNNNNNNNNNNNNNNNNNNNNNNNNNNNNNNNNNNNNNNNNNNNNNNNNNNNNNNNNNNNNNNNNNNNNNNNNNNNNNNNNNNNNNNNNNNNNNNNNNNNNNNNNNNNNNNNNNNNNNNNNNNNNNNNNNNNNNNNNNNNNNNNNNNNNNNNNNNNNNNNNNNNNNNNNNNNNNNNNNNNNNNNNNNNNNNNNNNNNNNNNNNNNNNNNNNNNNNNNNNNNNNNNNNNNNNNNNNNNNNNNNNNNNNNNNNNNNNNNNNNNNNNNNNNNNNNNNNNNNNNNNNNNNNNNNNNNNNNNNNNNNNNNNNNNNNNNNNNAAUUGAGAGAUUUUGACCGUUGGGCACUGUUCACGCGCGCGUCCACAUCGCGUCCACGUCAACGUGACCUGCUGAUGUGGAAGGAAAUCGCUCCCUUGAGGGCGCGAUUUCCUUCCACGUCAUCAGGUCGCGCUGACGUGGACGCGACCUUCUGCCCCGUCCCCUGACAUCGCUCCGACGUGGCGCGAUUUUAGGGGAAAUGGCCCAGUCCGGUAAAUAAUUAAAAAACCGGCCUAUUUCGGUAAUUUUAUAAAAAAUUGGCUUUUUUUGGUAAAUCCCUCGCUAUUUUGAUUUAGAAAAUUAUUAUAAAUAUUUUUCGGUGUUUGUUUCAAUGGUUUUAUAAUUUCCUUUUCCAGCAGCCGCUUUCAAAACACCACCAGAAUAAUAACGAAACUGAAUCUUUAAAUAAAACCGGCUUAAAAAUAAUAAAUGAUUUCCUAAGAUCAAAAGGAACAACUUCCCUACAAAAUAGACUAGUUAGCGUUGCUGUUAGUUUCUAACGAUCAACGUUGGUCAAAGGGCUUUGUUGGUCAAAAUUGUCAAUUCAAGGAUUCAAUUGAGUAGAAGAGGUUCCGAGGGAUUUAAUUAAUUUUUUUUAAAGUUAAAAUUCUUAAUAAGCCCAUAUUAUUUUGAUUAAUUCUAUUAGUCAUCUCUAAUUUAUUGCCAAUAGUCUUAUAGCAUAAUGUCAAAUUUAGCCACCAUAUUUAUAUAUUUUGUCAAUUUAACUCUUUUUCUUAUUCUUUUUAGCUAAAUUGGCCCUUAGUCUUUUAAAAAAGAGUCAAAAAGUUUUUUUAACAAAAAUCCUGACUAAAACAUUAAUUUUUUAACAAAGUUGGCAUGGAAACUUGUGUUACAGUCCACAUGUACUUCAUGUAGACAUAACUCUAUUUAUUAUAUGCCACACCAACAAGUAAAUUAAAAAUUAUAAAAAAAUUCAAAAAAAAAAAAAUAAUAAUAUGAAGUACAUGUGGAUUGGCAUGUGAGCUGCCAUGUUUAAAAAUUUAACGGUUUAUUUUCAUUAAAAAAAUAACAUUUCAACUAUUUUUGAAAGGUUUAAGGUUAAAUAUGAUUUUUUUAAAAGGUUGAAGACCAAUUUGAGCUAAAAGAACAAAUGUCAAAUUAACAAAAAAGAAUGUAAAUGUUGAGAACCAAAUUUAACGUUAUGCCUAUUCUUAAUUAGUUCUAAACUUCAAAAUAGGUUAAUUAAAUCUUUAAAAUAUUAGUGUAAUAGCCCAAUUUGCCCAGGGCCCAUUCAGAAUAAGCAGAAAAAAACCAAAAAAAUAAUUAAAUGUCCACAGUCUAAAUACAUGGGCCCAACGUGGCCCAAACUGUUUCAACAUAACCCCAAGCCCAAUCACUAAACCCAAUUAAACUACACCUAGCCCAACUACACCAAGCCCGACUAGCCUAAACCCUAGCCUGAAUACCCCUGGCCCAAAAUCGAUUUUUAUGUAUUUUGAAAUCUUUUCAAAGUUCCGACACUAAGACAUUAAACAAUUGAUUCGGUACCAAUUUUGGGCGGCACGAGGGUGCUAACCCUUCCUCAUACGUAACCGACUCCUGAACCUGUUUUCUCAAAAUUCGCAGACCUAAAAUUAUUUUCAAGGUGAUCCGAUCACAUCUCAAUAAAAGAUCAGUGGCAACUCCCGUUUUCAUUUUAAAAGUCGAACCCCGUUUUUCAAACUUAAAAAGGGUUUCGACAAUUAGCAUUGUAUCUAUGCAAUAAAUUUUAACGUAUUAAAAAAUUAAUGUCAAUAAAAUAUUAUCUAUGUUAUAGAUAGAUACGUCUUUACAAUUUGAUCUACGUAUUUCAUAUACACUUUAACUCAAACUUGAGUUGACAUUUAAUGCCUAAACUAAUUGUUAAGCUAAUGGAAAGGGUUGAUUGAUAUGAUACUAAUACUUUGCGGAUUGAAUUAAAACAUUUUUAAAAUUUAAAAUUGAAUUUACAAUCUGCAUAAUUUGAGAACAUUACGUCAUAGUUUAAUGUGUUUAUGGUAAAUUAGUCAAUAGUAUAAUAGUAAACAAGUUACGUUGCCUAGUCCUUGAUCAAACCUGACAUGCUCUAUUAUAAUAGUAAACAUUAACUUCUCUUUACUCAGUUUAAUUGUGGGAUUGUAAUUAUCAUUUAUGUUGGCCUUAAAUCGUAGGAUUAGAACUAUUUAAUUUGACUUGAUUAAUUUUCAAAAUUACAUGCUAUUUCGGUUUAAAAAUUAUUAUAAAUAUUAUAAAUAUUACGUCAUAGUUUAUGUGUUCAUGGCCAAUUAGUCAAUAGGAUAAUAGUAAACAAGUGACGUUGCUUAGUCCUUGAUGAAACCUGACGUGCUCUAUUAUAAAAAUCAAUGAAAAAGAUUAGUGGGAAGAACUGAGAAACAAAAGUCUUUGGGUCUGAAACAAAUGCAUGCACCGAUCUAACUUUCAGAUGCCUUAAAGAUUAUAUGGUUAGGACUUAAAAGAUCGUUAAAGAUUAUUUAUUAUUUGAAAACAGGUUUCUUGCAUUUAAUAUAUUAUUAAUAAAAUUUUAUUGAUUUUAAAUAUAUAUAAUUUUUAUUAAUUUUAAAAAUAGUUAUAUUUAUAUAAAAAGAAAAUAGUAUUGGGUUAAUUGAUUAAAUUGAAAAUUGGUGGUCUGUCUAAUUUUGUACAUACCCAAGAUAGAAAAUACAUAUCUUUAUUAGCUAAUUACUACUUCUUUUUUAAGGAACUAGUUACUACUUUUUAGACUUAUUUAAUAUGAAAAUCACAUUUAACAUUUAAUUAUGUUUUAAUUAAAUAAUUUAGUUCAGUUGGUCCAACUGAUUUAAUUUAUAUUUUAAUUGAGGCUGACCGGCCGAGGGAAGGACUGAAAUGAUAUAUUUCUAUAAUUCUAAAGUUCAACAGAGGAUAAAUAUUUACUUUGUAACACAUUUCUACACAUUUCAUCUUCUAAUAUUUUACAGGCAUCAACUUUGAAUAAGAGAAUCAAACAAAAAGACAAAUCAACAUUUCUUUUAAUCUAUUUGCAAUUCUCAUGCAAUGGGCCGCCCUACACCAAUCUUAUUGUAUAAUUGUUUCCUUGCAUAUAGGUUGUCUUUUUUGACUUAAACUCACCAGUAUAUUUUACCUAUAAAUACAUGCAACAAUUGCACUCUUAUCCUCACAGAUUCUGUGCCAAAUUUCAAGAGCAAACCAAAAAAGGCAGCAAAUUAAGCUUUUCAAUAUUUGCUUUUGAUCAAUCGAAAUGGCUUCACAAGUUUCUCAAAUGCCUUCUUCAUCACCCCUUUCUUCCAAUAAGGAUGAAAUGCGUCCCAAAGCCGAUUUUCAGCCUAGCAUUUGGGGAGAUCUCUUCCUCAAUUGCCCCGACAAGGUAUGCAUACAUAUGACCAUAUUGGUAUAUAUAUAAUCUUAACAGAUUAUUUGUUUAGUUAUUUAGUGAUUCAAUAUGAAGCAAAUUUUCAUUAUUUUGAGCAGAAUAUUGAUGCUGAAACUGAAAAACGCCACCAACAAUUGAAAGAAGAAGUGAGGAAGAUGAUUGUGGCACCAAUGGCUAAUUCAACCCAAAAGUUAGCCUUCAUUGAUUCAGUCCAAAGACUGGGUGUGAGUUACCAUUUCACCAAGGAGAUCGAAGAUGAACUAGAGAAUAUCUACCAUAACAACAAUGAUGCCGAGAACGACCUCUACACCACAUCCCUUCGAUUCCGACUACUCCGAGAGCAUGGAUUCAAUGUUUCAUGCGGUAAUUACUGGAACAACAACAUGGUAUUUUUAAGUUUCUUGAGUAUAUAAUAGCAUGGAAUGUUUGAUAACAAUAUUUCAUUUUGGGUAAUUUCAUCUCAGACGUAUUCAACAAGUUUAAAGACGAGCAAGGGAAUUUCAAGUCAUCCGUGACAAGCGAUGUUCGAGGAUUGUUGGAACUUUACCAAGCUUCCUAUUUGAGGGUUCAUGGGGAAGAUAUAUUGGAUGAAGCAAUUUCUUUCACCAGCAACCAUUUAAGCCUUGCAGUAGCAUCUUUGGACCAUCCUUUAUCCGAAGAGGUUUCUCAUGCUUUGAAACAAUCAAUUCGAAGAGGCUUGCCAAGGGUUGAGGCAAGACACUAUCUUUCAGUAUACCAAGAUAUUGAGUCCCAUAAUAAGGUUUUGUUGGAGUUUGCUAAGAUCGAUUUCAACAUGGUACAACUUUUGCAUAGAAAAGAGCUAAGUGAGAUUUCUAGGUAUGUUUUUGAAUCUCUUUCACCCAUUUUUUUUUCUUUUUUGUCUUUUUUUUUUUUUUUGGUGGAAGGAGGGUUGAAUUUAAUCGCGGCAUCAUUCUCAAUAUAGGAGACGAGUUGCAAAUGCUAAUAUUUGAAUCUUAAUAUAUAGCACAAGUUAAAAGUGAUGGAUUCAUCUUUUUCACUUACAUUAUUUUACUUAUAUUAUAUAAGUUAUAUAUAUAUUUUAAAAUUUGAGGUUGCCAAUUUACUUAAGAAUCUAACAAUUUACUUAUUGACAACAUGAAUGUGAAACAAAUUAAAACUUUGAAUAUUCAUUUUACUAAUGGGGUUUUCUAUGAUAUGAUUUUUUUAGGUGGUGGAAGGAUUUAGACUUUCAAAGAAAGUUGCCAUACGCAAGAGAUAGAGUGGUUGAAGGCUAUUUUUGGAUCUCAGGAGUGUACUUUGAGCCCCAAUAUUCUCUUGGUAGAAAGAUGUUGACAAAAGUGAUAGCAAUGGCAUCUAUUGUAGAUGAUACAUAUGACUCAUAUGCAACAUAUGAAGAGCUCAUUCCCUAUACAAAUGCAAUUGAGAGGUUAGAUUUCUAAAAUUUUGUUGGUAAUAGGUUAGGUUUCUUUAGUUGAAGUUAACAUUGAAGUUGAAUUCAGGUGGGAUAUCAAAUGCAUAGAUGAACUUCCUGAAUACAUGAAGCCGAGCUACAAGGCACUAUUAGAUGUUUAUGAAGAAAUGGAACAACUGGUGGCUGAGCAUGGGAGACAAUAUCGUGUCGAAUAUGCGAAAAAUGCGGUAUGUACAUCAACAAACAUUUAUUUUGUACAAAAGAGAUAAGAUCUUAGCUAAAUUCUAGAUUUGAAUAAACAACUAACUCGAAUAACAAUAUAUAAUCAUUUAAAUAUUAUUAUUGAAUUUGAAUUGAUAUUAGUGAUAAUUGUUGGGAUUUUGUCGCCUCAGAUGAUACGACUUGCUCAAUCUUAUCUUGUGGAGGCCAGAUGGACUCUUCAAAACUACAAACCAUCAUUCGAGGAGUUUAAGGCUAAUGCAUUGCCAACUUGUGGUUAUGCCAUGCUUGCUAUUACAUCUUUCGUCGGCAUGGGAGAUAUUGUAACACCAGAAACCUUUAAAUGGGCAGCCAAUGACCCUAAGAUCAUUCAAGCUUCCACAAUUAUUUGUAGGUUUAUGGAUGAUGUUGCUGAACACAAGGUAUAAUAAUAUAUUUAAAUAAUCACAAGAAACCAAACUAUUAACUCAAUAACGAUGGUUUUUGUCACGAUUUGAAACAAUUAAAGUUUAAUGUUUAUAUAUCAAAUGUUUAGCCUUAAAUCGAAGAAUAAGAAAAGAUAUCUAGUUUCAUUUUAAAAAUAUAUAUAGUUUAACAAACGAAUAGAAUUUAGGUUAUAUAGUGAUUGAAUAAUUUUUAUUUUAUUAUGGUUGCAGUUCAAACAUAGGAGAGAAGACGAUUGCUCAGCAAUUGAGUGUUACAUGGAAGAAUAUGGUGUAACAGCACAAGAGGCAUAUGAUGUAUUCAACAAGCAUGUUGAGAGUGCUUGGAAGGAUGUGAAUCAAGAGUUUCUGAAACCAACAGAAAUGCCAACAGAAGUUUUGAAUCGUAGCUUAAACCUUGCAAGGGUGAUGGAUGUACUCUACAGAGAAGGUGAUGGCUACACAUAUGUUGGAAAAGCGGCUAAGGGUGGAAUCACUUCAUUACUCAUUGAACCAAUUGCACUUUGAAAUCGUAUUAAAUUUUCCUCUUCUGUUCCUUAAGGAAUAGUUAUUAAGUUAUAAUUAAUAAUGUUUUAUAAUAUAUAUAUUAUAAAAGAAAUUCUAAAUCAACUGUCUUUGUAUUCAUUUCCCUGUAUUGAUCUAAUAAAGUUCUUUUCAAGCUUUCAUUUGUGAAAAAUCUGCUAUUUUAUAUUUUAUAUUUUAAUUUUCCUUCUUUCGUUGCUAUAGCUUUGAACACAAAAUUUAGAGUAUGAUCCUAUCAUGCUCUUCCUUUUUACCAACAUUGUUGUCACUUUCAAUGAUUUUUCUCUUCUUCGCCAUAACAUUAUCAUCAAGAUUGCAUGUGAUAAAGUUUUGCCAUUCAGAUAGCCUUUUCAAGGCUCGCCACUAGAAGCUCACUUAAAUAGGGAUACUUGUUAAUAAAAUAUGUUUGUUGUCCUUGUUUUUAGGCAUAUAUUUGCUGCACAUCAAGGAUUUAGUGGCUACAGAUCAUGGGUUUAUUUGGUUUAGAUUUUUUUUCCUUAGUUGUUAAGAGUCCUAUUCUGAGUCGUUUGUUGUUAGUGUGCGAUUUCUUGAUUUUUCUAUCAUGUAAUUGCCUAUAUAAUAGGUUCUUGAGGUUGUGAAUAAAUGAGUUGAUCAUCUUAUUUUCCCUUUCCUUUAUUUUUUUCAUCUUGCUGUUAUCUCCUUAGUAAGCUAAUAGUUGUGUCAGAGCCUGGUAAAAGAAGAGUAUUUUCGGUGAGAGAAAAAUGUUUAUGGUCCUCUUAUGGCUUUUGAAAAUUGUUUGCAACUACCUAUUCCACAUUUUGACGGUCACUAUGACCAUUGGAGAUGUUGAUGGAGAACUUAUUAUAGUCCAAGGAGUAUUGGCAAGUCAUUAAGCACGGUAUAGCAACACCAACAGAUGGAGAAAAGCUUACAGAAUACAACAAAAAAGACUUGAAGGGGCUGAAGUUCAAAGAUUUGAAAGCAAAGAAUUACUUAUUUCAAGCUGUUUCGAUCCUAGAAACCAUUCUUUGCAAAGAAACUUUCAAGGAUAUUUGGUACUCCAUUAAGACAAAAUGUCAAGGCUCUUCCAAAGUGAAGCGUGCAUAGCUUCAAGCUCUUUGGAAGGACCUUGAGGUUCUUCGGAUGGAGGAUGGUGAGUCCAUUAUAGACUAUUGUGCAUGAACCAUGGGAAUCAUGAGUAAUAUGUGAUUUCAUGGUGAGAAGAUGAAUGACACAACCAUUGUUAAGAAGAUACUACGGUCCUCAUCACCAAAGUAUGAUUAUGUUGUCUACUCAAUUGAAGAAUCCAAUGACAUUGAUGCACUCACCAUUGAUGAACUCCAGAGUUCCUUGUUGGUCCAUAAAUAGAAGAUGAAUAGAACUUCUACCCCCAAUGGAGCAGGCUUUGAAAGCUUCAACUCAUUCUUUCAAAAGAAGAAAUGGAGGUCAAGGAAAGGGAAGAGACAGAUGAGACAGUUGGAAUAAAAAUAGUGGCAGGUAUGCCAGAUCAGAUGAUAAAGGCAAACAACAAGAUCGACAAUUUGACAAGUCAAAGGUAGAAUGUUUUGGAUGUUAUAAGUUUGGUCAUUAUUGUUUUGAAUGUCGUACUAAUCUAUCAAUGAUAAGGAAAAGGGAGAAAAGUCAAAAUUUUCAUAAAAAGAAGCUAAAACCUUGUUAAUGGCAAUUCAUGACAAGCAAGAGAAGCCACAAAACUCAUGUUUAUGGUAUGUGGAUACAGGCUGUAGCAACCACAUGUGCGGUAAUAAGUUUUCUUUCUCUUAUCUAAAUGAAGACUUUCACAUUAAUGUGCCUUUUGGAGAUAAAUCUAUUGUUGAUGUAGUGGGAAAGGGUGGUAUUAGUAUAAGAACCAAUAAUAGUUUUGUAGAAACAAUGUCCCAUGUUUUCUUUGUGUCUGCUUUGAAAACUUAUUAAGUGCUGGUCAAUUGCAAGGAAAAAGAUAUGUGAUUACGGUAUCAAAAAGUGAUUGUGAAAUUUAUGAUCCUUCUAGAGGUGCUAUUGCAGUGGUUCCAAUGAGUUCCAACAGGUUGUUUCCAUUAGUGAUUGAUUGUUUUCAACCUUGCUUGAUGGCUAAAGUGAAGGACAACACAUGGCUUUGGCAUUUUUGAUGUGGUCAUCUUAAUUUUGAGGGUUUGAAGACUCUUUGGUAGAAAGAGAUGGUCAACGACCUCCCUCAGAUUGUCAUUCAAACCAUGUGUGUGAAGAUUGUGUUGUUAGCAGACAACAUCAUGAACAAUUUCCCAAAAUAAAGUUUUAGAUAGCAAAACAUGUGCAGGAAUUGGUCCAUUUAGAUAUCUGUGGACCAAUAAAACCAUAAUCUAAUGGAGGUAAAAUUUAUUUCUUUACUUUCAUCGAUGAUUAUUUCCAAAAAUUGUGGGUUUACUUUUUGCAGGAGAAAUCGGAAGCAUUUAGUGCAUUUACUAGCUUCAAGGCACUUGUUGAGAAUGAAAUCGGGAAAACCAUUCAAGUUCUUCGCAUUGAUUGUGGUGGAGAAUAUUGUUUCAAGGAAUUUGAAGCAUUUUGUGAGAGCCAUGACAUCUGGAAAAAGCUUACCACUGCAUAUACCUCCCAAAAAAAUAGCGUAUAAGAGAGGAAAAACAGAACCAUACUUAAUAUGGUGAAAAGCAUGCUUGCUAGUGGAAGGGUCUUAAAAUAAUUUUGGGCAAAAGGAGUAAAUUGGAGCAUCCAUGUCUUGAAUAGAAGCCCAACUUUUGCUGUUCAAAACAUGACACCUGAAGAAGCUUGGAGUGGAAGGAGACCAGCUGCAGAUCACUUCAAAAUUUUUGGUUGCAUUGCUUAUGCACAUGUUCCAAAUGUAAAGAGAAAGAAGCUUAAUGUCAAAGGAGAGAAGCGUGUCUUUCUAGGUGUAAGUGAAACAUCUGAAGUGUAUAAAUUGUUUAAUCCUUUAAAGGAGAAAAUUGUGAUUAGCAGGGAUGUAAUUUUUGAUGAGGAGAAUACUUGGAAUUGGGAUGACAAACAACCUUUUCAAACCUUUGUUGGUACUGAAGUUGAAGAUGAAAAGCAGUAGCCUUUAGAUUAGUAGACUCAAGCAACACUUAAGCUUAAGAGUUCACCAAAUAAUACUCUAAUAAGUAGUUGAACCUCAUCCUAGCUAUAUUUGACGGAGACCAGCUUGGAUAGGAGAUUUUUAGGUAAUCAGCGUUGGGCAGACUGAAGAUCCAACCAUCUAUUUUGCUUUAUUUGCGGAUUGUGAUCUAACAACCUUUGAAAGUGCUGUAAAUGAGUCAAAAUGGAGAAAAACAAUGGAUGAAAAAAUUGCAGUAUAGAGAGGAAUGAUACAUACAAGUUCACUAAACUUCCAAAAAGGCACAAGACAAUUAGUGUCAAAUAGGUGUACAAGACAAAGUUGAAGGAGAAUGGAGAAGUUAAUAAGUAUAAGGCACAUUUGUGGCUAAAGGUUAUAAAUAGGAGUUUGGGGUAGAUUACAAAGAAGCCUUUGCUCCUGUUCCAAGGCAUGAUACAAUCAGAUUGGUGAUUUCACUUAUAGUCUAAUACUCUUGGCCUAUCUUCCAACUAGAUAUGAAUUCGACAUUUUUACAUGGUGAGCUCAAAGAACAGGUUUUUAUUGAACAACAUACUGGUUAUGUUAAACAUGAAAGUGAAAAUAAAGUUUAUAAACUAAAAAAAGGCUUUAUAUGGGUUGAAACAAGCCCCACAUGCUUGGUAUAGUCGAAUUGAAGCUUAUUUCUUGAAAGCUGGUUUUCCCAAGUGUCCUUAUGAGUCUACUCUUUUCAUUAAAACUGGUGAUAAAAGGAAAAUACUUAUUGUGAGUUUAUAUGUUGAUGGUUUUAUUUUCAUUGGAAAUUGUAGUUCCAUGUUUAAUGGAUUCAAGAAGUCUGAUGGUUGAGUUUAAAAUGUCAGAUCUUAGUAUGAUGCAUUAUUUUCUAGGCAUAGAAGUAGUGCAAUCAACUAAUGGAAUAUUUUUUUCUCAAAGGAAAUACAUUCAAGAUAUUCUGAGCAAGUUUGACAUGAAGGAUUGCAAUCUAGCAAGCACCACCAUUGAGUUUGGCUUGAAGUUGAGCAAAGAAGGAAAGUAAGUGGACAACACUUUUUAUAAGCAGAUUGUAGGCAAUUUAAUGUACUUGAUUGGUACAAGACCUGACAUAAUAUAUUUUGUGAGUUUGAUCAGUAGGUUUAUGGAGAAUCCUACAGAGAUGCAUUUAUUGGUUACUAAGAGAAUCCUUCGUUACUUGCAAAGAACCAUAUAUUUUGGGUUGUUUUACAAAAAAGGAGAAUUUUAAUAUCUAUUUAGGUUCAUUGACUGUGACUGUAGGAGAUCUAGAUGAUAGAAAAAACACUUCAGUUUAUGUUUUCAUGAUGGGAAUCGGAGUUGUUUCAUGGUCAUCCAAGAGGCAAUCUAUUGUUCCUUUGUCAACAACUGAAGCUGAAUUUGUUGUUGCAACAACCUGUGCUUGUCAAGCUAUUUCGUUGAGAAAAAUCUUGGAGGAGCUGAAAUUCAAGAGAAUGGGAGCUACAAUAAUUUUUUGUGACAACAACUCAGUUAUCGGAUUCUCAAAAAAUCCAGUAUUACAUGGUAGAAGCAAGCAUAUUGAUGUGAAGUACUAUUUUUGAGAGAUCUUAACAAUGAUGGGGUAGUUGAUCUUAAAUGCUGCAAGAGUAAAGAUCAGCUGGAUGACAUAUUCACCAGACCUGGCAAAUUAUUUCCCUUAUUGUGAGUCCUAUUGUGAGCCUUAUUAUGUUAGUGCCUAAUUUCUUGAUUUUUCUGUUAUGUAAUUGCAUAUAUAAUAGGUUUUUGAUGUUGCGAAUAAAUGAACUGAUCAUCUUAUUUUCCCUUUCCUUUAUUUUUUUCAUAUUGCUGUUAUCUCUCUUAGUAAGCUAACAGCACCUUCACCUCUUUAAGCCCUACCAUUAUCAACUUGCCCUUUAGAAUCAGUGCUACAAAGCUCUCCUUUCAAACUCACCAAGAAGCUCCACCAACAAAAUGUCUACACCAUCAACAUCACCUCUCUAGGCAAGCCAAUGACAACACAUUACACCUUGCCCAAAAAUAUUAUCUCAUGGAAGGCCACUUUAUAAUCUCUUGCUCAAUUGCAAUAGAGGGGUGAUCCACCCAAGCACACUUACAUAAAAAUGGAACAAAUAAAAUCAAUUAUAUCAACAACGUAGGCACCACAUUAUCAUAAGCAUGAUGGUGUCAAAUUAUAAUAUAGUAGUUACAAUGGAACACUUACAUAAGUACUCCAAGGAUCAUUCUUCCACAUGGAUUGAUAAAGGAAGUCCAUAACCAAACAAACAAAUUUGGCCAUUACAAAUACAAUGAGGUAAACUUAAAUGAUCUUUGAAUAGUUAGGUGACCAAAGGGUAAACUUACUAGUUGUUGAGUGGCUAUAAGUGUAGUUUACCAAUUCUUUAAUGUUUAAGAUUACUUUUGUUUAAAUCUUACCUUUUUGCUUCAAAAUUAUUGGUGUUCUUGGUUGGUUGAAAAACUAGAGGAAUGGGAGGAAGGAGUGGAAAAGUGGAAAGAAAAUAAAAUUUAAUUGUACUUCGUAGGGAAUAAAAGUGAGAGAAAAGAAAAUAGGAGAGAUAAUCAUUUUUCAUCUUAAUGCAUAGAAAUCAAUCCUUCCAAAUUGGAAAGAUGAGAGGAGAGAAUAUUAUAAAGAUGUGUAUGUUAGUUUAAAAUUAUGCUAUUUUCUUUCAUUUCAUUUUUUAACUCUAUCAAACAAUAGAGGGAAAGAAAAUUACUUUGUUUUUCCACUUUUUCAUUUCUCCUAUCAAACACAACUACGGAAAGAAAAUUUAUGUUUUCCAUCCUUCUAAUUUUCAACCCCUUCAAUAUUCCAUCUUUCCAAUUUUCUUUCCACUCCAACAAGCAAAGCGAAAAUGUCUAGAGACAAAAUUGUUGACUUUUAUAAUUGUUAUAACAAACGUCGAUAAUGACAAUAGCAUGAUCGCAAAGUAUGAAAAAAAUAAGAACACACAGAUUUUACGUGGAAACCCUUUCGGGAAAAAACUACGGACAAAGGAGAAGAAAUUUACUAAUGUUGAAAAACGAAUAAUACAGGAGAAGUUUCGACUACAUCUAUUAAAAAGGUUAAAAAAUCCUAUUAUAAUCAAUAUCAAAUAGAAUAAAUAUAGUUCUUCAACAAGUGACGGGAUUUGGGUCACACAAACUCUAACAAUAAUUAAUGAAUUAAUUUAGUCUUUUACUUCAUAAUACAAUGACCCACAUUGUGAAAUUUCCAUUUCUGUUUUAGAAAAUUUCUAAAAAAAAGUUGUUUAGAAAUAAUCUUCUCAUGAGUUGUAAGUAAAAAAUCCAGUAAUAUUAUUAAAUAUUUAGUAAUAUUACAAGAAAUCUGUAUUCCUAAUAUAAGUAGCUUUGUAAAAGACUUAGUAAUUUACAUUGUAAGAAAUUCAAUAAUUUAUUGAAAAUGUUACAAUGUUGUAGCAAAUUCAGUAUUUUAAGUAGCCCACACUAAAUCUUUUUUAAAAUUACUGAAUUUAUAAUAAUUACUGAAUUACUUACAUGAUUACCAAAAAAAACUUCAACUAUUACUGAAUUCAUUAUGACAUUUUUUAUUUAUCUAAUUUCUUAAGGAAUUCUAUCAGUAAUUCAAUAAUUCUUUAAGAGUUUUAGUAAUUCAGUAUUUUUACGAAAUUUAGUAAUUUACGAAAUUAUGAAAAAUUAGGUAAACAUUAAAAUGUUUUAAGAUAUUCAAUAAUUGAUUUAGGUUAUUCAAUAUAUUUUAAUUUUAAUUUUAGUUUGGCCAUAAUAAGCACUUUUGUUCCUUGGGUUUGUGGGUUUGCUGCAAAUUAGAAAGGUUUCAUCAAUUUUUUAUUUAUUUCUCUAGGUUAUUAGAGUGAAUUCAAUAAUUAAUCCUCCACAUUCAAUAGGUCCAUUAAGGGGUAGAUGCGGACAACGAGUUUUAAAAUUACUCCAUACCCAGGAUAAUAAUUGAACAUUGGGCCACUGGUUAAGAUAGAAGAGACCCUUAACAUCUCAUUUAACUCCUGUGGCUAAAGGGUUCGUUAAUUUUAACAAUAUGUUUUAAGCUUCGUUAUGAGUUAACCCUUCACUCUCCUAGCUACAGAACUAAACUAAAGCAUCAACUUCUAGCUCCCCUUACCAUCAUGCAAUGGUCAUUUCGUGCUUUCAUAAAAUAAAAGUCCAUUUCAAAAGAGAGAAAUCUGAAUAAAAGAUUCAUCAUUAGCAAUAAAAAACAUGAAGAAAUUGAGAAGAAAACAAAAGAAAGAAAAGAGACAUGCCCAUUUCAGAAGGUGGAAAGCCUAAACUUUAGUUUAGAUUUUUAGGGAUUUCUAAGAAGUUUUUUUUUCGAAAAUCAAGCAAAGGAUUGGAUUUGAAAUUUUAGUUUUUUUUUCAUAUAUAUUUUAGUUUUUUUAAAAUUUUUAUAUCAUUUUUAUUUAAAAAUUUUUAGGAACUAUAAAAAAGAAAUAUAUAUAUAUAGUGAUUAGUUCUGCAAUUCAACUUAAAUUUUUCAUCUAACAUAAUUACUUAACAUGUUACGUUAGCUUACUGUUAUUUUAUUAAUGAUAAUUAAUAGCUCAAUAACUAGAUAUUACAAAUCGAUAACGUUAGUGACCAUUUUGUAACAAAUUAAAAUCCAAUGACUAAAAUGUAAUUUAAACCAUAGAUAAAUGAAUAUUUUUAUAAUUUAUCCUAUAUAAUAUUAUAUAUAUGUACCUCAAGAAAAAAAAAUAUCAUACAUAUGCACGCCAAACUAUAUAUAUAUUUAAUGUUAAGUUUCUAAUAUACAAUAUUUAUAAUAUUUAUAAAAAUUAAAUUUUAAGUUUAAAAAUUAUGAAAAAUUUUAAAAAUCUAAAAGUUUCAAACUACACCAACUGACCACAUGCUUGUUGGAAAUACUUAAAUUCAAUGCACAAUAAAAUACUAAAAAGAAAGGAGUUAAUAUAUGUUAACUUUGUUGAUGUGGUAUAUAUGUAAAUUACUAUGUGAAUGAAAUCUCAACAAUUAAAAUUUUUAAAUUUUAGAAAGUUUAACCAAAUAUAUAAAAAAAUAUUUUAAAAUUUAAAAUCAUUUUAAAAAUUUUAAAAAUAUAUUUUAAAAAUUUUAAAAAUUAAUUAAUUGUUAACGUGGCACAUACGUGGAUGCCAUAGUAAUAAAGUUAACAAACAUUAAUUUUUCCAUCCAGUUUGGGAUGAUUUGACAAACAAUGCAAAUUCAAGAGCUAAAAGAGACGAAAAAUUAAAUGAAGAACUAAAAUGACAUUUUAUAAAGUUGAAGGGCUAAAUAAAUUAUUAUGCUUUUUUAAUAACCGUUAUUUCUUUCUUUUUUUUAACAUGCCAAAUUUAAAAUAUGUAUAUUAAAUAUUUAAUUUUAUAUUGUGUGCGAAAUUAAUUGAUUUGGUUUAAUAUAAAUAAAAAUGUAAUACUUAAUUACUCAGUAUUAGAUAAGUUUACUAUCAAUUAGUAAAAAGUAAUUAUAAUAAGUGAAAGUUAUUUUUAGAAUUUAAAGUUUAUCCAAAUGAAUUAUUAAUGCCAUUAGUAGAACUACGAAUGCACAAUAAGGGAAGAAUAUAUCAAUUUUAUUGAUAAAUCUAGACGCCUUUAGUGAAAUUUGCUGAUUCCCUUUGAAUAUUGUUUUUAAAAUUAUGAGUUCCAAAUAUAAAAUUCUAGUAUUGACUGAAUCAUACAACUAUAGAAUUCAAUUUGAAAAAAAUAUGUUAAAUUAAUUGUGAAAAAUACCUUAUUUAAAGAGUCAAGCCGACAUUUUUUUUUUCUUUCUUUUUAUUAUUAUAAAUAUGAAGUAAACAAACACCUGUUAAAUAAUUAUAUUCAUGUUGAAAUUAAAGCGUCCGGUGAAUUUAAAAAUUCUUUUUAGAGGGCCUGAAAAUGAAUUAUAUAUCGUUUCGAUAGUAAAAAAGUAAUUUCAUCAUUUUAAUAGUUUAUAUCUUUAUAAUUUUUAAAGAAUUAAAUCAAAAUUUAUUAUUUUUAGGGUCAAAGUACAAUUUUAUCAUUACUAAUUUGAAAUUUUAUAAAUUAUAAAAAACUUUAAAUAGAAAAUUUUCCAUUUUAAGGGGAACCGAAAUUCCUCUGGCUCCGCCCGACACACAUCACAGUUGCACAUAAUUAAUUAAUAGAUUAAAUCUUAUUACAUGUUUCUCAUUUUUAUUUCUUAUUUCAACGAAUUCAUCGUCACUAAGAUUGACUAAUUUGUCCUUUACAAUGAUCCAAAAGACUUUUCAACACUCUCAGUCUAAGGGGUUCCUCCGGAGUCCGUAUAUUAUGUUUCAAGUCAAUAAUUUUACUGUUUUUUUAUGGAUGCUGAAAAUAUGAUCAAUGUGCCCCUUUUCCCCCCUUAAAUUAUCUCAUUAUGCUGAAAAUUAUGUUAAAUUAAUUGUGAAAAUAUGUUAUUGAAAUAGUCAAGCCUUUUUUUUAAUGCUUUUACUAUUAUAAUGGCAGUACACUUGCAAAUAUAAAUUCAUGUUUAAGGCAAAGAAUUGAAAACAAUUCAUCAUUAGAUAUUUAUGAGUUAAAAGUUGGGUUGAGUCGAGAUCUAGUUUAAAAUAUUUUUCAAGUUUAAGUCUAUUUUCGGGUUAAAAAUUAAUAAAAUAUUAAAAAUAAAUUUUUAAUUGUUAUUUUAUAUAAUUUUAGAAUUAAAUUUUAAUUUUAAAAUAUUUUUUAUUAUUUAAAUUGAAUUCAAGUCAGGCCGGUUCGAACUGCAAAAAUUCUUGUCCAAAUCUGAUCUAAAAACUAAACUCAAUUACCCAAAUUAUUUAAAUUAUUUAUACUAUGUUAAUUAGCAAUUUAAAAAAUUUGUAAAAGUUGAACGUCGACAAUAACAAUAUAGAACGAUUGCAAAGCAAAAGAAAGAAAAAAUAAGAACACGAAGAUUUUACGUGGAAACCCUUUCGGGAAAAAAAGACCAUGGGUAGAGGAAAAAAAAAUUCACUAAUGUCGAAUUCGAAAGAUACAAGAGGAGUUUAGACUACGUCUAUUUAUAGGUUGAAAAAUCUUAUUCUAAUCAAUGUCAAAUUAUUAAAGAGUAGUAAGGUUAAAAAACCUUAUUCUAAUCAAUGUAAAGUAAAAGAAGUAUAGUUUUAUAUGAAUUUUAUUUUAUUUUUAUUUUAACAAGGACUCAAGUCACUCAACUCUAACAAUCUCCACCUUGACAUGAAUUCUCAACGAACAAGUUCUUCACCACGAACUCUUAACGAACAAGUUCUCCACCUAUCCCACGAAACCCUUUAAAGGGUGUUCUUCAACAAUGAAUACCAGUCAAGUCCAAGCAAUACUCAAACUUCUUGGUUAUAGGAAGUGGCUUAGUCAUCAUAUCCGUAGGAUUUUCAUGAGUACUAACUUUGCUCACAACAAUAUCACCACAAGCAAUAAUAUCAUGCACAAAAUCAUACCGAACAUCAAUAUGAUUUGUUCUCUCAUGAAACAUUUGAUCCUUCGUAAAGAAGAUGACACUCUGACUAUCACAAAACACUGUAUUGAUCUGAAGGUCUUUACUGAGUUCACCAAAGAGUCUCUUUAACCAAAUAGUUUUUUUACAAGCCUCGGUAAUCGCCAUGUACUCAGCUUUAGUAGUAGACAAAGCAACUGUAGUUUGCAAAGUAGCUUUCCAACUGAUUGUGCAACCUCCAAUUGUAAAGACAUACCCUAUGAGAGAUCUUCUUUUAUCAAGGUCUCCAGCAAAAUCAGAAUCAACAUAUGUAAUGACUCCAUCCCUAGUUCUUCCAAACUAUAAGCAAACAUUAGUAGUACCUCAUAAGUAUAUGAAAAUCCACUAAACUAUUUUCCAGUAUUCUUUAUUGGGAUUCGCCAUGUAUCUACUAAUUGCACUAACUAUACAUGACAAAUCUGGACAUGAGCAAACCAUAGCAUACAUGAGAGAUCCCAUUGCACUAGAAUACUGAUUGCAAAGACAAAACCGAUGAAAGUCUAAAGUGGGUUGCUAAUAGGGUCCUAAUAGGCUUGGCAUUCUGCAUAUUGAACAUGCAAAGAACUUUUUCAAUGUACCAUUUCUAACUUAGGUACAAUUUACAUGCUUUUCUAUCUCUGAGAAUCUCCAUCUCAAGUAUCUUCUUUACUGCUCCCAAACCCUUUAUCUCAAAUUCUUUAUUAAGUUGGGCUUUGACCUUUCUUAUCUCUUAUUUAUCUUUGGCUGCUAUCAACAUGUCAUCAACAUAGAAGAGUAGAUACACAAAAGAACCAUCACUGUUUUUCUUAAAAUAAAAACAACUGUCAAAGUUGCUUCUUUUGAAAUCAUGAGGAGUCAUAAAAAAAUCGAACCUCUUGUACCACUGCCUUGGUGACUGUUUCAAGCCAUAAAUGGACUUUUUCAACAAGCAAACAUAGUCAUCCUUUUCUGAUACAGUAAAAUCUUCUGGUUAUUGCAUGUAAAUAUCUUCCUCAGAUUCCCCAUGCAAGAACGUUGUAUUUACAUCUAACUACUCAAGCUCCAAAUCAUACAUGGCCACAAUACCAAAUAAGGCUCGAAUCGAAGUAUGUUUCACAACUGGAGAAAACAUAUCUAUGAAGUAUACACUUGAAAUCUGACUAUAACCUUUUGCAAUCAGCCUUGCUUUAUACAUGGGUUCUUCAACUUCAGAGUUCCUUAUUUCUUUUUGAACACCCAUUUACAACGAACAACCUUUUUACCUUUAGGAAAUCUUACUAGAUCCCACGUUCUAUUCUUAUAGAGCGAUUCCACCUCUUCUAGCGUGGCAAUCAUCCAUUUUCUUAAAUCUUCACAAUUAAUUGCCUCAGAAUAAGUAGAUGGCUUUUGAUUUGCAUCUAUAUCUUUAGCCACAUUUAAAGCAUAAGCAACUAGGUCGACCUCAACGUACCUCUUUGGAGGUUUAAUUUCUCUUCUAGGUUUAUUCUUGGUAGUAGAAUAUUGUGGUGAAGAACAACUCUACUCUAAGUUUUUAUACUAACUUAAGUGUUGGAUCACCAGCACCCCUAUGGCGCAGCGAAAAAAAUUAAAAUCGGCGACCCUAACCAUGGAUCCAUGUGUGAAGAACGAAUCGGGGUGAAAAGAUUACGAAAUUACCUAAUAUUUCGAUUAAGAAGAUAGUAACUUCUCGACAAUGUGUAGUCUGAUUUACAGUCAAACCAAGCCGCAAUCUAUCGAGACUCCAACCUCUACGUAAUCCACCCAGUUGACUACGAACGGAAGAAAAUCCCCAAAACAGUUUUGAGAGUUAUAUUUUUUUACGGCUGCUAGACCUUAAAAUAAUGAAAAACGGGAUUCUAAUAUAUCUCUUUUAUUUUUAGGGUUUUUAGGAAUUAAAUAAAUAUAAUAAUAUUUUAAACCGAAAAUUUUAAUUACAUUAAUUAUAAUAUAAUUUCGGUAAACCAUAUAUUUAUUUAAAUUCAUAUGCUAAUCAAAUUCAUGUCCUCAUUAUGCGUACAACAACCUUGUACAUAAUGUGUUGGAAAUUUGAUUACUGAAUUAAAUUAAUUCUAUAAUUAAUUUAAUUCAAGUGACACCCAAAAAUAAAACCAACUAUGGUUUAUUCCGUUCAUUUCAACUAUAGUGUGUGACCUUGUAGGUUCUUGUAACGUUAGCAGUAAUACUAGAACGAUUCCAAUGUUACAAACAAUGAGUGGCAUCUAGCAAUGCAUCAUUCUACCUAAGUCACAAGAGAUCAUGAUUCGACAUAACCUUUUAUGAUUAACCUUUUAUGCAAUAAUCCUUAAGUCCUUUAUCUCUGGAUUGGACACAAGUCAUGGAAUAGUCACACUUGUAUAGUCCAUUCCAUGUUCCUUGAUAUCUUAAGCAGACUACGAUAUACACAUAAGUAUGACAUCUCAUAUCAACUUAUUUGAGCAUGGCCAUGCAUUUCUAGUCUCACUUAAUCAAGUGGCCUAAGAUAUUACUCCCAUUAUGUAGGAGGGACUUAUUCUAUAUCGACCAACCAUAUCCCUCUACAUCGAUUGUGAUAUAUCCAACAUCAGCCUUUAUAGAACAACCAGUUACGGUGUACGUUUAACUGUAUCAAAAUAUAUUACUCACGAUGUUGGGAUUAUGAUGAUCUCAAGUCUGAGGAUCAUAUACAUAUUAAUCACUAUGAGUAAUGUCGUGACAAUUACAUAAUAAUCCAAGAGANNNNNNNNNNNNNNNNNNNNNNNNNNNNNNNNNNNNNNNNNNNNNNNNNNNNNNNNNNNNNNNNNNNNNNNNNNNNNNNNNNNNNNNNNNNNNNNNNNNNAGUCCAAUAUGUUGUUCUCUAACACACAUAUUCAUGCAUCGAUUCUGACAUUCCAUAUCAAUGACAACUCUUUAUCAUCAAUCAACUACAUGUUAGUCUUAAUGCAUUAUCCUUGUCCUAUCCAACAAUAAUACUUGACUAAGGAUCUUUUAAGAAUAAUCAUAUUAUUCUUAGGACAUUAUUAUAAAACAGCUUAUUUAUACACACAGAAAAGAAACUGAAAUAAUAAUGGUAACGCCUUAUAUUAAUAAACAUGAUAAAUCAAGUAUGUUAUUACAAUCAUCUCAUGAUUGGUCUUUGGGCAUACUCUAACAUUAAGAAGUAGACUCUGUUAUAGAUCCUGGAUCAAUCUGAAGCUCCACCUGUUUUUCCUGGUUAUUAUUGGAAGAGUUUUUAAGAGAUAAGUUAGGUAGCAUAGCAGUUUCAUAAAAAAAUAAUAUCUCUGCUAAUCACAACUUUUCUAUUUUCAGGACACAAUAAUUUAUAUCCUUUAACACCAGCCUUAUAACCAAGAAAAAACACAUUUAAUGGAUCUAGGUUCUAAUUUCCCACUAUCAACAUGAGCAUACACAGGACACCCAAAAAUUCUCAAAUUAGAAUAAUCAGUAGGAUUACCAGACCAUACAUUUUGUGGAGUCUUUUUCUCAAUGGCAACGAACAGAGACUGGUUAAUCGAAAAACAUGCAGUACAGGCCACUUCAGCCCAAAAUGACUUCGGUAAACAAGCAUUCGAUAACAUACAUCAAACUUUUUCCAUGAUUAUUCUAUUCAUCCAUUGUGCAAUGCCGUUUUGCUGUGGAGUAUGACGAACUGUCAAGAGUCGCAUGAUUCCUUUUGAUUUGCGCAAUUUAAUAAACUCAUCAAAACAUAAUCCCAUGCCAUUAUCUAUACGGAGGUGUUUUAUCUAUUUUCCUGUCUAGUUAUUGAUCAUAGUUUUCCAAGCCUUAAACACAAAAAACACAUCACUUUUCUGCAAAAAUCAUCAAUGAUUGUUAUCAUAUAAUUAGCGUCACCCUUCGAAGGCACUCUGGAUGUUCCCCAAAGAUCAGAAUGAAUAUAAUCCAGCAUUCUCUUCAUGUUAUGGAUUCCUCUAGUGAAUCAAACUCUCUUUUGCUUCCUAAAAACGCAGUGCUCACAAAACUUUAGUUUGCUAAUGCCUUGUCCAUCAAAAAGUCUUCUUUUGCUUAAUUCUACCAUGCUAUUCUCACUCAUAUGCCCUAGACAUAUAUGUCAAAGUCUAGUAACAUAAUCAUCUAACAAGGAAGAGGAAGCGACGGCUGCAUCACCAGUAACAGUAAAACCUUGCAAAACAUAUAACUUGGCAAUCUUUCUCUGCCCUUUCAUCACAAUGAGGGAAUCCUUACUAAUCUUUAGAACUCCACUUUCAGCUGUGCACUUGUGCCCUUUUGAAUCAAGAGUACUCAACAAAAUCAAAUUCCUCUUCAAUCAUGGUAAAUGUCAUAUUCCACUAAGUGUUCUGAUGACUCUAUCGAACAUUUUAAUUUUGAUCGUGUCAAUACCUGUGAUUUUACAUGAAGCAUUAUUUCUCAUCAAAACAACACUUUCAGACACAAUUUCAUAGGUUGUAGACCAAUCUCGAUUUGGACUCAUAUGGAACGUACAAUCAGAAUCGGGGAUCCCCUCCUCGCUCACUUUAAAUUUGUUGGCAAAAAUAACUAGAAGUUCACCAUCACUGUAGUUUUCUGCUACAUCAGCUUCACCGGAUUGUUCUGGUUGUUUUCCCUUUUGAUUCACAAUCUCCCUUUUGAUCUUGUUUUACAACUUAUAGCACUUAGAUUUAAUGUGCCCUUUCAUCUUGCAAAAGUCACAGGUUUUACCUUUGUUUGAAGAUCUUGAUCUACCCUUAAAUUUGCUGCUAGGAUUUCGCUCUUAUGUCCUCUAACGAUUAUCAUCAGUAUUUUGUUCUUGUCUACCACGAACAGUGAGACCCUUUCCCUGAGAGUCGGAUCCAACUACAGGAUGUUUCAUCUUGUCAUACGAGGCUAAAGGAGCAUAGACUUCAUCAACUGUGAUAGAUUCACAACUAUACAAAAUCGUAUCUCUAAAGGUUGAAUAAGACGGGGUAACGAAUAAAGUAGAAUUAAACCUAAAUCUUCUUUGUCAUACUAAACCUCCAUGGCCUCUAGGUCAGAGAGAAUUUUUUUAAACACAGUUAAGUGUUCGUGUACAGACGCACCUUCCUCCAAAUGAUAAGCAUAAAGACGCUGGUUAUAUGCAACUUGCUAGUUAAGGUUUUCGACAUGUAUAAUUGUUGCAACUUUGCCCGUAAUGCACCGACGAUCUUCUCAUUCAUCACGCCCUGUAGAAUUUCAUUUGACAAAUGGAGAUGUAAUUGUGUUAAAACCUUUCGAUCUUUACGUUUCUUCUCCUCCUCUGUCAAUGUCGAAGGCAUCUUAUCUACCCCUAGCAAGGCAUCCUCUAACUCCAUUUGCGCAAGAACUGGCUGCAUCUUUAUCUGCCAUAGUGCGAACCAGGUGUUGUGAUCUAGUAGUGGAAUAUCAUACUUCAAUGUCGCCAUUACCAUGAUCGAGACAAACAACCCGAAAAGCUCUGAUACCAGUUUGUAAAAGUUGAACGUCGACAAUGACAAUAUAAAACAAUCACAAAUCAAAAGAAAGAAAAAUAAGAGAACACAGAUUUUACGCGGAAACCCUUUCGAGAAAAAAACCACGAGUAGAGGAGAAGAAAAUUCACUAAUGUCAAAUUCGAAUGAUACAAGAGAAAUUUAGACUAUAUCUAUUUAUAGGUUGAAAAACCUUAUUUUAAUCAAUGUCAAAUAGAUGAAGUGUAGUAAGGUUGAAAAACCUUUUUCUAAUUAAUGUAAAAUAAAAGAAGUAUAAUUCUAUAUGGAUUUUACUUUUAUUUUAAUUUACCACUGUAUUUUAUUUUAACAAGGAUUCGAACCACUCAACUCUAUAUAUAUUUAAAAUCAUUCAAAUUUGAAAAAAUAAAUUAAAAUUAAAAAUAUUUUGUUGAAAAUCUGAAAAUUAUUUUUAAAAAGUCCCCCUCAUCUUCUUCAUCUAAAAGAAUGAAGAUUUUCACUGUCAUUUUUUUAUUUACUUAAAACUCUCAGAUCGUAAAAGAUUACUUUUUGUGCAUCCAAAUGAAAAACCCUCAACCAUCCCUUGUAGAAAAGAGAAGACUUGAAGCAAAUGGCACAAAUUCGAUCCGUUUGCGCUUUAAUUUCUAGCGAAAAGUUGGCUAUGUAACAUCAUCAAAACCAACCCUAAUAAAAUUUCUAACAUAGACAUAUUUUUUUAUUUAACUGCGAUUUGUUAUUUAGAAAAUCAUGGUUAUAAUAAAAUUUUAAAAUCAAUUAAAAUUCAUUAAAAUAAUUUUUUAUCUACGAAAUCAAAAUCUAAAUUAGAAAUUAACUGUUAUGCAUGAAGAAGCUUAAUACUAUUUUUGGUCUUUGUACUAUAGUGAAAUUCUUAUUAUGGCCUUUUAUUAUUUUUUGGUCAGAUUGUUUUCUCUAUUUCCAUUUCGUCACUAAGUUCGCCCUUUUAGCAAGUUUCAUUAAAAAUAUUAAAUCCACGAAUGACUUGCUGUGCCACAUUUAAAAAAAUUAAAAAUUUUACUUAAAAAAUUAAAAAUCCAAAAUAUCUCAAAAAUAACAAAAAUUUGAAAACAUAGAAUUUUUUUUUAAAAUAUCCUAAUCUACUUUUGAAAAUUAUAAAAAUUAUUUUUUUACAAAAAAAUUAUUUAAAAAAAUAAGAACUCAUUUAAAUUCCACAAAAAUCAUAAUUUUUUUAAAAGAGUCCCAAAAAUCUUAAAACACAAAAAAAUUAUAAGAUCUUAAUCUAUUUCAAAUUCACUUAAAAUUUAAAAAAUAUAAAAAAACUAAAAUAAAUCAUUAAAAUUCCCCAAAAAAACAUAAUUUUUUUUAAAUCCAGAAAAAUCUUAAAAUUCUGAAAUUUUAAAAAAAAUCAAAAUAUUAAUCUAUUUCAAAUUCACUUAAAAUUUUAAAAAUAUAAAAAACUAAAAAAUAUUAAAAUUCCAAAAAUAUAUAUAUUAAAAAAACACCCCCAAAAAAUCUUAUAACUUUGAAAAUUAUAAAAUAAACUUUUAAAAAAUCUUAAUCUAUUUUUGAAAAUUAUAAAAAAGAAAACCUAAACUUAUAAGUAUGCAGAACUUCAAGAAAAUAAAAAAAUCAUAAAAAUAUAAAAAAUGUUUUUCUUUUUUGAAUUUAGGGUUUUAUAAAAAUAUAGAAUUUUAUGAAAAAUUUUAAGAAUUUUAUGGUAAUUUUUACUUAGGAUUUCCAAAAAAAAAAAAAAUCCCAUAAAUUUCUUCUAAAUUUUAAUAAAAUUCCAAAAUUUUAUAAAAACCUAAAAUUUUCUACAAACCUAAAAUUCCAAAAAGAAACUCAUUUUUUUUAACUUUUUUUCAAAGUUUCGCAUGCUUAUACUUUUUUUUUUCAAAAAAUAUAGUUUUGAAAAAUAUAUUAAGAUUUUUUUAGUUUUUUUAUUACUUUUCUAUGUUUUUAUAAAAGAACCAAAGUGAGAAUUUCAGAUAUUAAGCCAAAAGAUAUUACCUUUUAUUUGAGUUUAUUUAGAGUGAGAUUUCACCGUAUGCAAACAAAAGAGAAUUACAAUACAAAGCAGAUCCUCUCUUUUCCUCCUUUCUUUUUCCGUAGUUUUCUUCUUCUUCUUCUUCUUCUUCUUCUUCCUCUCUUGUAAACUUCUUUUCUUUCUCCUUUACAUGCUUCACUGUUCUCUUCACCUCUCUCUUUUUUCUUCUUACCUUUUUUUGCUUUUCCAUGCAAAAUGAGGCAGGAGGCCAUGCCACCCUUAAAUGUUAAUAACACUGACAAAUAACAUAAUAAUCUAAACUAAAAAAUUAAUAGUCAAAAUCCAAAAUAAAAUCGAGCUAUGAAAGUGUAGCAACAUUCAACUUAGAUUUUUCAAAUUAAACCUAACCCUAGAAUUCAGAUUUAUUGAAAGUGACUUUAAAAUUAAGUUUAGCCCGGAUAAAAAUAAUACCUAUAAUAUAAAUAAUAUUUUUUAAUUAUUUUUUAAUCAAAUUGAUGUUUGAUUAAUGGGUGAUACCGAUACAAAAAAUUUAAAUAGAAACAUAAAUUCUAAUUUAAAUGUUUUAAAAGAAAAUACUAAUUGUUCAAGACUGUAUUUAAUUCAGUUCGUUUUUCUUCGAUUUGUCCUUCUAUUAGAUGAAAAAAAAACUAAUAAAACGACUCGUAAAUUAAUACAUAUUAAUAUUUUUAUUUUUAUCGUGUUAUUGAAAACUAUGGGAUAUUUUACUUUUGAAUUUCAUAUAAAUAUUAAAUGUGCAUAUAAACUCUUCAAGGAUAAUUUAAUUAUUAUUUAAUAAGAAAAUUUUAAGGUAAUAAAAAUUGUAUGUGAGAGAACCCGAUGUGAUGGCUCGAGCUGAUGUGAGUUUCUUUAUUGGCCUAAUAAUAAAUUUAGUCUUCUAAUAUUUACACGUUCUACCCAAGUUUGGAAGUUACUGAUGAUGAUAUGUCCAAGUAAAAAAAAAGGCGAAAAAAAACAAAUUUUCUAUGUUUUGAAAGAUUUCGCAUUUCAUUGUUUCCUCUAUUUGAAUAUUAAGUAUUUGUACAUUUUUUAAAUAAGAAAAACAUGGAAAUAAUUAUUUUGUAAUUGUUUAAAGAAUUGUUAAUUUAUUUAGAGGAAUUGAUUCUUAGAUUAUAUGAUAUUAAUCUAAAAUAUGACACUAAAAUAGUUGGAUUUAAGCCAACUUGAUUUUUUACCAUAUUCAAAAAGGCGAUAUUAAUUUAAAAAGAGCACAAUACAAAUAGUGUUAAAUACUCUUCUUGUUUAGUAUAUUUUGGAGGUACGUUAAAGAAUAUUUAAAAAAAUUUAAAUACUUUCCAAUUUUCUAUUGAAAUUUUUAGAAUUAGAACUAAACUGACAAAUUCUGUGAUGGCUAAAUUUAUUGAUUUUUUUUAGAAUUCGAACUAAAAUGACAAAUUUUGUAAACAUUUAGGGCUAAUUUUGUUGAUUUUGUUUUAGAUUUAGGAUCAAACUGAUAGAAUGUGUAAAUAUUGGAGGCUAAAUUUGUUAUUAGAUCAAUAAAAAGGGCUUACCGAGCUUUUCAUCACUCAUCUAACAACAACUAACGAGAGAGUGACUAAAAUAUUUAAUUUCAAAAAAUUGAGUGGCAAAAUGGAAAAAAAAAUCAAUAGUCAGGUGACCAAAUAGAACCGAAGGCAUAAUUGGUGACUAUUGUUGUAGUUUACCCUUUUAGUAAUUAAAAUUAAUUUCUUUCAAUAAGUUCAAAUAAUAGAAAAUAAUUAUUUGAUAAUUAAAUGAAGAACUACAUUGGUAGUCACUCAACUAUUAGUAUUUUUUUUUGUCAUGCAACUAUGAAACUUUACAAAAAUGGUCAAUAAUUAUUCAACUUUUUUCUAUUUGGUCAACCAACUACCGGCCAUUAAUUUAUACAUUGUGUCAAUUUAGUCUUGAUUCAAAAAAAAUUAACCCUCAACAUUUACACAUUGUGUCAUUUUUUUUUGCAGUUUUACUUUUAUUUGUGACAUUGAGGGUUAAUUUUAAAAGAAUGAGAAAAUAUGAAAAUUAUUAUCUUGGAUUUUGGGUGUUUUCAUUUUUGAUAUAUUUCCGAUUAAAUUUAGUUGAUAGAUUGUUUUUCUUAGCUUAUUAGGUGAAAGGGUCACAAAGAAAAACAAAGAAAAAAUACCAAAUUACAUCAUGUGUAAACACUGAGGGUCACAAUGUAUAAAUGUUGAGUGCUAAAGUUGCUAUUAUGCCAAUUUUAAAAGUUAUACGUCACCUUUUAUUCAAUCAUUCAACGACUAGUGAAAACGAAAAAACCAAAUAGUUGAGUGACCACUUCGUAACUUUUCAUAAUUGGGUGGCUAAAAAAAGAAAAGUACUAAUAGUUGGAUGACUUGAAAUGUAAUUUACCCUUAAAUAAAACAAUGGAUAAUUUGUGAUUGGUGUCCCAAAAUUAUAAAAAAGAAACUAUAUUUGCUAUAAGAAAGGUUAUAUCAACUAGAUAGACUAUAGUGGACAUUAAAUGACGUACCAUAAAAAAUAAAAAGAAAAGAACAAACAACUUCAAAACCUAUAUAUAUAUAUAUAUACAUAUAUAUAUAUAUAUAUUAUUUAAAGGUUGUAUUCUUUUGACUUAAAAAGAAUAAUUGAGGCUAAAGAGAUUGCAAUGAUUUAAGCAUGUUAUUCAUGACUAUAAUGUUUUGGAAAAAUAUAUAAUAUUAUACUUUUUGUAAAAUCAUAAGGAGCGUUAAUGAUUGACAAGUAUCUUAUAAGAAUAUAGUAAAUUUUUUUAAAAAAUACACAUUAUAGUUUUUUAAGACUGUUUGUGAAAUUAAAAAAAAUACACUACUAAUGUACAAAAUACGUAUUGUCGAAACCGUUUUUUGAAAACAAAAAUUUUAGUUUCGACUUAAAAAUAAAAACAAAAACUGGAGUCGCCACCGAUCAUUUAUGAAGGUGUGAUCGGCCCACCUUAAAAAUAAUUUUGGUCUGCGAAAUUCGAGAAAACAGGCUCGGGAGUCAGUUACGCACGAGGAAGGAUUAGCACCCUCGUAACGCCCAAAAUUGGUACCAAAUUGAUUUUUUUUAAUGCCUUGGUGUCGAAAAUUUGAAAAGAUUUUAAAAGGAAACUUUUUAUUUCAUGAAUGGAUUAAAAUAAAAAGACAUUCGUAUUUCAAAGAAAUAAAACACCACACCCAGUGAGUUAGGGCACAAUGUUUUUAAAUCUUCAAAAUACCCGAAUAUUGCCUUUUGCUUUUGAAAAUUCUUAUUUCGAGAAGAAAAUGUCAUGACCAGUAAGUUAGGACCCAACAUUUCGAAUUCCCGAGAAUAAGUUUUUAUUUAAAAUUUGAAUUUAUUGCAAAACAAAUAUUUGGCUUUCUAAACUCAUCGAAAAAUAAUCGCGAUCCAAUAAGUUAGGACACGAUCUUUCACGAGAAUCAUGAAUACCAAAUAUUUUGGAAUUUAUAAAAUAAGAUGAUUUAAAUACUUUGAGAAAACAUAUAUUUUCUUUAAAAGCAAGAUAAAAUGUUAAUAUACAACAUGAUACACAUAUUUUAAUUUAAAUUAUAAAUGUGCAUGUAUUUACAAAAUAUAUAUAAGUGUAAUACACAAGUAAAUUUGAAAAUAUGUGCAUGCGUAUGUUUAACACACAUACACAAAUAUACAUAAAAAACAUGCAUAGCAUAACUUAUAAUAAUCUCCAAAAAUAUGUACGUAUAUUUCAUAAAACAUGCAUAUGUACAAAAAAAUAGAAAAAAAAAAUGCAUAUGCCUUGUAAAAUAUGAGAGUACAUACAUAUAUAUAUAUAUAUAUACAUAUUUAUUUAUAAAAACUAUGUAAACAAAAUAUAUAUAAAAUAUGAGCGUAUAAGGACUUCAAAGGAGAUUGGAUUGGUUACUUCAGUCUGCUCCACUGCAACUUCAGGGAGAUAAGACUUGUAUAUUCGAUCUACUUCACCACCAGUAUGGGAAGACAAGAUCUGUUUUCUUCGAUCUACUUCACGCCAAUACAUGAGGACAAGAUCUGUUUUUUCAAUCGAUUCCACUGCCGACCGGGGAGGUAGAAUUACUGGCUUCAAUAUACUCCGCUGCAACCUCAGGGAGGUAAAAUCCGCCAUCUUCGAUCUGCUCCACUACUGCUUAGGGAGAUAAGAUCUGUAAUCUUCAAUUUGCUCAACUGCAAUGUCGGGGAAACCAGAUCCGCCGUCGUGGCUUCAAUCUAUUCCACCGCACCGUUAGAGAAGUAAGAUUUGCCGUUGUGGCUUCAAUCUUUUUAAUUGCAAUAUCAGGGAAACCAAAUCCGCCGUCGUAGCUUCAAUCUGUUCCACUGCACUGCUAAGGAAGUAAGAUCCGCCGUUGUGGCUUCAAUCUUUUAAAUUGUAAUAUCAGGGAAACUAGAUCCGCCGUCGUAGCUUCAAUCUGUUCCGCUGCACUGCUAAGGAAGUAAAAUCCGCCGUUGUGGCUUCAAUCUUUUUACUUUUCAACCCGCUCCAUUGUUACUCACGGAGACAAGGCUUUAUGAUUUCACCGAUCUGCUCUCUGUGGAACAUGACCUGUAUGACUCACUUUAUGAGCCUAAUUAUGCCUAAUGAUUAGGAUGUCAUGAUCAGAAUGAAUCAAAUGCUCCUAACUAGGCGUGUAUAAAUGACAUUUGAAUAUUAUGUCAUGAAAAAUGAAUAUUGAAUGUGUAAAGUCAUUAUUGCUCAUUAAGGCUUCCUUCGUGGCAACAACGCUUCGUCAAAACUUGAAAAAUUUAAAAUCUCGACUCUUGGCUCCUAGAUAUCUCCGACCUUUUAACCCAGUGAAGGUCUAAACAAUAGUCCUGUUUCAGGUUCCUGAGUUAUUUAAAGAUUUCUAGAGUAAUAUGAAAAACUUCCCUUGUGAAAGUUUUACUAGUCCAUUAAUCGUCAUUCUAAUGCAACAUGCUUGCGAAAAGAUCAUAACGAUAACAUAAACAAAAUUAGUCUGGGAGGAUAGCUCGCAAUGGAUUGUCAAUGAUAGAGGAAUUGUCUGGGGACAUUUAUAUUGAAAAAAAAUGUCAUAAUUUAACAAUGAAUUCAAUACAAAUACUAUGAACAUGUGCCCCAGAUAUCUCUGCUUGAAUUUCUCUAUACAGCUUUCGAAGACCCUUUUGAAUUCAACACGUGUUUAGGAAAUUCACAGUAUUUUGUUGAUGCCCCAAGAUGUCGUCUAUUCCUUUCUGUCGAUUUAGGUACAGCAAGACUACCACGUGACAACCAAAAUUUGAGCCGCCCUUUUUGGGUUUUCAACUCAAAUCCCCUUUGGUCUUAAGGUGCCCUUUGCGGGUUUUCACCUUAGCCUCUCCUUUCCUUUUCUUUUCUUUUCUUUUUUUUUUUUGGAAUCAAAGCGCCCUUUGCGGGUUUUCACCUUGGUUACUUCCCUUCUUCAAGUAAAGUACCUCUUCACCGAAUCUGAAUUUACCGGAUUAGGCAAGUUUUUCCCGUCCAUUUCAGCCAGGAUCAGGGCUCCUCCAGAAAAGGCCUUUUUUACAACAUAAGGACCCUCCCAAUUCGGCAUCCAUUUCCCCUUAAAAUCCUUUUGUAGAGGAAGAAUUUUUCUCAACACCAGGUCCCCCUCGUGAAAUUCUCUGGGUCGGACUUUCUUGUUGUAGGCUCGCAUCAUUCUUUUCUGGUAUAUCUGACCGUGCUGAAUAGCCUUUAGCCUCUUUCCCUCUAUCAAGUUCAACUGAUCGUAUCGAGAUUGAACCCAAUCCGCUUCAUCCAAUUGUAGCUCAGACAAAACCCGGAGAGAAGGGACUUCAACUUCGAUGGGCAACACUGCCUCCAUGCCAUAAACUAAGGAGAAAGGCGUUGCCUCGGUGGAGGUCCUGGUUGACGUUCAAUAAACAAGGAGGGCAAACGGUAAUUUCUCGUGCCAGUCCAUGUAAGUCUCAGUCAACUUCCCUACAAUCUUCUUUAUAUUUUUAUUGGUCGCUUCUACUGCACCAUUCAUUUUCGGGCGAUACGGCGACGAAUUGUGAUGUCUGAUCUUGAAUUGACUGCAGACCUCUGCUAUUGAGCUGUUGUUCAAAUUCAACGUAUUGUCGGAUAUGAUUCUUUCAGGCAUUCCAUACCGACAUAUGAUCUCUCUCUUCAAGAACUUACUGACUGAUGACUUUGUAACAUUAGCAUACGAAGCAGCUUCUACCCAUUUGGUGAAGUAGUUAAUAACCACGAAUAUGAAAUGAUGCCCAUUUGAAGCCUUUGGCGAUAUUGGCCCGAUAACAUCCAUACCCCACAUGGAGAAAGGCCAUGGAGAAGUCAUGACAUGAAGAGGUGAAGGAGGUGCAUGCAUUUUAUCACCAUAGAUUUGACAUUUAUGGAACUUCUUGGAAUAAUUGAUGCAAUCCCCUUCCAUGGUAGACCAGUAGUACCCGAAUCUCAUAAUCUGCCUAGCCAUUGUGAACCCGCUGGCAUGCGUUCCGCAGAUGCCCUCAUGGACUUCUUCUAGAAUUUUCUUUGCUUCUACGGCGUCCACACAUCUUAGCAGUACCUGAUCUUUUCCCCUCUUGUACAAGAUCUCCCCAUCUAAGACGUAGUCAAUGGCUAGUCUUCUCAGAGUUCUCUUUUCAUUCUCCGUUGUCUGGCCAAGAUACUCACGAUUUUUUACAUACCGUAGUAUAUCUUGAUACCAAGGACUAUCAUCGAUUUCCCCUUCUUCAAUAUUGUAACAAUGAGCCGGGUCUUCAUAGAUACUCAUUUGGAUUGGUUUCAUAUCCCCAUUUCUGUUCAGUUUGAUCAUGGAAGCUAAGGUAGCUAGUGCAUCAGCCAUCUGGUUCUCAUCUCGUGGGAGAUAGCAAAAAGUGAUGUCCUCAAACUCCUUAAUCAAUUCGAGGACCAACUUUCGGUAACUGAUUAAUUUGGGAUCUCUCGUUUCCCAUUCACCCCUGAGCUGAUAUAUCACCAAUGCUGAAUCUCCAUAGACCUCUAGCACUUUGAUUCCUCGCUCUAUAGCUGCACGAAUACCCAUGAUGCAUGCUUCAUAUUCUGCCAUGUUAUUUGUACAAUCAAAAUCCAAUUUACAAGUGAAAGGAUAAUGAUCACCAUUUGGGGACACCAGGACUGCCCCAAUUCCAUUGCCUACAGCGUUCGAGGCUCCAUCAAAGUUUAGCUUCCAACUGUGACCUUCUUGGGGACUUUCUUCAGUAGCGGCUACACACAUCAGGUCCUCAUUUAGGAAAUCAAAACUCAACAGCUCGUAGUCCUCCAGAGCUCUACUAGCUAGAAAGUCAGCAAUUGCACUCCCUUUCACAGCCUUUUGGUUCACAUAGACAACAUCAAAUUCAGACAAUAAAAUUUGCCAUCGGGCCAUUCUCCCAUUCAAAGCAGCUGACUCCAUCAUAUACUUUAACGGGUCUAACUUUGAGAUCAGCCAAGUCGUAUGGUAUAACAUGUACUGCCUUAAUCUUCGGGUUGUCCAAAUCAAGGCACAGCAUAAUUUCUCAAAUAGGCGAAUAUCUCAUUUCACAGUCAGUGAAUUUCUUGCUGAGAUAAUAUAUCGCUCUUUCUUUCCUCCCCGUUUCAUCAUGUUGACCUAACACACACCCCAUGGAAUUGUCAAAUACCGUUAGAUACAAUAUCAGAGGCCUAUCCGGGUUAGGUGGUGACAGCACUGGAGUAUUAGACAAAUACUGUUUCACUUUGUUGAAAGCUUCCUCGCAUUCCUCAUCCCAAGUACCAGGAUUAUGUUUCUUCAGAAGACGAAAUAUAGGGUCACAUUUCUCAGUCAGUUGUGAAAUAAACCUAGCGAUGUAAUUCAGUCUUCCUAGGAAACCUCGAACUUCUUUCUGAAUGCGAGGUGAAGGUAAAUCUCGUAUUGCCUUGACUUUGUCUGGGUCAAUCUCGAUUCCCUUUUCACUGACUACAAAGCCUAGCAACUUUCCUGACCUGGCCCCAAAAGUGCACUUCGCUGGAUUAAGCUUGAGUUAGAACUUUCUCAAUCUUAAGAAUAACUUUCUCAAGACCCACACAUGUUCGCCCUCUGUUCUAGAUUUCGCGAUCAUAUCAUCAACAUAAACCUCGAUUUCCCUGUGCAUCAUGUCAUGGAACAAGGCUACCAUGGCUCUUUGGUAUGUCGCUCCUGCAUUCUUCAAUCCAAACGGCAUCACUUUGUAACAGAACGUCCCCCAUAACGUAAUGAAUGUAGUCUUCCUCAUGUCUUCAGGAUGCAUCUUUAUCUGAUUGUACCCAGAAAAACCAUCCAUGAAGGAAAACAGUGAAAAGCCCGCAGUAUUGUCUACCAAUGUGUCAAUGUGAGGCAAUGGGAAAUUAUCCUUUGGACUAGCCUUGUUCAAAUCCCGAUAAUCCACACACAUUCGUACUUUUCCAUCNNNNNNNNNNNNNNNNNNNNNNNNNNNNNNNNNNNNNNNNNNNNNNNNNNNNNNNNNNNNNNNNNNNNNNNNNNNNNNNNNNNNNNNNNNNNNNNNNNNNCUUGCAGAAACCCGGCAUCAAACUGCUUUUGGACCUCCUCCUUUUAUCUUCAACACGAUAUCAGGCCUCAUCCUUCUGAGUUUUUGCUGCACUGGCUUGCAAUCUUCUCUUAUAGGGAGACGAUGGACUACCAUGUCGGUACUCAACCCCGGCAUAUCCUGGUAUGACCAUGCAAACACGUCUUUGAACUCUCGGAGUAAUUCAAUGAGGUCCUGCCUUGUCCUUUCAGAGAUAACCGAUCUGAUCUUCACCUCUUUACCCUCCUCUAAGCUCACGACUUCUAUUGAUUCCCUGUGAGGUAGGAUUUAUUUCUCGGCCCUUUCUACCAUCUUUGACAAGUCAGGAGACAAACCACAGUCUUCGUUGUCUUCAAAAUUAUGCGAUCCCUCUAAACACAUGUUUCGUUCAAAAGGAGACUCUAAAUUUGUAAGAGUGACAUUCGCAUCAUUGAUAUCAUGGGACCUGUUAUAAGUAUGAAAAACAAUAUGGAUUCAGGAAUUUGUUUGGUGCAAUAUGGUCAUGAAUGAAAUGCAAGUGUAGUUUAAGAGAAACUUAAAAUAACUGCUCUUAUGGGAAGAAAGAUUUGCUCCAAAAAUGAUUGCAAACAUGAACUUUAUUAAAAUAACGAUUUUCUGGACAUGAGCCUAUUUCACAAAGGAAUCCUUAUCACUUCUAGGCUAAAAGGCAAUAAGGGUGUUCUGGACAUUACUCUGGGGAAAUCCUAAAAACUACAGGUAUUUCUUCUGCAGUCCAGUUGUUUAGCUCCCUUUCCGACUCGUAAGGACGAAUAUCUGGCAAAGCUCUUCCUCGCGUCACUUCUUCAUACACAACAUGAAUACUCUCUAGCUCCAUGUUAAUACUUCUGACCCCUAGCAUUCUUUGAUAGGUGAAUCCUCCCGGUACAAAAGUCUUGGAUAGGUGAGGAAAGGUCAUGGGUUCCCAUUUGACUUCAUCACCUGUCAAGCGAGCCCUUCUCCGCACUCGCUUAUUUUCCUGCUCUAUCCUCUUCUGCCUAGCAUCUGGCUUGUAUUCUAAGCCAAAACGAUCCUGCUUGUCUUUCAACACUAGAGCCUCAACUCGGCCCUGAAGAUAUCUCCCCAAUCCUCUUCUCGGUAAUGCUCCCUUUCCAACAGUCAACUGCAGACCCAUCUCUGUGGUCCUGGAUAUUCUCGGCAUCGGGAUCUUGUUUCCCUCACGGAUGAAUGUUGCAUUUACAAACUCCAAGGAACGAAAAGAGCAUUCGAUUGGAUCAUCGCUCGUUUCUAGAUAAGUCGCAUCGUUGGUCACAGAUGCAAUGAUAUCUUCUUCAGCAUCUAUCGUCACAACCCUGCCUUCUGACACCAGCUUCAGUUUUUGAUGUAACGAUGACGGUACCGCACCUGCUGAAUGAAUCCAUGGCCUUCCUAAUAGGCAACUGUAAGAAGGCUUGAUGUCCAUAACUAAGAAGUCCACCUCAUAAAUAGUUGGGCCAAUUAACAAGAGAAUGUCAACUCUUCCCAUGACCCUCCUCUCAGUACCAUCGAAUGCUCGAACCACGUUCUGACACGACUUCAUAUGCGAACUAUCCACAGGUAGCCUGUUGAGCGUGGAUAGGGGAAAUACAUUUAAUGCCGAUCCAUUGUCUACCAGAACCCCCGGUAAUAUGCACCCUUUACACCUUGCAAUGAUGUGUAAAGCUCUAGUGGAUCCCAUACCCCCAGGUGGUAUUUCGUCAUCGCUGAAAGAGAUGAAGUUAUCAGCGCUUAUAUUACCGACCAGUCGAUCCAACUUGUUAAUAGAGAUAUCAUCGGCCACAUAAGUUUCAUUUAGCACCUUCAGUAGUGCAUUCUGAUGUCCCUCCGAGUUCAGGAGUAAAGCUAGCACAGAUAUGCGAGCUGGUUGUUUGUGCAGCUGUUCCACAACGCUGUACUCGCUAUGUUUUAUGAACUUCAAGAACUCUCUAGCUUCCUCCUCCUUGAUUGGUUCAUUGACCACCAAUUCAGGUUCGACCGUCUUCUUCUUCUUUCCAAUCAGAGUUUCUUCUCUUAUUGGCUCUACUCGAGCCUUCACCUGUUCGUUAUACCCUCCUUCAUCAUGGUCCUCCUUCCCUGGGAUUGUCACAUUACAAUUGUAAUGCCAAGGAACCCUCCUGUUAUCCUUGUAAGUAAACGCAGUCGGUUUUUGAAUGAUAACCCUUGGUGCUACUCGUGCUCCAGCCUCACUAUUCUUAGGUUGUGAGAUGAUGACCACAGGAUGGUUAACCUUUGGAACUCCCAAUGCCAACUCUGACGUACAUACAUGACUCUCUUUCUGAAUUCCUUCCCAAAAUUCCAUCUCUUUAUUAUCUAUCAUACCCUGUACCACGGCUCUGAACUCCGUACACUCCUGGAUUUCAUGCCCCAUUUCACAGUGGAACUCACAGUAGUUCCUCCUCUUCUCACAGCUUUCUUCUGAAGGAAUUAGCCCCCUUUUCACCAUCUCUUUCCAGACCCAUCUCAAAGGAGUCUUCACGUCCGCAAUGUCUACCUUAAUUCUCAUGUCUUCGUCCAUCAUAUUUACCCCACCAUCAGUGUGAUUUGGUAAUGGGUUCUCUGCCUUGGUGGCUUCAUCAAAUUUAACGACACCCAUACCAAUGAGCCUUUCAACCAGCUUCUUGAAGGCCGUACAGUUUUCUAUGGAGUGCCCCGUGAUUCCCGCAUGAUAGUCGCACUGUGCAUUUGCGUCGUACCAUUUGGGGGACGGGGGCUGUAAGGGCUUCAGAUAGAAAGGGGAAACUACAUGUGCGUCGAAUAAGUUUCGGUAUAAUUCCCUGUACGACAUGGGAAUUGGCGUGAAUUGGGGCCUCUCCGUAUUUCGCCUUGUACCGACCUUCUGUCUCGACAAGCUUUGUUGAUUGGCAGCCGUCUUUCCUGGCUGACUCACUGUUACUGACUUCGAGUAACCCUUGUUGUACAUGCUCACGUUGUUCACCUCGUUUUCCUUCCUUUUCGAAGCUGAUCUUCUGUUACUCUCUCCAGCAUCGAUCUUCCCACUCCUGAUGGUGUUCUCAAUCAUCUCGCCAUUCAUGACUAUGUCAGGAAAGCUUUUUGUGGCACUUCCUAACAUAUGUGUAAUGAACGGUGCCUUCAGGGUGUUAAUGAACAACAUGGUCAUUUCCUUUUCCAAGAGCGGUGGUUGAACUUGGACCGCGACCUCCCUCCAUCUCUGUGCGUACUGCCUAAAGCUUUCGCUCGGCUUCUUCUCCAUGUUUUGAAGGGUGAUCUUAUCAGGAGUCAUGUCUGUCACAUGACUAUAUUGUUUCAUGAAUGCUUGCGCCAAGUCCCUCCAUGAACCAAUCGUAGCUCGACUCAACUGAUUGUACCACUUGGAUGCUGCCCCUGCAAGGCUGUCUUGGAAGUAAUGUAUUAAUAGCUGGUCAUUACUAACGUAUCCAGCCAUUCGCCUGCAGAACAUGGUGAUAUGAGCCUCUGGGCAAGUCGUCCCAUUGUACUUCUCGAAUUCAGGCAUCUUAAACUUAUGAGGGAGAACAAGAUCCCGCACUAAACUCAGCUCUUUUGCGUCAAUGCCUCGAUAGCUUUCAGUAACUUCCAUCGCCUUGAACUUCUCCUCAAGCCACUUGCAUCUCUCUUCCAACUGUCUCGGUAACUCCUCCUUCACUCUUUCCUUCUCAACUACUUCAUCAAAGUCAGGAAUGGCAGAGUUAAUAGGAUUAUUUUCGGGAUUAAAACACGGCCCAGUUUGGAGGUUCGAAACACCAGCUUGAAAUUGCUGAGGCAUGAUUGUGACAGUAGAUUUGCGCGGGUAUUCAUCUUGAGUUCGCUCAUGUGGAGGGGUGAAACCUGGAGGAUAGAAAAGUUCAUCAUCAUUUCCCUCAUCGACAUCUGCCAUGGGGCCCUUUCCUUUGUCACCUCCCUUAGUUAUCAGUCGGGUUAACUUUGCCACUAUAUCCUCUUGAGAUUCCCGCAUCUUCUCAGACAUUUCUUGUUUCAUCUUGUCUAACCGCUCCUGCAUUUGUAGCUGAAUCCAGUCUUGCAUCUCCUUCUGGUACUGUUCGAGCUUUUCUAAUCUCUGAUCCAUAUCUCUUGUCUUUGUUCGAGUGCCGUAUCGGUGUUGGAUUGGUUGGUUGGUUUCCAGGUUAACUGAGCAAUAAUUUUAAUUAAUUAGGAUCAAUUCAAAGUUUUGAAUGCAUAUGAUGCGAUGCAUGAGAUGAAUGCAAGAAAGGCGUUAAUUAUGAUUCAAUUCCACUUGGAAAACUUUAUUAGAAAACAAAUCUCUUUACAUAGAAUAGACUACAAAUACGACUUCGCCCUAAUACUUAAGACCUUGAUUUUUUGAAGCAACGAGGCUAACUCCCGUCCCCGGUCUGACUCCAAUUCAUACUUUACGCUCAACGUGUCAGCUUGUACUGCCAGAGUUUGUAAGUGAUCAGCUACUUCUCGAAUCUGAACCAAGGCUUGUCCCAUAACACGAUCCCUGCUUCUGACCUAAUUCUGGAGAUAGUGAAGCUGUUCGCUUUGAUGAUCUUUGUUUGCCUCCAAAUACUCAAUCCUGGCUUCACAGUUCUGCAAUGCCACCUCUAGUUCUUCUAUAGUUUUCUUCAUUUGCUCGAUUCUACUUAAACUUGCUUGCAGUUCCACCACUGAAUUACGAUUUCGGUAUUGAUGAACAAUCUUCUCAAGUUCGGCCACUCUAGCCCUUAGUUUAUCCCUUUCAUCUUGAUUUUCUGACAAACUCUUCUCAAGCGAUCUAUUUUGCAUCUGGGCUUCUUGGAAUCUUUCUUCCCAUCUGCCAGCCUUGGCUUUUUCUUCUUGAACCUCUUGACGCCACUGCUCUGAGGUUUUUCCCAACCCAGCAGUUCUUACUGACAGACGUAGUCUCUUAUAAUCCGUCUUCAAGCUGUUCAAAUCUUCCUCGACUUUGCGCUUCCCUUUUCUCAGGCCUUCGGUUUCCUGCAUUUGAACAUCUAUGUCCAACUUUAAAUUCACCUUUUCCUCCUCCAUUUUCUCUAUUUUCUUCUCUAAUUCUGCAUUCCUUCUUUCGAGGUCUUAAUUUAUGAUUUCCAGCUCAGAAGGGACGACGCACAAAUGCUCCUCUAUCGACUGACUAUUUUCUGAACUUGGCCCGGGAAUGUUGUCAUUAAUCCUCCUAACACGCCAUUCGUUAUAUUCAGAAGUUGUCAUUGGACCCACGGCUAAUCUCUUCAUUCGGCGAGUCUGAUUCCACGCAUUGGCCAUCUCACGAGCCUUCCUUUUGUAGCCAUCAUCCUUAUAUGAGAAUUCACACUCAGCUAGUCCUUGAGUGGCAGGCACAAACUGUCUUGACCUGUACUGUCUUAACACUAGCAAUGGGGCAUAACCAACAGCUCCCCAAAUCCCGAGCAACGGAACCCAGUCGAAAUCGCCACACCUAUAUAGGAUCUCAUCUGGAAGCAACCACGGAGCUCUCCACUCGAUAUCUUCUUCUUGCAGAUUCUGAAAGAUUGCCAUCCAUUUCUCCUCUGUAAUAUCAUCUCUCCUUGAUGCAGCCACUAUCUCUUUCAACGGUGAAUAACUUUCAGAGAAGACCUGAUAUGAAACCUUAUCAACCUUCCAAAAGUGGCUAUGGAACCACCCAAGUAAUAACUGCGCACAUCUAAAAAAUCUGCCCUCUCCCGUUCUUCGGCAUGCAUUUAAUGACCUAAAGGUUUCUGCCAAAAUCACCGGAACUGGCGUAACUCCCUUGUCAAGCCGGUCGAAUAAAUCAGUGACCGCCUAAUCAACAUGUCCCAAAAUCUUAGGAAACAAGAUUAGACCAUAUAUACUUAGAGCAAAGACGUCCACUUUCUUCCUCGCAUCUGGGUGUGCUAAAAUGAGGUCCUUCAAGUUUUUCCAAGGAAUACACCUACUAUCCCCUUUUUGCUUAAUCCGAGCUGUAACCCACUACUCAUUUAUCCCUGUUAUACUCAUCAACUUCCUCAAGAAGGUUGGUACAUUCACCGCUUUCGAAUAAAUUCUAUCCACCUGUACCUUCGAACACCGAAGUAAAGCCGUGUACUCCUCUAUUGUAGGCACUAGGUCAACCUUUCCGAAUGUGAAGCAACUGUACGCCGGAUUCCAAAACUGGGCAAGAGCUCGAAACAGACGGUUGUCUACCUUCAUGUCAAGUAAAUAAGGUAAAUCCCCAUAAUUUGAAUAGAAUAGCUGUCUAACCUCAUUAUCCCAUUGAUCCCAAAUCUCCUUCAAUUCCUGCAAGUUGUUCUGAGCUACGCUAACACGAGUGAAGUCCCAUAACUCUGAUACGUAUCCCACGGCCAAACUAUCACCUUUUUCAUGCUGUAUCUUCUCAGACCAAGUCCGGACAGCCGUAUUGUCUUCCACUCUAUCAAGAAACCCAUUUCCCAUGAUAAACUUUCUAUAUGGCAACCGAAUAUGAACCAACGCCUUUAUAAUGAAAUGUCAUGCAAUUAUGAUGUCAUGCAAUCAAAACAAAAGAAACCCAAGUUAGUAUCACAUAUAAAAAUAUAAUCCAAACAAGAACACUUAUUUAGGAAUCUACUAGGGUUCAGUAUAGUUCUCCCUAGGGCAAGUUCCUAAAGCUCACUAUAUGAGGUUUAGUUUCUAGAGUAAGGGUACCCGAACCAACAGAUUCCUCGAUCCUCACCCAUUAUAGGCUCAUACAGAUCGAGUUCAGUUCAGGGGGACACAUUUCCCUAUGGCUGCACGGAGAUGAAAAUCUCACGAAGACAUAGGUACGAAUGUAUCCCGGAAGCAGUCCACUAUCCUGCACGGAGGUGAAAACCUCACGAAGGACUAGUUUCUCGCUCCCACUUAAGGGUAAAAUGCAAAAUGCAAAUGCAAAGUUGCCAAAGUUCCAUGAUAAAAUAUCAAUGAGUGCAAAGGGAAAAUUUUUAAAAACUUUUUGAUUUUCGACACAAAAACAAAUAUGAUCAGUUUAUGGCUCGACUCUCUAUGUCCCCAGCGGAGUCGCCAAGCUGUCGAAACCGUUUUUUGAAAACAAAAAUUUUAGUUGUCGACUUAAAAAAAACAAAAACUGGAGUCGCCACCGAUCCUUUAUUAAGGUGUGAUCGGCCCACCUUAAAAAUAAUUUUGGUCUGCGAAAUUCGAGAAAAUAGGCUCGGGAGUCAGUUACGCACGAGGAAGGAUUAGCACCCUCGUAACGCCCAAAAUUGGUACCAAAUUGAUUUUUUUUAAUGCCUUGGUGUCGAAAAUUUGAAAAGAUUUUAAAAGGAAACUUUUUAUUUCAUGAAUGGAUUAAAAUAAAAAGACAUUCGUAUUUCAAAGAAAUAAAACACCACACCCAGUGAGUUAGGGCACAAUGUUUUUAAAUCUUCAAAAUACCCGAAUAUUGCCUUUUGCUUUUGAAAAUUCUUAUUUCGAGAAGAAAAUGUCAUGACCAGUAAGUUAGGACCCAACAUUUCGAAUUCCCGAGAAUAAGUUUUUAUUUAAAAUUUGAAUUUAUUGCAAAACAAAUAUUUGGCUUUCUAAACUCAUCGAAAAAUAAUCGCGAUCCAAUAAGUUAGGACACGAUCUUUCACGAGAAUCAUGAAUACUAAAUAUUUUGGAAUUUAUAAAAUAAGAUGAUUUAAAUACUUUGAGAAAACAUAUAUUUUCUUUNNNNNNNNNNNNNNNNNNNNNNNNNNNNNNNNNNNNNNNNNNNNNNNNNNNNNNNNNNNNNNNNNNNNNNNNNNNNNNNNNNNNNNNNNNNNNNNNNNNNCACAAGUAAAUUUGAAAAUAUGUGCAUGCGUAUGUUUAACACACAUACACAAAUAUACAUAAAAAACAUGCAUAGCAUAACUUAUAAUAAUCUCCAAAAAUAUGUACGUAUAUUUCAUAAAACAUGCAUAUGUACAAAAAAAAUAGAAAAAAAAUGCAUAUGCCUUGUAAAAUAUGAGAGUACAUACAUAUAUAUAUAUAUAUAUACAUAUUUAUUUAUAAAAACUAUGUAAACAAAAUAUAUAUAAAAUAUGAGCGUAUAAGGACUAAAAUAUGUAUGUAAGCAUAUAUAUAUAUAUGAACGUAAAACUAUGAGAAUAAAAUAUAAAAACGUGUGGAUGUGUACAUGUUUAAAAAAAUGUAUAAACACAUAUAUAUAAAAUAUAAGGUAUAAAAAUAUAAAGGAUAAAAGAUAGAAUAAAGGAAAUAAAAUGUAUGUAAAACGUAUGCAUGCAUUUUAAAGCUUAAGGAUGUAUAUAUGCUAGAAAUGAAAACAUGAAAAGUGAAUAAUAAAAGUUAUACGUUUGUAAAAAACGAAAUAUAAAACAAUAUGUAUAUACACGUACAUGAAAAUCAUAAAUGGAAUUAGUGUAAUAAUAAUAGUAAUAAUAAACGUGUAACAGUAUAUUAAAAAAAGAAAAAAAACUAAAUAAAGUAAAGAAAAGACCAAAUUGAAUAAAAAAACCAAAAAAAUAGGGGCAAAUUCGAAAAUAAUAAAAAAGGGAUGAAUUCGAACACGCGAGCGGCAAUGGGGGACCAAAAGAGCAAUUUACCCAGGCCUCCAAAACGCUGCGCUGAAGGGGACUGAAUUGAAACGUGAAUUGAAUAUGCGGCCCAAUUUUAAAACAAAAAAAAAGAUUUAAUUGACAUGCGCUGCAAAAGGGAGGGGUCAAAUGCACAAAUAACCCAUAUGACGUUAGAACGCGCGGAUCCUCCCCUCCGGGUCGGGUCACCGCGCGAGUCACACUUGACCAAAACGACGCCGUUUUGAAUGUUGUUUAAAACAAAAAUUUUCCUUCCAAAAAAAUCCAUUUGAAAUCGAAUGGGAAAAAAAAAAAGAAACUCCGGCGCUCUGCUAGGGUUCAAUCCCUAGCGUCCUUGCGCCGCCACUCAAUCGGCCCUCUCACCAAACUCCGAUCACGACAGAGAUGGCGGUGGCACGGCGUUUUUAGGUAUGUUUUCCUCCCUUUUUGUUAUUUCAAAUGAAAUAAAAUGAAAAUAAAGAAAAAAAUGUAAAAACGAUAAACACUUUUAACAAUAAAAAAGAAAUCACCUUUAAAACAAAACAAGUUUUUUUCUGCUUUUAUUCCCGAUUCUCUCCGUCAAAAAUCCGUCCUUUUUACAGAUAAAAGUCGGCCUUUUAUAGCCUGAAAACCUAUUUGUUUUACACUAUAUUUUCGCUAAUGGACUCUCUGAAUCCGUGUUUGCAGGUGCGUGGAGAGUGGAGGCCGAAACGUGCGGAGGCUGCAGGAGGCUGUUGCGGCGCUGGGCAUGGGCUGCUGAGGCUUGCGGCGCUGAAGCAGAGAGGCUCUAGGGUUUCUGCUUUCAACGUUUUUGGUGUAUUGGGCUUGAACGGCCCAUUUUUGUUUUGUAAAUGGUCUGGGCCAAUUGGGCCUUAUUACACGUAUUAUAUAUAUAUAUAUAUAUAUAUAUAUUAUAAACCAAUGGCUAAAAAUUUUUCUAAUCCUUCUAGCUUUCUUUAUAUGAGAGUCGUUAAAUUUUAGUUUUGAUUCGUAUACUUUGCUCAAAUUUUAAAUUUAAUCUAUAUACUUUAAUUUUUCAUAAUUUAAUUUCUCAUCCUUUUUAAUAUCAUUAGUUAAUUUAAAUAUUUUAUUCCAAAAACUUGAAAUAUAAUAAUUUAAUUAAAAGAAUAAAUAAUCAACACGAAGCAUGGGUGAGAAUCAUAAAUCAUGCAUGACUUCUAUCAUUAAGUAUCCUUAGCAGUCUUUUUAAGCUGUUAUUAUUAUAUUAUUAUUUUAUUCGUGCAUUGAAAUUAAAUCAAAUCCGAAUAUAAUACGUAAUUUCUUUUUGACCGGUCCAAGAUUAAGUUUAAUAAAAUCUAUUUGCUGUAUAUUUAUUAUUAAGAAACAUUGGUCUUAGUACGUCUCCUUUAGAAUAUUUACACUUAAUUCGCAUUAAAUAUAAAAUAUGAUUAUAAUUAUUUAAAUUCUUUUGUUUGGAAAGGAUAAAAUAUGAAUAUUUACACUUGAAAAGUAUUUUGUUUAAUAGGUUGGUUUGUCUUAAUUUUGAAUAUGGAAAUUAAGUUAUCUUGGAAAAGGAAGUUACAUGAGAGAAAAACUUGUUAAUCCUUAGAAUUUUCAGCAUUUUUAUAGUAAUUUUGAAAUGGUUAAUAUUAUUGUUGAGUAUGACUUAUAGUUAAAUUUAAGAGAUAAUCUCUUAGUUAAACUCUGUUUAUUUGUUUCAGUUAAAUUUUGAUUAGUCUAGAUUAUUUUAUUAUUAUUUGACCUACGAAUUUAGCCUAUAAAUAGGAUCUUUUACAACAUUAUAAAAAACACCCAUUAAAAUAUUAGAACUCAUAACACUUUUGGAGAAUUUUGUAUUUACAUUUUGAGGGUUCUUUUUUUUAGGUUUCGGGGUUUAGUUUUUAUCUUCAUCUUUUGUAAUUUUUAUUUUUUUGUCAUUAUAGUAAAAUUAUCUUUAUCCGUGGUUUUUUAUCCUCUUUGGAGGGGUUUUUUUCACGUUAAAUUUGUGUGUUCAAUUUCUCAAUUGCUUCCGCUAUUUUUUACUUGUUUGUUGCUUAAUCGGAUCAAUUCCCAACAAUCAUCAUAUAAUAUUUUUUAUAUGUUGCUAGUGAAUUGAGGACAUAUUUCUAAAAUUUAAAUGAAUUUUUUCUUUUGUAUUCUUUAUAUUCAUUUUACGGUAAUGCAUCACAUAUAAAUCCAUUUUAAAUUGAAAUCCAUGUUUUAUCAUUUACAUUAUCUUAUAUUAUUUUGAGCUAAUUCAAUCAAUUGUCUCUAAAUUAUUGUCAAUAUUUUUAAGGUAUAAUGUCAAAUUGUUUACAUCUUUUUUCAGUUUGGUUCUUAUUCUUUUUUGAGUUAUAAAUUUGGCCCUCAAUUUUUUUUAAAAAAUUGUCAAAUCACUUUUUAAUGAAAAUAUUCAUUAAAACCUUAUUUUUUAACGAUGUUGGUAUGUCAACCCGUGUGGUAAUCCACGUGUACUUCAUGCUAACAUGACACUUUAUCUUAUAUAUCACACCAAGAAAUAAUUUAAAUUAUAAAAAAUUCCAAAAAAAAACGAGAGCAUGAAGUACAUGUGGAUUGCUAUGCGAGCUGUCAUGUCUAAAAACCUAAUGUUUAGCUAAUAUUUCCGUUAAAAAAAUAACAAUUUAAUUUUUUUUGAAAGGUUGAUGGUCAAAUAUGAUUUUUUUUUAAAGGUCGUGAGCCAAAUUGAUAAAAAAAAAUGUAAACAUUAAGGGAUAAAUUUGACAUUAUGCCAAUUCUUAAUUAGUUUUAAACUUCAAAAUAUGUUAUUGACAUGGUAUCAAAUAGGUUUUCCAUUAGCAUAGUAGUUAAUUUAAGUGUUAAAUGUCAAUUAGGAUAUAAUGUGGAGCCUACUUAAAACAUGAAUUAAAUUGUAAAUUUGAGUAUUGUCACUUCCCAAAAAUAAGGCUAGAAGAAAUAGGGAUAAAAUUUAGAUUUUAUUUUUUUAAGCAUAGGGUAAAAGAAUUUAGAAUGCCUUAAAAAUUAUUUUUGAUAAGAAAUUAACAAGAAUUAGUCUACUAGUUCAUUGGUAAGGCCUUAGCUUUCUCUUGGGUCUCAAGUUUGAAAUCUCUUGUUCACCUUUCAAGCAAAAUAUUUUAUUUUCUUAUUUUUACCCCAUAAAAGUGCCGAAUUUUCAAACUAGCCCAAACCAAAAAUUGUUAUUUUCUAAUUUAGUCCUUAAUUUAAAAUAGUCUUGCUUCUCCAUGGAAUCCUAAAACCUAUUUCAAUUAGGGAAAAAGAGUUUUAUAAUUAGGAAAUCUUUUCAAAACUCUAGAAAUUUUAUCUAGUGAAUUUUUCAAGGAAAACUCUCAAGUUCUUCAUUUUCUCCAUCAUUACCAAACCAAUUUUCAAGCAAAGAAAUCCAAGGUUUCCAAAAUCGUCCCUCUCCUCCCAAGUAGACCAUCAUUCUCCUCAUCCAAAUUAAGGUUUUUGUGUCUUCGAAUCAGGUGUGGGAUCUAAACAUAAAUCAUUAUAUAUGAUUAACUGUAGUGUUAGGAAGUAAUAAGACUGCUAUGCAACCCCUCAUGUUAUGCGAACCCCCUUGCAUGUGCGAGCCCUGUGUGUGAUCCCCGUGUGCAAAACCCCCUAUGUGUGAGCUUGUGAGCGAACCUCUAUACGCGAACCCCUAUAGAUGAACUAUAGCUUGUAUAUACAUAUGCAAACCCUCAUGAUUUUUAGUAUAGGAUUUAAGUUGCAAACCCUAUAUAUAUUACGCGAGGCAUAUAUAUCAUGCGCACCCUAAACAUACUUUGCGAGCUUUAUAUAACAUGCAAACCCUAGGUAAUAUGUGAAUCGAGUAUAUCAUGCAAACCCUAGGUCCUAUACGAGCUAUAUAUAUCAUGUGAACCAAAGCUUGCAUAUCAUGAAAAUCCUAGGUACUAUGCGAACCCCCUGUGUUACAAACCCCCUGUAUGUCCGAACUCUGUUAGGCGAACUGAAGCAUAUGUGCGAACCCUACAUGUACGAACCCCUAGGUGCAAACCCUACAUGCGCUAACCCAUAUGUGCAAUCCUAUAUGUGCGAACCCUGUAUGUGCAAACCCUGCUUAUGUAUGUGUUAGCCGAACUAAGAAUGUUAAUAUGCAUGAAGAUAUUGUAUAUGUGAAAUUGUUUUAGAUCGCUUAAAUUAAUUGUAUAUGUGAAAUUGAUGGGAAUGGAUGAAUGAUCACAUGCCAUUAAAUGAUAGUAUGAAAUAUCAAAUGAAGCAUUGAAAGAUGAUAAAUAGCAUAAUAUGCUAAUUGUAUGUGCAUAAUUACAUGAAUUUAGGUAAGAAGGUCGAAGGAGUUCCAUAGGAGAUAGUGGCAAUUCAAGUCCACACCAAAAGUCAGUAUUGCACAGAGUAGGUGGCUAUGUCAUCAAAACUGGAUAAAUCAGGAUGAUAGUUUAAAAAGCCAUAAAAAAUCGGGUAACUGAGAUGGUAAGUUAUUGUUGUAAAAGUCAUCGUCACAUAUGACAAGUGAACGACCAUCGUCAUCGGAAAUCAAAUCCGAGAUGGUUAGUUUUUUUUAUGUGUUUUGGUGUGUCGAGCGAUGCUUGAUGGCGAUUAAGAUGGACAGGUUGGAAAUUAAAUUUAUAAUUGCAUUUGCAUCAUGAAUAAACUAUAUAUGCAUUGAAUCACUACAUGUUCCUUACAUCAGCUUAACUUGUAUUAUGCUUGAUUUGUUAUUAUGCUAUAAAUUAAAUUCUAUAUUAUUUGAAUGAUUAUAUAUAACGGUUUAAAAAUUAGACUCACACUGAGCUAUCAUAAGCUCACCCCCCAUUUCUUUACCUCUUAGGUAAUGCAGGAAACUAGGUCUCGGAAUGGCAUAAGAAGAACCUCGAAUUAGCAACUUGUUUUGGUUUUAUUUAAAAGUUUCAUUAAAAGUUUUCCUUAAUAAUUUAUUUUUGGGUUUGUAAUUAUUAAGUAUUUUCUCGUUUUUAUAUCAUAGGUUUGGGAUUUGUUUAGCUUAUUUAUUUUAAGCAUGUCAUUUGAUUAUUACUCUAAUAUUUGCAUGCUAUUCAGUAUAGGAAACUAUUAUUCUAAAUGUUUUCUGCUGCUUUACAAAAUACUUAAAGUUUUGAUAGGUCUUUUCUUAAAAACUUAAAAGUCGUUUUCUUAAAACUUCAUAUCAAUUAUACUGUAGAUGAACUAAUAAGUCAAAUUGGUUUAAUGAAUGAAUGUUUUUCUAAAAACAAAAGAGUAUUUCCAUACAAAUCAAACGCAUCUAAAAAGAACGGUUUUACAGGAUCACUUCGGUGAUCGAAUGUAAUGCCUUUGACUUAGCCGAAACUCCUAGGCCAGGUCGAGGAUGUUACAUAUAUAUAUAACUACGACAUGAAAAACCUGGAUUUGACGUAUUAAAAACUAGUAUCAAUUAAAUUUUAUCUAUGCAAUAGAUAUAUAUGUUUUUUAUAAUUUGAUCUACGAAUUUUAAAUAUAUUUCAUCUCAAAUUUGAGUUGGCAUUUAAUGCCUAAACUAAUUGUUGAAUUAAUAAAAGGACUUAAUUGAUAUGAUAUGAUAAUUUGAGAACUAAAUUAAAACAUUUUAAAAAUUAAAGAUGAAUUUAAAAUCCCAUAAUUUGAGAACAUUGCGUCUAAUGUGUUUAUGGUGAAUUGUAAACAAAUCCUUGGUCAAACCUGACAUGCUCUAUAAAAAUCCAUGAAAAAUCAGUUGUAAAAAGGUAGAAAAGAAAGGCAAAUACUUUCAGAUGCUUAACCGACUUCAUUCAAUUUUUAUUUUCAUAUAAAAAAUACUUAAUAUAUUUAAUAUAUAUUUGAUGGUUGAAUUUUUUACAUAAAAUAAAUUAAAUUUAUAUAAAAUUUGUUAUGCAUAAUUUAAAGGAAUAAACCAUAAAACAUAAUGGUUUUAUCGUUAAAAUAUUAAUUAUAUAAAUAAUUAUAAAAGUGUAUAAAAUUACUUUAAUUUUUAUUAAUUUUUAAUUUCUUCGUUAUUAUUUUUAUUAAUUUUUUUUAAAAAAAUUAUAAAAUAUUUGAUGUUUAGAAUUUUAAGAAUGAUACAUAUAAACAAUUUCUUUUCUUAGUUUUUAAAUUCAUCCAUUUAAAAACAAUUCUGAUAUCCUAAAGAGAGUGGGUCAAAUAAGUAACAAAUUUAUUUAUUUUAAAAUGCUAACAAGUAAACAAAUACAUUUGAUCACUAAGGAUUAAAAGAAACAUGACAAACAUUUUUUAAAGUAAAAUUUUAAAACUUUAUAUCAAAAUAAGUCAGUAUUUUGAAUACUAUAGAGUCGUAUUGUUCUUUCUUUCCAAUCAUAUUUCCUAGGAAAUUAAUAUAAGAUUACUGGUCAAAAGUUUUGUGAAGAGUAUGUCAAAAGCAGAGAAAAGAAUAAAUAUCAUUCAUGCCCUCAAACAUUUUGAUCGAACUGCAAAAGUUUAAAGUAAAUAGAGGAUAUUUAAACCUUUUUUACAGACAUCAACUUUGAAUCAAAAGAAUCAAACAAAAGACAAAUCAACAUUUCUUUUAAUCUAUUUGUAUUUCUCAUGCACUUUGUUUUCUUGAAUUUAAGUUCUCCUUUUUUGACUUCAAAUAUCACCACUAUUUUUCUUACCUAUAAAUACAUGCAACAAUUGCACUCUUAUCCUCACACAAAUUCUGUGCCAAAUUUCAAGAGCAAACCAAGAAAAGGCUGCAAAUUCAGCUUUUCAAUAUCUGCUUUUGAUCAAUCGAAAUGGCUUCACAAGUUUCUCAAAUGCCUUCUUCAUCACCCCUUUCUUCCAAUAAGGAUGAAAUCCGUCCCAAAGCCGAUUUUCAGCCUAGCAUUUGGGGAGAUUUCUUCCUCAAUUGUCCCGACAAGGUAUACAUACAUAUCACCAUAUUGAUAUAAUCUUAACAUAUUAUUUGUUCAAUUAUUUAGUGAUUCAAUAUGAAGAAAAUUUUCAUUGUUUUGAGCAGAAUAUUGAUGCUGGAACUGAAAAACGCCACCAACAAUUGAAAGAAGAAGUGAGGAAGAUGAUUGUGGCACCAAUGGCUAAUUCGACCCAAAAGUUAGCCUUCAUUGAUUCAGUCCAAAGACUGGGUGUGAGUUACCAUUUCACCAAGGAGAUCGAAGAUGAACUAGAGAAUAUCUACCAUAACAACAAUGAUGCCGAGAACGACCUCUACACUACAUCUCUUCGAUUCCGACUACUCCGAGAGCAUGGAUACAAUGUUUCAUGCGGUAAUUAUUGGAACAGAAACAUAGUGUUUUUAAGUUUCUUGAGAAUAUAAUAGCAUGGAAUGUUUGAUAACGAUAUUUCAUUUUGGGUAAUUUCAUGUCAGACGUAUUCAACAAGUUUAAAGACGAGCA